CUUCCUCUCUCUCUCUCUAACCACUGCCAGCCACCUCUGCGCCCGUCGCGACCACUCGCGAAUUAAUUCCCGUUCCGCCCACCUGACUAAGCCGAGGCCCCGGCGCCGCCUCCGGCCGCCGGACGCGGGAGCCAUGGCGCCGGCGGUGGGGAUCAAGCGCUCCACCACGCAGGCCGUCACGCUGCCGCCGCCCGACGCGCGGCUCGCGGUGCGCGACGUCCUGCGCUCCACGAUCCCGUCGCAGCCCGCGGAGGCGCCGCCGGCCGCGGAGAGGCCGGCGGCGCCCGCGGCGGCGGUGGAGGGGUUCCUGUGCCUGGAGGAGGUGGACGGCAGGCGGUGGAGUUACGUGGUGGACCGAGGGGCCGUGAAGGGGAGGGGUAGGGCCGGGGCGGCGAGCCCCGCGGGGGCCUCCGUCAGGGCCGUGCCGCUGCAGUCGCCGCUUCCGCCGGCCGAGGUGAGGCAGCUGGGUGGAAUUGUGACGAGCUGUUAGGUUCGGUGUUGGUUACAAACUUGCGGGUCAUCUGACGGCUCAUUGGGAAGAAUUGGUUGCGGCUUUUGGGUAAUUUGAUUUGAUGGAUUGCUAGGGUGUUUUUCGAUUGGAUUGAUGCAUACGAGGCAUGGUCGCUUGUGGAUUUGAUUUUUUUUUGGGUAUUGAUCUAAUCGGCAAUAGAUAUGUUUUCUCGCCCAUAGGAUGUACACUUCUGAUUGAAGUAACACCGGUGUUUUCGAGGUAAUAAGAGACAAAAUUGGGGGAAGUUUGGUUUGAUCGAGAAUUCCGAGGCUGUGAAUUCUUUUGUGAUUUUAGUCUAUAUGUACCUUAAUCUUUCGAUGAUUUCUAGUUGGUUCGCGUAAAUUCGUAGAGAAUUCGUUUUCAAAAAAAAAUCGUAGAGAAUUGGACACUUGGGUGGGGAUUAGAUGCGAGAUUUAUUGGUCUCACUGUGGAACAGUCUCAGAUUAGCUGGUGGGUGUUGGUCUCAACUUUCAAUCAGUUGGGAGGUUGCUUCCUUAUUUAUUAGUGUCCCACCUAGGGACAAUUACUUCUACCUCACCAGCUUUAUUGAUUUCGGUGUUAGGUUAUGUUCCAAGUUUUGAACAGUUGAAUGUUUUUCUCGAACACGUAGGAGAGCUGCGUAUCAAUAUAUUAAGAAGAAUUUGAACAGUUGAAUGUAAUUUGUGCUACCAAUUUAACUUUUCGUUCUCCAUUAAUAUAGGGAUUUGUUAAGUGGCAUGUGAAAUGUUGAAGUUCGUCCAUUGGAACUGAAAAAUUAAGUGUACUGUGGAAUGUGGCUGCAGGAAAUAAUGGCAUUCAUAAGAUCAUAUGUCGUACCUGAAGGGUUUCCUGACAGUGUUACUCCUUCAUAUGUCCCAUACAUGACCUGGAGGGCUUUGAAGGUAUAUUGCACGACCUACGUUCAUAGUCAGUCGUCAGUGCUAGAUUCAAAUGAAUCAGGCUAAGUUCAAUUAUUUGAUCAUUAUUUAGCAUUUCUUUGGUGGAGCAAUGGGAGUAUUUACAACAAGAACCUUGCUGAGCUCUGUUGGAGUCUCUCAAAGCAAGUCAACACCAGGAGCCAUUGCUAUCAACUGGAUCCUCAAGGUACUUUUUUUUCCCAUUCCAGAACUCGCCAAACCAGUCCUUACAAUGUCUCAGAAACCAUAAUUCAUUAAAGGAGUACUGUCAAUCCACUAAUAUGGCCAGAAUGAAAACCAGUAAAAGAAAACUGCCAGUGGGCUAUCGGUCUACUUCAAUAAUUCAGGUUGGCUAAUGUAUAUAAUUGUGAUUGCACCUGUACCCCAGGAUGGUGCUGGGCGUGUCGGAAAAAUGCUUUUUGCACGUCAAGGAAAGAAGUUUGACUACGACCUAAAGCAGGUAAACAUGUCUUCAUUUUUGCAGAAUCCACUUUACUUCCAAUUUCUUGGUGUCCAACGUGCAUCCUAACUGAAACAAAAAUCAUCUGCAGCUGCGGUUUUCUAGUGAUCUCCUGCUGGAGAUAGGAGCUGGUAUUGAAUUAACUACUGCAGCAUUCCCUCAAUUUUUCUUGCCUAUGGCUUGCGUAGCAAAUGUCGUGAAGGUCUGCCCUCAUCAAGCAUUAGCCAAUGCAUUUUGAGCCUACUCUAUUUUAAAAGUGUUGAUGGACAUCAUUUUUUUUGUUUCACGCAAUAUUUAGAAUGUCGCUGCUGUUACAUCAACCUCAACGCGCACUCCAAUCUAUAAGGCCUAUGCAAGAGGAGAAAACAUUGGUGAUGUCACUGCUAAAGGCGAAUCUGUCGGUAACAUUGCAGAUCUGGUAAUUAUCAUGUGUUGCCUUUACAUCUUUCUUGUCACUCGGUGGCAAUUGGACAUGCAGCUGAAAUGUCCUUAUAGUAUAUAAGUUGAGCAUGUUUUACUAAAUUUCAUUUGGCUUGUCAGCACACUGUAUUAAAUACAGCAUUUGCAGGGCUUUGCAUGCUUACGCCCAUAUGUUAAGCUUGAUUUAGCAGUUACACUGACUUCUCUUUGUUGAUUUGACCUGAAGUUGGGUACUGGUCUGAGCAUCUUUAUCUCAAAAAGGAACCCAUCAUUGGUGACUUCGUUUGCCUUUCUGUCCUGUGGAUACCUCCUGAGUUCAUAUCAUGAGGUUCGCUUUUACUCUUCUAGUCUAUUUCUGAGCAUAUUUAGAAUUUCCUAAAAGACUAAAAUUCUGUAAUUUUCCGUGAACAGGUGAGAUCUGUCGUGCUGAAUACCCUAAACAGGGCAAGGUUUACGGUUGCAGUGGAUUCCUUCAUUAAAACUGGUAGGUCAAAAACUCACAAGCAUAUGUUUGAAUUGUUCUGUGAAGUGCUAGAAAUAACCGCACUUCGAUCUGUAUUCAAUUGUUUAUCGAACCAUUGAAGCAGUACUUCUCUAUAAAAUAAAUUCGAAAUUCAUAGACAAAUGACCUUAGUGUCAUAUAAAAUCAUAGAGGGGUUCAGAGAGCUCUUGGAUUUUUGCAGCACUAGAUUCUUCCAGGCAAUGUUAAAAUAUGCUGGAAACUUUGUUUUCUUUAGCGCGAUGCUGCAAUUUCGAUCUAUAAAAGCUGCAUACUGAAAAUGAAACCCAAAGAUUUUUAAACACACUUAUUAGUUAUUAUGUUUCAGUCACAUAUUUAAGUCUUAUUCUAAGCUCGAAUCAUGUUUCUGACCUUUCUAGACCUCUAGGAGUAUUAAAUAGAAAAAUUUGAAAUCAUAUUCGCUUGGCUCUACAUUAUCUUAUAUUUUUAAUCUUUGUUUUUUAAAUUAUAGGUCACAUUCCCUCCUUGAAGGAAGGAAAUUCACAGGAGACGAUAUUUAAUCCACCUUGGCGGCACGAGCCAGUUGCAAUAGGUUUGUGCAAGAGUUAUUCAGAUUGUGGUCCUUUCUUGAGACACUGCGGGCAUAUUUAUAGUAUAUUUCAACUAUAUUUCAGGUUCACGAUUUGGAGAAGCAUUUCAAGAGCCUGCUUCAUUUGUUGCCAUAAGGCCUCUGUUUGAGGUAUGUUCUCCUCGGCCACCAGCAACGGAAAACAUACCCAGAAACUACUAUGUUUUUGUAUAUGUGAAUAUUUCCUGCAUUUUGAAAUUUGCUCUUUUGGUAUGACCAACAUUUGGUAUAUUAAUUACAUAGGAUGAGAGAUACAUGGUAACAUAUAACCCGACAAAGGAUAAAGUAUAUGCUUUGCUCAAGGACCAAGCAAAAUCAGACGACAUUAUCAAAGCUGCUUUCCAUGUAAGCAUUUUUCUCACUGGGAUGCAAUAGCUAUGGAUGUUUUGGUUUCUUUCUGAUACACUUGGACAUGGUGUUCCGUUUUACAGGCUCAUGUGCUACUGCAUUUUAUAAAUGCAUCACAUGCACGGAGGCUGAAGCAGAAGCAGAAGCAGAAGCAGGCAAACCCCGACCGAUCAGACUAUGGAAACCUGUACUCAAGAAACAUGGAUUUCCUGGCACACAUCGCUGAAUCUUGCAAAAUCGUUUCAUCAUCAUAUGGAACCUUCAAGAAGAAAGCAAGAGAACAGGUCAAAACUCCCUGUCUUUAUGAUAAAUGCACCUCUUUCCAUUAUACGUGAGUUAGUUCUGACAGUGACAACCAACCACAUUUUUGUUUGUGUUUCAGGGUUGGAUAAUGUCCGAAUCACUGCUCAACCCUGGAAAGGCUCGAUUAUGUGGGGCAAAACCACUAUGAGUCUACUAUCCUUCUGUUUAAUAUCGAGGGGAUGAUAUCGUCUCUAGUUUGUCAGUUUGUGAGACUAACUUUUCUGACAACGCGGGAUGCUCAGCUGUUAGAAGCUGAACUAACAUAUGUUGGCGCCCGGCACUAGGUUUGAAUCAGUGGACCUUCAGUCGCAACUCCCAAGCUUCCAAAUUGCAGGGAGAGCAAGAGUUAUGUGAUAUGUAAGUAACCGAUCGUGUUCGGUUUGGAUCUAGACCUCUUACUUCAAACUGUCAGCUACUGAUCAUUUUCUGUUGGAUUCUCGACAUGAACAGGAAGAAUACCUGAACGAAGAUGAAUUUUCAUGGAGGGGAGAGGUGGUGCGCUGGUUCGCGUGCUGAGUAAAGGGGUCAACGAGAGGGGGGCUUGAAUUUAUGUUUGCUGAUGUAUAAGAUAUGGUGUAGCCAUCCUGCUGUAACCUGUUUUGCGUGCUGGUCGGCUGCGGAGCUUCUUGUUUCAGUGUCCUUAGAGUUUCUUUUCUUUUUUUUUUUUGCGGAAAAAGAGUGCUUAUAGUAAAUUCCAGUUUCAGUGAGUUAUCAGUUUAUCACUCAUGCCGUCGACGACGGUCUCCACCUUGUACAUACAUGCUCGGUAAUAACUGCAAGCCUUCUUUGUGUUAUCUGGUGUGCUGUGGACUUGUGGUGCUGAAAGCAGGACGAGCCUCUCGAAAACAAAGCACGACGAAGUCUGCAAGCACAAGAAGUUCUUUUUGAGUUUGGCGCUGCCUUUUCUUAGCUGCUUUGCACCUUGCUUUAGACGACCCACAUAGUACACCAACGUGGUCUUCGCUGAAUUUCUGUCACACAUGGAAAGGAAUUCGAUCACUUUUUACAUGGCCUAACAUAUUCUUCUUCUGAACGAUAUGAAAGAACUUUAGCGAACCUGUGUGACUUCGAGCAACCCCCAGGCAAAUCCACGUAUCUACUUUAGAAAUUGAAACUGCUGCACAAAAACACUAAUGAUGUAAAAUUACCUUACAACUCAAUUAAAAAAUCUAAAGAAGAUGCGAUUGACACUUGACAGUUAGCAUUUGAGUAGAACACGUGAUGGGAAAAUGGAAAAACGUGGACGGCGUGGAUUGACCGGAGCGCAUAACACGAAGGCUGAGAUGCUGCAGCAGUGCAGCCUCCGCCUCCAUUUCCGUCAGGGCGUCCACCAUUUGUCGCUUCUCUUCUCUGCAGUCCAUCGUCACCACCAUCCACCUCGGCUUCCCCCUCGCGUUCGCCGCGGACAGCGCCUCCGAGAUGGAGCUCCGCCUCUGCCUUCGUCUCCACGCGCGCCUCCCACCAGCCACGACGCCGCCCCCGCCGCCUUUCGCGGCGCCCGCGGUGCUCCCCGCGUCCCGCCGAAUUCGGACUGGUAAGGAUUGCUUCAGCGCAAUCAGUCACCGCUUCUCCGUUUGUUUGGGCGCUUCGCUCCGUCAAAAUGCCGGGCCGCGCGCAACCAUCGUUGAGCAAAUUUCGGGAGUUCCGAUUUGAUUGUUCAUAGAUGCUUGCUACCUACGCUGAGAGAGGCCCUUCGUUUUGUUGCUGCUUGUGGUCAGGUGGGAGCUACGGGGUUGCUCUUCGGCGGCCCACGAGGCGUUCGAAUCCGGCGAUUCGCGCUUCCGAAGCCGACGGCGCGCCGGUAAGGUGGCUAUCAGAGGCCGCGGGGAUGCGAGCGCUGUUGACUGAGAGGGGAAGCACUGACAGGAGCUUUUGUUUCGCCAGGGUGUGGCUGUGAAGGAGAGGAGCGUCUCGGUGAUCCUCUUGUCCGGAGGGCAGGGAAAGAGAAUGGGGGUAUUAUAUCUCUUCUGCUUCAAACUUGUCUUUCAGUUCCUUUGGUUGCACCCAUGUGAGGGCGCUUGCUUUUUAGUUCUCGUACAUUGGUUCAGGUUAUGUUCAUCAGUUUGGUGAUUCUAUUCUGGGACAAUACGGCCACUUUAGCUGUUCUUCAGCUGCUAAUAUUGGGGCCUUUGGGCAACAAUUCAUUUACUAGUGUACAAGAAACAUAAUGCAUCAAGGCUCUGCGCCCUAUUGAACAAUUGCAGUGAAAUGAACAGAUUAAGCAAAAAUGAACAGUGAAAUGUUGUUGUCAGUGAUGAUGAAUUGCAGUGAAAUGUUCUAUUUAUGCUGUGAGCCUGUGAAAUUAGCGUGUCCUUCCAAUGCUUGAUCGUUUUGUCUAAAUUCCACCCAUCUUUUCUAACAGGCAAGUAUGCCGAAGCAGUAUCUGCCACUACUGGGACUACCAAUUGCAUUGCACAGGUUCAUUUCUCCAGCAUAGACAUUUUCAAUUUUCUCAAGUCGGCAAGGUGAUGAGGACACAGGAAUCUCUACAUUUUGUCCACAGUUUGAAAACAUUCUGUCAACUGAAGGAAAUGAAAGAAGUCGUGGUAGUGUGUGACCCAGACUAUAGUGAUGUAUUUGAAGGUUGCAAAAUUGUCCACACUUAUUCUAUUUUCAUUGACUUAGCUAUGCAUUUAUCUAAGGUUGUCAAAAAUCAUUAUCCACUUCUGCAGGUUCUAUUGAGAACUUGCAAAUACCUCUUAAAUUUGCAUGCCCAGGAAAAGAGAGACAGGACUCUGUUUUUAAUGGACUUCAGGUCAGUGACAACCCACCUGUAUAUUGCCUUUUCUGCUCAUGUGGAUAAAUAUCGUAGGGAUCUGGUGUUCCGUUUGUUUGCAGGAAAUUGAUGGGGAUUCGGAACUUGUUUGUGUCCAUGAUUCUGCAAGGCCCUUAGUUUCUUCUGAAGAUGUAAAAAAGGUCACUCCUAUUGUCCAUUAUCUACAUGAGUUACAUCAUAGAAUAUCUGCUCAAAUGUUUGCUUUAGCUUGUUCUUUCUUUGGAAGUAUUGAAAUAUAACUCACCCUGCAAGUUGCAACUUAUAUCUACUGCAGAUUCACUACAUGUGUGGUUGCUUGGAAUUUAUUGCCAAAUAACUGAUCCAGCUUUGAUAUUAUUUGUGCUGCCCUUAGAGCAAUUUAAGAGUUUCUCUUUUAAUUCUGCUGCUUUAUAUGUUUUAGAGAAGUGUAUUUCCCAAAAGCUGCAGCUUGCUUUGUGCUUUCUAAUAGGGGGAAAAAGAUAGCUACAAUCACUUUGCAGUUUUUUCAAGCAGUAAUAUUGAUUUUGAUUUUACUGACUAGGUCUUACAAGAUGCUGCUGUGCAUGGGGCAGCUGUUCUUGGUGUGCCUGUGAAAGCUACAAUAAAGGAGGUGAGUGUUUAUACCAUCCAGAUGAUUGGGAAUAAUUCAACAUGAUCUUACAAAUAGCUUUGACAACUUCAUAUGUGGAACAGCCUUGCAGUGCUGCCUUAUAAAUCUUAUGCUUUUUUUUUUUGCUCUGCAACUAUCAUCCACAUAAUAGCAUUCUCGAUGGGGCAUAACAUUCCUUUCCACCCAUAUUCCCUACAGGCUAAUAGUGAUUCUUUUGUCGUAAAAACCCUUGACCGGAAAACUCUAUGGGAAAUGCAAACUCCACAGGUAAUCAUACUAACUCUUGUAUGCACUUUAUGUUUCUUGUUUUGUAUCCUGUUCCUGCACCUCUCUCUAUUUCUUUUUGAGAAACUGCAACGUUAAAAAGAGCAUGUUUUCCGAUUGUAGGUUAUGAAGCCUGAUUUACUCAAAGCUGGUUUUGAGCUUGUUAAACGGUUAGCCUUAAUUUUUAGCUCAGCAAAUCAAAAUAAUAGAUAUACUUCUCCUGAGCUCUGUGCUGAUUUAAUUUUGCCAUCACAGGGAUGGCCUUGAAGUCACCGAUGAUGUAUCCAUUGUAGAAUAUCUCAAGCACCCUGUCUAUAUUACGGAAGGCUCUUACACAAACAUUAAGGUAUCACACAAUAACGUUUGAACUAAAAUGUUCUGAAUUGCUUAAUCUGAAAAGAUAACUGUCCGAAUGUGAAUUUAUUGCAGGUGACCACUCCGGAUGACAUGCUUCUGGCUGAGCGCCUGAUGAGUGGGAAAUGAUAGGCAAAACUAACUGUUUGCCUGAUUUUACAGACAACUUUGAUUUUGUAGUGCAGCAUUCAUCAGCACUUAAACAUUUUUGAAAACUAGAAUAAUUAUGGAGCUAGUACACGAGAUAGCUGACCUCUUUGUAAACAUUCUUUAUAUAUCAAUGAAAAAUGGGGUAAGGUUUUCUGCUGAAUUCAUACUUUGGCAGAACAAACGGAGCUCCGAUUACCAUUUUUUUUCAUGCAAUGACAAUAGAACUUAGAAACAAGUUUAUUGCGCAUGUAAAUGUAAGGGCUUCAAUUUGUUAAAAGCAUCGUCAAACAAUGAUACAAAACAAAAUCAGAAUUCUAUACCCGUGUGGUAGUUGCAGCUAAUCCAAAUAGCAAUUCAGCACAUCCGUUUCAACAACCUUAUCAAGAGUUAGUGGUUAGCAGGGAGAUUCCUCCGAAAAAAUAGUACAGUGGUGUUGGAGAACAUAAUGUAUAUCUAAUACACGAGAUACUAACUGCCCAUUGACCAUGUUUGGGGCAAUUUUAACUGAUAUAUGAACAUUCCUUAAACCAACAGAAUGAGUAUAAGUCCCAAAUGUUUCCCUUGAAAUCAUGGCUCCUGACUUCUGAGCAACUUGGCACUUGGGCUAGGCACAUUUGAAGGUAACAAUUUUACAGAUUUCAUCUUAGAGGCUUCAGUCCCUGCACAGAGAGAUGAACAGUUAUACUGAUAUUUUUUGUGUUUUAGUGAACAUACUCUGACAAGUCCAUCCCAGAUUCCCAUAUACUCUUCUUGUAUUUCUAAAAAUGGGUUGAGUUGUCACCUGGAUAUGGCUAGAUGGUGUGUGCACAUUGUACUUGCAUGUAAAGUGCUCAAGUGGAAAUCAGGGAGCAUCACAUUGUGGUGAAUUAUUAGCCAUCAGAUGUGCUUGAAAUUGUUUUAUUAAAGUAUUAAAGUAUUUUAGGGUAAAACACUGUAAUGGACCUGGCUAUUAACAGUGGUCUGUAACAACAUAACAUCUUAGAUUGUUAGCCUAGGUCACUGUGACAUGAUCACUUAUUCCUGGUACUCCAGAUUCUAGAACCUAAUAUUUGGAAUGUGCUAUGUGAUAUUCUCUAGUCAAUGAGUAGAUAUUUAUGGCCACAUGCUUGCAGGGUUACCUUUGAAGCUCGCAGUUCAUUUGCAGCUGUCCGGAGAGAGUCAUCUGACAGAAUCAAUCUUGACAAAGCACCAGUACUUAGGCUGCGUUGCAGUCAAUAAUUUAGCGAAAUAUCUAUGAGGCUUCAAUGUAAAACUAAUAUACAUGCUGCCAAUUGCCAUACAGCAUCUGUUGCAACCUAGAAUAUGGAAGUGAUGCAUUACCCUAAAAUCUUUGCUGCAUCUGAUACAGAACCUUCAACAGCAAACAGCAGAUCUAAUAAAGCUUGCAUUCCCUGCCCAGUGGAAAACGAAGGGCAAAGGGAGAUGUUUAAAUAUGCGAUCUUGAGGACAACAAAACAUAUCCAGUAAGCAUAUUAACAUAACAACAGGUGCAUACUGGAGAAAAUUUUGAGUUAUUUGGACCAAUUUGGGGCCCAACAUCUUUUCCUCGUAUGGUGGACUUUAGGGGCAAUAUCUGAAGAAGCUCAACUGGUGGAGUGUAGUCCUCAAGGUUUAUUGGCCUCCUAACUGGUAGAAUCAAGCUGUUAAUGGUCAUGGAGUAUUAUGGCCGUCAGGCAGCAUGAGAACUGAAAAUGGAAGUGAAGUGUCUUAACGCCACCUAGCUACUAGCACUGGAGCUCUAAUGCAGCUGGGUAAUCUAGGAUGUUGAAUUACUUGAACUAAUAAACACUUACUUGUCCAAUACUAAAAUGGUAACUUGGAGCAGACCAGAUUUUACCUUUAAGAGCAAUCAGGGUUCGAAGCCGAGACAAAGCAGAUGCUCGAUUCAUAUGUUGUGACCGAUCCUCCACAGCCUGUGGGAAAUCACACUGAAAAUAAAUUAACAAGCAAAAGGAAAAGAGCUAGUUCUAAAGUUCUAUCGCAUAACAAAGCAGGAGAAGCGUGCACGAAGGAAAUACAAGAAAUCAGGCCAAAAAAAAAUAAUCAUUUAGUUUAUCUGAAGUCCAAUUGAUUUGUGAUUGCAUUAAUCCAAUCUUCCAAUCAUUCAAACUCUAGGAACACAGUCAGGAAGCAUUGUCUGAAAUGUCCAUUUAUUUAAGAUAUCCCCAAUGAAGCGAACAUGUUAACUGAGAAUGGCAGCUAAUUCAGCAAAGUUCCCGACCUGGGCGAUGAUGCCGGUGGGGCGGUGCUUUAGCCGGACGGCGGACUCGCGCUUGUUGCGGUGCUGGCCGCCGGGGCCGGACGCCUUGAACGUGCCCAUCUCGCACUGCCCCAUGAGCUCCUCGUCGCUCAUCCCCAAGUAGUCGACGUAGCCGCCGCCCUCCGCGCCAUCCUCUUCCCCCUUGCGGCCGCCCCCGCCGUCCCUGGGAGCAUCCGAGCUGGUGGACACGGACGAGGCGGGGACGAAGCGGAGCGGGGAGGGCGCCUGGCGGCGGAGCAGCGGCGGCGGCAGGGGCCGCGGCUGGGAGAGCGCGGAUGAGGUCGGGAGAGGCGGGUAGCAGCGGGCUAUUCGCAGGAGCAGCGCUCGAGCCAUUUUCGGGGGCGGGGCGGCGAUGAGCGAGCGGAGCGUCACCGGAGGUGCAGAUGGGAGGUGUGAUCGUGGCAGAGGAAGCGGCCUGUUUUUUGCGUCCUAGAUGUCCUGGGCCGUCUGUUGACGGUUAGGAGGCGCGGAAGCCACGGCCCGCGGGACAGAUCUCAGCAUAUUUUCGUUUUUUUUUAUUAUUAUGGUCUGGAAAAUCGCAAGCAGGCUAGCCUUUGCGGUGCUUGAUUGAGAAUUUGAGAUUCGGUAUGUGAUUUAUGAAUUAUCAUCCUUCUGUAACCAAAGAUCAUUAUAGCUUUUGAAAAUUGAAAAAAAAAAUUAAAACACUCAUAAACUCCGAUGAAUGUGUGAACUUUCUGAACCAAAAAAGAAACGAGCGAACUACACUUAGUGAAGAUCAGUGAACCUAUAUGCUAGUCAGUUCUUGAUUGCUCAGCCACAAGAUCUUCGGCUGUCAUCACGCCCUCCCCUCAAGAAUCAUAGCCUUUCAGUGAGCAAAGUACUCCUCCCAGUCAAAGGCACCACAACGGCCGCUCAUCCGGCUGUUCCACUCUUCCUUUGUCCAGUCUGAAAAUUCGCUAGUGCCAAAACGGGCUCCAUUCGGUUUCGAGGCAUUACGCUUGUUACGCCUAUCAUUAUCAAUUUGCCUCUUCCUGAAGAUCUCGUAUCGCCGAGCCUUCUCCUUCUUGCUCCUGUAUGACCGGCCAUACUCCUUCACCCAGUCCUCAAACCUGGCACGCAUGGCUUCCUCGUCGACCUCCAAGUCCUCCGGCUCCACAGCAUCGUCCCUUCCAGUCACCUCAUCCAUGGCUUCCUUACCAGAAACCGCCUCUGUGGCGUGAUGGUGAUGCUUCCCACCACGAUACCUCCGGUUGUCGAGGUAUUCGACGUACUCACGCCAGUUGACUUUGCCGUCUUUGCCCACGAAGUUCACCUUGAGAUCUUCCUCAUCCUUUAAUUCCUGGAGGACAUGAGGAGGCACCUCCUUCCUGGCCUCAACGCCGGUGACCUCGCCGGCUACAAGCAGUACAUAUGAAGGUGGGCAGUGUGGUUCAUGGAGACAUGGACAUGUCGCACAUGGAAAGAACAAUCGACGAGGAAUCUAGAGGCGAUUUGGUACCUGGCUUCUUUGUGUCUUUGUUGAAAUACAGAAGUGCGACGACUCCGGCUAACGCGGCCGUGGCUGCAGCGCCAUAGGCGCCAUCACGAGCGGCGAGAUCCCUCUGUACCGGGAAUUCGGGAUGAGAAUUUUGAGCCGCGAGUGCAGAAGAACGUAACCAAAUUUUCGAUCUGGGACCUGGGUGUAGCGGAGACUCACCGGUGUGUGUGGAGAGAGCGCGCUGGCCUCCCCGCCACCGACCCUGCAGGGGCCUUCUUGAUGCCGAUCCCAAGAGAGGACUCCGCCUGUGCGCUGGGGACCCCGCGUGCGCGUGGCGCGAACCUCCGGGUGAGGAGGGAACCUAGGGCGCGGAGAGACAUCCACGCGAUCGCUCCCUCUUCCUUCGCCGCCUUGCUCUGUUCCUACGCCGGCCGCCGCCUCCCCUCGAUUCUAGGGCUUUGACGUGCAUAUACUAUAUAAAAAAAAUAGCCGGAUGUUAGUUUGAACCGGAAACUCCCUGUAUGCCGGCCGCCCAGGCGACAGAUUGGAAGUCGUUUUUCUUGACAACGGAUAAUUUGGGAGUGUUGUUCUCUUAUCCUCAGUUUGCUCCGAGCCUCCGACUGCUGGAACAAGGCUUUUGCAACGUCUCAGAUGCAUCUCCGGCUCCAGCUCGCCAUGGCGAUGGACGCGAAGAGGAAAUUAAACGAACGAACUGAGGUGUGUUGUGGAGGUCUGCUGAGAGAAGAACAAAGACACAUCCAAAUCGCCACGGGAGCGGAAGCGAUCGAGAUUCCGCGGCCGGAUCGAACCAACACCGCCUCGUGCACGAGAACGACGCAAAGGCUCGGGAGCUCGCCGGACGCCGGCGAGGCAGCGCCGCGGGAUCACGCCUCGCCUCGACGAGAGAAGAGCUCCGUUCGCUUCGCUAGAGCCCGUAUCGGGUGUAUUCCUAGCCGUCGGUUGCGGAUUGGACGGCCCUCAGGUGCCCAGGGGGUGGACGGUAAAUGAAAUACCUCCCACCCCGGACGGUAAACGAGAUGCCGUCCGCCCCCGGUCGCCGUGUCCAGCGGCAAGGCCACCCGCCGGCAAACCGCGAGCAGGCAAGCGAGGCCAGGAGGAGGACGCUGCUGCUCUGGAGUAAACGCUAAGAGCGCCGGCGAGCCACCCGCCGCCACCGUCGGCACCAUGCACCGCUGCCUCUGCCUGCCCCGUUGCGCACGCGCAUUGCCGCUCCGCACUCCGCAGUGCGCCAGGCGCGCCUGCAGGUGGCCGGCCGCCAUGGCGUUCCGUUCCGUCGCACGGUGCCUGUGCUCUGAGUCGAGCGUCGCACUCGGGAAGUCGGGAACGCGGCCAUGUCCAUGCCGGACGUGGCGCCUUAACGCCGUUGUGGAUGCACAAGUCCGGCGGGGGCGCGGGGGCGGACGGUGCUGGUGUCAGGUUGGGCGGCGAGGCGGGCCGUCGCCGGCUGUCUCCGUGAUGUGAUGAGGUGCGACGGCGAAGCAGAGCGCGGGGACGGUGGGGCGCCGGAACUUGACGUUGGGCGGCAUGGCGCUUUCUUGCUCUACCUGACUACCUCCUCUGCUUCAGGGUAAAGCGACUGAGCCAUUGCGACUUCAUGAUCAAUUGCGGCGGCCGGCGGGGAAUCGCCCCAACGCGAGCUACGCCAUGGCGCCGCCGUAACGACGCCACCGCGCUGCCGGACCAGGGGGCACGACGCGAAGGCGCUGCCCCAAGAACCCGCAGCGUCAGCACGCAAGCGGCGUGCGCACUUGUUACACCCCAGACAGCAGAUGUUCUGCAGACGCAAAAGCAAUAGAGAAAACCUGGUUUCGGAACAUCAUCAUAUGUUCAUAUUGGACCCGCGGGAAUGCUAUCUGUAGAACAUUCAUGUAGUACCAACAUAUUGCACAGUAAGAUACAGAUUUGAGCAAUUCAAGAACUAUUCAAAUCCUACCUACGCACAAGCAGACAUGCUGGGAACUGUUAACAAAGACUACAGUCACUAGUCACUACUACCAAGUGCACUGCACGAAUAAUGAAGAAAUGGUCAGUUGAGAGGUACCUCCAGUGUUUACAUACUAGGAAGAGAGACGCUCACGUCAACACUCAACACAGGGGACAUGCCACGUUUUAGAGACACACAGCUAGGUCGAACAACUAACCAACAGAUAUGUAACCAUAAAUAGAAACGCGGGUUUUACAGGCUAGGAAACUACGCCAUAUCUAGGGGAUGAUCCCGGCGCCAGGAGAUGGUUUCCUCCUGAAAAGGCCGCUGGGGUGCUCGGUCGUCGUUCACACCCUGGCCCUCUUGUUGGUGCAGUCCGGGCACUUGUACUGCUUGAUGUGCUCGGCCCGGGCGGGCGUGAUCUUGACGCACUUCCCGUGGUACCACUUCUCGCAGUUAUCGCAGCAGAUCCAGAACUGGUCCUUGCCGUCGUUGGUUCCGCAGGUCCCGCACAGGGUGUUGUCGUGCUCUUCCGCCUCCUCGUCCCCAUCGUCGUCACCGCUCUCUUCUUCAUCUUUGGGGACCUUGGCCUUCGAACGAGCCUCAGCUCUUGACUGCUGCAGGUGCAAAGUCGUGUUACCGGAAGGAAUCAAGGGCUGGAUGGAAACAGAAAAGGGCAUGUCAUUUACCACUUUUGAACUAGGCUUGUUGCUCUUGCUGCUACUGUUAGGUGUCUUCUCCUUCGUCUGUUUCUUGGCCGAUCCUGUCACUACCUCAAAUAUUGUAGGCAUGUUGUUUAUCAUGCUGAAGAGUCGCCUCCUGCAUAACAACAAUCAAGCAUCAUAAGAAAUGCAACUAACAGUAGCCAUUGCAAAAUAAGUUUUUGUCAAGAUCCAGAUAUUUCCCAACAAGUAGGUCGGUAUUCCCAUCCCAUCAUACUCUAGUGAAUUUCACAUACCACCCAUUUUCAUACCGCUGCCUGAAAUUGCAGCCGGUUUCUAACAAUUUAUGUAGAUCUCGGACAGCCAAUUAGGAUAUUCUCUCUCUUGUGUACUACUGUUCUGCUGUUAUCCUAUGUGAUCAUAUUUAAAACUAACAUUGCUAUCCUCAAAAAGUAGGUACUGGCACUAUAUGAGAUCCGGACGCAAUAAGAGACCAGUUAGUUGGAGUGAACCUUCCUGAAUGAAGAUGAGAGAACAAAUGAAGUGUGAUGAAUCAGAUAAUAAAUUUAUCAACCAAAGGAGUAAAAAGGUUAGACGAUCCAGUCUCAAUACCUAACUCUUAACUAUAUGCUCAGGUGUUGAUAAUUCUAGCUGGGAACUGUGCUAUGUGUUGACAUUUCAGUGGUUCUAGGGAAAGUUAGUUCAGUCAACUGCAUUAAUUCUAUAACACCUUCCUAUAAUACAGUGUACACUUUCUAUGUCCAGUACUCAGUUCCACAGUUUAGUUUGCAAAAUGUAUUUUUCGGUAUCUUUACAUGUACACCAUGUCGUGCCCAGAUGACAUCAUUUCGGUUACAAAGUAACAAAAAUGCAUUAGUGUUUACUCUUGAGUAGUAACAAAUCCAUUUAACAAAUGAAAUCCACCUUUCAAACAGCAAUAUGGAGGUGCAUGCCUAUAGUUGGUUUACUAAAUAUCAAUAUCACAAGUCAAUGGCCCAACAUAUACGACAAGGAUGAGAUCUAAAAGGUUAUAACGGAAUUUUAUGUAAUGCUGAAUUCAGCGUGGCUAACUACUGAUGCCUAGUAUUAGUAGCAUGUAACUUAAUAUUAGCAUCAUUCAUCCAUGCAGCCAUUCAGCAUAUACAUUCAGUUUACCUUUUUUCCUCCUUUCAACACUUAACAGUAAAAUAAAGCUUGACAUACUUCUUAUGGUCAUAAUGCAAUGUCGUAAAUAUAUUUUGUCUAUAACAUGACUUCAGGAACAACCGCCAAAACACAAAUUCUGCUAUAUGGGGGUUCUCAGUAAUGGAUAUAUUCACCCUUCAUCAGUGUUCUUGCAUUAUACAUGAAAGGCAGAACUGGAAAUAAGUUUAAGGAUACAUAAGGUACACAUUGCUAUCUAUAUUACAGCAUUUAUCCAGUUAUUGACAGGGCAAAAGUAGGUGAAAUGGUUCACAUGAAACACAAAUUGUAUGAUUCAAGACAUGAUAAAUUGCAUCUCCUAAAGUGAAAUGGUAUUUCAAAAGUCUCAAGGCCCUCAUAUCCACAUUAGAGCAGGGGAGUUCAUAUUCCUAAAUCUAGCUGAAAAGGGAAAAUUGUAGAAUGAGUGGUUAUUCAAAAAAAAAAGUAAAAUGAGUGUAAAAACAACACCAAAAGAAAACGAAGAAGAUAAGAACAUUCAUUUAGGAAUCCCAUUUUCUUAACUUUCCCUAGCUUAACUUGCCACAAAAAUGCAAACCCAUUUUCUUUACGCGUUCAGCACUAAGCAACUAUGUACAGGACAUAAUUUAUUUUAUAAUCCCAACAUUCAACAAAAUAUUUUUUGAGCAAAACAUUCAACAAAAUAUUAUUCACACUGUUCAGAAUUCAGAAUGUAGGAACAAAUGUAUGGGAGCAACAAGAAACUGAGUCAACUGACCAAAUCUAGAGUAAAAGAAUUCACUCGCAAACUUAGUUGGAUGUCAUAUCCACAUUAAAUGAAUCCAAAGGUGCAUCUAGAAAAUGGCAACUUAGCAAAUCUGUAGACAGUAGAUUAACAUGCAUCUGUACUUUCUGGUAUGCCAAACUGAAAUUCAUCUCUGGGAAGAAAGGAACAGACAACAUUAAUUGAUUAUGAAAACUGCAUAGUUCAAUCAUAGCAGAACAAUUACCUAGCUUCUUUGUCAAACCCAAACCGGGCACCAAAGUAGAAUGCUACAGACAGUAGCCAGGAAUCACUGUGAACUGCAACUAGCGCCAGCCAGUCCUUCUCGUUCAUGCCAUCCCUAGCAAAGUUGAUUCCUAAUGCUGGUUCAGGGAUCUCUGGGGGCACUUCCUCAGCUGGCAAGGUCACCUCCCACGUCUCAUUGGGAUACCCAUAAAGGCACAAGUUCUCCUUUUCUGUUCAAAACCAAUGGAAUUAGUAUCCAUAACAAGAUCCUGCAUAGCAUUAUCCUGCAGCAUUCAAAAUUUAGUAGUAGGUCCACACUAACUGUGCACUGCUGCUCACCAGGGUGCAAAGCUCAAGCAGAAAACGCUGCAGACCAAGCCUUAAUAUUUAAUAAUGAGAAGCAACCAAACCCCACAAUAAUUACAUGAAUAGGGCAAGCAGCGAAAGCAACCACGUAUUUCAGCCAGACGUACAGUGCUAUCAAUGCACUGAAUGAAAAAGAUAUGCUGAUUCAGUAUACCUAUCCAAUUAUGUCAUUGACUCCGCUAUACUGACUCUUCCCAACAACUACGGAAUAGUAUAAGAAACAACAGACGGCACACACUAGCAAGCAGUCAUGUAGAAAUCCAAGCACAGACAAUUAGUCGAUAAUCCCAUGGCACCAAUGAGCCUAAAAUCUCUAGCAACUUUCUGCAGCAUCCUUCUUAUGAGCUACCUAUAUAUGAUUGGUCGCAACACACAUAGUGCUAACAAACUAACAGAAAACGAAGGCCAACCACUAGUUCCACAGUUCCAACCAACCAAAAAGCAUUUUUCUCUCCACAAAACUGUCAUAUCGGUCCGUAAUCUGUCACCAAAAUCCAACAGCUACAAUCUAGCACAGCGUUAAUGAAAGCUACAAGACCAUCAAUAAUUCGAAAUCCCAGGAGUGUAGAGAGAGAGGACAGAUGAGAUAGAGAAAGGGGAAAUUUCUCCAAAUUUAGCUUCCAAUCUCCCCCCAAAGCAACCGCAUCCAAGCAGCAAACCCACGCAAAGCUCCUCGGCUACCGAUCCCCAUCCCGGACGAGCAACCCGAAGAGAUCGAGCGCACUCACCGGGGUCGCAGAGCUUGAAGAACUUGUCCACAUCUGCACAGCACACGAAAAGACACAGCAUCAAUCACACGAAUCCACGCAGCCGCGCGGGAAUCAGAAGCCCAAUCUAGGGUCGAGAGGAGGCGUACCGGUGGUGAGGGCCUUGAUCAUGCCGGCGCGGCGGGCGCGGUAGUCGCGGAAGACCUCCUCAGCGGUGCGCGCGGCGUUCGGCGCCGCCCCAGAGCCCCCUCCGUCCAUCGAGCGCGCGGCGCGGGGGCAAUGGCGGCCGCUAGGGUUCCGGCGCGGGGGAGCGCGGCCGCGGGUCGCCGCGAGACGAGCAAGGCCGGUGGUGGUGGCGGUGGUGGAGGGAACGGGGGGAUGGAGAGGAGGCAGACAGGAGUUGGAGGAAGGGGAGGAGUGGGUUUAUAUUUGUUUUGCGGGGAAUUUCGUGGGCGUUUCGGCGAGGAUUUGGGCCCGGUUUAUUUUGAUCCGUGUGUUGUGCUCGGCACGCGGGCAAAACCGCUGCCGUCUUCCUCGUCGCGGCGUGUCCGUUUACGGCCGGUAGAACCGGUCCACGGUGGACCAAGAGGGUUUCCUAUAGUUUUCUUGGUGGUCUCGGUUUCUUUUACGGUUACGUUUUAUAUAAAUUGAAAUUAUUAAAUUAUUAUACGAAGAAAGAUUAAUGCCAUUUUCUCCCUAAAAAGAAAGACUAAUGCCAUUCAUCUUGAAGAAACUAAGUCAAAAUCUUAGAGAAAAAGGGAGAUCAUCAACAGAUGAUGUUUAACGUUGACAGGCAUAGUUGGUGAUCUUCUAUUUGCAGACGGUGCUCCAACCAAACUGGAUUGUUCGCAACUGAUUCAUGUUGUUGAACAACUGACUUUACACACGCUAUAUGCUAGCAAUCUGCCAAUCUCCCUGAACUUUCGGAUAGCGACACUGCAAACCUGAAGAUACAGUGUCAUGAUCCGGACAAGAAGUACAGGGUCUAAACACAGAAAUUCAGUAUUUCACUGUUCGGCCUCCUCCAACCGUUAGAGUCGACCACUAACUCGUAGCAAUAAAAAGACAUAAAAGAUAACUUGUUCAAUAAUCUAACUCUUAGCACAUAGCUUAAAAUAUAAAUGGACCUACGUACCAACCAAUGUAAUCUUGGAAUAUGUGUAUGAGAUUAUCUCUUGUCAAGAGAUAACUCUUCUCCCUCAUUUCUUUUUCCCUCUUCCACUUAGAUAAAAUAUCAUAUUUUAUUUCUUUCUCCCUCUUCCACUUAGAUAAAAUAUUGUAUUUUAAUUCUACAGUUGGGCACCCUUCCAAGCGCAAGCGCAAGGACAUUAUUGAGGCUCGAGCGGCGAUCGAACCGGGAGAGAGAUAUUCUGAAUCCGCACGCCCCAAUCUGGGUGCAGAUUUCCAUUUGAACGGUGAUGGACUGGUAGUGGGAACGAGAGGCGCAAGAGAGCCCUGGCAAUGGCGGAUUAGCAGCUCGGGCUCAGGUGACCAGUCACCUCACCUGCUCAGCCGCCAUUGCGCUUCUCUUCAGGACCUCGCAUUCUCCACUCUUCAUGUCAGAGAUGCCAUUGCAUGUGUUGCAUUUGGUCAUAUAAAACGCUUGUUUAACUUCGCGGUUUCCUCGGAUCAUGUUCACUGACACUGUCGUGCUCUCCACUGUUUUGCUGGACCCAUUGCCGAGUUGGGACAGGGAGAGCACGAAAGACUUCCUACUUUCAAAGUUUCAUUUAUGGAAACAACGAGCAUGUUUGUAGACGAUUGACUCACUUUGUUGAAGUGAUACAAGCUCGCUCUGAAGAUGAUGAAGGAUGCGUAAAAGGAAAGACACCAGGGCUCACGCAACGAAGUUCAGAAAAGAGAAACACUUCAUUCUGAAGAAGCCUGUCGGUACAGAGUCUGAAUCUUCAAGAUUCCAAACUUGCAUUAACAAAAGAGGAUUCCUGACACCGAAGAAAAUAAACAACAAACAAUAGGUUUCUUAAAAAAACACAGUUAAACGAUCCGUCACACCACAAUUCACAUCUAGGAAUACCAUUAUUUCUUCCGUUCAAUACUGUCAUCGCACUGCUCCGGCUCUGUCUGAAGCUUCACAUCAUAGGCCUCUCCAGCAGAGCCGAGAUGUACCACUCGUCGGCGUUGGGCCCCUUGUCGAGCUUCUUGCCGGUGUUCCACCGGAGCUUCCGGAACCCGACCUUCUCGAUGAUGGGCACGUACACCUCGGCCAUUUCCUUCCCGGUGCAGAAGAAGUGGUCCAGCCAGAAUAUCCCGCCCGGCCGGAGCACGCGGUAGAUGUCGUACAGCUCCGCCUCCAUCACCUCGCCGGGAAUCCAGUUGCCGAGCGCGUGCAUCGAGUGCACGAUGUCGAGCGUGCCGUCGAAGAACGGGAGCCGGCCGGCGACGGCGCCGAGGUCGAGCGGGACGAGCCCGCGCGACGCCACGAAGGCGCCGAGUGGCGCGCCGAGGUCGAGGGUCGUGGUCACCACGGUCACGCCGCGCUCCGCCAUGCGCGCCGCGAACGUGCCCGUGCCGCCGCCGAUGUCGAGCCCGACCCGCACCGUGCCGCGCGGCUUGGACGCCAGCACGGCGUCGAUGUCGUAGUCGAGGUCCCCGCCGUUCCCGACCCACCGCCGCUGCUCCUCGCCGGCGAGGUCGAAGCUGGCCUCGCGGUGGUCGUGGUGGUUCCCCGGGCGUGCAAUUUAACUGAAUUAGCACUGCAACAUCAAGCCGUACGAGAGAAUGCAUUGAACCAUCCAUUGAUAUUAAUUAAACUAGCAUCACUGGCUAACUAUAUCGUUUAUACUGUAAUGUUUCGGUUAAAAAAGAUUUUCGAAGAAAAAAGAACUGAACAAACUAUCCGAUCAAAGUCGUUGUAUGCAGUGGUGCUAUCAGGGCUACCUCGACGCCAUCAAAACAUGUAGCUACAGUCGUGUUUCAAUUAAUCUUGUUGCAUGUCCUGCUGGUGCUCGUCGCCGUUGCUCAAAGCCAGAGACUUGGCGACCUCGUUGAGCUCCUUCAUUGCCUCUGCUUGGAGUCGCAUGCAUUCGUCUGUUACCUCGGCGCAUCUCUGGUCGAUGAGCACCCGACUGGGCGGAGGACAAUGAGGCGCCUCCACUUGCUUGUGUUUGGUGCUUGCCGGCAGCAGCUUCAGAUGCCGCAUGAUCACGCGGUCCAUCGCCUCCGUGCUCCGGACGAGCGCUUCCGAGUUCCGACUUCCGUCGUUCAUCCAUAUAUUUUUACGGAACUUCUCACACACUUUUAGAUACAUAUUUUGUACGUGUGACGCCUAAAGUUGCACAAGGACACUUUGUGGGUUUUAGGAUACACAAUGGAACAGUUGAAUGAGGUAAGGGGAAUAUGAGUCCCUUUGAAGUAGGGACAGAACAUAACAACUGGUCCUUACAUUUGAUCAGGCUCUGCUCGGAAAUGUUACCAAACUGAGAUAUGAGAUGUGACAUGCUAGGGAGUCAUGUGUCAUGGGGUAUUAUACCGCUAGUACUCUAGUUUACUACCCUAUAUGACGAUGUAUGCAUUGAUGUUGAUCUUAUCACAAGCGAAGGUGGCAGAUAUUCCUAUAUGCGAUCACGUUGAUUUCCAAUUAUUAUCGUGAUUAGUUUCAGUCACUCAUGUAGUCAUGUUACGUUUCUUAAUUGUCUGUUGGGAACCAUGUUUCACACAUGCUUGAUUGUGCCACGAUGGAAACUGUUCUGAAAGGUGGAUUUUAGAGAUGGGCUACAUUUAACCGAGCAAAGAUGGCACAUCCUCACGCCCAAAUCUAUUUGUAUUACUCUUGGUAGCACGCUCUUUUUUGAAUUAUCAAGCUUAAAUGUACACUAAAUUUUGCGUGGUAUUACAAAACCAACCAACCGCUACUCUCUUGUUCAUCACAAGCUGUAGGUAUACAUACAAAAAUCUAGAAGAAACUAUGAACAGUAUGUACUUAAAAAAAACGAGAACAUUUUGUACAAUGAGUUAUCCUAUAUUCAAACAUCAGAUUGGAAGAAGACAGUACCGAAUAAUCGCGACCUGAAAAUGUGCAUUAAAAAGUUCAAAGACGCUAUGAAAAUUGUUUGCAAAUAAAUAUCAGAUUCUCAAUCCGAAUCAUAAUCCAAUUCAAGCAUCAGACUGGAAAUCGACAAUGCUGGUGAGAGUAUCAGUUUAGCCGUACGUGUGCAGAAAGGACGUCGGAUUCGGACGCGCUUCCUGUCGGAGUCGGCAAUAGGUCAGGGUUUCGGCUGCUUAUAAGAACAGUCGUCGUCCGCUACCAAAAACAACACCACGGAUCGCAUCAGGCCUCACGGGCAGCUGCUUAUAAGAACAGUCGUCGUCCGCUACCAAAAACAACACCACGGAUCGCAUCAGGCCUCACGGGCAGCAGCUAGUAGCCAUGACGGCGGAGCCGGACGCCGACGCCGCCAGGCGGAAACUGGAAGCGCUAGUCCAGAUUAUGGACCCGGUGAUUGAGCGGCUGGACCGCGUGAUGCUGCGCCACCGCAAGGUCACGCCGGCGGGAACCAAGCGCAAGCAGCCGGAGCCGCGCUCUAGCCGCCCGCUCAGCUUUCUGCUGGAAAUUGAUAAGAGGCGCGCCGAGCUUAAAGUAGAGUUCAACCGGAUCUAUGAGGAGGCGAUGGCGGAGCUGGACAAGGUUGAGGCGUCGGAAGCCGAUGAUGCCGAGCUCCAGGGCAUGCAAGGUUCCGAUGGCAUGGAGGUGGAGACCUCUCAGGCUUCCACGUCCACGUCAAGCAACUUUGAUCCGUAGGCAGUGCUACCGGUCGGGGUCUUUUAGCGUCUUACUCCGAUCCUAUUUUUUCUUCUUUGCACAUUUUUUCCUGAGGGAUUAUAAUGGUGAUGAAUAAAUGCUGUUGAUUUGAAUCAAUGAAAUGAAAAAACGGAAAUACGGCAGAGUGCCAGAGUCGAUCUCGAAUACCAAGUCUAGUCAACUACUCAACUCUGCUUUCUUUAAGUUAUCUCAGUCUUUUUUCCCAUUAUUGAUCUGCAUCAACAUCAUUCUUUCACGUGCUGAAAGACACGUGGCUACAUGCGAGAAUAGUGAGUAACUACUCUUCUAUAUGAUGGUGGUCAUAUUUUUAAGAUGAUGUUAUAUUAGAGCUAUAUGGAUUGUCUGAAUUGAUUGAGAGAAGUAUGUUAAACCAUGUUGUUGAUUACAAACGCAAACUUUUGUUCAUGCCAAUAUCCAACAAACCAAUACACACUGUGGUAGAGUAAAACAAUGCAACUUUGAACUGAUUUUGUUGCGCCAUGUCUAAUAUUUCCCACUUUUACUGUUUCCUCCAAUUUUUUCCAUCAGGUAGUGUACUGUCUUUAAUAGGCCUGAAGUUUAGAGAGUUCACUUUGGAAAUUUGAACUUGCGCACUUAAAAAAAAAUUGAAGGCGUGCACAAGGAGAUUUUUGCUCGAUCAAAACAGGGUCUGAAGGUCCGAGGCAAACCCCUACACAACACGUACUGCUCACGAGUAUGUGCACCAACGCGCGCGCCGUCCACGCACGCGAAGAGUUUGGCUUUGGACUUGUACGUGUGUGUUGUAAGCUUCGUGUCAGAGGACGGAACAGCACAGAUCACACUACCACACAACGCAUAUGGCAUCAAAAGCGAAGAGUUUGGCUUCGGACUUGUACGCGUGUGUUGUAAAGCUUCGUGUCUUUAUGUUUGCGGUUGCGGUGUCAAAUUGCAGUCCAUCCUCUUCAUUUUCUACCCCGACGUUCUCAUAUUCAUGCCCACCACUCUCAAAUAGUGAUUCCUCCUCUACCUCCUCACCUACUACCCCAUCUUCCUCCAAUUCACAAUCUUCGGAACCCAUAGAGACAUUAUCAACAUCUAUAUUUGCUUCAUCCCUCUCAAAAAUGUUAUUGGGAAAAUCAUCAUUGGCAAUAGCCAAGUCAAAAUCACGUUCUGUUUCACCUAACACGUGAUGCAACAUUUCUGACUCCUGGGUACCAUUAUGGUUCACUACCGUCACUUCCUCCCUCAUGACAACAUUUGGGCCAGGCAUACGAACAAUUUCGACUAUAACCUCCAAACAUGCAACAUUAGCUUCGUGCACAACAUCCUUAUAGUGCUUCCAAUUCGCAUCGGAUGCUAACUUCAUGAGAACAUAAUGAGCUCUAGCUUUCCCACAAUCAAAACGACCUCUCAAACUUAUCUCAUCCACUCUACAUCCAUACUUCGUCAUUACACGGUCAACUAAAUCACUAAAACUUGAAGGACCAUCAAAUAUUUCAAUUGACUCAUUCAUAUUCUCUAACUCCCCAUUUUGUUUCACAACACCACCAUGAAAAAAUCGAACUAAACGAUCCAUCUACAAAAUACAAACAUUUCACCAUGUCAUAUACACUACACAUUGCACAUAUUCAACAUAUCAACUACACACAUUACAUAUAUUGGACAAAUUGCAAACAAAAAAUACACAUAUACAUUGCACUAUACGAUUCAAUGAAUAUAUCCUUAAAUCAAUAAGUUCUACACGUCAAUAUCACGGGCAGAGACUCAAUUGCGUAUGAACUACGUAUCAUCUAACACAAAACACCAUUGCAUUUCAUUGAAAUUUCAAAUCACUAACCUAACCCUAAGUCACCUAAACAUCCUCCGAUCUACCAAAUGCAACGGUAAAACACGAGAAUAAGUAGGGGAAUACAUUCCACACGAAGCAGGGAUCGAUUCCCACUACUUUCCCCCACCGAAAACGCCGGAUUUUGGGUGGAUUUGGGGGUGGGGCGGCGGGGGGCGGCGCAGGAGCUUCGGGCUCGGGGGUUUCUGGAGGAGGAAGAAAGGAGAGAGGGAGGAGGAAGGGAGCCGGCGCACGGCCUAAGUGUUGGCCCUGCCGCGCCAGGCGGGCUGGCGCGGCGAAAGCCCGGCCCACGUUAGCGCCCGCCUGGCGCCCGCCUGGCGCCGCGGGUCGCCGCGCCAGCGUGGCAGGGGGCUGCCGCGCCAGUGCAUGUGGCGCGGCAGCAUGUUCCUGCCGCGCCAGGCGGUCUGGCGCGGCCAAAAGGGUUAUGUCGCGCAAAUUAAACCCCACUGAGGUUAUUUUUAAAAAUAAAGAAAAAAAAGGGUUAAAAAUAAAAAAAAGUUCUACUAUUCCAUACUCCGACACGAAGCUUUACAACACACGCGUACAAGUCCGAAGCCAAACUCUUCGCUUUUGAUGCCAUAUGCGUUGUGUGGUAGUGUGAUCUGUGCUGUUCCGUCCUCUGACACGAAGCUUACAACACACACGUACAAGGUCCAAAGCCAAAACUCUUUCGCGUGCGUGGGACGGGCGCGCGCGUUGGGUGCAACAUACUUCGUGAGCAGUACGUGGUUGUGUAGGGGGUUUGCCUCGGACCUUCCAGACCCUGUUUUUGAUCGAGCAAAAAUCCUCCUUGUGCACGCCUUUCAAUUUUUUUUAAAGUGCGCAAGUUCAAAAUUUCCAAAGUUGAACUCUCUAAACUUCAGGCCUAUUAAAAGACAGUACACUACCCUGAUGGAAAAAAAUUGGGAGGAAACAGUAAAAGGGGGGAAAUAUUAAGACAUGGGCGGAGCAAAAUCAGUUCAAAGUUGCAUUGUNNNNNNNNNNNNNNNNNNNNNNNNNNNNNNNNNNNNNNNNNNNNNNNNNNNNNNNNNNNNNNNNNNNNNNNNNNNNNNNNNNNNNNNNNNNNNNNNNNNNAGCGUGCUACCAAGAGUAAUACAAAUAGAUUUGGGCGUGAGGAUGUGCCAUCUUUGCUCGGUUAAAUGUAGCCCAUCUCUAAAAUCCACCUUUCAGAACAGUUUCCAUCGUGGCACAAUCAAGCAUGUGUGAAACAUGGUUCCCAACAGACAAUUAAGAAACGUAACAUGACUACAUGAGUGACUGAAACUAAUCACGAUAAUAAUUGGAAAUCAACGUGAUCGCAUAUAGGAAUAUCUGCCACCUUCGCUUGUGAUAAGAUCAACAUCAAUGCAUACAUCGUCAUAUAGGGUAGUAAACUAGAGUACUAGCGGUAUAAUACCCCAUGACACAUGACUCCCUAGCAUGUCACAUCUCAUAUCUCAGUUUGGUAACAUUUCCGAGCAGAGCCUGAUCAAAUGUAAGGACCAGUUGUUAUGUUCUGUCCCUACUUCAAAGGGACUCAUAUUCCCCUUACCUCAUUCAACUGUUCCAUUGUGUAUCCUAAAACCCACAAAGUGUCCUUGUGCAACUUUAGGCGUCACACGUACAAAAUAUGUAUCUAAAAGUGUGUGAGAAGUUCCGUAAAAAUAUAUGGAUGAACGACGGAAGUCGGAACUCGGAAGCGCUCGUCCGGAGCACGGAGGCGAUGGACCGCGUGAUCAUGCGGCAUCUGAAGCUGCUGCCGGCAAGCACCAAACACAAGCAAGUGGAGGCGCCUCAUUGUCCUCCGCCCAGUCGGGUGCUCAUCGACCAGAGAUGCGCCGAGGUAACAGACGAAUGCAUGCGACUCCAAGCAGAGGCAAUGAAGGAGCUCAACGAGGUCGCCAAGUCUCUGGCUUUGAGCAACGGCGACGAGCACCAGCAGGACAUGCAACAAGAUUAAUUGAAACACGACUGUAGCUACAUGUUUUGAUGGCGUCGAGGUAGCCCUGAUAGCACCACUGCAUACAACGACUUUGAUCGGAUAGUUUGUUCAGUUCUUUUUUCUUCGAAAAUCUUUUUUAACCGAAACAUUACAGUAUAAACGAUAUAGUUAGCCAGUGAUGCUAGUUUAAUUAAUAUCAAUGGAUGGUUCAAUGCAUUCUCUCGUACGGCUUGAUGUUGCAGUGCUAAUUCAGUUAAAUUGCACAGUCGAGUAGUUUUCUAAACAUUUGGUUGCAGAUAGGGAGAUUCCGUUUUCUCCGCACCGUGUGAAUCCUAUAUAUGUAAUAUUAAAAUACCGUUGUUUCUUACCACCGUAACAUAUUUUUCAUAAUCAACCAGUAGUUAUGGAGGAAAACAUCAGCACGAACAUGGCGAUAUUACUGUGGACCAUAGUCUCCAUGUCCAAAUUGGAUGCACGUGCNNNNNNNNNNNNNNNNNNNNNNNNNNNNNNNNNNNNNNNNNNNNNNNNNNNNNNNNNNNNNNNNNNNNNNNNNNNNNNNNNNNNNNNNNNNNNNNNNNNNNNNNNNNNNNNNNNNNNNNNNNNNNNNNNNNNNNNNNNNNNNNNNNNNNNNNNNNNNNNNNNNNNNNNNNNNNNNNNNNNNNNNNNNNNNNNNNNNNNNNNNNNNNNNNNNNNNNNNNNNNNNNNNNNNNNNNNNNNNNNNNNNNNNNNNNNNNNNNNNNNNNNNNNNNNNNNNNNNNNNNNNNNNNNNNNNNNNNNNNNNNNNNNNNNNNNNNNNNNNNNNNNNNNNNNNNNNGAUGUUGAUGCAGAUCAAUAAUGGGAAAAAAGACUGAGAUAACUUAAAGAAAGCAGAGUUGAGUAGUUGACUAGACUUGGUAUUCGAGAUCGACUCUGGCACUCUGCCGUAUUUCCGUUUUUUCAUUUCAUUGAUUCAAAUCAACAGCAUUUAUUCAUCACCAUUAUAAUCCCUCAGGAAAAAAUGUGCAAAGAAGAAAAAAUAGGAUCGGAGUAAGACGCUAAAAGACCCCGACCGGUAGCACUGCCUACGGAUCAAAGUUGCUUGACGUGGACGUGGAAGCCUGAGAGGUCUCCACCUCCAUGCCAUCGGAACCUUGCAUGCCCUGGAGCUCGGCAUCAUCGGCUUCCGACGCCUCAACCUUGUCCAGCUCCGCCAUCGCCUCCUCAUAGAUCCGGUUGAACUCUACUUUAAGCUCGGCGCGCCUCUUAUCAAUUUCCAGCAGAAAGCUGAGCGGGCGGCUAGAGCGCGGCUCCGGCUGCUUGCGCUUGGUUCCCGCCGGCGUGACCUUGCGGUGGCGCAGCAUCACGCGGUCCAGCCGCUCAAUCACCGGGUCCAUAAUCUGGACUAGCGCUUCCAGUUUCCGCCUGGCGGCGUCGGCGUCCGGCUCCGCCGUCAUGGCUACUAGCUGCUGCCCGUGAGGCCUGAUGCGAUCCGUGGUGUUGUUUUUGGUAGCGGACGACGACUGUUCUUAUAAGCAGCUGCCCGUGAGGCCUGAUGCGAUCCGUGGUGUUGUUUUUGGUAGCGGACGACGACUGUUCUUAUAAGCAGCCGAAACCCUGACCUAUUGCCGACUCCGACAGGAAGCGCGUCUGAAUCCGACGUCCUUUCUGCACACGUACGGCUAAACUGAUACUCUCACCAGCAUUGUCGAUUUCCAGUCUGAUGCUUGAAUUGGAUUAUGAUUCGGAUUGAGAAUCUGAUAUUUAUUUGCAAACAAUUUUCAUAGCGUCUUUGNNNNNNNNNNNNNNNNNNNNNNNNNNNNNNNNNNNNNNNNNNNNNNNNNNNNNNNNNNNNNNNNNNNNNNNNNNNNNNNNNNNNNNNNNNNNNNNNNNNNGGGUACCGGAUUCCGGCGAAAGUCCGGUGAGAAGCCAAGCCACGGCAGACCGGGCGGCGCGUAUGGCGCUGACACAGAAACGGCACCGACCUUUUCCUGUCCCCUGUUAAGCGCGUUUGAUGCAGUAGUGGGCUGGGCCGCAUGGUGUUGCAAAGCUUGUGUCCGCCAGCAGGCCGAGCAAGCAGCUGGACAGAGGACAUGCUUGCGUGGGCUGCCUCGGCCGCCAGGCCAUGCAAGCAUGAUGCGUUUGAGUGGGCAAACCACGAGCGCCGCCAGACAUCGAGCAGCACGGCACGGCGGCGCGACACGAGCGCACAGCAUGGUCGUUGGCAAGCUAGGCUCGGUAUUGUGGGCACGCUCAGCAUGAACAUGUGCCGCGGUAGAGUUCUCCGUCGGUCACGAUCCCGACCUUGCUGCACACUGAAAAUCAGUCACCCCAAGGUGAGAAGUGAGCGUCCUUGAGUGCUGCUGCCCCGGCUAUUUCUCAUCUAGAAGCUCUCUCUCUUCCUUGCUGCAAAUCACAGUCACCCAGAUCUUGCUACGCUAGCUGUUUCUCUUCCUUGUUGCAGUGAAUAGGAUUUAGGUGUUCUGUUACAAAUCUUCGUCUCAAUGACUCAAUCCCUAUUUAUUUCUAAUCUAAACCAUCUCAAAUGCAGAGAAUAAAGGGAAAACAUUUAGAUAAGAGAAUCUGAGAAGAAAGAAACAUUAACAUAAAGUACAAAAUAUGGGACACCUUAAUUUGCUACAAUUACGAGCAAAUUUGGGAGCAAUUAACGUGGUUUAUAGAUCAAGUUAUCAAUUGAGCUUCGGGCCAUAUUUGAUGAGCAAGAAAAGUGUUCUCCACCGUUGCAACGCAUGGGUAUAUUUGCUAGUUAUGACUUGUGAGGCAUAUAAAUGUGCUGUCCAGGAGAGGCAUUGCACAAUCCCUGGUUGAUGACGUCGAUAGGAGGCGGUGCGCUGCUGCUUGCGCCGGCUGGGGGCGUUGAUUGUGCAUCCAACGGAUGCAUUCGGCCGGGUGCACGGGAGCGCCCCAAGCAUUGGGUGCAUCCGAAUUGUUCUGGCGUCAAAAUCUGGGAACCCCUUCCACAAAUCAUGUGGGCAUCCGCCUCCUUUCCAGCACGGCCCAGCAACCGAUACGGGCCUUUGGGCCCUUCCUCACAAACAUUGUUCGUUGGUCUUUCCCUCUCCUGACCCGGAGAUCCUAUAUGGCUUCCGAAUGCCGUUUAUUACGUGGCUUCAGAUGUUGGAGAUUCGUGCAAGCUUUCUUAUCCAUUGGAUGCACCUAAUCUCUCCUCAGCCUUGCCUCUCUUCGUCUCUCGCACGCUCGAGUCACCGCCAAAUGGAUGACACACGUCAGCAGUCAAAUGGAGGAGGCGGAGGAUAAUCCCAUCUAGGUUUCAAAGUUCAAAUGCAUUUUUCUCUUAGACCGUUGAUCUGUUUUGAAAUUCGUUUGAACCACUGUUAUUUGGAAUUAAUACACUAAAAUAAGAUUCAAUGUGGGUAUAUUUUUAAUUUUUUAUAUGUAUUUUUUAAAUCAACAUUUGGAAUGUGUUGUUUAAACAUUUGGAACAACUUCUUCAACAUUUUGAACAUACUGCUUCAACAUUUAUAUACAAAAUGUUGAUCUAGUCUAUCCGAAUUGUUGAACUAAAUUUGAGAAAAUGUUGAACCUAGCAUCUGAAAAUGUUGACUGCAUUAGUUUAAGUAUAUCUAUCCAAUUUUUAUGCUUAAAAUGUCAAAAUAGUAUAAUCAGAAUACUAGAUUUUUUUUCAGAAUGAGUUGAACUAGACCCUUCAUGUUAAAAAUCACAUCACCGUACAUCUUAGCAUAUAAUUGGGUAAUAGCUAGGGCAAUUAGAAGAAUGGAUAAAGAAAAAAAACUAAACAAAAGCCUGUAUGUUGUGAUGACUCUACCACUGCAUGUGUUAGGAACAAGACCCUGCGCGCUCGUACACAGGAAAAAAUAUCGGUGGGCUGUUAAUGGAGAGUAAUGCGCGCUCGUACACAGGAAAAAAUAUCGGUGGGCUGUUAAUGGAGAGUAAUGCAAUUAGUAUUUGGGUUUAAUGGGCUUUAUAGUUACGAAGAUUAAUGAUCUUUCGGAAGCUAAAUAGGAAAGAGACAAUUCCCUAUUUGACACCAGAAAAGUUACUUGUGUGCUUUCUUGUCCUUAAAAUUUUUUCAUUCGCUAUUUGACACCGGGUAUAACUUUAGUUCUUAUAUGAUACUCUGUUAGAUUUUCCAUCCGAUCGCCGUUAAAUAUCCCGUGAAAAGACGAUUUUGCCCCUCGAUGAUCGCCGUUAAAUGCCCCGUGGAAGAACGGGGUUCACAUGUAGCUUCUUCUACGCUUCAAGUGCGCUAGCGGUGCAGCCUUCCGCGCUGCACAGUCGCGCCCGUCCUCCAACCCACAUGCCCGCGACGAGCUCGGCGUUACCCUACAUUCUCCAUCCGCAUGCCUGCGGACGAGCUUGGUGGUGCCCUGCGUUCUCCCUCUUGCGGCCGGAUGCGGCUACUCGGGGCUACAUAGCACGGGAGGCGCCUGUUGGUGAUUCACCAUUGGGGCCUCCCGCAGCAGCGCACAGGUGCAGCCUGCCGGGCCCGUUGCCACAUACGCAGAGAUAAAUCAGUCCAUGCGACCGAGGCAGAGAAAAAUAAAGGACUGAUGCUUCAAUCUUCUAGAGAAGGAAACCGGAGGUAGAAAGGUGGAUGCUUGAGCUGCCAGUUUGCUAUGUGCUCUCGAGAAGAAGAUUCGGAGAGAGAGAUACAUGCCUGCUUUGAUUUGGAGAGGAUUAAGCACUGAUUGCUUCUUGCGUGUAGGGUAGGAGGGAGAGGAGAGGUGCUGCUGCUUUCUUGCUGAAGCAAAGAGGUGCAAGAAGUUUUCUCGGUGAAGAGAGAAAGGAGAUGAGCCGCUACCGUGCGCUAUGCUUGGCCAUGGGAGAGAGGUGGCGCAACAGCCACCAAAAUUGGAGAAUUAGAAAUCUGACGAUUGCUCUUCGGGGGAAAUUAAGAUGGAUUGGAGAGGAGGAAGGAGAUCUGCUGCUCCCGAUCAUUCCCUGCUCGUCCCACCAUCAGACCUCCACGCCCGAGCAGAAGCAGCCUGAGCGGAUGAGACCCAAUCCCCAUCGGCGCUGAGAACCCCACGAACGGGACCCCUCAUGAUGCCUUCUCCCUGUUACCGCAUCUUGCCGUAGCAACCGACUGCCAAAGCAUCGGCGAGGCGAGCUACCGCGGUCGCAGUCCACUGAUUGGCGAUGUUCAAUCCGCAGUCGCAGCUCGGGCGCCUUCGUGCAGGUCGCGCUCUCGAGAUGGUCCCUGCCGAUGGAGACUCCAGAGCAACUGUGCCUCGUGCGGUGCCCAUCAGCUGUAGCGGUGAGUGGCGGCACCAGCUCGACGGCAAGAAGCAGCGGCGGCUGGAAGCGGACGGAGGAGGUGGUGCCGCGUAUCGGUGCAGACUGCAGAUUGAAAGAGAAGAUAGCCCCUGCCACGACGCAGCUGAAUCGAGCUCCUUCCGAUGCAGAAUUGAGUUCGUUGCUUCUGGAAUAGAACUUUGAGGCUCUUGCUCCACUCCCCCCCCCCCCCCCCCCCCCCCCCCCCGCCCAGUCCGCAGCCGACUCGCCCACGCGUGGGGAGGGGUGGUAGCAGUGGGAGAGGAGGUGAGGAGAGGAAGGAGACUCGCCCACGCGUGGGGAGGGGUGGUAGCAGUGGGAGAGGAGGUGAGGAGAGGAAGGAGGUGUUUGGAUACGAGAUGCUAAACUUUAGGAGUGUCACAUCGGAUGUUCGGAUGCUAAUUAGAAGUACUAAACAUGAGCUAAUUAUAAAACUAAUUGCAGAACCCUUAUACUAAUUCGCGAGACGAAUCUAUUGAGCCUAAUUAAUCCAUGAUUAGUACAUAUUUACUGUAGCAGCACAUUGUCAAAUCAUGGACUAAUUAGGCUUAAUAGAUUCGUCUCGCGAAUUAGACUCUAUCUGUGCAAUGGGUUUUGUAAAUAGUCUAUGUUUAAUACUCCUAAUUAGUACCCAAACAUCCGAUGUGACGGGUAGUAAACUUUAGGAGGUGUAUCCAAACAUCCCCGAAUAAAAAGGGUGGCUGUGGUGGGGCUCCCAUUUUUCUAGAGGGUAAAAUAGUCUUUUCACAUGGCAUUUAACAGUGAUUGGAUGGAAAAUCUAACAGAGUGUCAUGCAAGGAACCAAAGUUAUACCCGGUGUCAAAUAGGGAACGGAAAAAUUUUGAGGUAUUAAAGUUAUACCUAGUGUCAAAUAGGGAAUGAUAAAAUUUUGAGGACCAAGAAGUAACGAGUAACUGGAAUCUAGCGUCGAAUAAGGAAUAUUCAGUAGGAACCCCCGGCCUCACUCAGUUGACGCAGCACACAGCGCUCCCCCGCAGUGGACGCCGGAGCUCGUUGCCCGUUGGCAAACCCGGCACCAAGCCCUUCCAGCGCCCGCGUCAUCCAUAUGCUCCUGCUGCAGUUGGCGUUUGUGCCAUCGCCCCUGCGUCUUGCAUGGCCAAACUCAACACGGAGGAGAGAAGCAACUUGAGCCGGCCGACGACGACCUCCACCCCACGAUGAACGAAGAUGCGCGUCCGCGUUGAGAUUUGAGACCAACCAUGGAAAAAAAAAAAGCUCACAACCCCAUGCCCAAGUCAAACUGGACAGUGAAAGUCAUCUUGUUCAUUACUUCAAAAAAAAAAGUCAUCUCGUUCAGGAGGCACGCAUCCUCGGCCCGGCCCGGCCCAGCUCAUGCGGCGACUCUUCUCGCCAGAGCUAGCGCACACGACAGACCCCCAACCCGGGGUCAACAGGUCCACCGGUCAACACGCGAGCGCCAGCGCCACCGUGGAAAAGUGAAGAGCCCAGGUCAGGUCAGCAGUCAACAAAUCUAGAAAACCACGGGAUCCUCUCCUCGACAGCAGCUGGAGCCGGUCUGGUCUGAGUCUGACUGACUGGCCUCACAACACCUCUGAAUAGUAUUAUGCUACCGCCUAAACUUUACCAUACAACUGGUCAUGGCGAUGCAUGAAGGAGAGCAAGCUGGGGUGAUUAAACGCGGCGGCGAGCUAUCUCACCGCUGGAAUUCAAUGCUCUCUUCCUCCUCCCGGACAGCUCAAUAUUGGUAGUACCUGCAGAAUGUACUCUGAAUCUGAUAUCUCCCUCUUCCCAUUUUUCUUGACAGAAAGUCCACUGAUCUGAAUGCACAGCAUUAGAGAAGCUGCUGGAUGCGUGCGUAUGCAUUCGAUCAGAAUCAGUAUUUCAGCCUGAUAACGAAUUACAAAUCUUGGGCAUGUGAAAGCUACAUACAAGCCUAUACCAGCAGCUGCUGCACUGAAACCAUGCUGAAAUGAGUUGCUGUAUUUGCAGCAAACAACUGUCUGUCAGCUUAACUCUCCAUCAAGAGUAGGCGAUAUUCAUAGAAUCGAAGUGAUGACAGGAUUCCAAAAGAAGUACUAGUAGCUUGAAGUUAGUUAAUUGCAUGUCCCACGGAUCUCGUUUUACCUUACUCACGACGACCAGUCGUUUACAUCCAAUCCCAUCUGAAUUCCUUACUGUUCUCAGUUUUUAGGAAUGGGAUCGUCCCAGUUUUGUGUUUUUACAUCAGGCUUCUCCGCUCCUGGUGCCGUCUGAAGAACUGUUCGUCACUGAUUAGUGAUUACGAUUCUUCUUAUCUGUGUGGACAGGACGCAUCGGCCGCCGCAGUUUGAAUGCGCGCGCGUUAUUAUCACUGAGAAAAAUUUCGCAGAUCAGAACCUUCUGGCGCCGAGAGAAGACUACCGACUGGAUUUAAUGUUGACAAGGACUGAUUAUUGUACGAUAACUUCUGGGUGAUUCAGUUCACCUGUCGAUGGAAGAGUAGCUAGCCAUCUGCAGCGCGUGGCUCUCGUGUGCGUACGUGUUUGUUUUCAAAAAUAAAAUAAAAAACAAAAUUUCUAAUAAAUAUACACUAGAACAAUAUAGGUUUCUUUAGAAGAUAGAAUUUACAAAUACUUUGUUUCUACACGAGCGCGUGGAUGAUGUCUUGAUUUUUUUUAAAAAAAAACAAGUAACAGACACAUCAUCCUAUGAACAGUGAAAGAAAGGCUUCCGGGCACGGGCUGCAUGGGCGCAGCAUCGUUUUGGAGCCGAGCGCUGCCGGUGUAUCAUGCCAUUAUGGAUUGACCUGUCAGGCACCUCCAUCCAGGCCCUCCAAGAAAUAAUGGACUCUGCCGUGUACGUUCGUGAAUACGUACAAACAUACGGUUGCACAUACCCGAGACGCGCCAAUGCACCCGUACACGUACGUGGUCCACGGAUCCAUGUACGCAUACGCAGCAUGCAUGCGUCCAUGGCCACGUCGUCCUAGUCUGCAGCUAAGGACGUACGGAGUAGCUGCGUAGGUAGACUGGUAGAGAAGAUCGUAUGAUGGUGUCCAGCUCGAAACAAGCUCGAUCGCAUGACUGUACAAAAGACAGGCCAUUGUUGGAUCGUUCCAUGUGGUCCUCACUUGGAUCAGAUCGAUCCGCUCGAAAAUAGCAAUGAUUAGUGAACAAUUUGUCGUGCGUACGUGCAGCAUUUUGAAGCUAAAGUGCUCUUGGAUUUUUGCCGUUUCGCUACAGCGCAGCAGAGAUAUGGUGAUCAGAGAAUUACUGACGAGAGAGCAAUCAGAUGCUUUCUUUUUUUAAAACAAACCAGGAGAGUUAUAUUAAAAAGAAAAAUAAAUCCAGACGGGGCAAACAACAAAGAAACAACACCGGCUGGUUAGAUUGUGGCAUCAAACUGCGCCGUACCACGCCAACAUAAAUCCAGACGGGGCAAACAACAAAGAAACAACACCGGCUGGUUGGAUUGUGGCAUCAAACUGCGCCGUACCACGCCAACGCACAACUCAAACUCAACUCAAACACACAACAUCUGCCGGUUGGAUUGGGACAUCAAUCGGGUCUCUCUCAACUCUGCUCGAUCGGAUUGGGACAUCGACACGAGCCUCAAUGAAGACUCCUCCCGGAUUGGGACAUCGACUCGAGCCUCCACGAACUCUGCCCGGUCGGAUUGGGACGUCGAUACAGGCCACCACACAACUAACGCCACAGAUAGGAUCAUUUAUUUUAUAAGGAAAAAGAAAGAAAGUACCCUCUCGGGAGCAACCAUCACUGAAGCAAGCCACCUUGCCAUGAGUGCCUGACAUCGCCUUCAAGAAGGUCGAGAUGUCGAAGAUAUCAUUGAUGCUAGCCCAAACUGGGUUGGGUUUUCACCCGCCUCAUCCGACAGGGAAGGCCGGCAUCAAGCCGUUGUCCCCGAACAGGAGCCAAGGCCCGCGCAAGAGAUGCCCGACGUCGCUUUCAGGAAGGACAUGACGCCAAUGGCGCCAUUGACGCCGUCCCAAGGUGGGAUGGGUUUUCACCCGCAUCGUCACCACGGUGUAAAGAGACGGCUGGUGCCACCAGCCCCACCACCAUGGCGCUGCUGGUGAGCCUUCGGACGGUCGCAGCCAAUGACACCACCAUGGUGAUGUUGGAAUGCGCCCGAGCACACCAUUGUGGGGCACACCACCAUGACACCACCGACACACCGCUAUACAACACCUUGGAGCCUGUCCACCGCAGGGGAAGGAAGCGAUGCCACUGCAGGUGCCGCGACCGCCAGUCCCCGCGCGCCAGCUGCACGUGGCUGGGCACAGCCGCUGCUGCCUGGAAGGCAGCCACCACAUGCCUGCCGCGGGCACCGCCGCAUUCGAGCCACGCCCGCACCGGCCGCCGACACCGUCAUAGCCGAGCCAUGCCGCUCGAGCCGCAGUCGCCAGCGCUGCUAUGGCCUAGCCAAAGCUCUGUCGACGUGGAAGGAGGAGUCGUUGCUAGCGCCGAGGCAGGGACAAGCGUGACGGGGGGUCCCUCGGGAAUCUCACCGCGGCGGUGUGUGGCUGUGGACUGGCAAACAGGUGCGGCGCGGGGCUGGCUGGACGCACACGCCACUGUAGCUGGGCCCGCCCCCGCCACCGCAAUCCCCGACACGCCGAGGCCUCGGGGAAGCAGAUCCGGCAGCCGAGGGUGAAUAUCCGGCCGCGGCCGGCCGACGACCGCCACCUCCGCCAUGGUCACCACAAAGGAAAGCGCGAGGGGGGAGGAAAGGAGAGGAGGAGGAUGGUGGAGCCCCGUCGUCGCCUUCCUUAUGGCCGCUUGGGCGACGGCGAGGAGGAGAGGCGGCACCGGCUCUCGGGUUCCGCCCGAGCCGCCUCAAGGAGGGAGCGACAAGGGGGCUGUAUAGUAGUUUCUUAUCAGAUGCUUUCUCCAAUCGUCAGAUUUGUCCGUCCAGCUUUGUUUCCAUCUCUCACGAGGAGCUAGAUCGUACCAAUAAUACAGUUGAUCGACCCAUGCUGUGCAUGCUACAACAUGCCUGCCCUAAGUGUGUGUGGCGCGGUCGUACAGUCGUCGACACUGGAGAGCUAACAGAGAGAUGGAAUCUGGUGAUGAUACGAUGCUGUUCCUUAGUUAAUUAUUAGUUCGGGGCUUCUUUAAUUGCUAUUCAGACCUGCAGUACGUACGACGUGCAUGGUUUUGUCAUCACGCGAAUGUCUUUUGCCGCCAUGCUAGCUUAAUUCGUAGGAGCAGUAGGUCUCUUCUUGGAUUCUUCCUGGGUUGAUCGAUGAGAAACAAAGCUGGUUUUUCAGUGUUAGUCGUCGUGGAGGUUAAAUGGAACUGUUGCUUUUGCCCCUUAUCGCAGAUCAAUAUUUGUAUGCAAAAAGGUCGUCAAAAUCUUCAUUAACAAGGGAGAAAACACAACCUACAAGAAAAAAAACUACCGAUUUUUUUUUUCUAUUAGUAAUAUUAACAAGGGAGAACACGCGUACACGCUGCAUUCACGUGCGCAUUAACAUAGGAGUAUUAAUAUCGUCAACUAAUUAUAAAUUCAGGGCCUAAUAGAAGGGCCUUUGUCUAAUCUCAUGGUUUUCUAUCUAGCUAUAGCAUGCACCAUCUUUUUCAUGUGGAUGCUUCUUAAUUUUUUCCACCAGUGGAAACAAAUCAUGUGUCAUUUUCAGUUGGAAAAAAACGUCUCUGAAGAACAUGCAAAAGUGCCGUCAUGUUUUUCCACUAGUAAAUUCCUAGAAGUAGGAGUAGGACAAGUACUCAGAGGUGCAUGCACUUUCCUCUUCGUAGUUACUACGUUGGCAUAGCAUUUUUUUUAAUACUGUUAAAAAUGAUCGGUUAAAAGCACGUCAAGUGGCUGCUGCUUAUUUCAAGUUUAGGGAGCCACAACCAGCAAUUCUCUGUAUACAAUUGCAAAGUGAUCUACUACGGUGACACGAAUGUCGUACGUGUUGUGGCUAGUGGUGGAGAUACAGAGAUGGAUCUAGCGUCUGGGGCAAAGCUAAAAGAGAGAUAGAUCUCAAGUUGGAGUGGUGUGACAUGCACAUCGUCUCUACCUCACCCUUCACCCAACUUGUUGUUUGCACUCGUAGUGUACGACCAACCCAUCGCUCAUUUGCAAUCAAUGUAAAAAGGUCCUGUUGAAACACAUUGUUGUGUGUGUGGUCUCAACCAACCCUGCCAAGAUCCAUCCACGAAAACGAUAGAGAUAUAGAGAAGCUAUUCGACAAUAAAAGGCUUCGCGAAUGGGGACUACUCGUUCUGAUCGAUGAGAGGUAGCUGGUCGGCAUGUAUCGUGGUCACGGGCUUCACUUGAGCCCUCCAUCCAUGGACACACACCGCAUCGCACCAGCAACUGGUUUAUCCUUUUUGAAAUGCGCAGGGAACUAGUAUCUGGUCUAGUAAGUGCCAAGCUCUAGUUACAUCAGCUGGUACAUGUAACUUGGUAGCUCUAGCAUAUAGAUUGUUCAUUUAUCAGUCACCCAGUGUUUUCAGAAUAUUUUUUCCAAUAAAAACAAAAGAAGUUUUCAGAAAAUGACAGUAGCUAGGAAGAGUAUGCAGCCAUGCAUUGAACCCUACAUGUCUCCCUUUCUGAUAUCAAAUCAAACGGCGGGUCUUGUAUGUCUGUCACGAGGCACAAACUUGUUGUGAAGCGUUUUCGGUAGGCACACGACUAGAUGGGACGUGUCAGACUGUCAGCAGGAUAAAAACUGCCUAACCAUCUCAUCCCUGCCUAAAGCUGCAUGCCUUUGGUAGGGACCGGCUUGUUGCAGCAGCCACACUAGUAGUAGCAAGGCUUUGUAUGUAGCAAUGGCAUAUGAUGCCAUUCACCAAUAUGCAUGUGCACAUGCUGCCUUGUCGAGUUCAUGCAACUUGUUAAUCUUCCGUUUCUACUUUCAACCUUUAUAGUCGACAGUCCCUGACCCUGAAUUUCUGACCAAACCUUCUCUUCAGAAGUUCAAAUUAAGUGAAUAUAUUUGUCCAUCUUUACCAUAUGUCUGAAUAAAAGGCAGGAGUUUGUAUCAAUGAAAAAAAAGCAGCAACGAAUAAAAGUAGAGCCUUCUUGAUCUAAUCAUUUAUCCAUGCUGUACCAUUUCCUCGUCUCAAGGCACCCAUCCUCCAUAUAUGAAUCGACGGAAACAUCUGGUCUCGUCUCACCACUUCACAUCCCCCAGAUCACCAUCAUAUCCAUGCUAUGAUCGGCCCAUGAUUCUCUCAGGGUCCAUGCCCAAGUUAAUGCCCACGAGCAGCUCCUAUCAGCAGAUGAAGAAACACUAUGAAGAGAGACAGCUGCUGGUUCGCUCUCCUGCCCAUGCUUUUCCGAUCUGCUUUAUUUGCCUCUGUAGCUCUCCUUUUGCACGAAAGUGGCGGUCGAAAGGAAUGUCUCAGAAGCGUCGCACUGCCACGCCUUCGGGAUUCCACAUUUCCACAGAGAGACGCACCCAGCACUGUGGAUCCAUGCACACCAAGAAAUCUGUCGUCUGUUCACGCAUCGAAAGUUAGCAGCAACCACACCGCUGCUAGCGGAAAGAUGUGUGUGUGUGUCCCAUGAAAGAAGAACAGAUGGCUGCAUACGCAUGGCCUUUUCUUUUCUCCUUUUCUUCUGCCGGUUUCCAUUAUUGUACAUAAACAUGGAAAAAAGGCUUUGCUAAUGCUAGUGUUUGUUGUGUAGACAAGACGAGAUGCGUGCCAACAAGGAUUACUAUAGCUCGAUUGUAUAGCCAAUGAAAACAAUGGAAAUCUAGCGCCAUCGCCGCCGAGCGCAUCGGCCAUGGACGGAUUGAUGCCGGCGGCAACCGCCCAUAGCUGUCGUCUUCCUGAGCCGUCCCUUUCCCCCUAUUUAACUCGCUCCGCCGUCGCUGUCCCCUCCUCCACCGCUCCGGCCGGCGGGCCCCCUCUUCCUCCGCCUCCGCGGUUCAUAAUUUCCACCUCCUCCGCUGCUCAUGUCUGUGUGGCGUGGCGUCAGGCCUCGCUCAGCGCCUUGCGUGUGCCAGCCCGGCGGGCGCGCCAAGACCCUAGAGGGUGCGUAGGCUAGACGAGUGGUUAGAGAGACCGGCCGGCCGGCCGAGCAGCAAUCACCCGGCCGAUCAGCCGGUUAAUCGCCUGGGUUUUGGUCGAUAUAUAUUGGCCCGGACACUAACCCUCUUAUCCUUUCCUCUCGUCCGUCCCGUCCCCCCCACUUGCACCCGCGAGCAGCGACGCCUGCUUUUUUCCGGAGGAAGCCGCCACUGAGCUCGCUCGUGCUAGCUACCUACGCACAUAUCUAGCAGCUACUACUACACCUAGCCAGCUACAGCCGCCUGCCCUAGCUAGCUAGCAAGGGAGCGGCCGGGCUGCAUAGAUAUGCGAGGGAGGCAGGCGAGGACGAGGAAGGAGAAGCGGCAGUAGACGAGCGGCCAUGAGCGGCAGGCACGAGAACGGGCAUGGCGCCGCUGCUACCGCGGCGGCUGCAGCGGCGGCGGUGGGAGGAGGAGGAAGGGCGGGGGAGGGCGGCGGCGGUGACGCGCACGAGGACGACCUGGUCAUGCCGGGGUUCCGGUUCCACCCCACGGAGGAGGAGCUCAUCGAGUUCUACCUCCGCCGCAAGGUGGAGGGCAAGCGCUUCAACCUCGAGCUCAUCACCUUCCUCGACCUCUACCGCUACGACCCCUGGGAGCUCCCUGGUCUGUCUCUCUCUGAUGCUAUCUUCUACCAAUAACACUUGCAAACAACAAUCACUUGCUCUCGCUCUCGAUCUUCUCCCUCCAAUUAAUCUAGCUCUCCUCCGAAUUAACCAAUAUUUCUUCAAGAAAAGAAAAUUAAGGGGGUGGAAUUGCGCUGAUGCAUGCAGCCAUGGCCUCGAUUGGGGAGAAGGAGUGGUUCUUCUACGUGCCGAGGGACCGCAAGUACCGGAACGGGGACCGGCCGAACCGGGUGACGGCGUCGGGGUACUGGAAGGCCACGGGCGCCGACCGGAUGAUCAGGGCCGAGAACAACCGCCCCAUCGGGCUCAAGAAGACGCUCGUCUUCUACUCCGGCAAGGCGCCCAAGGGCGUCCGCAGCAGCUGGAUCAUGAACGAGUACCGCCUCCCGCCCGACCACACCGACCGCUACCAAAAGGUACGCAGCACAUCUAGUCCCGGGCGCCAUGGCCUUCAACUUCAAUUUGCCCAUGCGACGAGCUAAUUUGCAAGCAAAUCCACAAGGCCGGGACUAGGGUUUGGGGAGGUUUUCUUGGAGUUGGAUUUUGAGAGGGGUUUCAAUUUUGGUCUACCCAAUUAUGCUUUCAGCUCGGCUUUUGCAUUCUCUUCUGAUUUUCGAGUUACAUAUUAGGGUUUGUUCAUCUUCUCUCGUUUGCAUCUUUGCCUCUUUUGGUGUUCCUCCCAUGAAUAAUGAUGUUCAUACUUGGGCACAUACCUAAAACCGCACCCUAUUCGAUUACUCCCCAAGAUGCUAUCAUGCAUGAGUUUAUUUCUGAACCUAGACUCCUAGAUUCCACAAUUCUAGAUGUAAUCAGGACGAAAUUUUGGGGGAAAGCAUCAUCACGUAGCAUCUCUUUUCUGGCUUUCCAAUUCUAGCCCAGCUUGCUUGUUCUACUUCCUCCAACUAGUUCCCCAUGCUCGCACUUGUCUAGCACACAACAUUAGCAUCUCGAGAUCUUCAUGCCUGAGAGUAAUGACGAAGUAAUUUGCAGACCGAGAUCUCCCUCUGCCGCGUGUACAAGCGCACCGGCAUCGACGACGGCCAUGGCCAUCCCUCGGCGCGCUCGACGCCCUCCCGCCGCGCCACGGCCCAGCAAGACAUCAAGCAGGCGUCAUCGUCGUCCACGCCCACGCCGCCCACGAGCCCGCCCAAGAUGAUGCAGCUUCUCCACGGCGAGUGCACGUCGGCGCCGACCAUCAGGGACCACGCCGCGGCACACAACGACAACAAGCCGCCGCCGCCGGCGGCGGCGCAGCGGCAGCUACCCACAAAGCCGUGCAACGGCGGCUAUCUGCUGUCGACGGCGAGCUCCGCCGCGGGGGCCAGCGAUCAUCUGCAAGUGGGAGCCGCGGCAACGCCGCCAUCGUCGUACGACCAGUCCCGGAACGCCAACGCGUUCGCCUCCACGUACUCGCUUCUCAGCCUGGUGAACGCGGCCUCCAUGGGCGGCGGCUCCGCGGCCGCCGCCAUCGACGAGCUCAGCUCGCUGGUCGGGCACGGCCCGCCGGCGUACUUCAACCACCAGGCCGGCGGCAGCUUCCUCCCCCUGCCAACGCCGUCGUCGUCGCAGCCAAUGGCGCUCGGGACGCUGCCGAUGUCGCUGGCCGCCAUCUCCGACAAGAUCUGGGACUGGAACACGAUCCCCGACGCUGCGGCUAGAGAUUACAGCAGUGCCGGUUUCAAGUGAGCGGCGGCGCGCACGGGUGCAUGGCGGCGGCGCACAUUCCGACGGCCCAAAUGGUACAGCCAUGUAGAUCUUACUGUAUUUUCUCCCUCUCCCGGUUAAUUUGUUCACGGUAAAAUCUGAGGAAACAAUCUCUGUAGACAAGUGUCAAGUAUACCCUUUUAAUCAGACUAUAGCUCAUACCAACUUGCUUGUACUAGUAGUAUGAUCAAGAGUUCAGGAUAGGUAAGCUGCUGUAAUUCCUACUGAAUUGCAUAUAAUAACCUCCUUCAAUUUGAUCAAUAACGACAUGACAGUCAAUUUCUACUUCCCAAGAUUCAGGACAGUUUUUUUUUUACUCUUGUCAAGUACUGCACCAACCAUCAAGAUUCAGGACAUGGCAAUGCGCAUGCAGGAUAGUUGGGAAUGUUUGUGCAGUCAAAAGCGCCUGUUUUUUAACUGUCUGACUUUGGGCACUGACUCCACUGCACAUGAAAUAAUGCCGGACGGUUGCAUGAUUGGGGGAGACGACCGUGGCAGAGAUUGCCUCCUCGGAAUGAUUGGGAGAGGACCUGCAGGGGGGUGUCGGGUGUGCGUGGAUCCCACAUCUCUUUCUCUCAUCUCUCUCUAGUCUGUAGUAGAUGCAGGACUGUGUCAGAGAGAUGCGAGGAUCGAUCGCCGAUGGGGUUUGGGCCUUUGGGGGCCGAACAAUCGUGUGAUUGGCAGCGUUUGUCUUUUCGCUCUGCGCGCUGUCAGAGGGUCGUCGUCUCAGGCUCCGGGGCCGGCGACUGGCCACCGGAUUACAACUGUGGAAAAUGAUGAUUAUUCCUCUUUGGCUGCUCUCGUGCUGGCUGUAAACUUGUGGGUGUCAUGGGCUGACGAUCAAUGGUCGGAUCGAGCUUGGCCGUUUGGACAAUCUGCUAGUCUGAUCAGGAAGGAGGUUUUUUUUCUGAUUGGACAUUGUACAGUCUAUGUCUUUUGGUAGGGCUGAGAUAGUUUACCUGUUUUGGUACCUUUUGAUUUUGUUCUUGUCAUGCCAGCUGUGAUGUAGUACAUUCUGAUACCUAGUAGUCUCAUAGUCAUAGAGAAAAGAGAAUCCACAGCCAUAAGUUUCAGAUCAACCCAGUCAAGGAACAAAUGAAGGGAAAAGCUUGCAGGGGAUUCUCCUGCGCAUUCUAUUAUUUUUCCGAUUCCUUUAAUAACCUGCAAAAGUUUUGUGACUAACUUCCACAAAGGUAAGGAUUGUUUUUGUCGUCAGAGUUACCGACUUCAUUUUUAUGAGAUGUAUCGCAGCAGACCACACAUUUAACAUGUCAAAGUUUCUCAAAACUAUACAUAUAUUUGAUAUUGAUGCACCAAGUUAUCGCAGAACUAGAGAUUCCAGAAGAAUGAAACAUGUGGUUUUGUGAUACAUUGCAGACGACGUAUAAAUGCGGUUUUGUGAUGGAUACUAUGGCACACUAAAUCUGUAAUUUCGUGAUGUACAAUCUUUAAUUUUGUCUUUAUUAUACUAGCCUACUAGGACAUGUUAAAUCUCUAGUUUUGCGAUGCAACUUCUGGAAUUUGAUUUCGUUAUAGCAUACCCAAACAGUUUGUAGUCUUACGAAAUUUACUCUCAAGUUUGUCUCUCAAAUCAUCAAAGGAGAGACGAAGUGAAAACAGAAAAUUGUUUUGCUCGUACGUAUGUGACAUGUAUGACUAAUGUACUGAUCUGACCAGUGCGGAUAGGAUAAUGACAUUAUGGAUCACUUUUGCUCGACCAAUUAUCUAGUUUUAUGAUUUUCUAUGUGAAGUUUUACAAUCAUGGGAUCAGAUAUGAUCCCUGAAACAGCAGAUAACCACAAGCAUACAAGACACAAACUACUUAAACUAGUAGUGUGAACUGCAAUCCAUUUGUGUGAUCUUGUACUUGUACAACUGUGUGAUCUUUGGCCGUAAACAUUCUCUUUUAAUUGCAUGUGGAGGCCGGAUAAUUAUCCUUUUUUUAAGGGCAGCAGGAUAAUUAUCCUUAAUCUAAAAAAAACAACUGUGUGAUCUUGUUUCCAGACGAGUGCGCAGCUGUGUGAUCUCAACUGAUCCAAAUUAUUGGGCUAUUCAAGGGGGGCAAAAGAAAGUAGUUGAAAUGUAUUGUUAUCUCAUAACAAAACUUGGCUGAAAUAUACACAUGUAAACAUCAAAGCAAAGUUCUUUUUUUUUCCCCGAGAAAACAGAAGCAAAGGCUAUGCAUAUAUCCUGUCAAGCUACAGAGAUGCCAUGCAUGUGGAUUGGUUCUGAAAGGUGGAAUCGACAAAUUAAGGAAGCACUCGAUGUCGUGCGACGUUGGUGGAUGACAUCAUUCAGUGAUUAUAGCGUGCACAAAUGUGCCGGGGAGUACGUUGAUCUUUCACAGAAAACAUCAAAUCGAUCGCCAGGGCCCUCGAGAGCAUGCGGACACCUGAAAGACGAACACGGAGAAGCGAAAAGCGAGGUGACCAUGCUUUUACACACACACACACACACACACACUAGGACACACACACACACACACACACACACACACUUAUGGUGCAAUAAUGUCCAAUGUUAAUUAUACUAGGACUAGUAGGAAAAUUUAAACAGCUUUGUUUGGAAAAGUUGUAUACUCCCAGUCUCCUACAUGGAUGAUCGCAACAACAACAAGUGACAUAUCCGUACGUGCUUUACACACACGCGCGCGCGUGCUUAGGCAGCUUGCUAAACAAAGAUCCAUUCUGCCGAGGGCGAGCUGAGUUGGCUCCCAUGGAUCCAUCCGUCUCCUUGGGCAUGCAGUGCAGGCGCCAUGAUGAGGCGAGCACCACAACCUCCGCGCAACCGAGACGGAUGGAUCAUGGAUCGAUCCCUGUAUCCGGCCGGCCUGGAUCGCCGCUUUUGGCCCACGCUGGCCAUGAUCCUACGCCCACGCGUGCGUCCGGAGCGAGGAGGAGAGGCAGGCCAACAGGGUAUCGGAUCGGAUUCAGCGGCUCUGAUGAUUGAUUAUAGCUAGGCGCGCGCGGGGGUUUAGGUUUAGGAUGCGGGAAAGCGAGCUUUUCCGGGGUAAUAAAGGUCGCGCCUUUGCGCACGCGCGCGGUUACUGUCCCGUGCGGCCGGGUUGUGCAUGCGACGGCGCAUGAUUAGCUCGUUGAACCUUGGAACUGCAUGUCAGCGCUACUACUAGUAGUAGCAGCAGCAGCUCAUCGGUCGAUCGGCCGGUGCCAUCAUACACCUUUUCUUUUCUUUUUCUUUCUGGUGAGAUAUGUAUGUGCGGCUAGCUGCUGCUUGCAUUGUACGAGCUGAUGGGUAGAGUAGGAGUGGUAGCACUUUUUGUUUGGGUAGUCUGGGACCAUGCAUCAUCUGGUACCGAUGGCUCCUUCUGGGGAUCCAGGGACACUGCCGAGCUGCCUGAUCGGAGGAAAGUUAGCGUCGGGCGCAGGGGCGCACGCGCGUUAUUUGGUAUGGUAAGUUACAGGAGAGGAACGUCCAGAUCGACGCGACACCGCCGACAGGGCAGGAACACGCUUCCACAGCUAGCCCUCGUGUCGUGCAAAAAAGCCACUUGCCGUUGUUGGGGGAGGAAAUCGCCUUGCGUUUUGUACAUGCUUUCGCUCCGCUUGCGUUGGGGUAGGCCUAUGGCAUCACUGAGAGCAAAUGCUACUACUACUUUUCAGGCGAACAACAAAUGCUAAAUAAUGGACCCUCACUUCACUGGACUUAUUGGAAAUGCUUAGGGCAGCUCUCCAUCGGAACAGUAGGGCCGUUAUGUGCUGCUAUUUUAGCCCCUGUAGUAGGUUGGGCUCAUUCAGUCGGCCUGAAUUGCCGAAUCCUCACAACCAAGGCCCACAUCACAGGACUUCCCUCAGCAGCUUCAACUUAGAUAAUUCUUACCCACGACAUCAGUAAAAAGGACAUAACUAUAUAAUCUGAAUCUACCACUGACCAGCGCACAACUGAUCACUUCUUGUUUCCCCAUGAUAUCCUUUUUUUUUAUCCAGGACAAACAUAACAAUCAUAUGUGAACGUGUGACCAAUACUUGGUUUCCUUUCAUGCCUAGGGUAAUCGACAAACCAAGCAAAUUAGCAAAAUAUGACGCAGCCAGCUGUUGCCAAUUUAUUCAUUCCCCUAAACGACUGAAGAACUAGUACAAAGACCAGAGAAGCAUCAAAUCAGGCUGAGUAACCUCACCAAGUGUAUACCUGCUGACUGAGCCUGCGCAGGGCGCCUUCGUCGUUCAUACGAAUGGCCUCCGGUGACAUCACAUACGCUGAACGCUGCUGCUCAAAGAGGGGAAAGGCAGAGGUUGUACACCUUCCCUAUGUGUGACAAUGUUCCUAGAUAGAUCUCCAUCCACUUUUAAUGCAAUCUAGCACAAUCAGAGCUCCGAAAAGAUGGCAAACACUAUGAAUGAGGCCUCAUCGAACUCUGAAAUGCUGAAUAACAAAAAUGGGUCAAGAGGUUGUUCAGAGUUCGAACUAGAGACGGCUCAAAGAACAGAAACUUGCGCGUGUGGCCAACUGGCCAUACCUCCCAAUGCUUCCAUUGAACCACAUGGAAAAGAAAUAUAACUUUUCUAGUUUCCAUUUCUAACAACAUACCAAAAGUUUCAUGUUCCAUUUGUCUCCUAAUCUUUUGGAAGUAAUCGUCUUUCUCCCUUCCUGAUUGUAAUAAAGAUAAAGUAGCCAUGUCAGUUGUUGGUAAUACCACAAAGCAAAGGAGGGAGGUAGAAGAAUGACCAUAACCUUUGUUGUCCCAACAUGGAAAACUUAUCUGCGCAAGGGCUGUCUAACUUCUUUGGUAAGAAAUAGAAAGGAAGCUAGCAAGCAGAGCUCUCAUAACUUCCCAACAUGGCUAAUGUCCACACACCAUGCACUUCCAUUUCUUCUGAGAAAGACACUUCACUGGAACUACAAGUAACAGAAAUCAGGAAUACUGAAUCAGCUAGCAAGAUCAUCUAUCUUACCUGCCUAACUCAAAUGCAGGCUUAAGUCCUUAACAAAAAAGGGCAGGCCUAAACGCAGCCAGCUUCACAGCUGACAUGCUUCUUCAGACAAGCUACGAGGGUCAUAACUCAUAAGUCAUCAGUCUUCAGACAAGCAAUCCAACCAUUUGAGACAGAGUGGUCAUUAGUCAUCUCUGAUGAGAUGUCUGCAAGCUCUGAUGACUAUAGAGUAGUGUGUUCAUCACUGAUGGGGUGUCAUCUUCUUCAGUGAAGCACAUGUUCUUGGUGGUGGCCUCUUCUUCAUCCUGCAGCAUUUUCAAUCACCUUGUGACCUCGCCGUUCUCUUUGCCGCUGGCAUCCUCCAGAAUCCAUAUUACACGCCGCUAACCUCAUCCCACAAGCGGACGUCGGAGGCGGCAUCAGCGCAGGGGUCCCGCUUUACCAGGUCUCGCUUCACCAUGGAGCGGGCUCCCGAACUGCCGUUCCUUCCAUACCACCAGAUCUCGUUCUCCUCAAAUCCCACCGGCGUCGGGGACGUCCAUGGCCGCCGUCGCAGCCGCCGCCGCUCCCAGAAUUGGAGCGCAAAGACGGAAGCCGAGCCGCCAUGGCCGCGCUCCCAGAAUCGAUAGCGAUCCAAUAUUUAUCAGAAAGCCCCCCCAAAUGUUUACAUAAAGCCCCUAGAUUGGAGCUGCUACACAGCCGCUGACGGAGCGUUACCCGAUCGACGGCGACGGAGCUGCUGCACGAGCGUCCCCGGCCUCGGGCGGUGUCGAAUGGCCGGUGAAUGCACGGGCGGCGGCGGAGGAAGGGGCACGCGCGCGAGAGAGAGCGGGAGGGCUAAUAUGUCAAAAGAUGGGGUAAAAUGCAAAAUAUCGGAUCGCUAUUAGUAGUCGCGAUCGAAAAUAGGGAGUAAAAUGAAAAACUACUGGAUCGCUAUUAUCCAAACUAGGGGGUACAGUGUAAAAUAUUAGGGGUCAAAGUGCAAAAUUAAUGGUGUAAAGUGGAUGCAAUAAGAGCAGGGUAACUUUCCAAUCUUCCCUCCUGCCCUGAGUCCUCGAUGCGGCGGCGCGGGCGCGGCAGAGCUCCGGCGCACCCCGCCGCGAGCCCCACGACAAACAUGGAAGAGGAUAUGAUCCUGAAACGGAGGGUGGCGUGUAUGCGAUCCAUCACCCCAAAUCUGAAGCGUCUCCCUCGACAGGCGGUCGCCUGGAGCCCGUGCCGCCGGGCUGUGGUCGGCGGGGGUUCGGUCUCCGUUCGGACUCCGGAGAGCGAUUGUUCGCGGCCAGCUGUUUGCCGCACGAUCACGCUGCGAGCCAGCGAUGCCUAAUGGCCGAGGGAAACGCUGCUUCGAUCUCAUUUUGACAUGCCAAAUCCGGGCUGCAAGAUUCAGGACCCUGAACUUUUGUGUGGCAACUUGACACCUUGCCUCCUGCUCAAUCUGUCUGGGUCUCUGGGAGAUGUCAUCAUGGCCUCCUGAACCUCCUGGAUCCAUUCGUGGCCCAUCAGUCUCGGCGACACGAAUAAUCUUAGAUUGGCACUAAUGUAUCUACGUUGCCUUUUGCCAGGACUAUUUGCAGCUGCUCUGACCUGCUGCAUAUCCAUCAUUGAUCAUUCCAUCGACUAAUCACGCGAAUUUCUUCGCUGUUUCCGUCCUGCACUGCUCGUACUGUUCAUCCAGGGCCAGCUUUUCUCUUCUCUCGGCGAGGUUCACCAGCCAGCCAGCCCUUCACUUUCACCGACGCCACGUCCUGUCCCCUGUCAGCGAGCAGCCAUGGAAAACAGCAACGGGGACACGCCGUGACGCCAUAACAACAGCAGCCGUGGCCAUCUCGCGGCAUCAAUGGGUGGGAACGGGACCCGUGCUACUGGCGUCGAGCAGUUGGGCCUCCAUUCCGUUCCGUUCCGUUCCACGCGUCGCUGACACGUACGCGCGCCGCCGCGCUGCCGGCGCCGGUGGCCGUGCCAGCGGACGGACGCCGCCGUGAGCGAUGGAUUCCGCGCGCCAGCCCGGCCUAAUUAGUGCAAUAGUAAAGUGAUGCGCGUUAUUUCGAACCAACGUACGCUGCGCUAACUGCAAACGACAAGACAACGCGCCGCGCCGCGCUCCGAGCAGAGCGAAGCCAAACCAAACCAAACCAAACCUCACUGCCGGUUGCCAGGUUUCCAGGCGAACCACUCCACUACACCCCGGCGCUCGCCGCGCUGUGUACCUGCAGGGAAGGAGACGCUGAACCAGUGAACCCAGGGUACGGCGCCGGAGGGAGGCGGUAGAGAGAGGGGCGGGAAUGGAGGGUGGCGGCGGGGACUCGGAGUCGACGGCGCUGGAGUACACGCCGACGUGGAUCGUGGCGGCUGUCUGCUCCCUCAUCGUCGUCAUCUCCCUCGCCGCCGAGAGGUGCCUGCAUCACCUCGGCAAGGUAACCGACUGGUGUUUCCUUGCGUUUCGCAAAUCUCAACAUCUAAAACGCGUUGCUUGUCUCCCUCCUGAAUUAACGCUGCACCUUGGUGUCCACUGUGAGAGCAGACGUUUAAGGGGAAGAAUCAGAAGGCGCUCUUCGAGGCUCUCCUCAAGGUCAAAGAAGGUAUUGAUCUGUUCUUUUCUGCCAUUUAACUUACAUUUUCAGUUUCAGGUGAAGCUGAGGUUUAUGUGCUUCUGUCAGAAUUCAGAAAGCAGGGAGAUUUGUUCAUCUUCAGUGCAAAACUUGAUUUCUCUGCUCAUUUCUAAACUCGCAUCAAGCUGUAACAACCGUGAUGCUUUAAGCAGCUUCCCCUCAAUGUAUCUGAUGCGACUUUGCAGAGCUCAUGCUUCUGGGGUUCAUCUCCCUGCUGCUGACUGUGUCCCAAGGGAUGAUCCAGAGGAUCUGCAUUCCUCCAGUGUGGACCAUCUACAUGCUCCCAUGCCAUAGCGCAAGGGAACAGGCCGAGCUGAGCCCCUCGGAGGCGCAUGGCCUUGCUGCCGGAAUUUUAGGCCUCACCCGUCGGCGCCUGCUUGCCGAGGGAGUGCCAAGGGCCCAGCAUUGCCAAAAGAAGGUGCGUGGAUGAGUUAGAACAACACUUCUUGCUUCAUGCUAUUUCAAUCCAAAGCUUGCUAUAGCAGACUAUGCUUCCAAUCAUUGACGUACCAUCCUGAAGUUUGCUAGUAUCUGUAUUCAUAUGACUCGUGCUUCAUGUAGCAUGCUGCUGGUCGCGAAGUUGCUUCAUUUCCCAGUGGCCGUUUUAGCGUGUAGAGUGUAGAAAAAGACGAGGACACAUCAGUGUUUUUCCCCAGGCGCAGUUGUAUUGGCUAUUAUCCAAUGAAAAAUUGAAAAUUAUAGGGAGCCUGAAAUAGCCUCAAAAUACAGAAAAUUAGUUUAGGGGUAUUUCUGACAGAUUCUCCAUUAGAAAAACAGCAAAUUUUGUCAUGUGCUAUCUACUGAUAUUGGUUUUCUUGUAUUCCAUUCUGGGAUUUGUCAACAGGGAGAAGUUCCUUUGCUGUCCGUUGAAGCACUACAUCAGUUGCAUAUCUUCAUUUUCAUUCUGGCUAUUGCGCAUGUGAUUUUCUGUGUUUUGACUAUGCUUUUAGGAAGCGCAAGGGUAAAGUACCAAUGGAAUUUCAUUUGAUCCAUGUGUAUAUUAACCUUGGUUUCAAGUAAUUUUAACUCCAUCUUUUUGCUCAGAUUCGUCAAUGGAAACAUUGGGAGGAUGAAUUUCAGAAGGAUGCUAUAGAAAAUGGUAGUAGUACCUUGUUUGCAGCUCCUGAUUUGGUCGAAUAAUAUGCUUGGUGGCUGGUAGCAAGUAGCAACUGUCCUUUUGUAAACAAGUUAAUACUAACGUUAAUGAAAAAAAUUAAGGCUGCCUUUUGGGUACAAUUCUAUGGAACUGCAGGGCAAAGGAACGUGACCUAUGUGCAUCAAUGUGAAUUUAUCAGGGAACAUUUCAAGGGUAUUGGAAGAGAUUUGGCGAUAUUGAGCUGGCUGGUAAGAAAUGGAUCUCAUGUUGCUUUCCGUCAAAAUAAUGUAUCUUCUGUAUGAACUAUUAAGCUUACACUAUCCCUUUUCAUACAAUCUGGUAAACUUAACACAGACUAGGCUGCCUGGGUUUUCUGACAGACUUGUGCAACCUACGAUGAUGUUUCUUCUGGUCCCUCUUACACAGUUCCACUCCACUUAUCUGUGAACUAUAUUGGAUAACUUCUUAACAAAAUGUUUUUAUAGCAACAUUCCCAAACCAAAAUACAUUUAAUGCUUAAUACUACAUACAAGUACCUUUUUAUUACUGUAUCAUUAAUGCAUAUUUACAUGGUAACUAAUUAUCAAGUAUCAAUUUGACCAACUCAUUAAGCUUUUACUUUCAGCAUUCUUUUGUUAAGCAGUUUUACGGGUCAGUUACUAAAUCAGACUACACUACAAUGCGACUUGGCUUCAUCAUGGUAAGGAUAACACGACAAUAAGCAAAAAUUUUGUUCCUUCUCGAUUAUAACAGGUGACAAUUAUUUGUUUGCAGACACAUUGCCGGGCAAACCCAAAAUUUGAUUUCCACAGAUACAUGUUACGAGCUUUGGAGGCUGACUUUAAGAAGGUGGUUGGCAUUAGGUACUCCAGUCAGCGAAUUCAUACAUUUUCAGUUCAUGUACUAGCAGUUGUUGAGCACAGUAUAUGAUUAUGAACCUAACUACCUUGCCUUUUCUUUUAUCACUUAGCUGGUACUUGUGGAUAUUCGUUGUGGUAUUCAUGUUGCUGAAUGUCAAUGGUGAGUUCAAUCUCACCGAAAGAGUCUAAGUCUUCAGUUCUUUACAGGACUGCUUUUCCACUGCUUGUGUACUGUAGUCUUGCUAGUAUUCAAUGUAAACUAGUAUUGUUGAGUGUCUCACUAUUAACGAUCACAUAUCACUUGCAAAUCUACAGGAUGGCAUACAUACUUUUGGAUCUCUUUCAUUCCCCUUCUUGUAAGUGGCUCUUUGUAACUAAUGAGUUUCUCGGAAAGCUGCAAACUUAAUUUGGUGAAAUUUCAGAUCAAGCUUGAAUUUUGCCCUUGAUUCGAGACUCUGAACUUACUGGGCACUUCCUUAUUUGCUUCGUGCAGCUUCUGCUGGCCGUUGGCACCAAGCUAGAGCACGUCAUAACUCAGUUGGCAAUUGAGGUUGCCGAGAAGCACUCCGCAAUCGAGGGCGACUUGGUCGUCAACCCGUCAGAUGAACACUUCUGGUUUGGACGGCCAAAAAUUGUCUUGUACCUGAUCCACUUCAUCCUCUUCCAGAACGCGUUUGAGAUCGCCUUCUUCUUCUGGAUUCUUGUAAGCGCAACCAAACUCCGCAAAGUACAGAACAACUAAGAUUGAAGGGUUACUGCAACUUAUUUUCCCUUCCCUCUUUGCAAGACUACCUACGGUUUCAACUCCUGCAUCAUGGAUCACGUCCCCUUCAUCGUGCCGAGGCUCGUCGUCGGGUAACUAACUACUCAUCCGAUUUUGAACAAUCCAAGGGGCAAGGGCCAUCCAUAUGUUUCAGAGUCAUGAUGUUAACCUUGCAGGGCCACCAUCCAACUCGUCUGCAGCUACAGCACCCUGCCUCUGUACGCCAUUGUCACCCAGGUGUGCGCCACUAUACUCGCCAUCAUGCCAUGAGUGAUUGGCUACCAUUUGGCUGCUCAAAAACCAACCGAAACGUGGUUUUGACUAUUUCUUUUGUUUGCGAAGAUGGGGACCUUCUUCAAGAAGGAGAUCUUCGACGAGCACGUGCAGCAGAGCCUCGUGGGCUGGGCGCAGAAGGCCAAGAAGAGGAAAGCGCUCAAGAACAAUGGCGGCAGCGGCAGCGGCGCGGCCGGGUCGGCAUCGGCACGUCCGCCGGCGAGGCUCGAGCUGAUGAGACGGGCUGCCGCUCUUGAAGAAGGCAGCACCGGCGGCCAUGGCAGCCAAGUCUAGUGCCAUCCAGCGUCCAGAAACUCGCCAUGCUACAACAGCAGGCGCGUGGGAGACCGUCCGAGGAUGCAAGUGUCCAUGUCCUCGUACGCGCGCCUUACGCGAGCCAUCAGUGGUUGUUAGAUAAGUAGUGUUUGAUCAGCCAGAACGGGUGUUGUGAUAUGAAUGUGAUGUUUGUAUGCUUUGGAUUGACUCGAGCCAAAUGUUGUGGAGUGGGGUGCUUUCUGUGUAGCGUUGUGCUGAACUGCUGAUGGAGGCGACGAGCUAUUCAGGUAUCAGAGGGCGCGGAGCACCCAACGCUGCAUUGCCUUGCCGGUUCACUGGCAUAUGGGGUUGCCUCGCCGUCGCCGGCGAAGGAACAAAAGCAGAAACCAUGAUCCUGAGAGCCUGUACGCCUGCCGCAACCGCAGCGAGAGCGUCUCCCAUCACGAGGGCGUCGUGUACCCGCAGCAAGACAUUCACAGCGGGGGUCUGGCGGUCUGCAAUGCUUCUGAAAAAACUAAAAGCCCGGAAAAAGGAACAGACGCUGCUGGGUUCUUUUCCUCAGGAAAAAGGAAAUACCAACACAGCGACGAGGGGCCGCACUGAUUAGGCAGCUGCCAAACAUGUAUUCUCAUUCUCAGAUAUUAAACAGAAGCAUCACUCAACUGAUCUCAUCAGAACCGCAUACAAAAAGGCACGAUAGAAAACAAUAUUGCCAGAGUUGAUUCUAUAACAGGGGGGCCCUCAGUUCUACAACCCAUACAAAUCCGUAUGCUUGAUCUAAUCUUUUAGCAUUGCAGUAUGAAGCGCCGCAGGUGUUCAACUUCAACCAUCACCACUUGCACGCCUGCCUCUGAAUUUUGGAGUUCAUGGUGCCCUUCCCCUUGUCCUUGUAGGCGUUCCUGGAGGACACGGGCCUUCUCCGCCCAUGGGCAGCUGCGAUUGCCUUUUUCCUUUGCUUGUUUAAUUUUUUUGUGAGCUCCGCAUCUUCCUCGUCAUCAUCGUCACUGUCCGAUGACUCAUCAUCAUUAUCGUCAUCUUCCUGGGGAAGCACCUUGCCCUCUGAUUCAAGCGGUUCCUUAGCGUCCCCAUUGCUAUCUGAGGGAGGACUUUCCAAUCUGCUCUCACCGCUACAACUUGUUCCAUGCUGCGCAGUGAAGAAAUGUGAGAAAAAGGCCGUCAAAAGUUUGUUUAUUCAUUCAGAUGGAUAGAUGACUAACCUCUUCAGAAAAAGUUCCAGGUCCACCUGAAUUCCUUGAUGUAAGAUUACAAUCAAGCUCAUCGGAACGGUCCUGAGAAACACCACCAAAAUACAAUUGAAUAACAGUGACUUCUAAACUAGACUGACUACGGGCACAGUUUACGCAUAUUCAAAUAGCUUGUUAUAGGCGUACCUGAUCUAUUUUCAAGGAAUAAAUAGGCACAGCAUCACCAAUCUCAUCAUCAUCAUCUGAGCUGGAAUCCUGUCCUUCAGCAUCUUCUUCAAUGUACUGUAAGCAAGUUAGCAAAAAAGAAGUAUAAGAAAACUAAGUUGGAAUACAAUCUAUAAACGUAUGCAUGGAUAAAAAAAUUCCAGAAACAUCUGACCUACCUUCUCCAUAUCCACUUGCGCCUUCCUGGUAAAUCCACUAGCAGCUAGUUCCUUGUCCAAGGAACCAGCAGCCUUGUUCACAGACAAAAAGGAUGGCCUACUAGUCCCUUCACCAUCACUUUCAGAUCCAACUUCUUCUUCAUUUUUCUCUGACUUAAGAUUGAACCUAACAGGAAGAAAAGAAAUCACAAGAAAAAUAUUAAACACCAAAUUAGGAUGAUUUAAAUCUUUCUUGCAUUUAUUACAAACCUCUUGUUAAAGAACUUGUAGAUACACUCAAUGUCUCGGUCAAAGAACCUGCAAAUGCAAAACGCAUUUAAAAAAAAUACAAGACACUAUAACAUCAGUUAUCUGAGUAAGCAACAUACAUUUGGGCAUUACGAUGAGAAACAGAUACCAUCUGUGGAAAGUCAAUAACCGUAAUUUUUUCAUCAUCAUCAAUCUGCAUGACAUUGGCAUUGAUGAAAGUAUUAUACACUGACAUAUAAAAAAUGUAACGUAUUUAGUAUUAUUAUGUACUAUAUUACAAAACUAAGUACCUUAAAAUUAUUGUGUACCAUUUUAGCAAUUAUUCAAAAUGGUGCAUCCAGUUCAUGUGUUUACCACACAAACACACACAAAAAAGAACUUGUUCCAUAGUAUCUUAUCCACAUAAGCUUUAGUUCUAUGAAUGGUCAAGGAUUUAAAAUUUAUAAAUCAACACAACUGGGAGAGGAAAAGGAAGAAAUACCAUGAUAUUGAACUCAUUAAAGUCACAAUGUAUCAGCCCAUGCUCUGCCAAACGAACGAUAAGACCAAGAAUUGUGUCAAAAACAUCAUCUGGAUUCUGUAACUCUUUCACUUGAACACUGCAUACCAUAAAGCAACAUGUAUCAGGCUUUGUGACAGAACAUACUCUUAAACUGAUAUAAGAAUCCACGGAUGAUAAACAUAUACUUACAGAGGAUAUCCCUGUACAAGCGACAUGAUCACACAAUGUCGAUUGCAAUCCACAGCAGUUGGAACAGGGAAACCAUGGUCUCCUAAAGCCUGCAAAUAUGAGCAGUCAAGGAUAACCAAACAAAAAAGGUAAACCAAAAGAGCAUAUAGUUCAGACAUAGCUGUAGAAACAUAAUGAGGAAAAAAGACCUUCAUAAAGGCAAAUUCCUUCAAGGCUGCAAGUCGUGAGAGGUACAGCCAAUUAAAGCUCCUUCGAUGCCUUAGAUAGUCACGCUUAGAUUUCACAGCCCUAAAAGAUGUCCUGCCCAGCCUAUGAAGCUUCAUGGCAAGCACUGUACCAUCCUCUGUCGCAACCUCAAAUAUGUCUGGAUAUCAGAGAGAUUUUAGAAUUAACUUCUUAUGCCCCUGUACCUUACUAAAACAGAGAAUUAACACUAGACCGCAAUAUACCUGACUCCUUUCCAACACCAAUUUGACGGCCAACUGAAGCAAAAACUCCUCGAUUAACCAAAGUCUUGAUGGCAAGGAAGUCAUAUCCAAGAUAGGUGAGCCGAUAUCCAUCAUCUGUACAGAACAGAACCAAUAAAGCAACAAAACUUGCUGCUAAAGUACUAGCAAGCAAUAGUCAGGAUGAACUAUCAAUGACUCACAUUUAGUGGCAUCGUGAUGCACCAACUUGUUCUUCAAAAGAUUCCUCAGAACUUUGUAUGUGCCUCCAUGCCUAGAUUUACAAUGGAUAAAGAACAUAUUCCACUCAGCAAAAAGUUUCAUAUGUUAACAGGCAGAUCGCCAAUAAACACUAAGAUUAAACAUUAGCUGCUCUGAAGCUUCCAUGUUCAGCCUAAUUAAUUUCAGCACAUAAAUGUUUAUGCCGAAGUACUACAACAUAUAGCUUCAUUUUUGCUAAAUGGAAAGAUAAGCAUAUAGGAUGGAGAUUUAAUGUUAUUAUAAGAAUAUUAUCUGCCUAACUGUGCACCACGAAUUGCAAGUUGUAAGCAAUUCCAGAACUAAAAAUCCUUUUGUAUACAGUGCAAGGUCCAAACACCAGUAGUACUACCUCCAAUAACAAGAUAAACAAGCAAUUACAUCUCAAAACAAUAAUUGGAACAUCACAGGAAACAUAGCUGACAUCUUAAACUAGCAACCACGAGCAUAUAGUCAGGUAUAGCCACAAAUUUCAGGAUUUCGAACAAAAACGUCUUACUUCAGUCCAGCGAUCCUGUCAACAAGCUCUGCGGGGACAAUCUCGUGCUGUGAUCAGUCCAAGGCAAAAGGCCAACGUCAGAUGCGGAAACGGGUAAUCUCUCACAGGCAUAAUAAUAUGUAACGAGAUGAGAGAUUGAGAUGCAAGGUUUUGGGGGUCUUACGUUGCGCAUGCCCAUCUCCACGGCGGUGAGGACGCGGAAGUCGUCCUUGGUGAGGUAGCGCAGGGCGUUCACGUCGAGCUUCAUGGUGUCCUGCUGCUGCUGAAGCUACAGGGCAGUGAGGGGGCGGCGGCGAAGGUGGGAGCUCUUGGUAACCGAGGACCCAGUAGGCGGUUGGUCGGCUCGGCGGUUGAAUUGAAACUUGGAAUUCGUCGCGGCGCACGCGCCCUCCUCCGUCCUCCUCGACUCGGGCGGCGACGGAAGGCGCGGCGCUCACGUGGACUAGUAUGGCCGCACGAGAGUUGAGGUGCGGGCCGCGUAUAGCUGAGCGGCGGCUGGGGCGCCCGGAGAAGAGGCAGCGACGACGAGCCGAGGGACGCAGGAGGUGGGGUAUCACCGACGGGAGGACGGCGUGGUCGCGUGGAGGUGCCUGAGGGGCUGAGGGCGGAGGCGGCCGAGACAAACACGAGAGCUAGGUUUUCCCUUCGCUUCUCCAAUUUGGGCCAUUGGGCUAGACACACACUACUGUUCUUUGGUGGGCUUACCGGCGAGAAACGAUGAUGGGUCGUGCAAAAGCGGCUGCUGCUAUUUAGGCCACAAAGUUCCAUGGGCCCAUGAGUUCGCUUUUCACUUGCAUGGCCUCUCCGCACUUCUCUGUUUCAACUGCAAUUCAGGGCAAGCUUGGAUCCACCUCGCCUUGCGUUACUGGGCAAACUAGCCUUGCCUAGCAAGGUUCGAUCCAGCAAGGUGGUGGUUUGGUUCAUUUGCGUGACUAAGCAAAAUUACUUAGCUAGCUGUUUGGUUAUUUUGCUGGAAUAUGCCUUUGCUGGCAAUGGUCUGAUUGGUACUCGAGCUCGUAAUGAUCAUCUUACCACUUUGCCUUGCAGGUGAGAUUACCUCCACCCAUCUAAUUGAACAAAAUGUUUUGAAAAAAUUGCAAAUCGUGCAUCAUACCAAGCAAAAAAAACAUGUCACUUGCAUAUUUUUAAUUAAACAAGACAACCAUAUCUGGCAUAUGUUAUACAACCAAAUUACAUUGGUGUCAUAUAUAGUUCAUAAUGGUCAAAAUAUACAUAUGUCACAGCCAAAUGGUCUCGGUCUCCGAAGAACAUCCUUCUUGCGCAAGUGGCAUGCAUGACCACACGCAAAACUAGAAUUGACCGCAAAUGGUUCUUCAAAUUGCAUGGAAUUCCACAGAUUGCAUCUUCAAAUGGUCAAAUUGUUCAAACACCUGCUACUUGCACCUUGAAGAGGAUUUUAUUAUCCUUACAAAUGUUGCAGGUAAUCCAUCCACCGCUCAGGGCAAGUAUAUUGGUAUUUGUUUAAUAGACGGUCUCAUGCAUUAACACAUAAUCUUGAGAUGACUUAAUAAACAAUCUGUAUAAUGGAUUAUCUUUUUAAAUUGUCUCGUUGUAAUUCUAUUUCCUUAAUUUGUGCAUAGAAAAAAGAAAUAUUAUGAGUUGCAUGACUACCACAACUCGUACAAUUGUGGAGUAGUCAUCUCGUAGUCCUAAAAUCUAGCUUAUGAGAUGGUUAUUUCGCGAAACAACGACAUCUUUCUCUCUCUCCACAUCAGCAAAAAAUUCUAUAUAGCACUACAUGAGACGACCUAUGAGACUGAUGAGGUGUAUUCUCGCAGCCCUCUCGCGUUAAUUCCGACAAGCCCGUCUCGGACGUACUGUGAUCAUGCGCAUCCAGAAGUAGAAAGGGACGCGAUUUGGAGCCCGUUUGGUUCCCUUUGCUUAUUUUUAAGCAAGUGUCACAUCAAUGUUUAGAUACUAAUUAGGAGUAUUAAACGUAGCCUAUUUACAAAACUCAUUACAUAAGUGGAGGCUAAACAGCGAGACGAAUCUAUUAAGCCUAAUUAAUCCAUCAUUAGCAAAUGUUUACUGUAGCAACACAUUGUCAAAUCAUGGACUAAUUAGGCUUAAUAGAUUCGUCUCGCCGUUUAUCCUCCACUUAUAUAAUCGGUUUUGUAAAUAGUCUACGUUUAAUACUCCUAAUUAGUAUCUAAACAUUUGAUAUGACGGGUGCUUAAAUCUAAGCAAGUGAACCAAACCAGACCUUGGACAAUCAUACCGCACGCUGCCGCCUGCGUGUCCCCCUCGCUCCCUCAGCCAGGGGGGACGAACGCGACCCUCUCCGAGCAGCCGAACGCUGAACCUGCAGGCAGCCGUCCGACGCCGAGCCCUGUCGGCCGGCUCGCGGCACGCGAGGGCCGGCCGAGCCGAGUCGAGCAUACCAAAACGCGACCAACAACCUCGCACCCAGACCUGAGACCCCAGCAUCCCACGCCGCCGCAACGCAACCAACACGACGAGCUGCUACCAUCCCUGGACUUCACCAUCCAUUCAUACCCCUCUUGUGGCCUUGUCACCCCGCCGCGCCGGCCACAUACGCUGCACCUGCACCGGCCGAAAAGGCUGGGGGGUGCAGGAUCUCUCGGGGCUCGGGGAACCCCCCCGUGAUCCCGACGCCGAUCUCCCUGUCAUCUCGUUCAAAAGGGCACUAGCCGACUGGGGUCUGACGGUUCAUGGAAUACGAGGUUCCGCGGGUACAGAACUGGUCAAAAUGUGCAGCUGCCUCUGCCUGGGCGGAGCAAAAGCACAUGCCCUGCUCCUGGUUUCCGAAGGCAGGACGGAGCCCCGCGUCGUUCAACGAACCUGCUUGCUCUGUGCUUAGCGAGCAAGCAGCCGCCCGACUUGUAUAUUAGCUGAGCUCCCGUUCCUUGGCAGCCUUCUAUUCUUAGGCUAGCCAUCAACCUGCUACGACUGAAUUGAUCAAUUCCCAUUCGGCUGCUGAUCAGAGACAGAGAGGAUUCUGUUCGUGGAGCCAAACUUCAGGGCGGGAACUGCUUAUCUGGACGAGCUUUGCGAUCGUCGGCAGCGCUGAGCCUGAGCUUUGGUUCUUGAUCCCGUCGUCAUCAAACGAAGAGUACUCUCGUCGUCCGUUCGCGAUGGAGAGGAGGGCGGCGAGGAGGAGCGGCGCUUACCGGAAGGGAGCAGCAAUGCACCCGGAGCACAAGCAGCAGAUGCAGCAGCGGCGGCCGCAGGGGACGGCGGCGAGCCGGGGGCAGGGACCGGUGACGCCGCCGGGGUACUUCACGGCGGAGCUCGUGCUGGCGUUCCUGUUCGUGGCCGUGUCGCUGGCGUUCCUGCCGCUGGUCCUGCCGCCGCUGUCCCCGCCGCCGCUCCUGCUGCUGGUGGUGCCCGUGGGCCUGCUCGCCGUGCUCGUCGCGCUCGCGUUCGUCCCGCUCGACGCGCAGAGCCACCUCGUCGGAUCGUCGCGCUGAUCCGCCGAUCGGAGGGAGAGGCUUAGAUCGCCUUACAUAAAGUGGCUGCUAGGAUCGGAUUAGUCAGGAUUAUUAUUUUUGGAUAGUUUGAUGUAUUUGUUGUAACCCGAUCAUCAGAUCGGCUGGAUUCGAACCAUGGGGAGCUCCAAUUCGUUGAUCCCAUGAAUUUGAUCCAAAUGCAGGAAUCAGAUGCCGCAUGAAUGAACACCGUGCUGUUUCGUGUGUUUCCUAUACGAACGUGUUCUAUUGAACAAGAAAAAUAACUUCUUUCUUAGGAGGGGUUGGUAACGAAAAGGAACUCCGAGACAGUGAGAUAAAGUUGCUUUAAUUGUUCUUCUUUAGAAAGGAUCUAAGUUCUCUCUCUCUCUCUCUCCUGUUGUAGAAUUCCUUCAGAGCUACUAGUACCAGUAGUAAAGGAAAAUCCAUGCACGCAUCUCACGUUUCGGCCAUGGCCGGCGUGGCAUCUCCUCCGUACGUUGCGAUCCGAUCCGGAGCUGCGGCGGCGGUGGAAAAGGUCGCACCUGCGUCACAUGGGCUCUGACGGAUGACGACGUGCUCGCCGUCGCGGAACCCAUCGAUUCAAAGCCGCCUAUCAUUAGAAAGAAAAUCGAUCAGCCCAGAAGACAGGAUGGCGUGUGCAUCGCCGCUUGUUGGUGACGUGCGCCGCACCAACCGAGCAGGGAAGCUUCCUGGCUGCUGUCGCGUGCCGGGGCCCGGCCGGGGUGGUGGCGGGGUUCGCCGCAACUAUACGUCGCAUAUGCGUGGAUCCCACCUGUCAGCGACAUGUUUGUAGGUCUCACCUGUUGUAUCCUUCUCCUUCCUUCGUCCGGCUCCUUCCUCUUCCUCCAUCUGUGUGCUGCCCUCCUCCCCGUGGAGAUGAGAUCUCGACGGAGCCAAGUUAAAGAGGUGAAGGGUGGUGGUAGCAGAUGCGACGGCGGGAGCCGUCGGAGACAAUGGAGGAUGGUGGCGCGAGGACAAGGAGGAGGAGAGCGACGGCGCAGGAGCGACUAGAUGAGGCAGUGGUGGGCCGCGUGCUUGCUGAAGACGACACGCGUCAGCGACGCCCAGCCGCGCCCGGCGGGGUUGCCCACGCACCUUCGGCCGGGUUGCAUGUUUUCCACUGUGGACACGUCCGGUCCACGGCUGAUUGGCGAUGAUCGAUGCCGAUGCGUUUGCGUCGGAGCACGCGUUGACCUAAGCUGGACGACGGGGCCAAAAAGGUUCCUCACGAUCGGGAAAGAUCUGUACUACUGUGCUUCGGUACGGAUGUAUCUUGCCAUUCCUGAUUUGAAUGCCUCGGGUUUUUUUCUUCUCCAAACCGCGUAGUCGGUCAUCUCUCGUUCAUAGUCACACCUGAUGAUGCCUAGUGAUGAUCCUGUGUGUCCAGUGACGUGUACAUGUUACCUAACGGUAGGAGGGGCCUCGACCUUCAAGUGUGGGCUGGCGUGUAACAUGUAAAACCAUUCUUCCCCUCUCACUGUCUCGCACACAUAGCACGUUCGGAAUAGGACUAGUCCACGUGAUAGUUGAGUGAAUGUUACAUUGUUACAUGCAUACAGGCAGGCCCUUUUUCUGGGCAGGCUCUCGACAGCUACCACUGCCGCUACUCUUGGUCCCGACCCGAGGCGAGCAACACGGGCCGCCAAGUAUGCUGACACGCGCAUAAUCCGGGCCUGGAGGACAACGCAUGCACCAUGCAUUCAAGCAUGGAGGAGGUGGAGCUCAUCUUUUUUUCGACGCACCAACCGCAGGACUUGCCGAGCCCAGGCGUGAUGGCAGAUCGCACGUCUGUGAAAUGCCGAAAUAGAGGCCGAGGCUGGACCGGAUGUGGCUGGAUGCCUGCGUGGCUGACCCAACAACAAAAACAACACUGGUCCCUCCUCCUCAUCGUCGGAAUCGCGUCACGGGCCGGCCCCGAUCCAAUUUAGCCAUCAGGCAUCGCUCAGCGCUUCACUCCGGGGCCUCCAUGGGCCUGCCUGUUGAAUUCUGGCAAAAACUGCAGGAUGGUAGUAGGCCCAGGCAUCUCUGAAUUAGUAACAUGCAUAUGCCUCAUGUACUCUUUUGCUAAACUCAGGGUCCCACCAUGGAAGCGGCAUUCGCAAUCAAUUUGAACUGGCCGGUCGGAACUGUUCAAGAGAUCAAAGCUCGAGUACCAGACCACUACUACCUGUUGAAUGUUGAGUGACGCUGCUGCCUGCUGGCGCGUUGGUCUGUCUCGCUCCACUGCGUAGGUCGGGACAAGGAACCGUUCAGAGAGGCGAUGUACUCCUCCCCGCCCGCUUUCCCGAGCUCCGAAAAGGUAACGACGGCCUUUGUCACGAGGUUGAUGGCGUCUAGCAUGCUGUUCGCUGCUAAGCUCCACAUUGAUGUUCCUAGUUUCCUGAACAUACUGUAUCUGGUAGUACCAAAAUGGCCUAGAGAGUACAGGAAGCGUGAUUACCUUCUCUGAAAUGCUAUAAUUUUUGAAAAAAAAAUCUGAAUUGGUCUUACUGUUGCAGUCAUUAUUGGUGUACAUGUGUUCGUCUAAUCAUAAGAUUAGUGUGCUUUUCUUUUUGCGAGGUCAUGUGAUUACUUGAUUCAAGGACCGUACUUGAACUUAGAUUUUAUGACAAAACCCUCCCAAAAGGCCUGAAUAACAGGACCAUCGCUUUAUUAUGUAGUAAUAUGUUCUUCGCUUGACAACUGGAUCGACCCUUGGGCUCGAAAAGGCAAACAGGGACCACGGUACUCUCUUGGAACCAUUCAAUUCUGUCUACUGCUUGUGCAACCACAAACCAUUUGAACUCAGGUUCAGGCGUUCAGCUAUGCAGAUUUUUUUUCCCUCAAACGAAAAUGGAGAGAGCUUUUACUUUUGGAUUAAUAUCCAUGAGAACCACGUCAAAAAAAGUAGUUCUCUCUCUGCCUGUUCGUGUGUUUUGAAAUGGAUCUCUCUCUCUUUUUUGAAAAGUGAAUGGAUCUCUCUCUUGUUUUGAGAUGUAUGAACCCAAUCCCUACAGUUUCGGCAACGUAAAACGAAUCAUCCGCUGGAAGAGAUGUGCAGUGGUUACUUCUUGGUCUUGGGUCUUGCCUGCACUAGUUCUUCUGUGCCACCCAGGACAGUCAACGCUGUGUCCUCUGACCUCCUCUCAUGUGCCGCUCUGCCAGCAGGCUGCUACACAAAAGGCUGGCCUGGCCGCUCCACCCGAUGCCAAACAAAAGGGCCGGGAGGGACGCGCCGCUCCCUGCUCCCUCGUGUCACCGCGUACGGACCACAGCAAAGCAUAACGCCACCUCACUCAAGCUGCAGUGACUGACGGCAGUGCCGCGCGCGCGAAGAUGAGUAGAACGCGAGCACUGGAACAGUGCACUGAGCAGGGACUGGACACUGGAGGCUAAACGAGGAGGAGGAGAAGAAGAAACAAACCGUGUCGAACAAUGGGUUAUGGUCUUAAUGGAGCGCUCUCAAAGAAAAAAGGAGAAGGAACAAUGAGUUACGGAGCGUGUUAAAUCAGACAUCAAAUCCACUCCGCUUUGCACCCCACACACAUAUCGCCGCAUCUCCGACAGCAUCAGCAGAAUUCAUGAGCUAGCCUCCAAGUAAACAGAGACAUGCAUUUCUACAGAUUAGGAUUCCAAAAAAAUCCCGACAAGAACUCCAAGACAUGUUUCAUGUCUGAGGAAACAAUUUACAAGGCUUAUCCUCAGGACGCGAUGCUGAUGCCCUCUCCUCGCUCCGUUCCUUCCGGCGGCGGCGGCUCCGCCUCCGCCGUCGCCGCCGCGGCGUCCCCACUGCCGCCGCCUUCCUCCUCCUUCACUUGGUCGAGCAUGGCGGCGCCGACGCAGUGGCCGCACGUGCGCUCCACCCAGGCCUCCAGGUCGUGGCCGCCGCCGGCCUGGCCGAGCGCGCGGCGCCCGAAGCAGAGACGCCCCACGGCCAGCGCCGCCGCCGCCAGCACGGCCACGACGGCCAGCAUGGCGAUCACCGGGCCGUACGACCCUCUCCCCGUCACCGCCCCCUCGGGCGCGCCUCCGACGCCGUACGCCACCGGCACCGUGAGCGCCGGCGGGGUUGGCGCCGGCAGCGCGGGGGGCAUGAACGCCGACAUUGCCUGCGGGCUGCGAAGGGCAGCGCGCUCCAACCGCGCGGCUCGGCUCCAGAUGAGAGCUCCCUAGGGUGUGAGAGAGAGAGAGAGAGAGAGAGAGAGAGAGAGAGAGAGAGAGAGAGAGAGCUUGAAAAGCUACCCCUGGUGUAGGAGCAAGAGGAGAGUGUGUGUGGAAACUGGAGAGGAGCUUUGUGUUGUGGAUUCCUCCCCCUGACCAGAGUAUCAGAGAGAAGGAAAAAGACGUUUCAGUUCACUCCUUGCGGCAACAUUUAGGUCAGGUGCAGUGGAGUGCAGUGCCAGCGACUCGAGUCUCUGGCGCAAAGGGGCUAGGUUUUGGCCCUACGGUGAAAAGGCUCUCCCUUCCCUAGUUGCGGGUGGCAACUGGCAACGCUGCAACGUUCCAGCUCGGCCAAAGGCUCGGACGCAUGGUUUUACGGGCUCGUUCGCGCGCGCGCGUUUGGGGCGACCACCGUCCUGUGGCGUUCCGUCUUUCUGCUGGGUCGGUGGGUCCUUUGCCCCAUGCCGGUAUGCCACUGCUGGGUUCUCUGCGGGGUUGUGACGCUCCCGCGCGCGUUGUCCUUUUUGCUGCUUGGGAUCCACUUCCAACGAAUUUUUGCUUAGGCAGGCCGCAAUCCCAGAUUUGUCAGCUUCGUCACUGGUGGGUACCCAAGUCCGGCCCAUGCGUUCAUGUCUUCAAGAAUCGAGGUAUGAUACUGGUGGGUAUCCAAAUCGUGGCACGUUUCCUUAAGCCCAUUACAAACUACGGCCUGCAACCGUACGCGACAUGCAUCCAUAUCAGAGCGAGCAAUCAACCUUGGCCGUGUGGCAUGCUACUUUCAUUCCGUGCUGCCAAAGCUAGAUGUCCAGCUUGUAGCAAAGACAAACGCUGAAAUUAGGCUACAAUGCUCCAUUGUGCUCUGAAUUCUGAUAGAUGCUGACCGAGGCAGCUCAAAUUUCCGCACAGGCAAUCGCCAAUGUAGAUUCUUCAAUCCUGCGCGUGGGUGUGCCUCCUCACGUGCCGCUGAUGCACGAGAAGGCCCGCCCUCCCCGGCGCCUCGACAGCGCGCCCGGCCACCGCCGCCGCCACUCGGGCGAGGCCCCCACCUCCCCCGCCAUCAGCUCCUCCAGUGACCCGUGCCGGCGGUGCGUCAUCUCCGUCGCCGCGGAAACCUUGCUGUCGGAGUCCCACUGGUUCUGGUCCCGUUCCCAUCCGCUGUCCUCCACGCGGGCCCCGAACCGAGCGUGCGCCGAGCCGGUGGGGCUGCACCGGGGGUACCUCCGGGCCCGUCGCUCCUUGAUGGCGCGGUGGAUGGAUGGGACGAGCCCAUCCCAUUCAUCCAUCCAAUGAGAUGAUGCUUGUUCCAGAAUCUCCUCCUCAGGCCAUGUUUAGUUACUCCCAACUCCCAACUUUGACACUAUGCAAAAAGAAGAUUCCCCAUCACAUCAAACUUGCGGUACAUGGAGUACUAAAUGUAGAUGAAAUUAAAAACUAAUUGCACAGUUUUGUUGUACUUUGCGAGACGAAUCUUUUGAGCCUAAUUAGUCAAUAUUUGGACAAUAAUUCACAAAUACAAACGAAACGCUACAGUGUGCUACAGUGCUGUAACAGUAAUUUAGCACCCCCAAAUUCGCCAAACUAAACACGGCCUCAGUUGCUUUUGAGUCUGACGGAGCCACUACAUGGCGUCACCAAAAAUGCAGCCAGCUGAAUCGACAGAUGCAGGAGCAGGACUAUCAGUAUCAGUGAUGUGAAAAAGGAAGUACCUGUGUCGGAUCUCGAGCGAUGCUUCUCUGCAUCCUCACGUAGGCCACCGAGCUUCACAAUUUCACCCGUUUUUGCAUCUUCUCUCCCAAGCAAGCAUUUGAUCCGAGCUCGGAGGUUGUUGAUGUACUUGGUAAUUUGAUAAUUCUUCCCCUGUUCACCCAAUCGUAGCAUGGAAAGAGAGCUGACUGUCAGAAUGGGGAGGAUGUCCAAGAGUAGUCACAAAAUCAGAGGCAGAUAACUUAAUAAUUUACGCAGGAACACUGCAGUCAGCAGGAGCUAGAUUUUUUACAAGCUGUAUGCAAAUUUAAGUCCCCAUCCAUAUACAGAAGGCUAAGAGCCACACGAACUAUCGACAGGAACAAACUAAUCGAAGCACAACAAUGCCAAUCGCAUCUCCCGUUCGUGCUGAGAAGUUGGAACUCGCCGUGCGACCCCUCCUGUUCGUCUCGCUCUCCAUCUUCACACCCAGAACAGUCCAAGUCGUCCCUCCCGGAGAAAUCGGCGGGCCCCUCCUCAUCCUCCUCCGCCUUCGCCGCCAGGGGUGGUGCAUCCCACGCGCCUGGGGAAGGAGGCUGCCUCCGGGCCGCCCCUGCCGCCGCGCGCUUGCGCAGGCGCAUGAUGCCGGAUUGCGCGUCGCCGGGGGUGUUCCCCUGGGGGUGGAGCAUCGCAGACCGCGUGCGUGCGACGCGCGGCAAUGGCAGAUCGAGGGUUUGAUUGGGGGGGGAUGAGGAGGAGGAGCUGCGGCCUCCGCCUCGCAUUUUUGGGUUUGGAAUGGAAGGGGGAGGAAGCGUGUGCUAGUAGGAUCGUGGGAAGCCAGGAAAGGGGAGACGCAACAAAGAAGGGGAUUUGAAUUUUGAAAUCGUUCGAGUUUCUUUGGUGCGGCCAGGAGUUGGGCCGGUUGAUCCUGGCUCAGCUGGAGGUCCAGAGGCCCAGUACAGCGAACAGGCCUGUUUCUGAUUUCCAUUGCUUGUGUCACUAUCACUAAAGACACCGACUUGAUCACACAUCAGCUACAGCUGCUACAUGCUGACAUCCUUGCUGCAUCAAGUUGAUCGGGGACUGUCUCAAAAAUAAAUUUGUUUGUUUAUAUACCUGUAACUGGAUUGGACCAAGCCAGAAAAGGGCUGUUCCAGAGAUAAGAUCAGGAUUUGUGUUCCAUUUAUACUCGGCCUGUUCGGUUGAUCCAGGGAUUGGAGGGGAUCGAGAGUGAUUUUUAACUUCUCCCUCCCGAUCUCCUCUAGUCCUCGUCAGUUAUUUUCAAAUCGAACAAACUCAAACUGAGAUGGAUUUUGCCGAGCUAGUGACAUGGAUGGGGAUUGGAUCUACGCUAGAGAAAAAGUAAAAAUCAAUUUGCACACACGGUAGAUUGUGAGCCCAAAUUUUCUAAUUCCAGCUCAAUUUCCCGCAAGCACAUUAUAAUGUUAUAAUUCGCUUCGGAACCUCCUCUGGAUAUAAUAUGCUCGUUCUGAAUUCUAUGCAGCUAAAAAUUUCAUUUCACAAUUCCCUGCAUACACCUUCAACGAAAAAACAUACAGAGAUUCGUCGUCGCAUAAGAAAGAAAGAAAGAAACAAGAAUAUGUAAACCAUCAUUUGCAUCUUCGCAAAUCCAGGCGUAUGUACAAUUUAGUUGGAUAACAUGGUACGAGUCACUGCACAAUUACUCCUUACUACCACCUCGAGAACUAAGCAAAAACACGAGCAAAUUCCUGCAUCCUGCACGAACCCAAGCCCACCGGCCGGCUCCUGCCGAUGCAGGCCUGCAGUAAGCUAGGCACGGAGCCGCGCGCGGGCGUGCGUGCACCGACCGGUCCUCACAUACCGCCGAUGCAGGAGAAGAUCCUGACGCUCCGGCCCCUCGGCAGCGCGCCGGGCUGCCGCCACGCCGGCGAGGCUCCCACCUCCCCUGCCAGCUCCUCCAGCGACCGGUGCCGGCGGUGCGCCAUCCCGCUCUCCGCGGAAACCUUGCCCCCGCCGCCGCCGCGCGGGGCGGCGGCCUCCCACUGCUCGCUGUCCUCGACGCGGGCCCCGAACCGGCCGGCGUGCGCCGAGCCCGUGGAGCUGCACCGCGAGUAGCUCCGCGUCCGGCGCUCCUUGAUGGCCCUGUAGAUGAACGGGAUGAGCCCCUCCAUCUUCCGGUGACUCUGGCGGCUAUGGCUUGCACGACGACGCGAACGCCAAGCGCUGCUGCGGGGCUUUCGCUGGAGGAGAUCGGAAUGGUGGUUGGCUUUCGGUGGUAAGCUAGCCCGGACGGGUGAGCGAGACGCUCCGUUGUUUUAUAGGCGGGGAGUGCUGGGUUUUCUGUGGGUUUCGUUUCAGGAGACGGGUUCAGAGACGUCGCUUGACGCGGCUGCUGGCUCGAGCUCUCCUCUUGCGUGUGGGACAUCGGCCAUCGUCGCCUCGUGGCGUCGCGGUUGUGUUUUGGCUCCGGUUGCUUGUGCCUGACAGCGUUUGAUGCUGAUGGAUUUGUUCAGUUCCUAGCCAGUGCAGUGUUGUGUACUUGCCGUCCCUCUUGCUUUUGUUUUUUUUUAAAAAUCCUGUUAGUAAUUGGGACGGCCACAUGGGUAGCUGUAGUUUUCUAUGUGAUGUUUUCGGUUGGUUGCCUGUUUUCUUUUCGUUGUUAGGCUGCUUAUGUAUCCCAUAAAGGAGAACAGUAGAUGCAAGAACUUGGCCAGGACACAAAACUCUGUCGGUAAAAAUCUCAAAAACUUUGCCAAUCAUUUCUCAAUAGCAGGUGCCUAAAAAAAAGGAUAUGAUUGAAGCGAAAUGAGAAGAUAAGGAGAAGAAUGCAGUAUGUUCGUGUCAUGUUGCUUGUUAAGUCAGAUUGUGAUGCGAUCGAAAAAGUCAGCUCAACGGUGCCCUGACCCCUGACGCCAUAUCGCUCAUCACGAUUUUCUAGAGGCUAAAGAUGGGGUUCAUUUGAGGUAGGCAUAUUCCCCAGACUUGCACCAAUCGACCAGUGCACCAUGUUUUUGCUAGACAAGUUUGACAAGCAUCCCUUCCCUAAAAAAAAAAGUUUGACAAGCAUCCCAUCAGUUGAGCAAUAUACAGGCUCAAUCAUGAUCUGAUUCAUUCCAAAAUUCCGUUCUGGUUUGGAUGACCAAAUCGCUACGGACUACUCCCAUCUCAACUCUGCACAAAUUUGCCUGAAAUGCAUAAAACUGGUGGUGUCUGGUAACAUGAACACCCAACGACCUAACAUGUUUCGAUUCCGUUUGCAAAAUACAAGAUGCAAUUGCAUGCCUGGCUUUGUUUAUGCAGGAUACAGAUCGAGAUGCCGUGCAACAACGACCACACACGAACACCACAUGAUUUAGCAUGCUAUAUAGUCCUUAGGUCUCCGCACGCAUUUCGAAUAGAGGAACACAACCUGAUAAGAUUUUAUAAUUGGUCUGGUGCCUACCAACCUGGUAGCAACAGCGUUGAAACUGAAACGCCAAGGCUGCUGGUCCAUGGGAUUCCGAUCUUGAUUGAGUUGUUGAAGGAGAAGGACGUGCUGCCGGUGUCGCGAGCAGGAGGGAAGCUUGAUUCGCCACGGCAUCUUUGAUCUUUCUGCUGGAGACUUGGCCUGGAUAACAAAAUUAUACAGAGUGAUCAACUCCAGUUUUAAGCAAUGUAAAUUAUCAUCUUUUCUUUACUGUUUACAUUGAUCCUACCUAUCUGUUUUAGAACCGAAUUAAUGAAGAUGGCCUCAACUGCUGCACAUGCAGCAUUUGAAAAAUACAGUAUGGUAGUCCAUGCCUUUCCCUUGAUUCGAAGUCUUCAAACUAUCAUCCUGAUAGUGUUUUUUUAUGUACAAACAGAUAUGGUAAAGAAAUGAGAUUAGCACUUCAUCUGGAUGCAUGUCGUAAGGUGUGGAGUUCUCUGUUUACGUGUCGCCCUUUUCUAAGAGAGAAGACUUGCUUUGCUGAGAUACCUAACCUAACCAAACCAGAUCCGGUUUUGAAAUGGAAUAUAACAACCGGUGCUUUUAUAAUCAGAUAAGCUUUCCCGGAGUUAUUAGUGCUUGUUUUAUACAAACUGCCAAAAUGGCAGUACGUAAUAGCAAUGGAAAUGAUUACCACUUACCAGGUCAUUCAUGAGAGGUACUGUUUGGUUCCAAUCAAGUGAAGCUAAUAGCAAUGGAAAUGCCUGGCAAGCAAAGAUCACACUGAAUCCUUCAAAAUCUGUCUCAGAGCUGCAACUCGUAUCAAACAUCAACUGAUUUUUUUCCCAUUCAGCCCAGAUGCGUAUGUUCUUGCGAACCGUGUAAAAACCAUGUGCUAUUUUAACUGGCAGGGCUGGAGACGAGAUCAAGCUGUAGGCUGUAGCCUGCACCUUCAUUCCAUGCAACUUGUCACACUGAAAACGUGGAAAGCGAGUGAAGCAAUUGCAAGAAGACAGCCGAGUAGUUACAAGUAGCAAUCAAAGCAUUAGGGGGGAUCAUCGUCGUCUGUUUUGGAUAUACUUCUUUUCGACAAUCUGUUUCGAAUGCUAUCCACUUAACUAAUCUGUACAAGUGUUUCAUUGUUCUACGGAAAGUUAAUUCCAUAGUUGAAAUCUAAUGUGUACAGUCAUCAAUGGUCGCCAUCACUCUUAACAGGAUCACGAAGCAUGUUUUGGUGAGCAAGUAGGUUGAUUGGAUCAUCUGUGUGCAAGUGGACUUAAAAGUCUAGAUUACGGUGUAUGAACUCGGACGAGAUAGAGGCAUCCAGCUUGAGCUUCCAGAUAACGUAGAGAAAUAUCGUUAACAAAUUGGAUGCAGCCUUUCCUUAGAAAAAAGAAGAAGAAAAAGAUGCUUUGCCGUUGAUUGUUGAAGUCGCCUAGUUGAUGGGAUAUUGGGACGAUGCCUGCUGGAAGCCUGGAACAGACAUGCGAUGGUUCAGAAUUUCAGUGGGAAGUUUGCCGAUGCAAUCCACAGCAGGCGUCCGCCGUGGCCCAGCUGACCAAGAUCUCCUCCAAUCCACGCCUGUACUGAAAAGAAUAACGGCACACGUUGUUCUCAAGUUUUAGGUGGUGGUGUUGACGAGGUGAGCAUAGGAUGGGGCACAGCAGCACGACAGCUCUCACUGCGCGACAGACCGGCCACCUAACCUAACCCAAGCAGCUGGCUUCAAUCUCCUCCGUGACUCAGUCCGGACUCGUCAGGGUUUUUGAUUGAGCAGAUAAUUGUCUUCUCUUUUGCUUCUUUUUUUUUAACAUACUCUUUUGCUUCCAUUUCCACUGUAGUAACACUAGGACUCGAGAGAAAUGGUCUGAAUUGACUCUGUCAGGUGUGGUUCUGACUGUAUUUCACCUCUGUGCUAGCCACAUCCAAAUUAAUCCUGCCCUGGCAUAAGGCUCUCUUUGGAACAACACCUCAGAUUCCCUGAUGAGUGUUCUUGACAUCUUCUCGUCAUUCUUUGAAGGGAAUUAGGUCAUUGGGUGUCCGGUCAGCAAAAGGCGAUCGAUGUUGACCGGCGUCGGGGAGAAUCUGUGGACUCCGGCUGCGGCUGCAGGAAGCCGUUGUUUCGCCGCCGUUUCCUCUCUGUGCGAGUGCGCCCAAGCCGGAAAAGCGUCAGGGUGGAAGAGACUCGUCGUAAAGAAGAUGCAAAUCCAGUGAACCGAUUGACGUAGUAUAGUAUUGGCAUGUCGCUAGCUGGUUCAACGCGACAUGAAUACAUGAUGGGGGUUGUUGCUAACAGUUUCUCUUGCGUCGUCUUGACAAGGUUUGGAUAAACCUCACCUAAUCCUUACGUCAGUUUUUUUCUUCUUUCUUUUGGAAAGAAAGACACUAGCAUCUCAAAUCAUCAGUUGUUUUUUUUUUUGGAGAGGACAAAUCGUCAGAGUUUAGAGCCCUGAAAAGCCCCGUCUACUAGCAUUUAAACGGGCCCUUAUGGCCCGAUAGACAUCAUAGUCCAUACUGGACUGACUCGUGUGGUCAGGCCUGGCCCAUAUAAUGCAAUUUCACACUCCAACCAACUAUAUGGGCUUCUAUGCUUCUCAACAAAAUUGGGCCUUCCUAUAGGAAAAAGGCCCAAGGAAUUCCAAGGCCGAAUUAAGCCUUUUAAUUAAUAGGUUCAGAUAGGGCAAAUUAAACCGUAUGCCUCCGUUAAUUUUGUCGAUCACGUUUUGAGUUUGAAACUCUCUUGAAUUUUCACGAGUGCUCCUCAUCAAAAGAAAAGUAUCUGGAAAAUAAAUACCCGAAAGUAAAGGGUGCACGGAAUUCCGAUACAGCUUUCUCGAGAAGAGACGAAAAACGUUGACAGAUUGGCAGCGCGGCGAACCCGUUUUCUCGCACCGCGUGCUGCCCUCGCGAGCAGUGUCUUCCCCUCGUGCUAAUCCACCUCCCGAUGCCGCCCAAAUCGAAGGCGGCGGCCGCCGCCGCGGAGGCGGUCUCCGUCGAGGACCUCUUCACCUCGCUCCACCGCCACAUCCAGGCCGGCGAGUUCGCCAAGGCCGUCAAGGUCGCCGACCAAGGUCAGGCACUCCUCCCCCAGCGCGUCUCGGGAGUUCGUCUCACGCCCUAGCGGCAUAGCCCCGUUUGAUCUGACCCCGACUGGUUCCGCAGUUCUCAAGGCGGCGCCGGGGGACGAGGACGCGGUGCGAUGCAAGGUGGCGGCGCACAUCAAGGCCGACCAGAUCGACAAGGCGCUCGCCGCGAUUCGCGACGCCGAGCGCCUCCCCAUCGACCUCAGCUACUACAAGGUCAUCGCCUUUAACUCUUUGUCCCCCGUUGAUCUCUCUGUUGCCUUGUUUGUGAUCACUGCUUGGCUCACUGGGCCGUGGUUAGGAUACAGGUGUGGUCAGAUCUGUUUGUGUGUAUGUCCUAGGAUAACAUGAAUUUGUUGAUUUGAGUAAUUGGAACGGAAGUGUUCACUUGGUGAGCUUCUCCCAAUGUAGUUUAGUGCUGAUUAUUAUAUUGCAAACUGCUGAUGCUGGCUACUUUGCAUAGUGAAUUUUCCUAUUGUGGUCAUGUGGUUCGGCGUAAUUGUUGCAUCCCAUGCUCUACCAAAACCUAUGAUUCAUAUGUUGGGAGAACUGUAUUGAGGGGUGGGAAGGAAGGCAAAAUCAUAUGUAUAGUUAUCUGUGACAUAUUGGCAAGAACUGCUGAUGGAUAAGAAACUUCCGUUUUAUGUUGGGACGCUUUGACUUCACUGUGAAGGAAUUCAACAGUCCUGCUGGUUGAACUCAAGUGAUUACAUUUGCUGUUCCAAUAUUCCCUAGUAUAACUAUGAUCUCGAUAUAGUUCUGCUGGUCAAACACAACUGGUAGCUGAUCUUUGCCUUUUCAUUGAGAUUCCUUACUUAUGCGCUGUUUCUUUUUUGUAAUUAGUUGUUUGAAUUAAAACGCUGCACUGGAGAAUUGUGCGCUAAUUUUUGGCCAAUAUGAUGCUAGAGUAUCGUUGUUUUUGUUACUAAAACAACAAUUUGUGUGAUCAAACUAAGUUUUAUUAUUAUUAAUAUUCAGGCCUACUGCUACUACAGGCAAAACAAACUGGAAGAAGCACUGAGUCUUUUAAGAGGUCAGGAAGAAACUGCAGCUAUUCUCCAGCUGGAAUCCCAGAUUUUGUACCGGCUAGGAAGAAUGAAUGAUUGCAUGAAUAGCUAUGAGAAGCUUAAAAAAUUUAAGAUUGACUCAAUGGAUCUGAAGAUAAAUAUCAUUGCUGCUCUGGUUGCUGCUGGGAGGGCUUCUGAGGUACAGGCAGCUAUGAAGGCGCUAAAGGUUGAUCUUACCACAAGAGCACUCAGGGAUGCUCGUAGCUUUGAGCUGGCAUACAAUUCUGCUUGCUCCUUGAUAGAAAACAAGAAGUAUUCAGAAGCUAAGGAGCAGUUGGACUUGGCUAAAAGGUGAAUUUCCUGGUGCUGUGAUUGCUAAAAUGAAUGUGUUCCUUCAGUUGGCUAAACUAAUCCAUCCGUUACGACAACAUUUUAAUAUUAUCAGAUUGAUAAUUUAAGAAAAAUCUGAUUUUUUCAAUGGUUAACUAGUUUAAUUCAUUAUAUUUGUUUGCAUAGAGAAAUUAGGCUUUCAUUUCUUGCAAGGAAAGGCUAAAAUAUUUCUUCUUCAUGAUCCCAGAUAUUCUUUAUAUUGAGAUGCCUCUCAACUCAAUUAUGCAAUAUGAAUGGGCAGUCUUUAUGCGUAAAUUAUUAGCUGGAUUAUAAUCGUUUUUGUUUUAUACUGUAGAAUUGGGAAAGAAGAGCUUAUGGUGGAAGACUUUGAUGAAAACGCGAUUGAAUAUGAACUAGCUCCUGUAUCUGCUCAGCUUGCUUAUGUGCAGCAGGUAACUAUGGAGAAGUUUUCUUACAUAAAGUCCAACCAUUAUUCUUCUGACUUGUCUUCUUCAUUGUAUUUUCAGCUACAAGGACAAUCUCAAGAAGCUAUGCAAACCUAUGUUAAUAUGGUAAACGGGAAGUCAGACGAUUCCUCACCACUUGCUGAUUCAUCAUCACUUGCUGUGGCAACAACAAACCUUAUUUCACUAAAAGGUACAAAAGAUACCGCAGAUAGCUUGAAGAAGCUUGAUCGGCUUAUUGAAAAAUCUAAUGCUCCAAACCAGUUGCAACUUAUUGAAAGCCUUGAUUUCAAGUUGUACCCAAGGCAAAAGGAAGCUCUGUAUUCUGCCCGUGUUCUUUUACUCCUCCAUGCAAAUAAAAUUGAUCAGGUUUGUUUUUGCAAAGUCGAUUCAUCUCCCCCUUUCCUUUUGUGAAGAAAAUCACCUAUUUUCAUUUGUUUCUAGUGAGCAGGUGUAAUGAGAUCAUUCGGUUGUCUGAAUUUCUUUUCCCGUAAUUAUGAAAUUUCUAAAUCUUAUUUCACUCAGAAUGUCUACCAUACUAAACUAUUGCAAAUUAGUUUCAGUGAGAAUUUCCCAUAAUUCUAACCCUAGCAGUUGCAUGACUAAUGAGUAUUGGAUUGCAAAUUAGUGUGAGGAAAGGUCUGUUACGAAACUAGAUUUGUUACAUGCACAUCCUGAACCUCUUCCCUGGCACUUUAGCAAGGAUAUCCCAACAGCAGUUUAGUUGCACAUGCUAUAGUUUUUUUUUGGUAUAAUGAACAUAGUGUUGUUUUUGGUAUAAUGAACAUAGUGUUGUCAAUUCAUUUUGACCAUGAUCAGUAUAAUUUGUGUGAUUGUAAAAAUGACCCUUGCAUGCAAGUCCUUGCAUCUGUAUAAUCACCUCAUUGGAAAAUUAUUAUCAUCGGUAUCCUUUUCAUUUGUUUUGUGGGCACUUUCUAUGGUGAGGCUCUUUGAUUGCUCAUUUCCGUUCUUAAUCCUUUUUGUAGGCACAUGAGUUGGUCUGUGGACUGCUUGGAAUGUUUCAAGAUAGUGUAUUCCCAGUUUUGCUUCAAGCUGCUGUUCAUGUGAAAGAAAAAAAGAUCCAGAAAGCUGAAGAAGUUCUUAGCCAGUACGCUGAGAAGCAUCCUGAGAAUUCUAAAGGGGUCCUCCUUGCACUUGCUCAGAUUGCUGCUAACGCCAACCAUUUUCAGCUUGCUGCUGACUCACUGUCCAAAAUACCUGACAUCCAGCACAUGCCUGCAACAGUUGCUACACUAGUGGCUCUAAAAGAGCGCCUAGGUGACUCCAAUGCUGCAGCUUCUGUACUUGAUUCUGCUAUCCAGUGGUGGAAGAAUUCCAUGACCGAGGAUAACAAAUUAGAUUUGUUCACAAGGGAGGCUGCUGCGUUUAAGCUCAGUCAUGGACGUGAUGAAGAGGCUUGUCUGUUGUAUGAGGAACUUGUGAAGAGCCAUGGAAGCAUUGAAGCUUUGGCUGGGCUAGUAGCGACUGCAGCUCGCACUAACCUGGAGAAGGCUGAACAAUACGAGAAGAAGCUUAAGCCAUUGCCAGGCCUCAAAGGAGUUAAUGUUGAGAGCUUGGAGAAGACAUCUGGCGCAAGGCACGUUGAAGGGCCCCAAGACAUGAAGGUAGACACACCAGAGGAAGUGAAGAAGCAAAAGGCAAGGAAGAGGAAGCGGAAGCCUAGAUACCCGAAGGGCUUCGAUCCAGCAAAUCCUGGCUCGCAACCGGAUCCUGAGAGAUGGCUGCCCAGGAGAGAGCGAUCCAGUUACCGUCCAAAGAGGAAGGACAAGAGGGCUCAGGUCAGAGGUGCUCAAGGAGCUGUGACUAGAGAGACAGCAGCUACCAAUGCUGGUGGUUCCUCGAAAGGAAGCCAAACCUCCAGUUCAUCAAAGACUCCGGCAGCAAACACUGACCAGCCAAAGCCUAGCAACAAAUCCAGGAAGAAGAAGUCGAGGUCUUAGAUGAGAAAAUUUAGAGUUACAACAAAUUGACAGUGCAAAAGGAUAUACCCAUUUACCUUCUUGACUUGCAAUUUUGGGUUGGAUUGCUUGCAGAUUUGCUUUGCUUUUUACAGUCAUGUUUAAAGCGACCGGAAACUAUUGAAAAAUUAGUUUGAGCUGUAUCGCGAUGGGAUGUCCCAGACUCCCAGUAGAUUUCUGUUUCCUUAACAAGUUUAUAAUCCUUUCAACUGAUCAACUCACUUCAAGCGUGCGUAUGCUCCAACAGUCCAACACUUCGAUACAUACCGCUAGGCCCGAAGCCACCUUCGGUACAUGACGACGUAGCGGCACAUCGUUUCUUUGUGAGGACGCAUACGGGUACAUCUACUUUCACUAGAUGAGCUCUGAAUUUGAUCCAGGCUUGCAAUAUUUGAAUCAGUCGGCCAAAGUGUGCAUAUUCAAAUUUAAAGCAUUUUUAUAGAUUUGAAAAGUGAAUGUGUCAGCAUAUAUGCUUGAACUGAUGUCUGGGGAGGCAUUUGUAUAUUUUGUAUUGUGUGCUUGCUUUUUUUUUUGAAAUUUUUUUUCCCAAGCGCACUCUCGAAAGUCGAACCCAACGGGGCCACGGGACACCUACUUUUUGAAGUCUUGAACAAUUUGUUCGCCGCCAGCCCGCCAGGCUGAACAUUCAGCCACAGCCACGACGCAGCGCAGAGCCAGCGGGCUGAUGCACGCGAAUGGACUUCAUCCUCAAUCUCCCCUCCUCGCCGCCCUUCGCCGCCGGCAUCCCCUUCCACAGGCGACUUAUCGGUGCGCUUCUCCCGCUCUUCCCCCUUCCUCCCCGAGUCCCCGUUGCUUGCGGUUGCAGAGAAGACUUGCUGGUUUCUGACUCGGUCGGUUUGCGCCAACAGCCUCUCGCGGCCGCGGUGGCGGCGCUCCUGGGCUCGCCGGCGAUGCACGGCCCCCGUUCUCCGCCGGGCGCAUCUCAACCGCUUCUUCAUCUCCGCCGCUUUUCAGAAGGGUACUACUAACUGAUUUUUUAAAAUUUUAUAUUUCUUGCACUGCUCUGUGGUCUUCGCUUCUUUGCUGGGUCUUGGGUGUGCUUCUUCCGAGUAGAAUGUUACAUCCUCUGUGAAAUCUAUGCACAAAUGAUUCGCCGAUAACUUGACAUGCUAGUUUACGAAAAGCUGCCAGUUCAAUUGGAAUUUGAUUGACAGAGGUAAACACGUGUGCUUGUAUUGUCAGAUUAACUUUUGAAACAAGAUAGACAAUUAAGUAUAGAUAUCGAAAUGCCCAAUGGAAAAUUUAGUUUAUAAUUCAUCUUAGUAACUGGAUGUAAGAAGAACUCUCAUCAGCCUCAGUGCCUCACUGAACAUGCCUUCAGCAGGGAAGCAAGAGAACAGGGUCAGUGGAUCCAAAAGUGAUUGAAAAUGAGGCAGAAUGCAUUGUCAGCGGCAGCCUGACUUCAUCGAGGAGAUUCAAGUGGAGCAAAGACAGGAACAAGUUCCUCACCAAUUACUUGAUGCAACAGGCUUCAGGUGCCAAGGGAAAAGAUGCAUUGUUCAGGGAGGAUACCCUGCGAGAAGCUGCAGAGGCUGUUUCUCAGCGGUUUCAGCGGCAGUGCAGUGUUGAUGAUGUACAGAGGAGGUUGACAGCUCUGAGGGAGAAAUGGCAAAGGAUAGAGAAUAUGAAGGCCCUUGGUUCUGCGUCAUGGGAUCAUACCACUAGGAUGAUAAACAUGCGAGAAGCGGACUACCAGCAGUAUGCCAUGGUAAUGGGAAGAUGUCCCCUUUUAGUUUGAGAUUUGCAAGUUCUAAGUUUCCUUAGAUCCUACUUAAGUCAAGUCACCUUUUAUGGUCCUUGCAGUACAAUGCCACUAUUAACUGUCAUGGCUGAACUUUUUUUUUUUUGCAAUGAAGGAUCACCCCAAGGAUUCAGGGAUGCUGAAUAGGCCUAUUGAGGAUUAUGAUGAGCUUCCUUCCAUCUUCAGUGAUGAAUAUGAUCCAUCAGCAGAUGGAAUUCAGUUGAAAAAGGGCCAGAAUGCCCACUCUGAUGAUACUAAGGUAUCUGAAGAUCCCAUGGAGCAGAAGAUAGCUAAUGAGGACAUCCACUACUUAGUUCUUAAGAUUGGGGAGUUAAUAGAUGCUAUAAAAAGCUUAAAGCCCAGAGACUUUGCUGACGACUUGUGGAAAGCAGUUACAGCUUGCGGUUAUAACGACAGGAUGUCAAUCACUGCGUUUGAGUAUUUUCUGAAGAACGAGGUUGAAGGGAAGAUUUUCCUUGUGCGUAGCCCAGAUCUUCGAAAGGAAUGGUUAGCUAAGUUCUUCUCUAGCCUUAUGUAAUCAUUCUUUAUUUGUUCUAUCCAACAGUUUAGUUCAGUAUUUUGAGUUUAGUUUUCUUUUCAUUUGGAACCACACUUCAAAUGACGAGCAUCAUUGUGGGAACCCUUAAAGCUGUAUCUGUACGAACAGAAGGCUUAGUAUAGAAGAAGAAUGGUAAGAUGAGAUAAGAUGGUCUGAUUUUUAUUUCUUUCGAUUCUACUAAGGUCAAAUGUAAAUUCUAACAAACAUUCAUCAACUGCGACUCUGCAAGAAACUGUUCUAAGAUUAAUGCAGUACAAUCACAAUAAAACGUACAUAAUCAUGCACAACUGAAAUCCUACACACCGAGUGACAAGAUUAAUACGAUUGGUACAGAUCACAACCUAACCCUUCACAGCUACAAGCCUACACACCAUAUGUAACAAAGCUGCUACAGUUGAUGUAUAUAUCACAACCUAACCUCUACUUGUCAUUCAGCAAAGAAUCAACGUCCGGAGUCACAAUGACAUGCCGAUUCUCAAUCUCUCCAAGCAAGCAACAAUGUUUCUCUUGGGUGUUCAGAGCUACUACAUGUUGCGGCAUCCUACUCUCUGCUCCUGGGUUCACCUGCAGAGAUAGAAAUUAAGCAUAAAAUACAUGCGAUAGCUUGCUAAGCUCUGAACAGAAAGAUGAGAAGGUUGCACUAACAUCAAACAUGACAUCUCCUAACUUCAUUUUGAUCUUGCCGCUUUUGUAUACCAGCAUUUUGCCCAAAUAACCCUGAGGCAGCUGCUGAAGGUUGGAUCCUUCCUUCACCUCUUUGCCAGCAGCCUUCCCUUUCCUUUCAACUAUAUUAGAUGACCUUCUGGGCAAAGGAAGAGAUUUUGGGAGCUUGAAGAGGAACAUUCUUUCUUUGCUAUCAUGUUCUUGCUGCUACAAUUGCAAGUGAAGCAUGUGAGAGUUCAGAAACUAUGAAUACAAUUUAGCAGAGCUCAAAGGUUCAUACAAGCAAAUGAAGCUCCUCUGCUGGACAUGUUGAAGCUUCGCAUUCAAUUGAACUUGGCUGAGUCUCCUGCAACUCAACAUUGCCAUUAUCGUCGUCGCUGUCGUCAAAAUCACUACUCUCUUCACUGUCAAAUGUUCCUGUCAAGAGUUGAAUAUUCCCAUGAAAAUUCUUAUUGGAAAGUAUUGUUCAGAAGAAUGGAACUCAUGAAUCGUCACAUUCACCUGAAUCAACAGUAACAGGAAAGGAUCUGGGGAUUUGUAGUGGUUUCUUUUGACAUGGAAACAAAUCAACAAAAGGUACACAAGACUAGUCAGUAAGUCUGUCAAGAAAAUCAGGAUGUUUUCUAGUACAACAAGGCUGAAACUGAGAAGUUCUCGCCUUCUAGGGGCACUCACCGAUUGAUUUUGCUUCUGCACUCCUGAUUGCGCUGGUGACAAGCUAACAACAUCCGCAGAAGGUGGUGUCGAGGGAGGUUUCUGUGUUGAGCGCUCGUCUACAAAUAAUAUGUGUUGAGUCUGAUUAUUUUGAGGUUACUGACUAAAUCAAUGACAGUACAACCCAUGAUCUUAUAUGUGCGUUAUUUCAGAUCUGAUGGAAAGGCCUGACCUGUUGCUCCUAAAAUCUUAAAAAAAAAACGCCUGACAGUAGGAUCUCAGUGCCCGUGUGGCAGUAUAUUACCUUUUGUAUUUGGCACACUGUUUGCAGGCACCUGGCGAGUCUGAAAAGAACAGAUAUAAGUUCAGCCAUCGAAAGAGUGUGCUACUCCUUUUCUUUUCCUCCUAAGCAAACUACAAUAUUAUCUGACAUCAAGAUGCGACCAUUGGAUAAUUAGUUACCCUCAGUAUCUUCAUCAACUGUUCAUCAAUUGGUUUUGGUUCUUCCAGUUGUGGCCUGAAACAGAACAAUACGUUGCGCUAAGGUUACUGUAACACACUAGGCAAAAAUACCUUAAAGAUGACGCCAACACCUAAAGACAAAGAAAAAUUACUUUUCAGUGGCCAAUUUCUUUGGCUUCUGCGGUGGCACUUUCGGUUUAAACUUGAGCUUCUGAAGGGAUUAAGGGAAAGAAAUGCAAAAAAGACGUUAAUACAUAACCUUCUUUACAAUUCGCUGAACCAUGGAGAAAAGAAAAACUGUAUAAAAAAAAGUAGAGAGAAGAAAAUUGGUGAACCACCUUCACGGCACGACGAACUGGGCGACUCCUCUUGGAGCUACCAUCUGCAUCCAUUUUUGUUUCUCUGCCAUAAAGAAUUAAGAGCAUAAGCACUUGCUUUUGCUUACUGAUGAGUACUUCACUAGUAUAUAUAGUAUCUUUUUUCUGAAGAUCCCACGUGCGUUUCUGUCUCACUAGCAGUACGAGGAAACCUAUCAGUUCUGUGUCAGCUAGAUCCUUUCAGCCUUCGCAUCGUCAGAAGUCCUUCUAUAGUCAUACAACCGUACAGUUUCUGCAGGUGUUCGAAGGAUCGUCUAUGCACUUCUCAUCUACCCUCCUCCCAAACCAUUGCUGUCCAUGACACUAUUGCAAGGAAGCAACCAAGAACCUAAGUCCUAACAAAAAGACAAGUCCUCGCCAUGAACACCAAGUGCUCCCCGGAGGGCGUGAAAGCUGAUUUCUCACUCUGCAACCAUGAAUUCUGAUUUGGUCUUGGGCUCUGCACAGCCAGGAAACCAAGAGGAAGCAAGAGGGGGAAGCCGAGAAUUCGCAGCUCGUGCGCGUAAUCCUGAGUCCUAAACCGUAAACCCUCCCCCCAGCUCAGAAGUCAGAAGCACGCGUACCUGCUAGCUCUACGGCUGCAAGAGCUCGAGCUCUCCCUCCCCGCAGAAAUGGCUGCUGCUGCUGCUUCGAGGCGUUUGGGAGGGAGAGGAAAAGGACAGGUGGGACGAUCCUACAGCGGACUGGCAUGUGCGGCCCCACGCUUCAGCGAGAGGUGUCUCCUGGAACCGGUCCAGCGAGGGUGGCGCGGGGGAUUGGGAGGAGGAUCCUUUGCGGCGACGGUUGCAGGGAAGAACGGUAAAGCACAGCUGGGAGGGACACGUGUCGAUCCGUGGUGUUGGGUGCAUGAUUGGAGCCUUGUGUGAGCGGCACAGGGGAUCGGAUCCAGAGCGGAGGGCUGCGGCUGGCCUGCUGCUGCUGCCGGAUUUGUGAGUCGGUUAAGUCCGCCGAAGCAUCGAAGUGAACGGAACGGGGUACGUUAUCUCGUUGGUUGUUUUCAUUGUUUGGGAGAGGAGUGGGGUUACGCCGUGCGGCCCACGGCCCAGACUGGUGGUGGCGUUUGUUAAGCCGGUUACAGGGCGGUAAGUGUCACACUCCGUUGCAAAUUACAGAUCAUUUUAAUUUUUUAUGUAUAGUUUUUACUAUGUAUCUAAAUAUAAUAUAUAACUAAAUGUAUAAUAAUAUUUAUAAACUUAGAAAAACUAAAACGUUCUACAAUUUGGAACGGAUGGAGUAAUUGGUUAUUUGAGAGAUACGGAGAAAAUAGAGUAGAUCGGUAUAGUGUAGCCACUGAUGUUGAUUGUUUUGGAGAGAUGAGAAUUACGUUGUGGGUUAUUUGAGAGGAGGGUUGAGUUUGUUUGGUUGAGGAGUGAAAAAAAAGAGAGCAAAUAAAUGCCAAACAUAGUUAGUUAUUUGAGAGAAGGGGAUUACCUCUGAGCCCCAGGAGGCUGGGGAGGUGUUGUUUGUUUGUUGUGAUAGUGAGAUAGAGAAAGUAGUGUUACAAUGAGGACACUAAAUAUUUCGUGAAAUUCGAUUUUCCUUCCUUCUAGAAAUUGUCAUACCAAAUUCACUGUUUUUUAAGAGUCCUGUAAACAGUAUUAUUGUCAUAUCGAUCGUACAAUAAGGCAGUACGAUUUCUUUCUCAUCAACUCGUACAUACAUGAGUUUGAAAGAUGGUCCGUUACUGUGAGUUUUCAUGUUGAAUUACAAUUAUAGAAGAAGUUUUCUACUUAAAUCUUCCCUAGAAGCUCAGCAAAAGGCAAGUGGGCAGCAUGAGCCAUGCUAAAAAAGUUAAAGGAAUUAUUAUUACAAUAAUGCUACAGAACAUACUUCCAGAAUCUUAAAAAAAAACUUAAAAAAAAUCGAACGCUCGAUAUAUGUUGCGGAUGGAAUUUUCUAUCCAAAGUCAAAUAACGUAGUCAUUUUUACACAUUAUUUUUCAUGUUGUAAAUAGUGUCUGCUAGUGUUGCACUAGUUAAUUUUUUAAUAUUUUAUCGGAGGAUCCGAUGGAAAAUUUCCCAUCAGACGUCUGAGCGCUAGUAGCACAAUUAUUAUUAAUACAUGAUCAAAAUAAAAUUUUAUAUUGAUCGAAGGUCAAACUGGUGCUAAAAAAUUAUGAGUGAAACGUGUGUUUAGAGGCAUAAAUAAGCUGAGCAUUAAGUUUCAAACACGCGUUAUUCCAGCUCAAAUGUUUGCCUUGUAUGAAAGGAAGCAUGCAAAAUAUAAAUACUACGUGAAAUAUAAAAGUUUUCAUGGAAAAAAACGCCACCGUAGAAUUUACAUAUGGUAUCCUAGUUAUAACGCAAGCUUACAUUUACUCCUUUCAUUUUAAAUUGUAGGUCAUUUUGACUUUUCUAAAUUCAUAGAUAUUAUUAUACAUCUAGACAUACACUAUAUCUAAAUGCAUAAUAAUAUUUAUAAAUUUAAAAAAAUUAAAAUGAUCUAUAAUUUAGAAUGGAGGAUCUGGUAUACAUACAGGAAAACAGAGAAAACAGAGAAAUGUAUCGAUGCAAAAUCGGUGCUCUCCCGUACCGCAAAAUCGGUGCUCUCCCGUACCGAAUCACAAACUAAUCGAGCAACCUAAUUUCGGAGAAACAAAUCCUAACAAAACAUAAACCUUCCUUAAACGGAGAGCCCAAACGCGACAUCCUUCCACACUGUGGCCGCCUACUGCUUCUCGCCUUCAGACGACGACGAGCCCUGUUCCUCUUCCUUUGACGGCGGCGCUUGUACCUGCGGGCCGAUGUCAAUGCCAAAGAGACGCACCCUGCCAGCAGCCACGGCCGGUGACGGCGACGGCCGCCGCUCUUCCGUUACGGUCGACAGCGCAAGCCUGAGGUCGGCCUCGCUAACGGCCGGUGCCGGCGGCGGCGCGGGGCACCUCCUCUUGUUCCUCUUGUGCACGAUCGGCGGGCCGGUGUAGUGCAUCCUCAUGUGGCCUCCGAGCGCCACCCCCGUGGCGAACACCUUGUGGCACUUCUGGCACUCGUGCGGCUCCUCCGCCCUGCGGCCGCGGCGGAACGCGGCGCCGUCCUGGCCCAGACCCAUCAUCAUCUCCGCUGCCGCCGCCGCGGCCUCCGCUUCCUUCUGCCUGUUCCUGUGCCCGGCCGCGUGGCCGCCCAGGCCCUGGUGCGACGAGUACGACUUCCCGCACAGCUUGCAGCUGUACACACGUCGCGGUUGAGCGAGGCUUGCCGGCGGCAGCGGCACGGCCGGCUGGUGGACUGGACGAGCUUGCGGCGGCGGCACUGCCGGCUGGUGGACUGGACGAGCUUGCUCCGCUGCAGGAAUCGGCGCAGCCUGCUGGUGGUGGACGACGGCCCCAGUGGAAGGAUUAUUGGGUCCUGUCACCACCGUCGCCACGGCCGGCGCCUCAUAGUCCAUCGGCUGCGCGGUGGCGCUGCUGCUGCUCUCCUCACCGGAUAGAUUGGUUCUAGUGGACGACAGAACGGGAGUCGACGACGGACUGCUGGUCACUGCGAUCGCCAUGGGUAUCGGCUGCGCCACCACAACGGCCGUGGAGUGGUCGUCCGUGGAUUCAGAGUUCAGACAGACUGCUGCGACUGAAGGUUUACCCCCCGUCCAACCUCGCUUCCCGGUGGCGGCCCAGCCGCCGCCGACCACCGCCGCUUCCGCCAUGCGCCCGUUGCCGUGGACCCUCAUGUGGCCGUCCACAGCCUUCAGGCUGUUGAACCCCCUGCCGCAGACGUGGCACGCAAACCUCCGCGCCGGCGCUUCGGCGCUGCUGACCACAGCAGACGAGUCCGCGCUGGGGUUGCUGCCGUCGUCGCUGAUCGUCCCGUCAGAUUCGCACGACGAACGCGCGACGAGUGGCCGCGGCACCCCGACCGGCCGGCCCGACGCCAUGGCGACUUCCAUCCAGCUCACGCCGCGGCCGAGCUGGCCCUCCAGACGGCGCUGGAGCCGGUAGCCGUCGUCGUCGCCGUCGGUGUCGGAGGACUCGUCGCGGCCGCCGGGGACGUACUCGCCCUCCUCGAGGUCAUCGUCGUCGCCGUCGCCAUCCAGAUCACGCAGGGGGCGGCGGCGGGAGGAGGAGGAGUCCAUUGGGNNNNNNNNNNNNNNNNNNNNNNNNNNNNNNNNNNNNNNNNNNNNNNNNNNNNNNNNNNNNNNNNNNNNNNNNNNNNNNNNNNNNNNNNNNNNNNNNNNNNGGUUUGAAACCAUCGUUGUUGUCCGUUUUCACACACCGACUCGUGUUUACAUUGAACUGCGAUUUUUGAGAUGGUGAAUCAUGAUCCAUUACUGCCUACCCGUCUAAACUAAUACGCUUCGAGAUCAUAAAUGGACGUUUUAACUUAACUAACACAAUUUGGACCUCACGUGAACAAAUUAGCAAGUUUGGAGAUUUAGACGUGCAUUUUGGAAGUUUGGGACCUGGAUGGCAUCCCGAGCCAAGUUCGAGUAAUCAUGUGGGCAUGGUAUGUGCCGUAAAUUGGAGAAGGCCUUCAUGAAAAUCUCCGCCAGCCAUGGAAGGAUUUCAAUCGAUAGACUCUGCGCUCAGUUCUUUCCCUUCAUUUGCAAUGUGAUGCUUUAUUGCAAUCCAUUAUCAUAUCAACUAAAGCUGAAUGUUGAAACCUGUAAUAAUGGACGGUUGUAUGGAAGGAAAAGGGAAUUUGGAUAAAUACAGGUGAAAAUUCAGCCCAGCACGUCUUGCGAUGUACCUCGACCAGCCCAGGAUAAACAUGUGCGGCCCAAAUCAGAUGAUGGGCUGGGUCCGGGCUGAAGCUGUGUCUUCGUGGUGGGCUGGUUCGCUUCGAACUUUAAAUGGCGAAGCCCACUCUCAGCACUGCCGGCAGAGAGAGAGCACCGGCGGCGGCGUCCCCCUCUCGUCGGUUCGGCGAAUGGAUCGGUUGAAUCCGCUGCAGCCCCGCCAUCUUCCAAAUCCCCACGUCUCCGUCCUCCUUGGGUGAUAAACCACCUCGUGCGCGAUCACCGCACAUGACGGGGCACCGUACGUGAAGGGUUUACGUUUCCACCCGAACCAUCUCGUUGCCGUCACGACGCACGCAAAUGGAAGCAUGCAUCGACCGAUCCUUUUCUUUUCGUUCAUGCGCAUGGACUCAUCCGCGCCACGACGAGGGAGUAUGUCUUGGAGAAGAGGCCGGCUAGCUCUAGGCUCUAGCUCCCUGCUGACACCGGUGACACGUCCACAGAGGAGAACAGUGACCCGACGGCGGGCGAUCGAUGGAGAGCACUCGGAGCGAACCGCAGUCACGCAAAGCUCGCUGCUGGUGGGAGCUACCAGCAGAUCGUGCAUCAAGCUACUAUGCCACUCGUGCUCGUGCAAGCAGCUGCACAGGCCAGCCGCACGCAACAAGACGAGAAGGCGAAGAAUUAAUAUCCGGCUACUACUCAUCGUGGACGGACGGACGAGCCGGUCAACCCUCCCUGCCGGCCGGCCCGCCGGCUCCAACAAUUCUCCCAACAGGAGCGCCCGGCCGGCGGCCGCAGCUAGAGCCGAGGGAGACUGGGGAGAGUGUCAACGUGCACUCCGAGGCGCCCUCGCCGCGCACGCAUUUACUCCUCGCUAGCCGCUGGGGGCUCCCUCCGACCCUCCCUGCUGCAGGCACGCGCGCGCACAAUGACGACACAGCACAUGACAGAUGACACAUUCAUUCGUUUCGUUCGUUCGUUCAUUCAUUCAUUCGGUCUCGCGUGCUGCCGCUGCCCUGCUCCAAAUUCGGAGGACUUGUCACUUCCAGUCAGCCUGCAGCCCUAUGGUACGCGCAUCGCUGCGCUUCCUGCACUGCUAGCAGACGCGUAUUUACGCGCCCAUCGACCGCUGCACGACGUCGUCGGCAAUUGCAGCUUGAUCGCUUGGCAUUCAUUCAUCUGGCCUCUCGCGCCGGCCGGCACCGUUGCACGCCGGUGACGAGCUCGGACUGUCACCGCGGGGCAGCGGCGACCGAGUGCAUGCCAGUGAGUGCGCGCGCGCGCAUGCAGGACGGCGGUUUGGGAAAGACGGACCGGGCCUUUCGGGUUCAGCAGUGGGGGAGGCGAGGGAUUGAGGGAAUGCCAGCCACAGCCCCCGGGGGAACUGGAAGUACGGGGGCAGUGCAGUGCAGCGGCGUUCGCACUGCAGGAAUGCAGACACGCUGACAUGGAUGGGGUCCGGCGGAGGCCGAGAGCCCGAGAGAGCGGGAUGGGACGGCUCGCCUCUACAUGCCGCGCAUUCACUCUGAUCUCCACUCCCAAGGGGGCGCUGCAGGCUGCAGCUGCUGCUGACUGCUGAGCCGAGGACGACGACGCAGGGCGAAGGGGUGAGGGGGUGAGGCCAGACCACGGCGGGUAGCGGCAGCGGAGUAGGCAGAACCACCGGGGGAGCAAUAACUCCCUCGUCAUUCUCCUCUCCUCCGAAUUGUGUAUCCGUAUCCUCCCCGUCCCACACCCACACCCUGCCCCUGCUGCCUUACCCCCGUUUUGUCCCCCUGGCCUUGCCUGGCCCGGCCCGUACGAACCACGUACUACGCGCGCGCGCCCAUCUGACGCUGGGCCCCCGCCGGCUCUGCUGCGUGCGUGCUGCCCAUAUUCUCUCCCCCCGCUGAUGAUCUGCUCUCACAGUCCCUCCCUCUCUCAUCUCUCGCCAUCAAAACAUUCAAAACGCACGGCCUUUGUCGUCGUUCGUUCCUGGUCUUCUUCUCUCCUGUUGCAUUGGGGCACGCAUGGGCGUGCGGCUGCUCGGUCAGCCGCACAAGGCGCUCGUGUACGCGCUCGCUAGUCGAACGCAGAGCGAGAGGCGGUACGCGAUGCGUGCACAGGGCCGAGCACAGUGGAUGCCGCACGGAUCCCCAGGGUGACGAGGGAAAGAAAGGGAUAGUGGUGGUCGUCGUCGCUGCCGCCCCUGGCUCGAUCGGGGCGCAUUUCCUCCGCGCAGGCCGGCAGAUGGGAGGAUCAGUGUCGCGCGUAACUCCGCGCCCCCUCUUCCCGAGCUCCCGACGUUGACGGGGUCACCUCGGACGGGACACGCGACUUUCCUCGGCCUCUGAUCGGCGGCUCGAUCGGCACCAUGCAUCCUCGCCCGCCGCCUCCCCGCUCCCGCACGCUCUUUCGCCCCGCGCGCAUUGCUUUUCUGCGCCGCCGUACCGCCUGUGCCCGCGACAACCCCGCGCGCGCGGGCGCGGCGGCCGCCCGACACGAGCCCCACGCCCACGCCGCGCGCCCCACCACCCCGCGAGCGCAUGGUUUUGUUUUGCCUGCAAGUGUUAGCUGCAUCAUCGGUCGUCAUCAGUGUCACGACCUGUGCGCAUCGAGACACUGUAACUGAAGCUGAACCUGAAACUGAAAUUUUGUUCCAAGCCAGCACAUGCACCGUGACGACGAUCGAUCGAACGACGGCGGAUUACAUUGACAGCGGAUAAGACCGGAGCACGUAGAUUGCGCCACCAUCAUCACAUCACGCCCAGCAGCAACCAACAUGGGCGCCGCCGCGGCGGUACCACACGCCGGCCGCGCCGGUCGAUCAAAACCUCAUGUGAAAAACCGCCGGCCGGAAUUAAUGGCCGAGCUAGAAAUGGCAGCCGGCCACCUGCCGCGGUCCAGCCCUCCCCCUCUGCAAGCAGGUAGCGCAACCUGUCGACUCCAUCCAUUUGUUGACGACGACUCUCUCCAUCUCUCUCUCCUGCCACAGCCGCCCGGCUCCGGAAUUACGAGCUGAUCUCGAGGACGGAGCGCGCGGUUGCAACGCGACUCAGGCCUGGUUCACUGACUUAAAUUUAAACACCCGUCACAUCGAAUGUUUAGAUACUAAUUAGGAGUAUUAAACGUACUCCCUCCGUUCCAAAUUAUAAGUCAUUCCAGCUUUCUUGGAGAGUCAAACUAUUUUAUGUUUGACCAAAAUUAUAUAGAAAAUCACAAAAGUUUAUGGCACCGAAUAGAUAUACUAUGAAAAUAUAUUUAAUGAAGAAACUAGUGGUACCUAUUUGAUAUCAUGAAUGUUAGCACUUUAUUGUAAAAAUUUGGUCAAACUUGAGAUGUUUUGACUCUCCAAGAAAAUUGGAAUGACUUAUAAUUUGGAACGGAGGGAGUAGACUAUUUACAAAAUCGAUUACAUAAGUGGAGGCUAAACGGCGAGACGAAUCUAUUAAACCUAAUUAGUCCAUGAUUUGGCAAUGUAUUGCUAUUCUUAUUGUCCCCCUUCGGAGUCUGAGUAAGGAUAAAGCGAAAUAUCCUGGUGUAGAUAGGCAAGAAGGAAAAUGAAGGCGGACCCUGCCAAACUAAGCCGAUCCAAAUCACUAGGGGGCGUUAGACAACGAAACGUCCAUGGGAAUCAGUGCUCGAGUUGGAAGAUGGAAGCCACUUAGAAUAUAUUUCAUAAUGGUUAGGCCCAUGUUCAGGCNNNNNNNNNNNNNNNNNNNNNNNNNNNNNNNNNNNNNNNNNNNNNNNNNNNNNNNNNNNNNNNNNNNNNNNNNNNNNNNNNNNNNNNNNNNNNNNNNNNNNNNNNNNNNNNNNNNNNNNNNNNNNNNNNNNNNNNNNNNNNNNNNNNNNNNNNNNNNNNNNNNNNNNNNNNNNNNNNNNNNNNNNNNNNNNNNNNNNNNNNNNNNNNNNNNNNNNNNNNNNNNNNNNNNNNNNNNNNNNNNNNNNNNNNNNNNNNNNNNNNNNNNNNNNNNNNNNNNNNNNNNNNNNNNNNNNNNNNNNNNNNNNNNNNNNNNNNNNNNNNNNNNNNNNNNNNNNNNNNNNNNNNNNNNNNNNNNNNNNNNNNNNNNNNNNNNNNNNNNNNNNNNNNNNNNNNNNNNNNNNNNNNNNNNNNNNNNNNNNNNNNNNNNNNNNNNNNNNNNNNNNNNNNNNNNNNNNNNNNNNNNNNNNNNNNNNNNNNNNNNNNNNNNNNNNNNNNNNNNNNNNNNNNNNNNNNNNNNNNNNNNNNNNNNNNNNNNNNNNNNNNNNNNNNNNNNNNNNNNNNNNNNNNNNNNNNNNNNNNNNNNNNNNNNNNNNNNNNNNNNNNNNNNNNNNNNNNNNNNNNNNNNNNNNNNNNNNNNNNNNNNNNNNNNNNNNNNNNNNNNNNNNNNNNNNNNNNNNNNNNNNNNNNNNNNNNNNNNNNNNNNNNNNNNNNNNNNNNNNNNNNNNNNNNNNNNNNNNNNNNNNNNNNNNNNNNNNNNNNNNNNNNNNNNNNNNNNNNNNNNNNNNNNNNNNNNNNNNNNNNNNNNNNNNNNNNNNNNNNNNNNNNNNNNNNNNNNNNNNNNNNNNNNNNNNNNNNNNNNNNNNNNNNNNNNNNNNNNNNNNNNNNNNNNNNNNNNNNNNNNNNNNNNNNNNNNNNNNNNNNNNNNNNNNNNNNNNNNNNNNNNNNNNNNNNNNNNNNNNNNNNNNNNNNNNNNNNNNNNNNNNNNNNNNNNNNNNNNNNNNNNNNNNNNNNNNNNNNNNNNNNNNNNNNNNNNNNNNNNNNNNNNNNNNNNNNNNNNNNNNNNNNNNNNNNNNNNNNNNNNNNNNNNNNNNNNNNNNNNNNNNNNNNNNNNNNNNNNNNNNNNNNNNNNNNNNNNNNNNNNNNNNNNNNNNNNNNNNNNNNNNNNNNNNNNNNNNNNNNNNNNNNNNNNNNNNNNNNNNNNNNNNNNNNNNNNNNNNNNNNNNNNNNNNNNNNNNNNNNNNNNNNNNNNNNNNNNNNNNNNNNNNNNNNNNNNNNNNNNNNNNNNNNNNNNNNNNNNNNNNNNNNNNNNNNNNNNNNNNNNNNNNNNNNNNNNNNNNNNNNNNNNNNNNNNNNNNNNNNNNNNNNNNNNNNNNNNNNNNNNNNNNNNNNNNNNNNNNNNNNNNNNNNNNNNNNNNNNNNNNNNNNNNNNNNNNNNNNNNNNNNNNNNNNNNNNNNNNNNNNNNNNNNNNNNNNNNNNNNNNNNNNNNNNNNNNNNNNNNNNNNNNNNNNNNNNNNNNNNNNNNNNNNNNNNNNNNNNNNNNNNNNNNNNNNNNNNNNNNNNNNNNNNNNNNNNNNNNNNNNNNNNNNNNNNNNNNNNNNNNNNNNNNNNNNNNNNNNNNNNNNNNNNNNNNNNNNNNNNNNNNNNNNNNNNNNNNNNNNNNNNNNNNNNNNNNNNNNNNNNNNNNNNNNNNNNNNNNNNNNNNNNNNNNNNNNNNNNNNNNNNNNNNNNNNNNNNNNNNNNNNNNNNNNNNNNNNNNNNNNNNNNNNNNNNNNNNNNNNNNNNNNNNNNNNNNNNNNNNNNNNNNNNNNNNNNNNNNNNNNNNNNNNNNNNNNNNNNNNNNNNNNNNNNNNNNNNNNNNNNNNNNNNNNNNNNNNNNNNNNNNNNNNNNNNNNNNNNNNNNNNNNNNNNNNNNNNNNNNNNNNNNNNNNNNNNNNNNNNNNNNNNNNNNNNNNNNNNNNNNNNNNNNNNNNNNNNNNNNNNNNNNNNNNNNNNNNNNNNNNNNNNNNNNNNNNNNNNNNNNNNNNNNNNNNNNNNNNNNNNNNNNNNNNNNNNNNNNNNNNNNNNNNNNNNNNNNNNNNNNNNNNNNNNNNNNNNNNNNNNNNNNNNNNNNNNNNNNNNNNNNNNNNNNNNNNNNNNNNNNNNNNNNNNNNNNNNNNNNNNNNNNNNNNNNNNNNNNNNNNNNNNNNNNNNNNNNNNNNNNNNNNNNNNNNNNNNNNNNNNNNNNNNNNNNNNNNNNNNNNNNNNNNNNNNNNNNNNNNNNNNNNNNNNNNNNNNNNNNNNNNNNNNNNNNNNNNNNNNNNNNNNNNNNNNNNNNNNNNNNNNNNNNNNNNNNNNNNNNNNNNNNNNNNNNNNNNNNNNNNNNNNNNNNNNNNNNNNNNNNNNNNNNNNNNNNNNNNNNNNNNNNNNNNNNNNNNNNNNNNNNNNNNNNNNNNNNNNNNNNNNNNNNNNNNNNNNNNNNNNNNNNNNNNNNNNNNNNNNNNNNNNNNNNNNNNNNNNNNNNNNNNNNNNNNNNNNNNNNNNNNNNNNNNNNNNNNNNNNNNNNNNNNNNNNNNNNNNNNNNNNNNNNNNNNNNNNNNNNNNNNNNNNNNNNNNNNNNNNNNNNNNNNNNNNNNNNNNNNNNNNNNNNNNNNNNNNNNNNNNNNNNNNNNNNNNNNNNNNNNNNNNNNNNNNNNNNNNNNNNNNNNNNNNNNNNNNNNNNNNNNNNNNNNNNNNNNNNNNNNNNNNNNNNNNNNNNNNNNNNNNNNNNNNNNNNNNNNNNNNNNNNNNNNNNNNNNNNNNNNNNNNNNNNNNNNNNNNNNNNNNNNNNNNNNNNNNNNNNNNNNNNNNNNNNNNNNNNNNNNNNNNNNNNNNNNNNNNNNNNNNNNNNNNNNNNNNNNNNNNNNNNNNNNNNNNNNNNNNNNNNNNNNNNNNNNNNNNNNNNNNNNNNNNNNNNNNNNNNNNNNNNNNNNNNNNNNNNNNNNNNNNNNNNNNNNNNNNNNNNNNNNNNNNNNNNNNNNNNNNNNNNNNNNNNNNNNNNNNNNNNNNNNNNNNNNNNNNNNNNNNNNNNNNNNNNNNNNNNNNNNNNNNNNNNNNNNNNNNNNNNNNNNNNNNNNNNNNNNNNNNNNNNNNNNNNNNNNNNNNNNNNNNNNNNNNNNNNNNNNNNNNNNNNNNNNNNNNNNNNNNNNNNNNNNNNNNNNNNNNNNNNNNNNNNNNNNNNNNNNNNNNNNNNNNNNNNNNNNNNNNNNNNNNNNNNNNNNNNNNNNNNNNNNNNNNNNNNNNNNNNNNNNNNNNNNNNNNNNNNNNNNNNNNNNNNNNNNNNNNNNNNNNNNNNNNNNNNNNNNNNNNNNNNNNNNNNNNNNNNNNNNNNNNNNNNNNNNNNNNNNNNNNNNNNNNNNNNNNNNNNNNNNNNNNNNNNNNNNNNNNNNNNNNNNNNNNNNNNNNNNNNNNNNNCUAUUUCGUCAUGGCCUCAUAGUCAUCAUCUUCUGUCAACCAGGUGAAGUCCCGACCUCCCCUCUUAGAUCUUAGGAAACGAAUACUUCACAUUUAUUCCUUCUUUGUUUCAGCCCCAACGCCUUGGUCCGGAGCUCGUGCGCGCCCAUCGAGUGCAUCCACUCUGAGGACCCGUUGACCCCGGAGGACAAAUUAGGCUUAAUAGAUUCGUCUCGCCGUUUAGCCUCCACUUAUGUAAUGAGUUUUGUAAAUAGUCUACGUUUAAUACCCCUAAUUAGUAUCUAAACAUUCGAUGUGACACGUGCUAAAAAUAAGCAAAAGGAACCAAAAUACACCUCAAGGAGGAGCAUAGAGAGUACUCGAUCUCGAUCGGCACCUGCUGCCAUCCAUCGCAUCGAUGGGGCAGGGUUAAAUGAAUGGAAUGAGCGGGUGACUCGAAAUUCUCCUAAUCAUUCGUACGGGCUGCAAGCGGGCUUGUCAUGAUGAGUGCCCGGUUUGUCGACGCAUGAGUUGUGGCCAUCACGGUAUUGAAGGCCGGGGUCCUGCCGAGGUGGGGUUGGAAAGGGACGCCGGCCGGGGGCGCUGCCUCCCUCCCUCUCAAUCAUGCCGCAUUGCAUCCUUCUCUACUGGUACAUGCUGCAUUCAAAGCCAUACUUGGGGUGUGUUUAGCCCGCCCUGGGGCUCCUCUGAUUGGCCUGCUGGCAUAAGGUCGGUGGCCCCACUUUCUGACGUUAUCGUAUGAAACGGAAGGAUUUUGUAUAUUUCAUCCAGGACGAGCAUGAUCCUUCGUUCUUUUUAUGCCAACCAUGCACUCCUGCAACUUCCAUGAUCUCUGCUCCGUGGAUUCUAGAGAUGAUGAAUGAUGUGAGCUCAAGAUGUUUAUCUCAAUUGGCAUUGCUUCACCACCCACUAUGUAAAUUGAACAGUUAAUAUAUGAGCUCUUUCACGGUGCACGAUACUAUCAGGGGUAGUUCACGGUGCACGAUACUAUCAGGGGUAGUAUAGAGUAUAGACUGUUUUUUGGUAUCGGUAAAAUUGUAAUUAGCAGAACAUAUAUUAUUCAGGAUUUCAAGUCGCGAUCUUGCAGUAGUUGAUGGAUUUGCUGCAGUAUACAUAGACAGAUCUAGACGCGCGCGACGAAGCCUCGAUUUGUUCGGGAAGCAACAACGGCCGCGGGGUGAUGGAGACACGGUGGCACCGACGCAGGAGGAAGCGCCUCCUCCUCCUGCUCUCGCUGCUCUGCCUCGCUGUGCUGCUCCCAAGCACGCUGCUGGCGCCGUCCGCCUCGGUGUUGUCAUCGCCAGAGGCGGCAACGGCGGGUGGCAGUAGGAAGUGGCGUAAUUAGCACAACAUAUAUAAUGCCACUUCACAUCUUUCCCAUCAUAUCCUAUACCGCAUAUACUACUCAUGCAUACUAACUAUACUACAGCUUAAUGUUUUAGUAGUAUACAAUUAAUCUCAACCGUCAGAUCCUUACAUGCGAGUUCUUUUCAAACAUAGUAUAAGAUAGUAUUGUGUACCGUAAAAUACACAGGCACACGCACUUUAUCCUAACGAGCUAGGUGAACGACUCGUGGUUUUACUAAAAGGAAUGCCAUCUCCACCCCCUUCCACCAUAAAAGAGGCAUGGUUCAAAAAUAUAUUGAGUUUCAUCUUUUAUUUGCUCCCAUCCAAAACAUAGUCAAACCCUUCUGUAAUUCCAUCAUGACUUAUACUUAAAAAAAACAGCACUCCUUCCACUCCAUAGUAUUUGUCCAACUGAUGAUUUACUACAUUAUCUUCAAAAAGAGUUCAAAAAGACUUGUAUUGACUUCAAAAAGACUUGUAUUGACUCUUUAUUUAACUAUUUGCCUCCCAUUUCAUUUUGAAAUCAUACUACUAAUUUUUAUAUUAUUUAAUUUUGAAUUUACAAUAAUCACCAUGAACUGGUGUACAGAUAGCGAAAGGGAACGCAAAAAAACCUACGCAGCCAUCCACAGCUAGCAGCGGAUCCGAUAGCAUCUUCCUUUCUUUUACCCACUCAUUUUCACCGAUUCUCUCACCAUACAGUUGCACUUAACGUCAUUUCUCUCAUACGCGAAGUAACACUCCUUUUCUUGUUGGUUCAAAUAACAGGGCAGCCAUUGAUCCAAGAGAAAGCACAUGUGGAGAUGUUAGUUUAAUUAACAAGUUUUUCCUCAUUAUGGGUACACAAGCAUUUGUCAUCUUGCAAAAGAAACCUAAGUUUCAAAUGCUCCACUGCUAUCAAAACAAUCAAAACAAAAGAUGUAACAAACAAUCAAUUCUUGACUUGGCACUAGAGUAGUUUUCAUCAUAUGCAAACAUAAACAUUAAGCAACAUUAGAUGGAGCAAAGUUUGCAUCAAAGCUGGAUGGAUGUUUAUGAGCCUACUGCCUUAUUAUCCUUCUUCUCCUACUAUGUGAUGGCAAUUUUUAAUAAAUAAUAGAUUGAUCUCAAGAAAUCAGUUGUGAAACACUUUCAUUUCUGACUCAUAAAUAUUUCAAAAUCACCGUGGGAAGAUAUGUUCGCCGGCGUACAUGCCACUGUACAUUUGUUAACUUCGUGCAUCUGUUUGUACGUUUGGAACUUGUUAAACCAAAGUAAUAUAACCGUACAAAUUUACUUCAGUAAAUAGAUCGGUACCCUACCAAGUCUUUCAUCGAUAAAACCCAGUCCUGCGCUGCUCUUCGGGACGACCCGAGCGCGUCGCCGUUGCGUUUCCACUUCGACACCUCCUUUUUAUUUCUCCGCCACGCCUUCCCACCCGCCCGCAUACUGACGCACGCACACACCCCAAUCUUUCGGCCUCUCUCUUUCCCACAGAGAGGCGACGAACAGGGGGAGCGGCGCCGCCGUUUGGCCAGGUUUCGUCGGGCGCUUCUUCACCAGCGACUCCCCCAGGUGUGCUCUCCCAUUCCCUUCCCUUCCUGCUGUUCGAAACCGAACGUCUCAAACCCUAAUGGAUCGGAUGCUAUUCUGUAUUCGGAUCUGACAUGUGCUUUGCCUACUAUAACUUGGAAUUUUUGCACCCUGGCGGUGAUGUGAUUUUUUGCCCAUGUAUGUAUGGGUUCGCUUCCUUCUUUUAGAUCGAGGGGUGCCAACGCAUGAACAUUUUUGUAUACUUUCCAAUGUAUUUGAGGCAGUGUUCUUCAUUUUUGGCAACAAAAUUAAGAGGAGGGCCAGCGGGAUUUUCUAUUCUCUCCCCUUCUGAUUUCCAGCAGCUUCCAAAAGAACGCCGCAAGAAGAGUCUAACAACAAAGCUCGUGAUCCUUCCGCCAGGGGCCAGGGCAGCAGACGGAUGGCGUCGUCUGUGCCGGCGCCAUCGGGCUCGGUGAUCACCGUGGCGUCGUCCUCGUCGUCGGCCGCCGCCGCCGCGGUGUGCGGCACGGGGUCGCCGUGCGCGGCGUGCAAGUUCCUCCGCCGCAAGUGCCAGCCGGACUGCGUGUUCGCGCCCUACUUCCCGCCGGACAACCCGCAGAAGUUCGUGCACGUGCACCGCGUCUUCGGCGCGAGCAACGUGACCAAGCUGCUAAACGAGCUCCACCCCUUCCAGCGCGAGGACGCCGUGAACUCGCUCGCCUACGAGGCCGACAUGCGCCUCCGGGACCCCGUCUACGGCUGCGUCGGCGUCAUCUCCAUCCUCCAGCACAACCUCCGCCAGCUCCAGCAGGACCUCGCCCGCGCCAAGUACGAGCUCUCCAAGUACCAGGUGAUCAUUUCACUCCUCCGUACUACCACUCGAUCGUUGUUGAGUAGCUAACGCAUGUAUUAACUAGAGACUUCUUCUUCCUUUCAGGCGGCGGCGGCGGCGGCUUCUGCGUCGACGGGGUCGAACGGCGGGCCGCAAGCCAUGGCAGAGUUCAUCGGCAACGCGAUGCCCAACGGCGCUCACAACUUCAUCAACAUUGGCCACUCGGCGGCGCUCGGCUCCAUCGGAGGCUCCCCCGCCGUGUUCGGGCAGGAGCAGUUCGCCAACGCGCAGAUGCUGUCCAGGAGCUACGACGGCGAGCCCAUCGCGAGGCUGGGGAUCAACGGCGGGUACGAGUUCGGGUACUCGACGGCGAUGGGCGGCGCUGGUGGGCCUGUCUCUGGCCUCGGGACGCUCGGCAUCAGCCCGUUCUUGAAGUCCGGCACCGCCGGCGGCGACGAGAAGCCCAGCGCCGGGCAGUAGGGCGCGGAUCCAUCGUGUCAGGUUUGGCAUGCCUGCUCCGUGUUCUUAUCCAUUUUUUCUUCUGCUGCCGUCCGAGUAAUUCGCGAGUUUGGUGGAGUACGGUUAGUUCGUUAGUUUGCUAGAUGUAAGAUGCAUAAUCAUGCAUGGCUAAUGAGGAGUAGCUAAAUAUAGCUUAGUGCAUGCUUUGAUGCUAAUUGGAGCGCUCUUGUGCAAACAAAUAAACAUUAUUGCGCAACCUUUUGGAUUAAUACAUUAUCGGUGGCUAGUUUCAUGUGUAGCAGUGAGAUAGGUUGAGCUAUUCUCAUCAACGGAAUCAAGAAUCUGUUUUGUCAUGCAUACUGUUUUGCUCUUAAGGUCUGGUACUUGUGCCCAUGCACAGCACACUUUGUGUGGCCAACAAAUCUCUCCUAGGUUUGUGUUGACCUAAACAGCUUGUUUUAUUAGUUGAAGCAGAAGGGUCAGAAAGUAUUGCUUUCGAGAACUUUCGUUUUAAAAAAACGUUUUAAAAAAAUAUUGCUUUCGAGAACAAAUCAGCUUGCAUGGCAGUGUAGAAAGUUUUCUGACAAAAGCCAUUGGUACCAAGAAGAGCACGCACGGGUGUUCUCUGUGAAGUAAUACAGCUAGAGUUUGCCAGUGAUCAUGAAUAGCUACUGAGUAUCUCUAGGAAAGAACUGAUAUUUCAUGCCCUAAUGAACGCACACCGUAUUAUAAUAGCAGCAUUCUUUUUGUCUAUUCAUAAGAUGAAAAUGUACCAUGUAUUUAAUUAAAUAGCAGUUACUACUUUCUACGGUUUGUUUGGUGUGUAGCAAUCAUGUUUGCAUGCCAGCAAGAAUACUCCAUUUCACGACCAUAUUACCAUUUUCUUUCGGUUACCAACCGAUUGAUAUUUGCAAAAUUGUAUUUUUCAGGUUAUUAGUGACGUGAAGAAAUGAAAGGAAAAAAAAUCCAUGAAGUGCUGAAUUAAGACUAAGUGGAGUGCGACGAUUAUCUUAGAUUUCCAUCGUUAGGACGGAGGGUCAGUGUUCUCAGUCGAUUUUACAUGAAGAGUGCAUGCUUAUGUUGUUUAAUUGCUUGUUUGUCAGUCACCGCCUCCCUCUCCAUCCAUCCCACAAGAUGAUCCAACAUUUCAUGCAGGCAUCCACAAAGUGUCUCUGUUGGUGUAGUAGAAGAAACACGCGUGCUUAGCUUGUUCCGGGCUUUUACCACUCGGACGGACGGCUAGCUCCCCCUUCCUCUUGCUAGUUUCUACUCCAUGUACUGCUAGAUUGGCUCUACAACACUACUGAAGUUGACAUUGAGACCUGAUGGGUGUAUCUAUUUGGUACUGCUGCGUAUCCUUGCUUUGACUUUGUGAUGAGAGUUGAUAGGUCUGAUUGAACAAGGCAUGCUAAUGUCCUAGCUAGAGAGGCUAGCUAGGCAUGUCAGGGCUGGAAAUAUACUGUAUCAUCGCAUGGAGAUCCUCACUGCAAGACUCGACCUCGGCAGGCAUUUAUGCGCUGGCUGCAUCCUGCACCUCCUCCCUCUCCCUCGCCCUGGUUUUGCUUGCGAGAGAGGCCAAAAUGGCAGGAGACUAUUAUAUAAAGUCUGCCCUGGCCAUGUCUCUGAAUCUGAAUCUCCUUUCCCUGUUGUUUUCUUGGUUGCAACUAGCGCCGUGCCACUUGGCUACUUGCGUGCGUUCAGCGAGCGUGCAGCCGUGCAGGUGCUUAUAUAGGUAGUAGAGGUCCAGAGCUACUAGCUAGGGAUAGCAGACGGGCAUGCAGUGGCAAUGGCAUGGAUGGGAAGCGCCCCCCGGAUACUAUGGCACCUCGACCGAGAGCCAUCAAAAUAUCACAUCCUGAAGCGGUACUGGUCAAUCCAGAUUGCCAUCUUCCCGUGGUGAACCCAAAAAAGAUCACGCAGCCCUCAGGCUUUAACUGGUAGGUUUAGGGAUCCUGGUGGGCAGGGCUACCUAGUAGGAUACUAGCACGCAGAGCAUUUGCAGCCCAACUGCCAUCGAAUCAGACAUGACAUUUCACCCUGGAUUCGCAAAAGAUAAAGAAACCAGAGCCCUAGGAGACUCCAUUUUUUUUAAACAAAAUCCAAUCAGGGAGAGGUAGAGCCUGCGAUGGAGCGCUGCGCGCUUGCUCUAUUCCACGCGUAAAUGCACGAAUAGUUGCGCUUGCGUCUGUGCAGGGCGACGAUACGUUACACGAAGCUGGCCUUGGCGUCCUGUUCGUGUUCUUGCACUGCUUCGAGGCAUUGGCCCGGCGCAUGCAUGCGGCAUGCAUUCUGUUUGCCUGAUGGGCUUCCUGCUGAUGUGAAGAGAGUAGGAGACUCCCCCCCCCCCCCCCCCCCCCCCUCUCUAUUUGAAUUUUAUUUUAUGAUUAUUUGAUUUGCAAACAUUUUUCAACAAAUCCAUUUGAACAUAUUGCAGUAAGUGUGGUGUAACAUCACCACUACUCCAAUCGAAUAGCUAGGAAACAUGGCAGGCGAAGGCGAGAUGGAGACCCCGGCAAGUUUUGCACGGACAGGGAGACGCACGCACGAGAAUGAUGCAGGCAUGGCACGCAGGCAGCAGAGCGCAAGGGCAGUCAUGCAGACGAGGCGAUGCGUGCACUGGCACUGACCCGCACUGUUGCCCGGGGGCGCGUGGUACGAGCCCUCGGUCCUCUCCUUCCUACUCGCAUUCAUUCAAGACUCGGCGAUGGAUCGUGGAUGCGGGCAGGAGGAGGAAUGGACGGAACAACAAGAUCGCAAGAGGGAGGCGGCGAUCGCAAUGAUGGCGCGGCCGGGGGCGCGAUCGGAGGGAGGGGGCCGGCGGCAAUGAUGGCGAUCGACGGUGGCAGCAGUGACCAGCGCAGCACUGUGCGGGCGUACGCGCAGCCCUGCCGGGCGCAGGCGCGGCGAGAAGGGAGAGGAGAUAUCCCAUCGCAUCGGCGCCCCAGGCCGGCCGGGGCGCGCGUUAAUGCGAAUGCUUCGCCUGCGCUGCGCCCCUCCUGCGGCGCGCGGCGUCGGCCACGAGGCCUGGCGUCUGCCGGGUCUGCCGCUGCCGCGCCUGUGCCUGCGCCCGGGCGCCUUCCUCACACGUCUCCUCGCUCGCUAGUUCUAGCGCGCAGCCGCGGCUGUCGUCGUCUGCCCGGGCCCCUGCGGCUGGACGCUGAUCCGCCGCGCGGCCGGCGCGCCGAGUUAAUGCGCGCCAACGGCCGGCGCGAACAUCCCUUUUGCCGCGCUCGAUCGAUCGCCGCCUCGCGCCCUUGGAUUCUCGCAUCCAGCCUUGUCUCGCACGACGCCUGCCUGCCGCGGACCAUCGUCGCCAGUUUCGUCACUGUGGCCACGCACGCUUGCUCGCUCGUCUCCUCCCCCGUUGUCUCCGCCCCCGUCGACUGCUGGCUCGAUCCUGCAACGCGGCGACGACUGGUGAUUUGACUUGGCUGCGCCUGGCUCCCGUGGACUGAUCGGACACCAGCAACGCUCCAUGGAGGAUGGAUCGGAGCAGCCACAGCCAAGCGCAGCCUGCAGCGCUUCGUCCAAGGGGGGUAAGGGCCUCUUCAAUAUUAUCAGAACCCCAGUCCUAUAAUGUUUAGGAGCUGGUUCUAAACAUUGCAGGGUCGGUCCUAUAAAAAAAAUUAAAGGACUGACUCCGUGCAAAGGACUUGGGCCUUAUUUAGUUGCCUAACUUUGACCAACCAAAAUUACUGUAGCAACACUGUAGCGUUUUGUUUGUAUUUGUAAAUUAUUGUCUAAAUAUUGACUAAUUAGGCUCAAAAGAUUCGUCUCGCAAAGUACAACAAAACUGUGCAAUUAGUUUUUUAUUUCGUCUACAUUCAGUACUCCAUGCAUGUACCGCAAAUUUGAUGUGAUGGGGAAUCUUCUUUUUUGCCUAGUGUCAAAGUUGGAAUUUUGAAGUGAACGGUUCUAGGAAAUAAAAAAUUGAUUUCUCCCUCCCACCCUCCACACCUCUCCUGCCAUGGAAGUGAUUGAGAAGGAAGAGGUUGGGAAGAUGGGAAUUUUUUUCCUCUCGUGGGUCCCAUGGAUGGUGGUUCCAAACAGUUGACGGUUUACAACAGCACAAAUCAAGACUUAAGGGGUGUUUGGUUCUUUCGUCCGGACUAAAGUUCCUAUCACAUUGAAUGUUUAGAUACUAAUUAGGAGUAUUAAAUAUAGAAUAAUUACAAAACCAAUUGCACAUAUGGAGGCUAAUUUGCGAGAUGAAUCUAUUAAACCUAAUUAGUCUGUGAUUUGACAAUGUGAUGCUACAGUAAACAUGUGCUAAUCAUGAAUUAAUCAUGCUUAAUAAAUUCGUCUCGCGAAUUAGCCUCCAUUCGUGUAAUUAGUUUUAUUACUGUUUAGUCCUCCUAAUUAGUCGAUAUAACAUAGUCUAGACUUUACCUGAUCAAACACCCCUUUGGAACCGGGGCCAGUUCCAUGCAUUGGAGAUGCCCUAACCCUCUAGCUGCUGCCUACACGAAGGCCCCUACCCGCCGUCGUCGCCUCGCGUCACGUCACGCACUCACCAUUUCACCAACGUGCGUGCGGCUGCGAUCGGACAGGGGAUCAUCAGAUCUGACGACCGACCCCCCGCGAAUUAAUUCACUGCGCGCCACGCGUUGGGCACAGUCACCUUGCGAGCCGCCGAGCCGGGGGGUGUAGAACAGAACAGAAAGAAAGCCAACGACAAGGACGCGGUGAAAUCAUCAUGAGAGGUGAAAAACAUCAGGUGGGUGGUUGUACUCCCUCCUGGUUUUUAUAGCUUACCUGCAGGGAUAAUUCCGGUGGCCCGGCCGCCGGCCGACAUGCGGACACGUACCAGCAGGCAUGAUCUCGCGCGCCGAUCGCCGUCGCUCGCACGAAUCAUGACGACGUUGCUAUCAGCAUCAACAGUAGUAAGAACUGAGCUAAUGAGAGUACUGCGUCCAGGUGGUGUUCAGGAUUACGGUGCGAUGAUCGAGAUCGAGACUGGACGAAAGGCUAAUCUUGGAGGGAUACAAUACUGAUGCCCGGUGAGCGAGUGAGCAGAGGGCAUGUAUGCCAUCCUGUCGUCGUGCGCCUUCAAGACGAUCGUUCCUCGUCUUGGCAUUUGGCUUGCUGAUCUUCCGGCAUGAACAGGGGCAGGCAGCACUCGUGGUGAUCGUCACUCCUCGAGUCCUCGGGAGUAGUAUCAGUAGUCGCAGAGGGCAGGCUGGGCGCAGAGACAAUUGUGAAACGUUACUCCUGCGAGGAGGGAACAGGAUGGCUUCGGGUUUCAGCAGUGGUGCUUGUAGCCUGUGGCUAGUUACUGCAGUACUGGACAGGAGACGGAUUUUUAGAGAGCUAGUCUGUGUUAGAUGAAGGGAGGUCAAUGCAUUUGACUCUCAAAUUCUUCCGUUACUAGAGUCAAAAGCGGCAUGUCUAGAACGUAUGUGUACGAUUAAGGAAGUUUAGCUAAGAAAUCACCUGGUUUGUUCCACCGUUACUGUCGCGCUGCCUAUGACUAUGUGGCAAUUUUCGGUAAAAUUUUUUCGCUUUGGAAAUAAUUUUGCAUAUGGCCAAGGUCGCAGGUUCGAGACCUGCAUGGGCCAAUCCAAAAUUUUAAGUUUUUGCAUUGUUGCCUUGAAAGCUGCUUUUUCCGUCGUAUAUACGACCUCCUAUGAUGGUCCAAUAAUUCCAGAAUUCAAAUGACUAAUACUGAGCUCAUUGGUUUAAAUUUUUCCUACAACAACUAAUCUGAACUGAAACCAUGAUGCCAUGAACAACAUAAACUUGUGGUUGGCGUAAUUUUUUUUUUGACCAUAUACUUCAGCAAAAGUACAGAACAACUGAUGGAGGCAUAUUCCUGAUCAAUAUGCUGCGUGGCACUCUUUGCAUGGGAUGGGAGACCUGAAAUUUGAUUGUAACCUCUUUUGGUAUCAGGAAGUGUGCCCUAGGAGUUCUGAAGUUCCAUUCUUGAUUUGGAGAAUCGUGGAACGUAUUCUCCAUUCGCCCAGCUUUUAUGAUGGGUCUUCUCGGUUGAGUGCAGCUAUCAGAGACUCAUCAUCAGAGAAAAGCAGCAAUGAUGAACCUGCAGAGUGCAGACAACUGACAGCAUCUACUCCUUGAACGAGUGCUAAAGGCUCUGCCUGUACGGAUGCCACAUGAACAGAAGUCUGAAUCUGGGGCGUUUUCUUCCCGUGUCUUAUUUUUAGCACGUGUCACAUCGAAUGUUUAGAUACUAAUUACGAGUCGUGUACGUACACCAUCCACAUAUUCUCACCGCGCAUUGCGACGCUAGCGGAUGACUUGGACCCGCUGUACAACAUAUCAAUCUGCUGCUCGAACAUGAGGAGUUGGGUGUACUACUCCCCCACGGUGAUCCACUCCGACCGUGCCAGAACGGCUGAAACACCGGGUGUACUCAGCGUCCAACUCGGUGAGGAUNNNNNNNNNNNNNNNNNNNNNNNNNNNNNNNNNNNNNNNNNNNNNNNNNNNNNNNNNNNNNNNNNNNNNNNNNNNNNNNNNNNNNNNNNNNNNNNNNNNNCACUGAAAAUGGUAAGUUCGUACAGCAAAUAUAUGGCCGACUUUUGAAUGGAUUUCAGAUAAAUGUAUAUCAAAAGGGGUAGGUGUUCAUGAGCAAAAUGAAAACUUUGGAGAUGGUAGAAAUCAAAUGGGAAGAAGGAAAAUCUCUGUAUAACCAUUAAGGGUCUUGAAAAUCGUUCACAACCAUACUGGUAAAUUAGUAUCUAAACAUUCGAUGUGACGGGUGCUAAAAAUAAGUCAGUGGAAGAAAACGGGGCGAACUCAUUUACAACUGUAGUAGUAUGGCCUGAAUGUAGAUGCAUGAACCAGUCACGGCAAAAUGCAGAGCUAACCACAGUUGCCAAACUGGAAAACUCUACAACACCACAAAAAGUUUGAAGUCACAUAUAUGAGGUCAUUUUCGCCCCCACUGCAAUUUACAACCAAUCAACAACACCAGAAACUGGGACGAGCUUAACAACUACAGAACUAAGAAUACACCAUAGCCUCAAUAGUAAAGAAAAAUUCCGAUGCAGCCUGUGCUCUUCUUAGAUGUGAUCCCCAUACCCCAGCAAUCUCCUCGACAUCAACGGUUAGAAGUGUACAAAAAUGUUUGUGCAGGAGUUGUCUGCUUCUGACUUCGAGUUUCACACGUGAUUUUCCCGCAUUGCUCUUAAGUCCUUGGUUUUGAUGGUGUUGGAGAUGACGGUGGCUUCAAGUCAGGGUACUGCACAAUAAACUCAAAUGCUUGUGACUGCUUGUACAGUUGUAUCAUAGGUUUUGUGGUCAGUUUGCAUCAUAAAGAAUGAAGAAACAAAGGACCAUGGACGAGCGAAGAUAUUUACAAGCAGAACAAGGGGAGUUAUUUAACUGGGCAGUCAGUCUUGUCUCUAGUUUAUGUCAGUAAAUAGCACUUGGACUGCAAUUCACUGUCCUUGCCAAUUAGUAAUUUCUGUGGGCCUGAAUCAAGCCAUUUAAGUGCCUUGAAAUGUCAGUAUCUAACUUUCAGGUAACCAUAAAGCUAAGCUUCAAUGAAUUGCCAAAAACUAUAGCACGUGCUCAGAUAUCAUGAUCUAAUUUCUUCCUAAAUUAUUCAUAUAUGGCUUUAAAAAUAAAUACCAUAUUCAUCACUCUAGUCUAGAAGCAUAGCAAAUACAAGCAGACCAAUGCCAUUUCUUCCUAAAGUAUUUAUCGCUUUAGAAUAGAUGCAAGUCAAAUAAUGUUUCGUACAUCUAAUACUCUAGCGUUGUACAUGUUCGCGUGACAGCUGGAGAAAACUUGAGUUUAUUGUCAGUACGAAAGAAAAGCAGUAAGAUGUGUGCAAAUACUGUUGAUUUGAGUCAUAUACUAAAUGGUAACCAGUUGGAUCUAUGAAGAAAAAGAAGAAGCAGGAUAAUUUUUUGUGUGGCAGUGAAAAAGCAAAAAGAACCAUACAUUUGGAUAUGGCGAUAAUGGUCUCCUAGUUGCAUGUUCUGCAGAAGUUGUACUUCCAUUGGGAUUUUCAUAAACAUCUUUGGAUUCAUCACUUGCAUUGACUACAGUGGUGCUUGGAGGAGCUAGUGGUUCCUCAUUUUCCCCCUUCAUACCAUCUGCUCCAUCAGCGCUCACAUCUGUGUGAGCUAACUUCAUGCCCUUCUUUUUCCUCGGGAAAACAUGUACAGAUGGGGGAAGGUAGUUUUCUUGAACAGCCUAACGGAGAGGAAAGAGUUAGAAAAAAUGUAUUAUAUCCUUUGCCCCACAGAAUAGAAUGACACCUUACCUGCCACCCUUCUGGGCCUCGCAAGCCCCCUUGAAUUGCAUAGGCUUCCUUGAAACCAUUCUCGAUCAGUAGCUCAGCAACUCUCAAAGAAUUACCAUCAAAGCUACCUUACACAGCAUAAACUUAAGUUGGUAACAAAAUGGCAGCAUGAUAAAAGACCAAAGGGCCUGUAGGAAUUUAAAUACAAUCUCUUUCACAAGAAGCAAAUGUACAACAAAUGCAGCCAAAAAAAAUUCAUUAACUCUGUUCAUGUAGCAAACUGAGGGACAAAAAUUUAGACAACAUCCAUUUUUAAUAGGAUAAUUAUGCAAAUUAAAGCUUAUUAAAUAAUAAACAGAAUAACAAAGUUCCUCCUUCUAUUGAAUAGAAUAACACAGUGGUGCUCGUGUGAAUGCAUUCCUCAUUCUUUGAGAUUUGAGAAGGUACACAGAUCAAUCCUAUUCACCAAAAAUUGAACCGAUUUCAGAGUAGUAAAAUCAACACAGCAUUUGGUUUGCUUAGCUAUAUGCAUUUUACUAGAAGGCUUGUAACUAUUUUUUACCAAAUUCUAAGUUGUUCCAUGCUAAUAAUAAUCAUUUACCACUAUGUACAUUAACCUUUUACAUUGUGGCGCAUUUGUGGUGGGCACAUCCAUGAUUGCCCAGAUUUUGCAUAAUUGUAUUCGAGGCAAAACCUUUCUAGUCAAGGACGCAUCAGAUGUUGCAUCUGGCAUUAUAGGGUAAGUAAUUCAAUCGGUUUUCCAUGUCACUCACUUGUCAAGGACGCAGACGACGGUGUUAGCGGGGUCUGGGAACCUCGCCAGCACCUCCUUGACGAACCCCUUCUCGUCCUCCUCGUCGAACUCAACCUGCACGGCACUCUUCUCGACAAGCUUCAGGUUCGGCGGCGCCAUGAAGCGCACGCUCUUGGCCCGGCGGAUGUCCAGCAGCUGCGCCUCCGGCACGUCGCGGAGCGUGCGGAACGCGUCGAUGGCGCUCACGGGCUUGUACUUCUUGAAGACGUACUCCUGCACCAGCGGGAUCACCACGAGCCACACGAACACGACCCCGGCCACGAAGAAGGGGUUGCGGUUGUUGAAGUCGUCGAUGGCCACCACGAUGGACUCGAGGCUCACCUUCCCGUCGCCCUCCGCCGCCAGGGAAGGGAGCGGCCAGGACGCGACCGCGGCGGCGACGGGGACGAGGGCUUCCCGCCAAGGAGCCGCCUUCCGCGCCGGGAUUGCGGUCUUGGGCGCCGCGGCGGGGGCGCGAGGAACCGGGAUUUCGGAGGGGGUGGCAUUCUUGGCCGCAUUGGGCGGUAAAAGUUGGGUCCUCCGAGGAUUUCUUGGGGGUUUGAAGGGAUUUGGGUGGUGGGAGCUGGAGAUGCGGAGGAGCGAGCACUGUUCUUGGAGUCGGAGGAGAGCCAUGGGAGCGCGAGGCCUGAGCUCUCCGCAACUGCAAGGAUAGCAGAGCUCAGGCUCUGAGCUGCGAGCUGGAUUGCCAACGAUUUCAGCGUCUUCAGCUUAGCUAUCCGAUUGAUCCGCUUUUUUAUUUUUUUUUCUGAAGAAAAACAUAAUCACUAAAUAUGUUGGGAAAAAGGCCUUGGGCUUUCACGACGCAAUUGGGCCUGUACGUAAUAUGUGGGCUUUCGUGAGAAGUUGGGCUGACAGUUUCUACAAAAAGCAAGUUCGUCGCAAACAGAGACUGAAAAUUCGCUGCAUUACAGCAGAAAAAAUUCACCUGUUGUAUGCAAUCGUUAUUGCUUUCAAUAAAAGCAGAGUGAUCUCCUUUUUUCCAUAAAUAAAAAACAAAAAGGAAGAAUUUCACCUGAACAAUCUGAUGCAGUGAUGCCCCUCGACGGCAAUACGUCCAAGAAAGGGAAAAAAACGCAAGCGAAUUUUCUUGCAGUGGACAUGUAUAUGACUUUGGAUUUCGAUACAUUUCAGAAUAUAUUCUAUGUGGUUAAUAAUCGUACAAUACUAAAGCACUUCUCUGGAAAUUUUUCUUGGCUCUGUGCAGUACUAGUAUUCUACUACAAGCUUCGUGUCAGGAGUACAGCCUCUUGACACACACACACACACACACACACUACUGCUAAGUUCGUGCCGCUAGCAGUGAAUCUCAGGUCGACGGCAACCCUGAGAAGAACUCGACGUACUUGGCCGGAUCGGCGAGCACCUUGAGCGACUUCGGGAUGGGCGGGACGUCGACGUCGACGAGCCCCUCCAGGACCUGCACCACCAUCCCCAUGCUCGGCCGCAGGCUCUCGGCGUCCUGCACGCACCAGCACGCCACCUUGCAUGCCCUCUCCACCUCGGCGACGUCCGCCUCGCCGGCGAUCCGGCAGUCCACCGCGCCCCUCAAGUCGCCGUCGAGGAGCAUGCCCACCGCCGUCGCCGGGAAGAAGUCCACGGCACCGUCGCCGCGCUGCCCGACGUUCCUCCGGCCCGAGACGAUCUCGAACAGCAUCAUGCCGUAGCUGAACACGUCGGCCUUGGUGGUGACGGCCGCGCCGCCGAUCCACUCCGGCGCCAGGUACCCCACCGUGCCCCGCACCGUGGUGAGCACGCGGCUGAAAUCGCGGCCCAUGAGCUUGGCGAGCCCGAAGUCGGCCACCUUGGGCACGAACGCCUCGUCCAGGAGGAUGUUCUCCGGCUUGAUGUCGCAGUGGAUGAUGCAGUCCCGGCACUUGUCGUGCAGGUACUCCAGGCCCCUCGCGAUCCCCAGGGCGAUCUGGUACCUCGUCUCCCAGCUCAGGACGCCGCCCUGGCUGCUAGCCCCGAACAGGUGCCUGUCCAGGGAGCCCCUGGGCAUGUGCUCGUAGACGAGCAGCCGCCUCGUCCUCUCGGAGCAGAACCCCAGCAGCCUGAUCAGGUUCACGUGCUGGAUCGUGCCGAUCGUGCUCACCUCGGCGCGGAACUGCUUCUCCNNNNNNNNNNNNNNNNNNNNNNNNNNNNNNNNNNNNNNNNNNNNNNNNNNNNNNNNNNNNNNNNNNNNNNNNNNNNNNNNNNNNNNNNNNNNNNNNNNNNGAGUACAUGUUGAGAUUACGGCGCGACGUCACCGCUUCAUCCCCCUGCCGAACGCCUUCAAGCUUCUUGACCGCGACGGGCGUCGCGUCAGGCAGAGAACCUUUGAACACCGACCCGAACGCGCCGCCGCCGAGCUUCUCGGUGAAGUUCUUGGUCACGAAUUGCAAGUCGCGGUACGUGAACGCCAUGAGGGAUCCUUCGACUCUCCUCAGCGACUUGAUCCUUCUGCUUCUCAGGAUGAGGAUUGUGGCCAGAACGAUGGCGGCGACCGCGGCGACGGACCCCGCGGCGGCGAGCCCGAUGACCAGCUUCCUGGCGUUCCCGGUGCCUGAGAACUCGGACGCCGCCAGACGGAUCGAGAUGCUGCUGCCGCCACCGCUGGCCGUCGUGUCUUGGAGGUUGAUGAGGUCCCCGUACCACAGCGAGCAGCCGCCGCCGCCAGUGUAAGAGUACGCGGUGCAGGAGCAGUUGCCGAGGCACGCGAGCUCGCAGUCACGAGCACUCGCCGCCGCCGCGCUCCGCGCGCUGCUCGGCAGCCUCGCGUCGUCCAUCGUGUAGAACCUGUCGUCGUCGUUCUUGCUGUUCUUCUGGUGCUGCCCGUCUCGAUCGCUGCAUGCGAGGCCGGCGUUCCUGGCGCAGCCGGCGGUGUGGUCGUUCUGCAGCCACUCGCCGGGCCGCCGCUGGCUGAAUCCCCGGGGGCAGCUGCAGGACGGCAGGGCGUUCUCGGUGCAGACGCCGAAGGGCCCGCAGACGGCGUAGACGUCACACUGCUUCUUGGGCUCCGACCAGAAGAGCAUCCACUCCUUGGCGGCCUCCACCCACGUCAGGAACUUGAUCUGCCCCGUGACGUCGAAGAGGAACCGCGUGACCACGGACUCGUCGGUGACGUCGUAGACGAAGUAGCUCUCGUCGGCGCCGUCGACGUAGCCGAAGGUGUACUUGGACAGCGGCGACGCGUCGGUGGGCGUCAUCUCCGGCACGGCGGUGAACGCGUGGCCCGUCCAGUUGCCGCUGCUCCAGUACUGCUCGCCGCCGUUCCAUUUGAGCAGGUACUGGCUGGAGCCGCCAGGGUCGAGCUCGAGCGAGAACGGGCUCGGCGACGGGUCGUUGUAGCCCUUCCACGCGACGAGUUGCGUGACCUCGCCGGUUCGCUUGUUCCGGCCGAGCUUCCCGCCGGGGAGCCACGUGUCGCCGAAGUGGUCGAAGCUCUGCCACCGCACGGCGGAGGUGUUGGACGCGUCCGCCAGCACGAGGUUGCCGGUGUCGAGGAUGACGCCCACCGUAGUGGAGUUGGAGGCGACGACGCCGGUCACGUUGGUUGACCAGACGGUGGACCUCCGGUGAUCCAGGAUGACCAUGUUGCCGUCGCUCGCGAUGGAAAGCUGGGAGGACGCCGGGUCGGUGAUCGCCGCCUCCCGGUUCGCCACCCACACCGUGGUGUGCAACGAGAUUUGGUUGUACCAGAUGCCCAGGUACCAAUGAUCUGACGAGUUGUCUGUUGCGCACAGAAGAAGAGUCAAUUACAUGAUGAUCCAUGCACCGUUUUUUUUUUUAAAAAAAAUUUAAAUUCAUCAUCACACUUGUCCAUCAGGAGUAGUUGUCAAUUUUGGUUGAGGCCGAUUUUCUCGGAGCAAAGAGCGCGUGGGUCACUUUGCGCCAAAAAAAGACUUUGAAAAGGUCAAGUACUAAAUCCGCAUGAUCGGGAAGAACAUUAAAAUAUGAACACGGCCAGGUGCGAUUCCAGAAAAGAAGAUGCUUUCAUCAGUUGAUUAGCAGGUCUUCACGCUAGCUGUUGGUCACUCUUUGCCUACCUUGCUCUUCUUUCCUGAUACGUGACAAUCGGCUGGAUGUGACUUCAGGUUCGGAAAAAAGUUAGCAGUGACCAGUGACUAAGUGAGGCGUUUCCAUGGUGAAUCUUAUCAUAACACUGGACGGAAGAAACGUGCCUUUCUGCCAUGGAUUUUCCCCGUGUUGCUUUCUUGAUUCGUUGUUUAUUUCAUAGUUCAAAUGUUAGUAUCUAGGCCUACAUGUAUAUUUGUUUAUUAUCAAGAAAAACAAUACAAGUUCUUAUCAAGACAAAUACCAAGUUACCCACUGAAAGCAAAACAAAAAAAAAAACAGUCCUGCUCCAGUUAAUUGUGCUCUUGUAUAUGGCUUAAACUGACUGACAUGCUCGGGGAAGUAUUUGGAUUUUGAAGUUGCAUCUAGUACCUAAGAGUUAUGUAGUACUCGAUCAUAUGUAAUGAGCAAAUAAAAAGGGUGAUCAUUAGCUUAUUUUUCGUUCAGUGUGUGUUGCACGUACCGACAGAAAUUUUCACUUCAAUAAAAAACAACAAAUUUGUUUAGAUAUAGAUACAGAGAAGAGUAUCAAAGCUGAGCUUCACGCCAAAAAAGACAGCAAAAAUCCGCAGUUGUACGGAUGCAGCUGGGAGCAAAAAGCCAUAGCAAAAGGUAGUACCUGGCUGGAAGAAGCCGAGCCUGAACUUGCCACGCUUGGACACCAGGCUGUCCCCGCCGGACAGCGGCCGGCCGGCGGCGACGGUGUCGCCGGCUUGCGACGGAGCUCCCUGCAGCAGAAGCACGAAGCCGAGGAGGAGGGGAAGAAGAACACAUGCCGGAGCCGACCUUCCACGGGGAGCCGCCAUUGCUGCAGCCUCCAAGGUCGAAGGGACAACCGAGAAUACCGAACAGAAACGGAAAGGGAUCAGAGUCUCAGCGCCAAGCAACUAGUAGUAGGUGGCGGCUAAUGAGCGGGCACUCGAAUGCGACGCGGGGACGGGGGUGGAGAAAGCGAGAGGGAAUGAAAAAGAGACGGCCCUCGCCCGACCGGUGGUCUCUGGUCACGUACAUGGCGUCGCCGCGACGCUGCUGUGGGGAGAAGGGCGACGGCAAGCGACCGCGGCCGGGGGGCUUAAAUGCGGCCAUCGUACGGGGGCGGAGGAGUAGCCCCGGCCCCGUCGGCACGCCGCGCGCCCGCGCACGCCACCAUCCUACGUCUCCACAUGCUUUGACGCUUCACGGUGUGAAGCUAAUGAAAUCCUCCAUGUGCAGCGCGAUCCAUCGGGCCGCGGCCAGGUGGAAAAUCACAGCUGGUUCACAUCGUAGCACGGUACGUGUACCGGACAGUAGGAUCAGGACCGGCACCAUGCGUUCCUGUAGCAAACGACGAGCUCGAUGGGAUGGGCCGUCAUUAACGCGAGUGGGGGCGCGCCGGCCUCUGUACCGGCGGCUUUGCAGGCAGGACGCGGGCAUUAACGAGCCAACGGCGAUGCGCCACCACCGAACGAACUCCCGCCGGGUUCGCUGGUGUCGCGCUCGUCGCCGCUCGCACAGCGCCCCUGCCCCCUGGUGGCGUGGUGGGCUGCCGCGACCGGUGCCUGGCGGCAACGGAGAGUUCAGUGCGGCACAGCGCAGCGGGACGGAGGGCAUGUGGGAUGUGGGCGCCCAUCAAUGCCGGGCGGGGAGCGCGACCGCGACGCGAGCCCCCGGGGGCCGGGGCGGCUACCUGAGACAACAGAACAGAACCGUGAGCCCGUGACUCGCGGUCGUCUUUGUUCUCUUCUCGUCGUCGUCGUCGUCUCCGGCCGGCCAACCUCGCCGUCGCCGUGGCCAUCGUCAAACUUGAGGUGCCAACGGGCCCCGCGCUAGUUUUAACUUUCUUGGCCCCAAUCAUGCGGGAUUCUUUUGCUCUUUCUCUGCGGCUCACGCGGUUAAAAAAAUCACAACCCCUGUCCACACUGCGCCAGUGCGUCCUACGGCAGCGUGACAGUGUCAUGUACUACUCAGGUGCGAUCUUUUUCUCUGCCGACUGUGUCGUACCGUCGUAUGUAGGAGUGAGACCUAACUCAACUGUGGUUCGUUUAAGAAGACACGACUGCAGGUGUACGGCCGAAUCACAUGUGAUCGGUAGUGCUUCUAAUCACACUCACAUGAGUACGCUUCAAGAGCACUAGUAUGCGCAAUUGGCGUUAUGGCAGCGUACGGGCCUUGGACAACAGCGUGAUAGAACGUGACUAGUGGGUAAGGUGCUCGUGUUUCGUAGCUAACGGAAAUGAUUCAAGUCCAACUACCUGCACGUGUGGUUGUAAGGCUCUCGUGUUUCGUAGCUAAAGGGGAUAUUCUUUUUUUUUAGAGGAUGAGGGGAUAUUCUUUUUUUUUAGAGGAUGAGGGGAUAUUCUUACGAGUCCAGGUCGCCUGAAGAGAACCAUAUGGCCCACUGGUCUCGUACCGAAGCCCACGGAUCUCUCACAAAAUGAAGAAGGCCAACUUGUAGGGAACGAGAGGCCCAUUAGAGGUGCAAAAUGCGCAGAGCGGUUCCUUUGGCACCUGAAACCGGUCGGCCUAGCAGAUCCUUUUGAAAACAGACAAUGUCUAAAGGCAAAUAAAUAUUUAUUCGAAAAAAAGGCAAAUCAACAUCUGAUAUCCAUGGAGGACACAAAAUCAAUCUAUUUGGGCGGCAGAGGCUGAUACGAAAAGCACUAAACUUCUGAAGGAAAAUUGACAUAGGAUGGCCAGAGCAAACAGACAAGUUUGCUGAAUGGCAGAUGCGAUUACGGAUUACCUAAUGAUGGAGCAGAGAAGCAAACAGUGGUGUCAAAGGUUCAUAUGACUGUCGACCUGUCUGCUCCAAAUUUCGACAAAAAUCCAUCUAGGUGUCAAAGGUUCACAACUUCAUAUGACUAAUUUGCGCUAAUUCCAGAACAUAGACGGAACGAGAAUCAAACCCAAUAGGGGAAGUCGCGAUGACCAAAAACCAGAUGAGUCAACAAAUUGCAGUUGUGACUUGUUGACUUUGAACCUCGCAGGCUCGCAGUCGCAGCGAACCCGUCAAGUGGCCGAGCUGCUGCCUGAACGUUGGUCAUCAAAUCAUCUUGGGACUUGGGGGUACCACCAUCCCUUGUCAUGGAGUGGAGAUUCAGCGACACACUAUGCUCUUAAUGUUUAUUAAAGCCUUACCGGCACCAUAAUUCGCAGCUUCUUUACCAACUCAACGAUUCUCAGAGCUGGAGAAUAAAGACACAAUACAAGUCAGCCUGGAUAGCAUAAACCUUAAUUGAUAUAACCAGAAUUAUUACUGAAAGCUGACCUUGUUCAGAAUAUAGCAUUGUUGACUGAAAUGUACAUCCAACAAAAGGGCCUUUUCUUACUAACGGCUUCAACAUCAGGAGAGCGUCACAGCAUGGAUUUAACUAGAGAGGAAGAGGACAGGAAUGCGUACAAAAGUCAGAUUAAUGCUAUGAUUAACAUGAGGAGCUUCACAUAUAAACAUCCAAUCAUCCAAUGUGCUGCUGAACUAUGAGUUCAUAGCAAGUAGCCUUUUCUCACCUGGAAACUGAAGACCAUCCUUUUUUCCCUUUGAUUUCUUGUAUGGCUACCUGGCUUUCUUCAUGCACCAUAUCCUUACUUUUACUUCUAAUUUCUCUCCAACAGUCUCCAUUGCAUGCCUCCGAUACCCUCACUUCGAACCAGCAGCUCUCCGGGAACCAGAAGCUGAUCUCUCGGGAUGGCAAUUUUGCACUGGGAUUCUUUCAGCCUGCAGGUGAGUCUUAAAUGAAAACACACAUAUGUUAGACAUACAGAUGAACUAACUGUGAAGUUUUCGAAGGGAUUCUUUUUCCCAGAAAGCAAUCAGUAGAGAUUAGAGAAGCACUAAAGUGAUUUGUACACAUAAUAUAGAUCAGUAGAGAAUCAGUAAAGUGAUUUACACACAACAUAGAAUUUCAUGUUCAAGUUCCAAUCUUAUAAAUACUAGAAAAGACAGUAAACCUUCCAUGGUGAUCUCUGAAUUAGAAUGCAAGGAGUUAAUUUUUUCGUAGCAUCAUUGGUUGAUGAAUUAUGAUCUGACAGUUCUCCUAUACUGCAUUUGUGGCUGAAGGAUCCAAUGGCAGGUGGUACAUAGGCAUCUGGUAUAAUAAAAUCCCAGAACAGACUAUAGUGUGGGUGGCGAACAGAGAGAAACCAGUCUCUGAUCCAGUCUCAUCAAGCCUAACAAUCUCAGAUGAUGGUAACUUCAUUCUCCUGGCUAACCACUCUAAAUCCCCCCUCUGGUCUACCAAUAUUAAGAACAACACAGCUGCUAGUUCAACAGUUGCUGUGCUCCUCGGCAAUGGCAACCUUUUAGUCAGACAUGAGUCUAAUGCCUCUGCUGUGUUAUGGCAAAGUUUUGAUGAUUUCACAGACACAUGGCUCCCAGGAAACAAGCUCAGCCGCAACAAAAAAACCGGUGUGAUCAAACGGAUGAUAUCUUGGAAAGACCGAGGUGACCCAGCACCAGGGUUGUUCUCCAUUCAGUUGGAUCCUAAUGGUUCAAAGCAAUAUAUUCUCCAAUGGAAUAGCUCGGAAGUGUACUGGACUACUGGCAAUUGGACUAACAAUGGAUUCAGUGGUGUGCCAGAGAUGUCACCUGUCAAUCCCUAUCCCAGCUCAAGGUUUUUGUUCCAGUUUGUUGACAAUGAUGAAGAGGCAUAUUUCACGUACAAUAUUAAGAAUGAUGCAUUAAUAUUUACAAGAACUAUUAUUGAUGUGUCAGGCCUGUUUCAGACUUUGGUUUGGGCAGAGGCACAGCAAGCAUGGGCAAACUCUUUCACGAAACCAAAAGCUAAGUGCAGUGUUUAUGGUGUGUGUGGGGAAUACAGCAAGUGCAGAGAGAAUGCUGCUUCACCAUGCAGUUGCCUCAAGGGCUUCAGCGAGAAUCACCCAAACAACUGGAAACUAGAUGACCAGACAGCAGGCUGUAGGAGAAACAUACCGCUACAGUGUGCCAACAAUGGCUCAAUGAAGGCAAAGCAUGAUAGAUUCUACACUAUUGAUAGUGUGAAGUUGCCAGAUAAUGCACACAUCACCGAUGCAACCAAUGUUCAUGACUGCGAGUUGAUUUGCCUGAACAACUGCUCUUGCUUGGCUUACUCUCAUAAUGGCACUUGCUUGGUUUGGUACAACCAUUUGAUGAAUCUUCAAGAUAAUAUUGAUACAUCAAGUGAUAGUAUCUUUAUUAGAGUGGCUGCAUCAGAACUAUCCAACUCGGGAAAUAAAAAGUUGUGGCUUAUUGGGAUCAUCAUCGGUGGAUUUACUGUUCUAAGUUUUGGAGUGGCCAUUUUAUAUUUUCUCCAUAGAAGAAGAGCAAUAAUUAAUGGUUUAAAUCAUGAUAACGGGUCUUUGAUCAGUUUCAAAUACAGUAAUUUGCAACUCCUGACAAGAAAUUUCUCAGAGGUGUUGGGUGCAGGGUCUUUCGGCUCUGUAUUCAAAGGGGUUGUAUCAGACACCACAGCAGUGGCAGUCAAAAAACUUGAGGGCUUUCAUCAGGGGGAGAAGCAAUUCAGGGCAGAGGUGAGCACGUUAGGAAAUAUUCAUCACAUUAACUUGAUUCGCCUGCUUGGAUUUUGUUCUGAAGGAGCGAAGAGAUUGCUUGUCUAUGAGUAUAUGCCCAAUGGUUCACUUGAUAAACACUUGUUUGGUAGUAGCUCUACCACUUUGAGUUGGAAAAUAAGGUAUCAAAUUGCUGCAGGGAUUGCCAAGGGUUUGGCUUAUCUGCAUGAGGAAUGUCGGGAUUGCAUCAUACACUGUGAUAUCAAGCCAGAAAAUAUAUUGUUGGAUGAUUCAUUUGUUCCAAAAGUGGCAGACUUUGGAUUGGCAAAAUUACUAGGUCGGAAUUUUAGCAGAGUUUUGACAUCUAUGAGAGGCACAGUAGGAUAUCUUGCACCAGAAUGGAUAAGUGGUGAAGCCAUCACGACAAAGGCAGAUGUCUUCAGCUACGGAAUGAUGCUUUUUGAGAUCAUUUCUGGAAGGAGGAAUCUGGAGCAUAAGGAGACAACCAUGGAAACAUUUUUUCCCAUGUUGGUUGCAAGGAAGCUUCUUGAAGGAGAAGUGCAGGCACUGUUGGGCGAAGGAUUGAUCAAUGGUGUAAAUGAAAGAGAGCUAGAAAGAGCAUGCAAGGUUGCUUGCUGGUGCGUUCAAGGUAAUGAAAGUUCCAGACCAACAAUGGGGGAAAUUGUAAAAAUUCUGGAAGGGGUGAUAGAUGUUGGAAUGCCACCGGUUCCAAGGUAUCUUGAAGUUCUCUGUGAAGGUUCAGAGAAUGCGAAAUUCUUUUCCUAUGAAGCAGCUAAGUGAAUAGUUUAGGAAAAAUAUGUUUUCUAAAUACAUAUGAGUGUGAUCCUAUACUGUAAUUUUGACGAGUGCAGUGUGAAGCCCCCUUAAGUGAACCCAUCCGGAGUCCUGACAAUGAUUUGGGAAACAAAAUAAAUCAAAGGCUGGCUCAUUCGGUUUUUCUACUUGUGCCACCAGAUCACCUUUGUCCCUCUACUUUUAAAAUGCUCAAAUUGGUUCCACCUCGUUUACAAUGUUUUUUCCCCGAAAGAUUUGGGCCAUUGUGUCUGGCGUGCGGCGUGUAUUGCUAAGAAGAGAAUUGACCCAGUUUAUAAGGAAAACAGAGUCCAAAAACCAUACAUUACCCACUACCUACAACUACCAACCAGUUUACAGUUUUUCUUGAACUGCAUGUAAUCUGACAUGGCAUCCUGUACAGUAGACACGGGUUGGAUGCUGCUAGCUCAAUGAAAUCUUCGUCCAAAUUUCUCGCCCCAAAAAAUUCCAAUGUAAUGCCAGUUCUGCAGCUUGGGUUGCAGUGGCAAAGCCAGGAUUCAAACACAUCCCGAGCUGAAAACUAACCGGCUAAAUACAAAUGCUUUAAACAGAAGAGCAUAAAUGUGCGUUUAAAUAUAAGUUUGAACUCAUCGAUUAACAAUCGUAACAGAACAGAUAAAACUUGACAGCAGCUACCAAAAGAAAGGUUACGACAGAUCCCACAUUGCGAGAUUUAUCCUACAUAUCCCAGACAGUAAUCCCUAGCAAACACAUCACAAUCAGACACUAUCACACAUUAUAUUCGAGCGCUUCGUAUCACAGAUUUCAAAGGCUAGGGUGACUUAUCCUGUUACCCAGGAGACACGGCACGACGAUGUUGAAUUGCUGAUGGUUCGCAAGGAACGAUGCAGCCAUGAAGAACCGAUGCAGCGCCUGCGGCGAAGGAGAGGCCAGGAGGGGCAGGCCGACGACCGUCGGACGCGGGGGCCGAGGGAAACGCGGGGCCAGGAGUCGGGACGGGUCGACCGGGAGGGAGGGGAGAUUUCAGCGGUGGCACGGUCAGGCGGACAGCCGCAGUGGUGCGCCGGAGUCGGAGCCGUGGAGCCCGCAAGGCGCAAGCGACGGGGAGAGACGACAGGUGGGUGGGGUCCUGGAGCGUCCGAUUUUUUGAUGGGCUGUGUUGCUUCUGUCCUACUGGGCUAACUAUCAGUGUGGGCUUCAUGGGCUGGCGCUUGCUGCUUCGAAUUCGAUCCACAGAAAACAUUGCACGGGUAUCAUAGGAUUGUUGAUCCUCUCCAUAUUUUGAAAGAAUGUAUUUUCUGUUUAAUCUCGAUUUUCAAAGUUCCAUUCCAAUGCAUCGCUUCUUUUUUAUCUCCUCUCACUUAGAACAUUCACCUCUAAGAUUCAUGCAUUUCUCCUAUGAUGCAUCCAGAUAACCCAUAUGAACAAUGAUCUCCUGUUUAUAGGAUUAGGGAGCUAGACACUUGCAACGUUUCAUUUUUCGUAGCUGGUUUGAGAAUUGAGAAAACUCGCAUACCAAGGAGGCCUCUAACCUCGUAGAUGAAUUUUAGGUAGGAUUAAAAAGUAGACGUGUAACCACUGAACCAUGUAAAAAGAAACUAAAACAGCUGACUUUUUUUUUGAAAGGGAAACAGGCAGGAGUUCUGCCGUUCCAUAUAGUAACAAAGAAGAGAAGCAUAGUUUGACCAAACAAAGAUGGACCAAGGCCCAAAAUAACAAGACAGGAAAGAAACCAAAAAAAUGCUGAAGGUCAGCUCAUCUGAGAAAGGACGCUAGGCAUCAACUCCCUGAAGCAUCUGGCGCCCGCCAAGCACCACUACUAGACCAGAUGGGAAGAAGAUUCAUAUGACUGGCACUAAUAAUUCUAGAACGGAAAGCAGAUGGAAAGAUAAGUGAAGAAAAUCCGACGUCCAGACCACCAGACCAGUGGAAUUUGGUGCGGAGCAAGCCAAUGACAGAAGCAGUAAACGGAGGACAAACCCGUAAUUGCCCAUUGUGGCUGCCUGACCGUUGAAUGCACAGUCUGGCCACGACAAGUCAUCCACAGAAAUUUCUGACACCACUACUUGUCCUUUGAUCGUCUUUCUGGCCCUAUUUUCCCUUUACCGAUUCAACGGUUAGGGUGCGUUUGGAUCUUUAGUCACAUCGAAUAUUCGAAGAUUAAUUAGGAGGACUAAAUAUGAGCUAAUUAUAAAACUAAUUAUACAGAUGGAGGCUAAUUCACGAGACUAAUCUAUUAAGCCUAAUUAAUCCAUCAUUAGCACAUGUUUACUGUAGCAUCACAUUGUCAAAUCAUGAACUAAUUAGACUUAAUAGAUUCGUCUCGCAAAUUAGUCUCCAUCUGUGCAAUUAGUUUUGUAGUGAGUCUAUGUUUAAUACUCCUAAUUUGUAUCUAAACAUUCGAUGUGAUAGGAAUUUUAGGAGGUGUUAAAGAACAAACACCCCCUUAGAGUGAAGACAUACUGCAAGUCCCGUUCGUAAUGAUCACUGGCCAGAAUUAACUGACAAAUAGAAUAAUAUGACUGAAACUGGACGGCGGUGGAGACAUCAGAGGCCGUUCAAAGAUGAAUCUAGAAAACUCAAGCCAGACAAACAACGGCUUCAAGCCUUCAACACGAGAAGGCGACACAGCACUGUACUUCCAACGAAAAACAACAACAAAUACGCAUGAAGUCAGAUUAAUGCUACGACUAACAUGAGUAGGUGCGGCGCAUAUAAACAGCCAGUGUGUUUGUGGGUUCAUAACAAGUUCUUUCCCACCUAAAAAACCAAAGCCUCUCUUCCUUGAAUUUUGUGAAUGGCGACCUCUCUUCCUUCAUGCGCCCUAUACUUACUUCUGCUGCUUUCUCUCCAACAUCCAUCUCAAGCCUCUGAUACCCUCACCGCAAACCAGAAGCUCUCCGGGAACCAGAAGCUGAUAUCUCAGGACGGCAACUUUGCACUAGGAUUCUUUCAGCCUGCAGGUGAGCUCUUUUACCAAUCACAAAUCUGUUGUGAUAUAUAGCUAUGCAAAUGAACAAGAUCCAAAACUGUAGGGAGCAAAAAAUCCAAAAGGUUAUCAGUGGAGAGAGCUGUGAAAGUGACACACACACACACACACACACACUGUACUAUAGAAUCUCACUUCGGACCAAUGUUAUCAGAAUCUUUGAUUGGAGUCGAAUAAGCUGAACAAAUCAUGAUCCUAGAUUGAGAAGAGCAAUCCCAUACUAGGUAGAAUCUUAACAAAAAAUAUGAUCCAAGACAAAAUGAGUACGAUUUUAAUCAUAAUUUAUAUUUGAUUCUACAAUAUUCUUGUUAAAACUACAACGAACAGAUCUACUGCAUUUGCACUAUAUUAUUGAAAAAAAGAUUAAAAGUAUGACUUAAAACAUGAAAAAAAGCACUAUAUUAUUGAAAAAAAGAUUAAAAGUAUGACUCAAAACAUGAAAAUAUAAUGCACACAGAAGUAUGCAUUAUUCAGCCAAUAUUCAUUUAACCAUUUGCGCAGCCAUCAUAUCAAUGAGUGCAACUAUAACUCUAAAAGGGUGCCAUUAUGAGUAGAUAAAUACUAACACCACCACUAAGAGAUCACCCUACAAUGAGAUCCUAAUGGUCCGAUGAUUUCAAGGUCACAAGUUUGAAUACAUUGUUUCCAAAUCUAUCAGUAUUGGAAAUAUCAACAAAACUUUUCAUGAUGAUUUCAGAAUUAGUAGAAUACAUGCGGCAUCGUCAGUUUUGUUAUCUGACCUUAAUUUUUCUUUCCUAGCUCUUGUAGGAGGAUCAAAUGACAAGUGGUACAUAGGCAUUUGGUACAACAAAAUUCCAACUCAAACUAUAGUGUGGGUGGCUAACAGAGGGAAACCAGUCUAUGAUCCAGUCUUGUCAAACCUAAUCAUCUCAGAUGAUGGAAAUCUUGCUCUUUUAGCUAACCAUUCUAAAUCUCCAAUGUGGUCUACCAAUAUUAGGAACCACAUAGCUACCAGUUCCACAAUGGCUGUGCUAAACAACUCUGGGAAUCUUGUAGUCAAACAUGAUUCCAAUAACUCAACUGUGCUGUGGCAAAGUUUCGAUGAUUUCACAGACACAUGGCUCCCAGGAAACAAGCUCAGCCGCAACAAGAAAACUGGUGUGAUAAAACGACUGGUCUCCUGGAAAGACCGUGGUGACCCAGCACUGGGACUGUUCUCCAUUCAGUUGGAUUCUAAUGGCUCACCCCAAUACAUUCUCCAAUGGAAUAACUCAAUAGUGUACUGGGAAAGUGGCAAUUGGAGUGGCAACGCAUACACUGGUGUGCCGGAAUUGUCACCUUCCAAUUCAUAUCCGAACUCAGGAUAUACAUUCCAGUUUGUUGACAAUGAUGUGGAGACAUACUUCACAUACACUGUUAAGAAUGAUGCACAAACAUUCACUAGGGGUAUUGUCGAUGUGUCAGGUUUGUUCCAAACUCUUGUAUGGACAAAUGUAACACAGGCAUGGACUCCUUUUUUCACGCAACCAAAAGCUAAGUGCAUCGUCUAUGGAGUGUGUGGGGAAAACAGCAAGUGUAGUGAGAAUGCUGCAUCAUCAUGCAGCUGCCUCAAGGGCUUCACUGAAAAGUACCCAGAAAAUUGGAAACUGGGUGAUCAUACAGCAGGCUGUAGGAGAAACGUCCCACUGAAAUGUGGGAACAAUGGCUCAAUGAAGACGAAGCAAGAUAGAUUCUAUGUGAUCAAUAGUGUGAAGUUGCCAGAUGAUGCACGCAGCAUAGAUGCAGCUGACGUUCGUGCCUGUGAGCUAACUUGCUUGAACAAUUGCUCAUGCAUUGCUUACUCUUACGAUGGUAGUUGUUGGGUUUGGUACAAUCAUUUGAUGAAUCUGCAAGAUAAUAUUGGUGGGUCGAUGUAUAGUAUCUCUAUUAGAUUAGGUGCAUCAGAACUACCCAACUCGGGAACUAAGAAAUGGCGGACCACUGCGAUCAUCAUUAGUGGGCUUAUUGUUCUAAGUUUUGGAGUGACCAUAUUAUAUUUUUCUCAUAAAAGACGAAGACCCAUAAGUGGUAUAAAUCAUGGUGAUGGGUCUUUGAUCAGUUUCAAAUACAGGGAUUUGCAAUUCAUCACAAGAAACUUCUCAGAGAGAUUGGGUGCAGGGUCUUUCGGAUCUGUGUUCAAAGGGGUUCUACCAAAUGCAACUAUAGUAGCGGUAAAAAAGCUAGAGGGCUUUCAUCAGGGGGACAAGCAAUUCAGGGCAGAGGUGAGCACCAUAGGAAAUAUUCAUCACAUGAACUUAAUUCGACUGCUUGGAUUUUGUUCUAAAGGACCAAUGAGAUUGCUUGUCUAUGAGUAUAUGCCCAGUGGUUCACUUGAUAAACACUUGUUUGGUAGUAGCUCUACCACUUUGAGUUGGAAAAUAAGAUAUCAAAUUGCUGCAGGGAUUGCCAAGGGUUUGGCUUAUCUGCAUGAGGAAUGUCGGGAUUGCAUCAUACACUGUGAUAUCAAGCCAGAAAAUAUAUUGUUGGAUGAUUCAUUUGUUCCAAAAGUGGCAGACUUUGGGUUGGCAAAAUUACUAGGUCGGAAUUUUAGCAGAGUUUUGACGUCUAUGAGAGGCACAGUAGGAUAUCUUGCACCAGAAUGGAUAAGUGGUGAAGCCAUCACGACAAAGGCAGAUGUCUUCAGCUACGGAAUGAUGCUUUUUGAGAUCAUAUCAGGAAAGAGGAAUCUGGAGCACACGGAGACAAGCAUGGGAACAUUUUUUCCUGUGUUGGUUGCGAAGAAGCUUCUUGAAGGACAAGUACAGACAUUGUUUGGUUCUGAGAUUUUCAAUGCUGUGGGCGUAGAGCUAGAAAGGGCAUGCAAGGUUGCUUGCUGGUGUGUUCAAGACAGUGAAAGUUCCAGACCAACAAUGGGGGAAGUUGUCAAAAUUCUGGAAGGUUUGUUAGAUGUUGAAAUGCCACCGGUCCCAAGGUAUCUUGAAGUUCUUGCUGAAGGUUCAAAGAAUGUGAAAUUCUUUUCCGAUGAACCAGCUAAGUGAAUAGGUCACAAAAAGUAUCUCUUCUAUAAACAUAUUAAUAUGUUCCAUAGUGUAAGUAACUAUGAUGGCUCAGGUGUAAAGCCCCUUACGAUGAGUUGGGAAAUAAAAUAAAAUCAAAGGUUGGCACAUUUGUGUUCUACUUUUGCCACUCACAUUUGUAAUUGGUUCCGACUCCUUUAUUUGAAUCGCAUGUAAUCUGACAAGACACCCUAGAUACUUGUGUUGACGCGAAAAUGUGCCAAUUUUGGUUGCCAACAACUUGGUUGGAUGCUGCCUCUUUGGACUGGCGUGUUUUCUGAGGCCCAGCAGUAUGCAGCAGAGGGAGAGAGAAGCUGACCCAUGUACCUUUUAAAUAUAUUGUUUGUAGUUGGUUAUCACGUUAGUCUCACACACUUAAGGUCCCAGUUCGAACUUGGGCUCAGACAAUUUUCUUUUGGGUAUUUUUUUUCCGAAGUGCUACUCGUCUUCCCCUUCUGUUUGCAGCAAAUUGGUUUUCUUCCUACUUUUAAAUCUCAUUGUUAAUUCUAGAUUAAAAUGCAGCAUGUGUUUUACAUCUGUUUCUGGGCUCUUUCUUUUCGCUGAAGUUGCACGCCUUGGUCAAACAAUGGAGCUGCAAGAGCAUGCUGCCUUGAUUGCUGCAUUCUUUCCUCCUCCUUAAUAGCACAAGCGCACAAGAUCAUGCAUGCUACUAAAAUAUUUGCAGUUAAAUGCAUCAAUAAUCUCAGAAUUCAGUCCUCCGUUGAAGUACGCCAUUGCUUUAAAUUCACUGCACACCUUACUGCUAAACUUAGCUCAAAAUAGUAGCUUUGGACAGAUUUGCUCCCUUGCUUAAUGUUCUCCAAAUGAUACAAUAGCUUUUUCUCAAAAUAUGGUGGAACAAACUCAGAUCGCAUACGCAUCUUUAAUUUUUCCCAAGAUGUAACAAAAUUUCUAACAAAGAGAUGUUUCUAACAAAGAGAUGCUGCCACCAACUACAAAUAUAGUCAUGAAACUCCAUAGUAGCUCGCUUUACUUCUAAACCUUUUGGAAAUCUUCUCUAAUGAUAACAAUUCCUCCAUUUGCUCCUCCCACAAAAUAUACUCCUCCGGAUCAGUGCUCCCGAGAAUGGAAGUUCCACAAAAUUUUGACCUGCCAUGGUUAGUUUUAGAAAUAAUUUCCUACACUAACAUGUGUAUAUAUGGGGAAAAUAUGAACCCUCUCAACCUCACACUUCUUACUAAUAGAUGCUCUUACCCUUCCUCUGAGAUGAGGGACUGAUUACACUAUGAUAGAAGUGAACAACUCAACUGUGAUGGUCAAGUGAAUUCAAAAUUCAGGAGUAAUUGCACGAGUAGUAAAUUUGUGGAACUUGGAAGGCUGUGUUUAUCCUAGCAAAUCUGAAUUCUUGAUAUUGUCUCAUUAAGUAGUAAUCCAAGCUAGAACACGAUGCCUAGUUGCUGAUCAAAGAUGUAAGUGGAAAAUAAGUAACUUGCACGCAAGAUAAAUGGAUCUUGAUGCUACGUAUAUGGACCUAGCUAGCUAGCUUGAUGAUUAUUAUUAAUAAGGAUAUAUACCUUAACCAGCCCUGCCAGGCAAUGCACGUCGACGCCGUCCGGAACGACGCCGGAGUUGUUGAGCUGGUCCCUCGCGCGCUGCUCCUGGGCUCCGUCGGCGGUGAUCCUGAAGAUGCCCUCCGCGGCGAGGCCGCCCUCUGGUCGUAGAGGCGGCGCUGCAGGUGGAGGAGGAUGGUGAGGACGCUGUUCCCCCUGCCGUCGUAGGAGCACUGCAUCGACUCCGUCGACACGCCGAGCACCGUCGUGCUCGCGCUCGGCGGUCGCCCCUCCACCUCGCGCUGCAGCUCCUCCGGCACGCCGCGGAACCCGUGUAAUCGGUCGAACGUCACGUGCGCUACGUGACGGACGUCCGUUGGCCACCCGAUCUCCAUCGCCUGCUGCUGUUGGUUCUGCUCGCCGGCGGCGAGGCCCCCCUCGUCGUCGUCAACGCCGCCGCCCUGCGUCGAUAGCGCGCGAGUCCACCACGACGCACGAAAGAGACCGAUCGAUGGGAGCAAGCAGUUGGUUGAGACUUGAUGGAGACCGAGUCGCAGCAGGAAGCUAGGUAAGUUGUUGGUGGGGAUCCAUGCUUCUCUGCUGCUGCAUCAUACACGGUGAGAGAGACAGUUGCAGCGACGUGGGCGGCACCACUACGCCAACAUAGGAGUAUACUACAGUACAUCAUGCGGUGCCUUCUCUUCUAAUACAAGAUCUUUAAUUCGUUCGUCGUCUCGAUCCGGUCUAUCUGUUGGAACUCUAGCCCGAGGAUCGCUCUCUCUCUCGCCGAACAAAGGUAGAAGACGAUGAACAGUAGAUGUAAUUUUUGGCGACGAACCCCGCGGCCGCCCGCACGGCCUGUAUCUUAGCUGUUCUAUUCACCUCAAAGGCUUGGAACACAGAACACAACGAUUACAUCCGGCUUUAUAGCCUCACGCGCACAGGAGCUGUGCACCACCGAUCUCUCAAGAUUUUGACCUUUGAAAUAUGCUUCACGCACACAGGAAACCCCCAUGAUAGCAACUAUAUCAAACGUAUUAAUCUCUCAAGAUUUUGACCUUUGAAAUAUGCUUCCUUUUCACCAUGCAUGGUGUUCAUGUUUAUCUCUUGCCCUCUUGUAUAUUAGCUUUCUUACUUGUUUAUUGGCCCUGAAAAAUCGCCACAUCAUAUACCAAAUACUGAAGAUUUCAAUGACCCUCCUGGAAAAAUCCCAACAGUUUUUCCUCGAGACCUUUACCAAGGAGGGUGUAAAGCAUUCAAUUGAUUAUAUAGUAUCAUAAGAAAAUAACUCUCAUCACCUGUCGAAAACAAAGAACAACAUGAAAGAAAGUUGCCUUUGCUUUGACCUGGAGUCUUCCUCGACUGGUGAGUGGUGAGGCAAGGAAAUCUCUUCUCAGAGUUCGUAUAAUACUCAGCUCUCCCAUUCCCACGUGCAAGAAAACCUUCAGCACACAUGGUUGAAGGACCCGUUUUUCAGUGCCAUGCUUCUUGGCAAACUUCCUAGUGAUGAUCUGGAUGGGUCCGAUCCAUCGUACAAUCUCUUUUUCAUGCUGAAAGUUCUUGAAGGGCUGAACCGUUUUUCGUAUCAACUGUUGAUGGAUGAACUGAUAAACAAAUUUGCUGAAGGAACUCUACAAGAUAUUGAUGAUCUUAAAGUGGCAAUUUAUAAAUUCAAGCUUCUUGGGCAUGUUGUUGUGAGAGCAGUCCUGGACAUUCCACUUUCUAACGCAUAUUACAAGAUCGUGCUUGAGCAGGUAAUUCUUUAAGCAAUCACCCAUGACCCUUCCCUCUUCUACGAGACUACGACCCUCAUUUUCCAUCUCCAUUGUUCUGAUCACGGUGCUAUUUGUUUUAGGAGCUCGAUAUGAACUUUAAUAGAGUUUGAUCAACAGGAAGACUUUAAUAGAAUUUGAUCCUGAGCUGGGCAAGACUUUAAUAUAGUUUAUUUCAAGCACUUGUCAACAGGAAGAAAUGUAUGGAAACAUCGUCAAGAACAUCUAGCCCUACUGCUGUUGUCCUACAAAGACAUGAAACUGGAGGAUUUGUGCCUUACUUCACUCUUCCUGGAAGUCCUGAAUAUGAACUUGUUCCUGGAGGUUCACACUUGACAGUUUAGAGGAAUAUGUAUCUUUGGUUGUCGAUGCAACACUGAAAAGUGGGAUUGACAAGCAGAUAGAGGCUUUCAAAUCUGGAAUUAACGAGGUAUGUUUCCCAUGGAAUAGAGAUAAAUGAACUCCUCUCUCCUUCAGUAGACAACAAGUACUGAUUUAGGUCUACCACUUGCAGGUUUUUGCCCUUAAAACCCUCAAAAUGUUUACUGAGGAGGACAUGGAACGCAUACUAUGUGGUGAACAGGAUGCUUGGGCUGUACGUGUCUUUCUGCACUCCUUUAAGUUGUGUGCAAAAAGCUCAGAGUAUUCUAAUUUUGUUUUUUUCCAUACAGUUAAAGAACCUUGAGGAUCACAUGGAGUUUGAGCAUGGUUAUGACAUGAGCAGUCCAUCUAUUACUACUGUAAGUACAACAGGUAUGCCAAUGCGUAUCAAACUUUAUAUUUCUUGAACUCUUAACCAAUUAAUUAAGAGUUCAACCAAUUAAUUAAGGACUCAACUGUAAAACUAGGGACAAAAACAAAAUGCAUUUUAAUCAACUGUGACAACUGACAAGUAUCAAUGCAUGGAAACUGGCUAAUAUAAUAAUUAACAGUUAAGAAACAUGGUGGAAAAAUUUCACAUACUGAGGUGCAGUUGUGUGCAGAAGGUUGUCAUGGAUUUCUACAGCUCUUGAUGCAAAAGCAUCGAGAACACAUUGUACAUGACAUUUGAAGUCUGCAAACCCUCCUUUGGAAUCCUCCAGCUCUUUGUUUCGUCAUGAAAGAGCUUAAACACUGACACAAAACUAGGAAGUUAUGGGAUUAAAAUGGAUGAAAGGCAAUUCCUUAUGUACAUGAAAAUGUUGUUUUUAAUAUUUGAAAACCCAAGAUAUUAAGUUUAGAAUUUUUCUGAAUUGGAAUUGAUGUGAUGAAGAAAUUUAGUUGUAUAGUUGACCUUAGUAUUUUUGGAAUUUUUAUGAAAAAGGAAAGGGCUACAAAUAGGAUUUUUGUCUAUAUGUUCUGGUGACGUGUGGAACCAGAACGGUGGGGUCGGGUGCUGCCACUGAGCUGUGGGCCACGGCUUGGUUCUGCCUCCAUGUCUGUGGCUCAUGUGCACUAGGUGCACGGAGGCGGGCGGCGUGGGUUGGCCCGCUGACUGGUGGGCUCCGAUGGCGGUGAGCGGGGUUGGACGUGGACCAUGGACCAGGGGUCUUUUGUAUCAUUGGUCCAAUGCACUAGGUGUAGGGAGAUGAAGGCGUGGUUGCGGCGGCCAGUGCGGCUGGCAGACGACGCCUGCGCAACCGAUGCGCCGGCUCCCCCCCUCCUUAACGCCGUUGAGGACUCCAUAAGACCAUAAUGUCCUCCCAAUCUCUUUCCCUCUCCCGCUCGGUCGCUCCGCUCAAUCGGAGAUGGCCGACGAAUUCAUCGAAGCCACUUCCCGCGCGAUCUCCAUUUUGGGGGAGGGGGGCUCUGAGAAGCAGAGCCGCCGAGCUCGUGAGGCUCGCCCUCGAGCACGUCGGCGUCGACGGUGUGCGCGACAACAACCUGACGGCAGCCGUGGAAGCGUUGUCCUAGGCGGACAGCGCGAGAAGAUUGCAGGCCGUCCUUGACCUCCUCAAUACGGCCACCGCGCUGGAGGGCACGCUUGGGGUCAAGCUGGAUGCCCUUCGAGGUGUCGCGUCGGACUUGGCAAGCGCGUGCCGCGAGCAUCUGAAGACCGUAGAGGACACCGGACAGGGCGGCGCGCCGCGGCGGAGCUGGGGGAGCAGGGGGAGGAGCGGGUUGCGGGACCAUGGUGGUGGUCGCUGCUCCGGGGGAGGGGGAGGGUCCAGCGCCACCGCGGGAACAGCUUGGAGACCCGCCUUUUCGCCGAUGAGGAUCCGCCUCCGCCCCCUCAGGUCAGGCAACAACAAAUCGGGAUGAAUUUUUUUGGGGGUUCAUGCCCUUCGCUGGGGAUUGCGGGUUUACGCCCAUUCAAUUCGGAAGUGUUUACAGGCAACAGGGGCGAAGGAUCGUCCGGAGAUCUCCGUCGAGUUGCUACUGGAGGAAUCGAGGAAGCACGUGCGCUACGAGAUCUUACCGCGAGCCCGCAUUGUCUAGAAGCUCGCCAACGAUGUCGGCGUGCCCCAUUGCCACCUGGACCGGGCCAUGCACGCAUUGAUGGGGCCAGGCAACGCAAGCGCGGACGUCGCCGAGCUCGGCACCGCGGCGACGGAACUGGAGCGAGAGGCCACCUCACGGCUCCGCGCUCCAGUGGCGGAGCUCGCGAAAGCGUGCCUGAGGCACCAGCAAGCAGCAGAGGCCAAGGAGGCGAUGCAGCGCGCCGCUGAGGAGAGGGCACAACAGAGAGGGAAUGCUGCUGGCGGCGUACAGAAUGAGCCACCACCUGGUCCUGCUUAGGCGUUGUUAUUGGCCAUGGAUUGAUGGCAACGCAAAUACCCAAAUUCGACCACAACACGUAUUAUAUUAAUCUAAUCAAAUGGGUUUGACUUUAAUAAUUUCUUAAUUAGGGUAGAUUGGGAUUAUGCUAUUUGAUGACAUGGGAAUUAGUUAUUGUGCAGAUGGAUGGCACAUAGACCCAAAUUUGAUUGCAGCACAUGUACUAGUCUAAUUGUUGUCUGAUUGUUCACUGGCAUUUUGCGUACCAAUUGCAUUGUUCUAGUCGAAUUGCUGUCUGACUGUUUACUGGCACUUUGCGUACUAGUUGAAUUGUUGUAUAAUCAUUUACUGUCGUUUCGCAUACCCGAUUGCAUUGAACUAGUGGAAUCGCUGUCUGAUUAUCCAACGGCAUUUUGGGUACCAAUUGCUCUUUCUCAUUAUUCUUAUUCCUGCAGGGAAACCAGUGGGAGGCAAGCAUGCAGGGAUAUGCUCUGAGUGGUUGGUUUAGUCUGGUGCCCUACUUGGCAGCCAGCACUGGUAAUGUGCCAAGGGCUCUCAGCGACGAAGAUAGAUGGGAAAUUAAUCUAGUACUCUCCUCGUGUUUUACUAUUGUGGUCAUUGGUGUUCUGUUGACUUCGACUGCAAGAUCUUGGGUUGAGCGCUUGCUUGUGAUGAUAUCAUCUCGAGUUGGAAUGUUUGGUACGUUUUUACCUCUAUUGCUAUAUAUCUGUCAUAUUUUGCUCAUCGAGCAGUUCUAGGUCUCAGCUGCUUCUCCACAUCCAUUGUAGGUAUCAACAUCUUUGCCAUAAGACCAUAACAUUCUCCCCCCUCCUUAAUGUCGUCGAGGACUCCAUAAGACCAUAACGUUCUCCCAAUCUCUUUCCCUCUCCCGCUCGGCCGCUUCGCUCAAUCGGAGAUGGCCGACAAAUUCAUCGAAGCCGCUUCCCGCACGAUCUCCAUUUUAGGGGAGUGGGCUCUGAGAAGCAGAGCCACCGAGCUCGUGAGGCUUGCCCUCGAGCACGUCGGCGUCGACGGUGUGCGCGACAACAACCUGACGGCAGCCGUGGAAGCGUUGUCCUAGACGGACAGCGUGAGAAGAUCGCAGGCCGUCCUUGACCUCCUCACUUUCGUGUGGCAGAUCCUACCAACAAAUGAAGCUGACUUCCAGGUGGCAGAGCCAACCUACGAUGAAGUCCAGACCCUUAUGAUCCCGGGUGACAGAGUCAACCUUCGAUGGAUCAUAACUUAUGCACUAAGUACUUAGAAACUAUAUGACCCAACCGGGAGACUAAUACUUGUAAGAAACAGAACUUUAUUACAACAUAACAAUAUUACACAAAAGUGUACAGCACCCUCUCUUUAGUGGCUAGCCUGGCACUCACCCUUUAUUUCUACCAUACUCCACUCAUCUACCAUGCUCAUGGUUGAAUGGCAUGGCAAGGAAAUGGGACCUCUAUUUAUAGGCCAAGGGAGUUUAUAGGAUGAUGACAUGUGUCCCCUUCUAGAGUUUUCACUAAACAAAUAUCUAUGUUCUACAUUAUUCUAAUUUCUUCAUGGCAACAACAUCUAGUGUCUUCAUAGAAAAUAUCAUGGAUCAUGAGUUGUGGAAAAGAUUCUAGAAGCUUGUAUUUGCUUUUCUUCAAUACUGAGGAGGAAACGGAACGCAUACUAUGUGGUGAAAAGGAUGCUUGGGCUGUACGUGUCUUUCAGCACUCCUUUAAGUUGUGUGCAAAAAGCUCAGAGUAUUCUAAUUUUGUUUUUUUUCCAUGCAGUUAAAGAACCUUGAGGGUCACAUGGAGUUUGAGCAUGGUUAUGACAUGAGCAGUCCAUCUAUUACUACUGUAAGUAAAGUACAACAGGUAUGCCAAUGGGUAUCAAACUUUAUAUUUCUUGAACUCUUAACCAAUUAAUUAAGGACUCAACUGUAAAACUAGGGACAAAAAUAAAAUGCAUUUUAAUUAACUGUGACAAUUGACAAGUAUCAAUGCAUGGAAACUGGCUAAUAUAAUAAUUAACAGUUAAGAAACAUAAUGGAAAAUUUCACAGACUGAGGUGCAGUUGUGUGCAGAUGGUUGUCAUGGAUUUCUACAGCUCUUGAUGCAAAAGCAUCGAGAGCACAUUGUACAUGACAUUUGAAGUCUGCAAACCCUCCUUUGGAAUCCUUCAACUCUUUGUUUCGUCAUGAAAGAGCUUAAACACUGACAAAAAACUAGGAACUUUCACAGUAUGGAUUACAGAAAUGCCUUCUGCUGGGUUGUACCUAUCAAUGAUCUCUACCUGUUCAUACUUGUACAUUGAUCAUCAGGUGUAAAUUCAUCGCAGUCAGGGCACCACCGCACCAGUUCUAGUACAGAAAUGCCACCUGAAACUUUCUCACACUUGACCCUAUGUGAGAAAACUCUCCACAGGUGUCGAAGUACCCAUAUGAGAUCCAAAUUUAUCGCAGUCAUUUGCUUUGAGGUAGGCAGUCUAGCUUUAAAACAGCGAACGGAGAGAACUUUACUAAUCAAAGAUAGUAGCGAGGCAUACCAUCUGCUUCAUCAUAUAUGACUCAUACUUGAUCACUUUGAAAAUAACUAAGCAUGAUCAGCGAAAUUGAAGAAAUCUGCAUGCAUUCCACCAGAGCCUUUUAUCAGGACAUGAUUCUUGGUUCAAUCAGCCAUAUUUUUCAGCCACAUGGUGCUCCGUUGCUGCAUUAGCACCAGUUGCGCCAUCUCCUAACUCCUAAUUCUUUGUCGUGUGCCUUGCAGUUUCUCCUUGUAUAUACUACGAAAACUUCAUGUCUUCACGUGACCUCCCAUCGCGACUUCAGCUAUUCUUUUAAACAAACCUGUUUACAGUUCAUCUCCCCCUGAUUUUCUUCUGAAUCAACUCUUUUGCUAACCCACUCCACGACAUCAUCUUAAAUCUGAGCCCUUAAACAUUAGGAGAUAAAACAAUUAACUAUAAAGGAAAGGAAAACAGUAGGUGAUUAUCUCGAUUUGCGUGUACACAUGCAGUUUGUUUUUUUAAUUGCAACUAACGGCAAGAUCUACGUAUGGCAAAUUGCCAAUUCUUUUUUUCAUCUGCCGGCAUAAAUACAAAAUACAAGAGCCCAACGUAAUCUAGAAAAAUAUCUCCUAACUAGAGUCUAGAGAUUACAUAUUUUCAUGCCACAUAUUCCACAGCUAAAGGAGAAGGAAGGGGAUUGGUUGGCUAUGUGUAUCAAGCGCGAUGUGCAGACUUUUUUUUUUUUGAAUGAAACGAUACGUGGACUUGACGUAGAGGACGAGAAGCAGAGGAAUGGUGCCGGACGUGCUACAACCGAAGUUCAAGAAAAAACCAAGUAUGCUAACAGCUGUCACGUUCUUUUUACCUAUCCAUGUCCAUGUCACGUUCUUCUUUCUCCGUUUUUUUUUUUUUUUUGAAACGCGAUAGCUGGCCGGCCAUAAUCAAAGUUAGCCUCGAUGGUAUUAUUUGUCGCAUCAUUGUACUGCUUAUCCUACUUUAUCAAGUUUGAAUGCUGGCAGUACCAUGAAUUGCGUCAGGUGAAGGUUGGAUCAGAUACUGUGGCUAAAUAGUUCAUCUUUUUGGCUGAUGAAUGUCGCUGCCUCUCAGCUUCUACACCUUUAAUACGAAAACUUAACAAACAAGGCUCUCUGGAGUCUGCAACAUCAGAGAAUUUGAUUUCAAUUAUCUUCAAUGUAUAAAGAUGAGAAACUUGCAAAGAUGGAUGAAUUAUCGUUACUAAUACGGCUUGGUUUUUGCUGAUCUGCAGUAACACAAGGAUAAUACAGUUUUAAACAUCAGAUAUACAGUUAAUACAACUAAACAAAUGAACGCCUAUAGUAUUGGCAAAUCCCUAUUUUAGAGUGAAAUCAUGGUGUCUUUGUAUCCUAUGCUAUAUAAAAGCACCGUUGGAAAUCUCUUUUUUUUUUACACAUUCUACAUUAUUACUUCAAAACAAUUUGAAAUCUAUAGCUUAUAUUUUUGUAGUUACCAUCUAUCAUCCGCACAUGAUAGUGUCCUAGAAUGAAAUUGCUUCAAACUCUGGGACAGCUGCAAGCAUGCUGCUGCAAGUUCGACUCUGUGCAUUUGAUCGAGUAAGCUGUGCCAAGAAUAUGGUUUUGAAUUUUGAUGGGAUGAGUUUUUCAAAAAUAUUUUAUGGGAGGGGGGUCAAAAGCAUGCAAAAAGGAUGUGCUGCCGGAUUCCCCUCGUGAUUUCUUCGGCGUUCACGACCUUCCCGGUCCGAACGUUGACGGACGGGUGAAAGUCCGGCCUCUUGGACACCCGCAGAAACCACCGACGACCCCAGGCUUCACAAGUCACAACUGACCCGUGCAAGAACCUACCAGAACUCAGCUCAACCAGCACCCCGAACUCAAUGUCGCCUCUGAGUUUGGCCUCGCCUGCCGUCGACCAUCUCCAUCAGAUAGCGCAACCCCACUCCCCGUUCCACGCCAACCCGGAGCGCACAGCGGUUCACGCCCUCGCUCCCAAGCAUUUCCGCGAACUGCGUCACCGAAGACGUUGUACCUGACAUACACGUGCACCAGCGACGACGUGACGGCGACAGAGCCGGCAUUGCUGACGAGGAUACCGUACUUGCGUAGUACGCGUCCACGGAGGCGUCAACGACGAGCGCAGUGGCUGCCGUGAGCGACGCCGAGAAGCGAGAGGGCCGAGGGCCCGAGGCGACCAUGCAGCGCUGGGUGGCGAGCGCGGUCGCAAGGUUGGAGGUGCAGACGAGGCACAGAGGAAGGCGUAGGGGGCAGUGGAAAUCCGACCAGGCUAGCGCCGCGAGCGCAAGGUGCCCGGCAGAGGAGUAAGCAGAGACGAGCUCAGGCCCUGGCAGGGACGACCGAAACGAGAGGAAGCGGGAGAGGAUGGCGAGAGGAGCGGUCCCAGGCGAUGGUGCUCGAGCCGCUGCCCGGCGAGCUCUCCGCAGACGCCGCCGUGCUUGCAACCUGGUGGCGGCUCGCACGGCGCGUGGAGCCUUUUGCCAAUUCGAGCGUCCCGUUGAGCGCUCGCCGAACUUCUCUGUCCGCCGCUGCAAAAAUUCGAGCGUCACGGUUGAUUCCCCCUCCCCUUCUCCCGUUCUUCCCCAUUCCCCCUCGUGGAGCGCCUCCUGUAGGCUGCAGCUCGUCCGCCAUGGCGCCACGUCCAGACCAAAGACCUUACAUUGACAUCCAAUCGUAACGGAGCAGGAUCGUAGCGCAGUCGGAUGAGCUCCCUUGACGCUCAAUCGGUGACGAAGACGACGGCAUUGAGGUCCAGCAGAAAGGAGCCCCGGUGGUGGAGCCCGACGUGGUUGUCAGCCUCCGCGAGUUCACGCUAUCGGACGCGGGCACUGAAGUGCUCAUGCCGUGGACGUCGGGCCUGCGCGUGGUCCGCUUCCAGCGCCGCGAAGCCUACGAGCAUGUGGACCAUGCCCGCUGCUGCAUCACCGACUAUGCCCCACCGCACCCGUGGUACCGCCCCAUCUGCGCCGGUGCCGGCGUCAUGGAGGUGGGGUCCGUCUCCGUGAAGCCGGCGCCGGCGUCGCGCGGUGCGGGCGGCGGCCUAGGCCAUGUACACAGCGUGAUCGUAGCUGCUGCGGCUGGAGGCCGUGGCCGAUGUGGAGAACCGCAGUUUGCCGUGCUAGAGAAGACCGGCUUCGUCAAGGACAGCAUGCUGCGGAAGUUCAUUGAUCAUGCUCAAAGGAAAGUUGGGGACACGCACAGCUAUGCAAGAGAGAUAAGGGGCAUGAUAGACAUCUCAUGUGGCUUGAUAUGAGAAAAGAAACUAAAAUGAACUUUAAAGAUCAAAAUGGAAAGAAAAUCAAAGUUGCAGCGUUAUUUCUGGCAAAUUGGCGAAUCGAAUUUUUGGCAUAGCAAAUUUUUGGCAUAGCAAAGUGGCGAAGCCACAUCUUUGAAAUGGUAAAUGGGCAAAAAGCUCGUCAGCAUCGUGGCACGCGAGACCAGCCGAUGACUCGCGAGACAAGCGCUAGGCCGAGGCUGCGGCGUGGCUCCCCAGCGACCGAAGCAGGGUGAGGCAGGAGGCGCGAGAAGCAGGGAGGCGGGGCGACGCAGAAUGACGAGGAAAGGUUCCGAUUAAUCUAGAAACCUGCAAGCAAAGUAGCUAAUACCGACGGUGGAAGAUCCAACGGACGAAAUCAUGGAAUGACGUGGCCCAAUCACAGUUGAGAAAGUUCACCAGAUUUAGGUUUUUACAGAUUGUUAAUUCUAGAUUAAAAUGCAGCAUGUGUUUUGCGUUCCAUUUCUGAAGUGCUAUUCCUCCUGUUUGUAUAGCAAACUAGAGACACUAAUGUUUUCUUCCUACUUUUAAAUUGCAUUGUUAAUCCUAGAUUGAAACUCCCUCCGUUCCAAAAUGUAAGUUGUUUUAGGUUUUUAGACAUUUUUCUUUUCUUUUUUUUUCUGAAGUGCUACUCCUCUUCCCUUUUGUUUAUAGCAAACUGGAGGUACUACUGUCUCCCUGUUCCAAAAUGUAAGUCGUUUUGGAUUUUCUAGAUGCAUAGAUUUUGAUAUGCAUAUAAAUAUAUAGUUAUGCCUAUAUACAUAGCAAAAUCUAUGCGCCUAGAAAAGCCAAAAUGAACUACUCCCUAGUCCCUCCAUUUCAAAUUGUAGGUCGUUUUUGCUUUUCUAGUUUCAUAGAUAUUAUUAUGCAUAUGCAUUUUGAAAUGGAGGGAGUACAUUUUGAAAUGGAGGGAGUAGCAUAAUUUUUGUGUUCCAUUUCUGAAGUGUUAUUCCUCUUCCCCUUCUGAUCGUUGCAAACUAGAGAUAAGAAUGUUCUCUUCCUAUUUUGAAUCACAAUGUUAAUUCUAGAUUGAAAUGUAGGCUAGAAGUUAGUGAGUGUUUCUGUUUUAUCAGAUUUGAGGCACGGCCCUAUUCUUUUUUUAUAUCAAGGGCCGAAUAGAUAAGCAGCUCCAACAGAGAUUUGCAGGGAGAGAUUCACGGCUCUUGUUUCCGUGGAUAAACCAAGGGUUAAUCGUUGAUGCAACCAGUGAAUUUCUUAAUAAUGACAUAGUUAAUCGAGCGAUUUUUGCAUUGGACCUUGGGAUCAUUUUUACAGUGGAAAAAUAACGACGCGAGCGCAACCAGUUCAUUCCUUCAGUUAUCUUCCUUCCGGAAUACAGAGAGGAGCCCCAGCAGUCGGCAGCCGUUCAAAAUUCGAAUUCUCCCCCACUUUCCCGUGCCCGAAUCCCUUCUCCAGUCUCCGCUGCCGCCACUCCCACGCCUCGCCUCGCCUUCCUUGUCGCCCAAAAUCUCCCAAUUCGAUCGGAAGCUGCCGAAUCCUCAACCCCCAUGAAGAUCUCCGAGCUCUCCCCCGAGUACCGGCAGCCGCCGCCGCACGCCGGCCUCCUCACCGACCUCAACAGGGUCGUCGCCGACGUCGAGGCGUUCGACACCUCCGAUCCCUCCUCCCCGGAGAAGCUCGCCGCCGAUCUCCGCCGCCUCCUCACCAAGCUCGCCUCCGCCGCCUCGUCUUCCCCCUCGGGCCUCGACGAGGCGUUCAGGCUCAAGGUGUGGAACCUCGGCUUCCGCCUCUGGAACGCGUGCGUCGACCGCGCCAACCACAGCUUCCCCGCGAGGGUCGCGGAGGCGGAGAUCCGGCAGGCGGCGCCGGAGCUCCUCCUCGUCGCUGGCCUCCCCGAAGACAUCCCCAACGCCCGAGCGAAGGCGGCGUCCUUUUUCCACCGCACCGGGCUGAUCUGGCUUGAACUCGGCCGCGCCGACCUCGCCUCCGCCUGCUUCGAGAAGGCCACGCCGCUGGUCUCCGCCGCCGACACGGAAGGGGAUCGGGCCGUCCUGCUGGACCUCAACCUCGCGCGGGCGCGCGCGGCGUCCAGCGCGGGCGAGCAAGCUCUCGCCGUCGCGCUGCUGAGCCGGUCCAAGCCCCUCGCGGCGGCGUCUCCCGAGGGCGUCAAGGCUCUCGCCGAGGAGUACCUCCGCAUCGGCAAGGUCGCUCUCGCCACGAAACCCCCGGAUCCCGCCCUCGACGCGUCCAACCUCUUAACCGAGGCGCUUGAUCUCUGUGAGAAGGCCGCGGCCUCCCCCUCCCGCGCCACUCCGCCGACCCCGGGAUCCACUCCUGCGACUCCGAAUCUCCAAGUGAUCAAGGAUCAAUGCCUCCGCUUCCUCGCCGUCGAGCGUCUCGAAGCCAACGACUACGAGGGCACCCUGCGCUGUAUCAGGGUCUGGAGAGCCUCGCUGGGGCUGGGGGAGGAGCAUCCCAGCAUUGGGUUCAUGGCACUGCGCGCGUGCCUCGGCAGCGGGAACUUGGCGGAGGCCGAGAUGGAGCUCGAGACGCUCAUGGCGAACGCCGAAGCGCCGGACUGUGUGUGCGUGUCGGCGGCUGAGCUGUACCUUGCCAGCAGGGGGGCCGAUGCUGCGUUUAAGGUGCUCGUUGCGCUUGCCGCACGGUGCCGUGCCGGUGCGGCAGCUGCUGCAGCAGUGAGGGUGUUGAAGAAGGUGGUUGAGAAUGCAGGGGGCGGAACUGGGCGUGCAAGAGCGAUCUCUGAGCUCGUGUCGGAUGAGAGGGUGGUAAAGCUGUUCGAUGGCCCUGCUAACACCCACGAGCGUAGCACAAUGCAUGCACUGCUAUGGACCUGGUUAGCAUUCUCUUACACCACUGAACUUAUAUUCUUUACUUUGAAUGAAAAUGUGUGCACCUGCUGAAGCUUGCAUUUGCAAUUUGGGACAGUGGCACUGAGCAUUUCCACGCAAAGAACUAUGAGAUCAGUGCGGAUUUGAUUGAGAGAUCGAUGCUUUAUGUUUCCCGUGACGAGGAAAGCAGAUCCCGCCGCGCAAGCUGCUUCCGAGUACUUUGCCUUUGCCAUAUGGCACUUCAGCAUCUCGAUCGUGCCCAGGAGUUUAUCAUUGAGGCCGAAAAGGUAUUGAUCGUUCUCCCUGUCUCCUUGUUAAAUGAUCUUGUGUGAUGGUUCUUAUGUUGGCUCCAAAUGUAUAUAUCUGUAGGUUGAACCCAAUAUCCGCUGUGCUUUUCUGAAGGUAAUACUCUCUGUGCAUGCUGUCAGUUUUAGAGGGACCUCAUUUUAGUGUUAGCACUUCUUACUAAUACAGGUAUAUAUUUUUUUUAGUUUAAGAUCCUUCUGCAGAAGAAGGAGGAAGGUGAGGCUAUCAAGCUGCUGAAAACCAUGGUGGGCUAUCUAGACUUCAACCCUGAGUUCCUGACACUCUCAGUUCAUGAAGCUAUUGCCUGCAAGUCUGUCGGUGUGGCUAUUGCUGCAUUGACCUUCCUUCUAGGCCGAUACUCUGCUGGAAAGCCAAUGCCAAUGCCAAUGACAGAGGCUGCUGUCCGCCGGAACCUUAUAGCCCUCUUUCUCCGUGAGCCAGGCUCUGAGGCUGAGAUCCUGAAGUACUCAAGACGUGCCAAGCUACGGAUGGCUGAGCUUGGAAUGGAAGCUAUUUUUGGGAAGGGAACUGUAGGGCUGCGUGAACGGAAUUGGUUUGCAGUCAGUACAUGGAAUAUGGCUGUAAAGAUGGCAAAGGAGAAGAAGCAUGAUUACUGUAGUGAGUUCUUUGAGCUUGCAGCUGAAUUUUUCAGCUCAGGUAAUGGUGAAGAUGAUGCUAACCGUCUCUUGGCUUGCAAAUCAUUGAUCAUGAGUGUCAGUGCCAUGCUCCUUGCUGAGGAGCUAAACAAAUCUCCAUUAUCAGACUCUGACCUUAAAAAGGGCGUUGAGAUGCUCAGCAGAGCUGGCAAGGUAAAAACGAAGCUUGCCAAUUAUCAAGAGUCACUGAUAUCUGUGUGUUCUUACGUGAUUUCAUUUUGUUGGACAUUCUUUUGAUUCAGUUGUACUUAUCUGCAGCUAUUACCCUUGACUUUGCCUUCAGCUCCAGUGACCUCUGAUCAAUUGGAGGAUAACAACUUGCUUUUUCUUCAUACCUUCAACUUCUACCAUCUUCUCAACAGGAUGGACACUAGUGCACACCCUCAGCAGCUCCAAUUAGUCAAGAAUUUUGCAGCAUCUAAAGCAUGUACACCAGGUCAUCUUCUCAGACUUGAAGAAAUAGCUUCUCAAGGUACCCAACCAAACCUACAGGUUGCUGAGUUUCUCCUGAAGGCCAGCAUCACUACUGCCCUUGCUUCUCACUCGCCAAACUAUGGGAUAAUCAGCACUGCCCUCAGAAGGCUAGUAGGCGUUGCUGGUCUCCAAGACUUCAGUGGUAGCAUGAGUGAUGCAGUCUAUGACGUAUUUCGACAAGCUUACCAGAUUGUGGUUGGACUUAGAGAUGGUGAAUAUCCAUUUGAGGAAGGGAAGUGGCUUGCAAUGACUGCAUGGAACAAGUCAAAUUUAGCUUUGCGGCUUGGGCAACGUUCAGUUGCUAGAAAAUGGAUGAAGAUGGGAAUAGAUCUUGCUCGGCAUUUUGAGAGCAUGAAGCAGUACGUAUCAGGAAUGGAUGAAUACUUUGAGCAUUUUCAGAAAGUAUCCGGUAAAGAACCUGAUGAAUGUAGCCAGCAAGAUGGGGCACCAAGUAUUAGCUUGUCUGGUAGCGUGUCUCAACCUGGAUUAGUUUAGAUAUUUGCGAAUGCUGGAAAUUCAUGGCUGGAUAUAAAUAGAGCAUUUGUUUGAAUCAUGCAUACAGCAUACCAAUAUUCUUCAUCUGAUUGAUGUGCACUCACACAUUCUUUCACUUGAUGAUGAAAAUUGUGCAUCUUUUCAAUGAUUUGUAGACAAGUAUGUGGAUUAUUUUCUUGGCAGUAUAAAUGUCCACGAAUUUAAGUACGCUCGUGUGCAAGGAAAAGUCAAAAUUUUGUCUUAUAUUGGUGAUUUCUCUAUAAAGUAUGUUGAUCUUUGUGUUGGCAUAAGGGUCUUCUUCAAUUUUAGCAUGCUCAUGUGCAAAAGAGACGUUGAUUGUGUACAUUAAAAUUUACUUUGAUGGCAAAUUGGUUUUCUUGGACGAGUUUUCUGUUCAAGACAACUAAUCAGUGAACUCUGUCGGAACCUGUUAUCCUUUUGUUACCAUACUAUGUAGACUUCAUAGCCACCAAAUUAUUGUGGAAGAAAAUUGGGAUUGAAGAGGAGCAAGAAAAAGGACACGAAACAUUCUACACAACUAAAUACCACCUAUCUGACGACUGACGGACACUAUGCUGAACAUAUCAACAGGGGUAAAAGUGACUCCUUCCUCUGUGAAUACAUGUUUCCCUUUUGUUAUGGAUAUUCUAUUGCCUUACACAGGGACCAGGUUCUGCUGGUGAUGCACGACCAUAACCAGCUAGUGGUGCAGCAGCUACUCCUCUUUGGUUCAGCAAACACCUGAAGCGUGCCAAUCUUGAUGUGACUAAUCUUGUGUCAUUUGCAAGCUUCUCAGUCGGAGUCCACAGUCUCUCUUCAAGCCAAUGCAAUGUAAGAGGAUUGGUGAGUCAGUAAUUACUCAUACAGAUGGUAGUGCACUAGAUGAGUAUUUGCCAUUAAGUUGCAUGCACAUUUCAUACUAUCAUAGGUUAUGAGGUUGCAUGUAAACUCUCCUCCUGUUAUUCUGAAUCAUUCCCUUAAAUGAUGUUUUGAUAUAUAUUAAAUCUACCGAAAUAAUGUGAGCUGUUAUCUAUCAUUGUUCAACAACCUGUAAAUUUUGUGUGCGUUUGGGAAUUUAUACUGUGCAGUAUGCUCUUCUUUCUUUAAAACAAUGUAGUAGAUCUGAGCAGUGAGCAUAUAUCUGCAACUUUUUUUGCUAGAAAUUUUGCUGACAUAUUGUAUUGUACUACACGGGAACAUGAAUAUCUGCUUGUUUUUCAACAUUCUCAGUUUUUUUUCGCUCAUAUCUCCAUAGAUUAUGGAUGUUGGAUAUAUUUGGAGGAAUUUACCAUUCUAACUAGACCAUGUUGCCGCACAAGUUAAGUGAUUGGAGUGCUUUGUCACAUACUCUAUUUCUCCUAGAUUCAUAAAAAAGAAUAUAGGUGGUCUUGCCUUGAGAAUAAGAUUAGUUUGGGUAAUGAUGCAUGCAUUAAAUUUCAUUUGAAAUAUUUCAAGGCACUAACCAGGAUGAUAAGGUCAUUUUAGUCACUUACCUGCAGCUGCUGCAGCACGUGGCCAAAUUGUUUGUUCAAUGUCUGAUGCAUCAAUUUCCUCACCCCACAUGCAUACCUCACCUCCAAUGACCAAUUGUUGCUGUUUCGUGUCAUCGAUACCUUUCAAGGGUUCGUUCAUGUAAAAUCCUUCCCAUGAGGCAUCCAAGUGAUCCAGGUACCACUUAUCCUGGUUGCUUACUAUGCAUCUGAGCCCUGCAGCAACUACUUUUGGUGCUACAUCUUCUCCAAGCCUGUUAAUUUGUGGGCAAAUCUGCCAAUUGUCAACUAUUGAUAGCAGGAAAAAGAACCAGAAUGAACUUUUUUUUUGAAUAAAAACCAGAAUGAACUUAGUAUGAGUACGAAUUGCAAUGUUAGCAUCUAAAUCUAUUUCACUGAAUUUGUAUAACCCUAAAAUACUACAUGCAUGCAUGCUGCGAACUACUACUAAAAACUCAAAGGAAAACAACAUAUCAAAGGAACACAUGCAUGCUACUGUUGUAAGCAAAGCCUUUCCAAUGUUGCAAAUCAAGCACAAUGAGUAAAAUACCAGUUAUGCACAACGGUUUUACGAUCCAGUUUGUCUCCAAAGUUGUUAAACGUUUCUUCCCUGUAAUAAUGAAAGAUGUCUGUUAAAUUUUUAAGGGUUAGUAGCUUCUUGGUGCCUAUCAGAUUGGCAAAUAGGCAUACCAGUUAAUGAUAUCGUAGCCAUGUGAUAUUGCUAUCUUUUGAGAUCUUAAUACAAAAUCUCUGUAUGCAUCUGAUACGUUCAUAUGGUUAUUAUUCAACCUGUAAAAGGAUAAUCUUGAAUUAAUUGGAUGAUACAAGAACAUGGCCAAUUUAUAGUUGUUACAAAAGGAAGUCAUCAAAACACCCAAGUUAUCAAAUUAUGAGUUAUAUACCAUCCUUCAAUGUGUGGUGUUGUGGUCCAGCAGCCUGAAAUUCGGAGAAAAGAGUGAAUGGGUAUGAUUUGUAGAUCUACUAUUCUAUCACUGCAUUAUAUCAACUGAACAACUGCAGAUGCAAUCCUUAUGCUUACUUGUAUUGACUUCAUCACCGCCUAAGUGGGCAAAUUUGAACUUAAAAACCUUGCUAAAAUCUGAAAAACAACAGAAAAUUUGAACUCUGUUAGGCAGUUGUCUAAGAUAUUUACUAUUUUCUGUCAGUGGUGAACUGGUGAUUGUAUGCAGAUAAUGUAUUCAUAUAUAUUGUUCCCUAUUUUUAUGAAUAACUUUCUCUUUUGGAGCAUGCCCACAAACUAAUGAUCUUUUUAAAUAAAAAGCUUAGGAACCACUUCAUUUUCGUUGACAAAAUCUGUAUGUAUCACCUGAAAGAAUGCCAUCGAUGACUUCAAAUGUAAAGUUUUUACUGACAUCGAGUGGUUCUCUGCAGCUAUCUGAUGGCCACAAUGAUGGGUAACCAACGCCCCUGAAAAGGUACAAACGUCACAAUUUUACUUAUUGAAUAACUCUAUUGAGUCAUCUUGAAUGGCUUCAAUGCAUAAUAAUGGUAUUGGUCUUGUGCACCGAAUGAUUCCAUGUAAUCUCUAGUGUAUGAUUUGCAGUAUACAUCAAUGAACAUUUGAACAUAAUGAAGUUACUUACCAUGAACGGGCAUGGCCAGGAACAUCAAUCUCAGCCAACACAUUUACACCUCGCCUUUCAGCAUACCUGCAAAGGUAGAGGUCUAGCUACCUAAGUUUAUGGAUACAUUGAAUAUGCAAUAAAGAUAUUCAGCUUUUGACUGACAAAUUAGCUUGCUUGUGUGUGUGCUUACAAAACUCUGAAGGUGCCAUUGAAGUGCAUGCAUAUUGUUUUCCAAUCAUACUGCUUUAGUGCUUAUGUGUCAUUGCCUGAGCCCCAUUAAGGGCUCUAUGUUGGUGCACCCAAAAAUGUGGUUCGACAUAAGUAUACUAAACUUGCAAACUGUUCUGUUUCAUGCUUUGUUUUUUUAAUACAAAAUUCUCCUUUUUGUGCACAAAAUUGUCGGACAAUUACAGAAAGAAAAUCCUUUUAUUGGACAUGUUUGUGAUGUUUCUGUUUUGAAGGCAAUUACCUCCAAUUUUUCAGUGCUGGUAUAGUAUUGGUAUUGUAAAAUUUUGCAAUGUUGAUAAUGAAAUAGAACGCACCGUACAAUGUCAAUUGCAUCAGACAUUGUGUAUCUCUCCGAAUAAGAGUAUGAACCAUUCCACAAUUUAGGGUAUGAAGGUAUUUCAAUGGGAAAGGAUUGCUCGUCUACGAUGUGCCAAUGGAGAACAUUCUGCAUGACGAGAUAACAAAGGAUUAACAUACAGUAACCGGAACUGUAUUUUAGGAACAAAAACGGAUUACCCGACAACAGUUCAAGUCUUCUAUAACUUAUCAGUCGAGGAAUUAAAAUUGAAUGGCCAUCAAACCUACCAAUUUACUGUAGGUCAUUGCAUCAAUCACUCCUUUGAUUAUCUUAACAGGUAGGUAGUGCCUUGCAGUAUCUGCCAGCAUAUAUAAGCAUAAGUUAAUUUUGUAAUUGUCAGUCACUGGAUGUCCACAUUAUUAACAUUUGGUAUGGUGGAAAUGCUGAUUAUAUCUAACCAAUAAGCAGUCCCCGGUAAGGAAAUCUUGGUGUGUCAGUAAUUAUCCAAGGAGCUGAGUUGAGUUCAAUGAGUCGUGAUGUGAAAUCAAAGUAACACAACUGACCAAAUGUCUGCAUUGAUAAAAAGAGAAAUUACUGUUGGACAGGGUUGUGAGCCUAAAUCUUGCUUAUCUUAUGUAUUGCUUGUCUACGGACCGUACAAAGUACUUACCUGUAAGCCAUGAAGUGCUCCAAAAACGGUUUGAGCCUACAGAAAGCAAGGUGUCAUCAGCAUGAAACGAUUUGAAGUGACUUGCAUUGGGCAUAUGAAUGAUAGAUGUGAUCCCAUUACCGGUUCCACUUUCUUUUGUAACCUAACAACAUUUCCCAUGUCAUGAAAAUUUAAACAUAGACACCUUGGGAGGGGAUAUUGCAUUUCACUGUUGAGUUGAUGAUAUAUUAUAUUAUUAUAUGAUAAUCAUUCUGAUUUGCUUGCAAGGGUCCAUCUGUUGUAUAUUUGUAUUAUAUGCUAAUUUGUAUUUCUGAGACUUAGGCUAUCAAGAGGGUUUUGUACAGCAAUAUGCAUGCUACAGGAGAUACUGAAGGCAUGGACUGUGCUAGGAUUCUCGGAAUUCAUUAUCAUGAAAAAAGGAAUUGCAGAAACUACAAGUAAACUUCAAGUGUCUGUAUGCCCCCCAAAAAAGCUUCAAGUGUCUGCCUACAGUGGAUGCACUAGAUGAUGCUACUAUAUAAGGCUCACAACAUAAAACAAUGAGUUUUUUUUUACUAGCCUCAAUCUGUGCAUACAGUGGAUCUCCUGUUGUUGGAACAGUUAAGUUAUAUGACUCAUCUGCUCCAAAGUUGAGCUGCAGAAGAUGAACAAUGCAGAGUAUUAAUUGAAAGAUGAAAAAGGCAAUCUGUAGAUGGGUUUGCACUUUGUCAGAUCAAGCGAGCAGGUUACCUCAUCGUCAGGUGUAUGGACAACUAUAUUAACACAGGUGAGAACCAAAGAACUUGGGUUUAUUCCAUCGAUGACAUGGUUCAGUGUGAUCAAAUCAACCAUCCUCUGGAAGGCGUCCUUCAGGAUUGAUUUCUCGUCAGAGUACGUGCUUCCCACCAUUGACAUUGUGAUAUCUUUCUUGACGUAGAGCUUCUGUGUUCCAUGGGACACCGUCUUCGGCAUCGGCCACAAGUCGAUGUUAUCGGCGGCGAUGCAGGAUCCAAUCGCCAGAAAUGCAAGGAGCAGCCCCAGAGCCGUUGCCAUCUUUGCAGAGUGGCUCAUGCCCUUCUCCACAGAAUCUGCAAAUGCCUAAAGCAAGAGAAGAAUCAAUGAGCUGCGAGUUUUGACAGACAUCCCGCAACCACUGCAGGUGACACGAUCUUUUCUUGGCAAGCUCGGAUGGCCAGCCUCACCUCAGAGAAAAAGAAAUGAUGGAAAAAGAGAAGUCGCAAGGAAGAAUGCAGCAAUCUGCAAGCGCAAGGCAAGUACCUUUUUCUCUCCCCUCAAGUCUUCCUACACAUGUCUGGAAGAGAACCAAUGGGAAAGCAUGUUGAACUCCUAUCUUAGGAUGAAGACGAGCGACGAGGAGGUAUAUGAGGAGGAGGGCCACCACGGCAUUGCAGACUGGGCUCAAGGGGUGGUUAGAUGGAGGGAAGAAAAGGCAUGCACAGGCACUGGUCUGGUGCACUUCGGUGACCCAGAACACAGGUACGGAUGGCCAAGCAAUCAGCUCAGCUCACUGAUGCUAAUUUUGGUAGCUUCACUGCUCCUGCUCCAUUAUAGCCUAUGUGCUGACCAAUAUUUUUGCAGCGUAGGAGUAUGUGAUAUUAAACAAAUCAUGUGCAUACAUUUCGUGAUAAAUACGUGCCUAAACGGGGACGUUCUGCCAUUCGCGCUAAUACGAUUUUUCUAAACAUAAUAUGAACCGGAGGCACCGAGGGAUGAUAUACUGAUUAUAUAUUCCUGGCUAUUUUGCAGAUUGCUGCUUCUGGCGGGUUGUGGUUAGUAAAAAAAGCGUGACAAGGAUCUGGUUGGUAGGUUGAUCACAAGUUGUUGCCCGUUGUCACUGCCCAACGAAGCGUCACGGCGCUGCGCUCUCGAGUGAACUAUAGCUUGUUGGCCUUCCCGGCUUCCCCUGCUGUUGGUUAAUCUUGUUGGCCUUCCCCUGCUGUUGCUGGUUAAUCUUUUAUUAAAUUAUUAUAUCUAUGAGGCGAAAGCUGUUAGCUAAUCUAAUGAUGGCCCAUGCAGGGAUGCAGAUGCAUUCAGACCGAGAUAAUUUUGUCUAUAACAAUUUAAAAAAAGUUUGCAAGAUCAAACAAGGUAUCGACCCUGGCUGUUUCCUCAGGUGGUGCUGGCAUGGUGCGUGACUUUGCAAUAGUGGGACUAUGAGAUGUCACAUCAGUGCGGGAUUCAAGCUGCUAACUCCUCCGUAGGUAAGUCAUUCUUAAGGAGUUGGUACACGGAAUUUGCGUGCUGGUAGCGGUAGGCUGAAAGAUGAAGGGUGCGAAAGUUGUGCCCGCCUUGUCUGUGCUUUUGUGCAUGGCACACGGGGGACACGGGUGGACGCGUUGUGGACUGGUAGGUCUUCAAACCCACUGCAUGAACUUGGGCCGAGUUACUUUGGACCUAUCCCAUUUAGGCUCUCUCGGUUCACUGAAUCGGGGCUGAUCUGGCCCAUGCACCUAGAACCGGAUCGGACUGCUAUUUUUAGCCCAUCAUCACUAGUUGUAGGACGUUUGUCGCUCAUUAUCUUUAUGGACUGGGUCCAAAAGCUUUUGCCAAAUGAUCACACAGUAACAUUAUCGUGUACUGUAGGUUAUUUCAUCAAAUCACUUUCAAAAAGUUACAAGCUGAUGGUGAUUGGUGAACAGCAAGCCAAACCUAAGUCUUGUUUGCUUGAACGAAGUAGUUGUUGACUUGAACACAUGCCAGGUCUGCCCAGGCUGGGUUGAGACGUACCCAACCCACGACUGCAGUGGUAGUCAAAUUUGCUCUCUCGCAACAGUCACACGCCCAACCCAACAAUCUCAGGCCCUUUGGACUUCUACUUCGACGACACGACAUUUUUUUUUUGCUUUGGGUCGUUUCAGAUGGUCAAAAGUUUAAUCGUCUUGCAGCCAGUUUCUGCCGAUGGUAGUAGAAAGCGAGGUCGAUGAAAACCUAAUUACAUGAGCCUCCAAUCUUGAUUCCAAAUGCAGAUGGAGAAGUUGGUGAAUGUUCCACCAACUGAAUGGCUCCAAAUUGGUGUAGAUUCGGAAACGGGAUAGCUUUAGUUUCAGUUGGUUGAUCAAGGAGCUUUCGUUAUUAAUUCUGGAGACGCCUUUUGGAGACGAUGGGUGAAGUUUCGGCUGAUUCACGAAUUGUCUUGAAAUGGCUUUGUUUCUUGAUUUCGGUAGAGUUCAGCAAGUUUCAAACUCCACGUGUCAAUGUCUGCCAUUACAUUCUUUGCAAAUUUUGGAGCUCUUCUCCGGAUGGGCUGCAAGAUGCAAAAAAUUGCGUAAGCUGACGCUGGCACCUUCUUUUCGUCUAGUGAUGAUAUUGGUGGUCCUGAUGGGACUGGAGUAGACGAGUAGUUGCAUUUGUCCAUAAGCGCCAGAAAUACGCCCGAAUCUUGACGUGCAUUCUAUCGGUGAGCUCCAACCCUUGGCCGGUUACGAAUUCCUGCACCCUUCAACAAAUUCAGUGACCAUUUCAACUCCAGAUCAUCAUGCAAAGCAAUGCUGGUCAGUCAAAGACAAUGUGUGUAUGUUCGCCACUACUAUCCAUCACUCGGCACAGCUUACGCAUGGGAGGUGCGUAGCCUGCCAUAAGUUGUUUCCAAGAACUCACCAAACCUAUACUUUGCCCAGCCUCCAAUGGUCAAUGCCGCAUGUAAAAGUUUACUAACCAACCUGUGGUCUCGUCUCCCAUUCCCAGGUUAGGCUUCUGAAUCUCGCACUCAGCUGCUUACCAUGCCCUGCAAGGCUCUCAAAUUCUCCCCCUGAUUUCUUUUUCCCCCCCAAGAGUGCACGCUCUCGAAUUCUUUCUUGUUCGCCCACUUAAUUCAUUCCAAAAACAAUGUUACCCAGAGCCGGUGGAUGUCUCCACUAUAAGUACACGUGUGCAAGUCAUCACAUCAUCGAACGCAUACCUAACUAUCACCUGCAAGCCGGCGGCAUCCCAACUCGCCGCGUCGCGUACACCCGGAGGCGGAUGGCCAUGGCAAAGUCUGUCCUGAGCUUGCUCGCGCACCUGCACGCCGCCGUCCUGUUCCUUCCGGCGGACCCGGCGGCCGGCGCAGCAAUGUACAACGUGCUGCGCUACGGCGCCCGCCCCGACGGCGCGGCGGACGCGGCGGGCGCCUUCCUCCGCGCGUGGGCCGACGCAUGCCGCUCGACCCGCCCGGCCACCGUCUACGUGCCGCCCGGCCGGUUCCUGGUAUCGAGCGCCACGUUCACCGGCCCGUGCCACGGCCACGCCGCCGUGACGUUCGCCGUCGCCGGCACGCUCGUCGCCCCCGCGGGCGCCGGCGGGCGCGGCUUGUCGGGGAGGUGGAUCACGUUCGAGAACAUGGAGGGCCUCGUCGUCUCCGGCGGCACCUUCGACGGCCGCGGCCGGGCGCUCUGGGCCUGCAGAGCGCGCGGCGGGAACUGCCCGACGCCGGCGUCGGUACGUUCGCCGUCGUCGAAACUCGGAACCUGAAAGGUGUGUUCGCUUGCUACCUGACGAUCAACAGCUAACUUUGGCUCGCCGUGGUUGCAUGCAUGGGUCGUCGCAGUCGCUGACGAUCGCGAACUCGAGGGACGUGGUGGUGGCCGGGGUGCGGUCGGUGGACAGCGAGCUGUUCCACGUGGUGGUGCUGCAGUGCGUGGGCGUGACGGUGCGCGGGGUGACGGUGGAGGCGCCGGCGGACAGCCCCAACACCGACGGGAUCCACAUCCACAUGUCCAGCCACGUGUCGGUGUACGACGCCAGGAUCGGCACCGGCGACGACUGCAUCUCCGUCGGCCCCGGCAACUCCCACCUCUGGAUCGAGCGCGUCGCCUGCGGCCCCGGCCACGGCAUCAGGUACGUCGCCGGCAGUGCGUGGGCGAGGGCGCCAUGACGCGCGGUGGUUUGUCGUCAGCAUGAAUAACGCAGAAAUGCUCUUGUUUUUAGGAAUUAAAUCGAGAAAGUAAUCACAGGCAGCAUAGGAAUGGUAGCUUGAGCUAGUGUUUGGAAAUCAAUCCACUAUAGCUGCUGGUUUGACUGAAACGGUCUUUAUUACCAUAUUAAAAGUAAAGAAAUCUUGAAGUCGACUGAGGCAACAUUAGUGGAAACGGACCAGAUCUGGGUCCGGUUCAUACUCAAGUCGCAUGCAUGGUGGCGUGUGCACAAAACAUUCAGGUUCAGUUUGGGUUUGUACCUAAUCCGUGCACUAAUUUUGUGUCUGUGACUUGUGCAAUUAAUUGAUUAGCAUCGGGAGCCUGGGCAAGCAGGAAGGCAUGGCGGUGGAGGCGGUGCAGAACGUGACGGUGAAGACGACGUGGUUCGCCGGCACGACGAACGGGCUCCGGAUCAAGACGUGGGGCGGCUCCAAGCGCGGGUUCGUCCGGGGGGUCACCUUCGCGGACGCCACCAUGUCCGGCGUGGACAACCCCAUCAUCAUCGACCAGCGCUACUGCCCCAGCGGCAGCGGGUGCCCCGGCGGGAGCUCCAGCAUCAGGAUCAGCGACGUCAGGUACGUGGGCAUCCGGGGCUCGUCGGCGACGCCGGUCGCCGUCAACUUCGACUGCAGCCGGAGCAACCCGUGCAGCGGCAUCCGCCUGCAGGACGUGGCGCUCACGUACCGGAGCCGGCCCGCCGCCGCCAAGUCCUACUGCCGGAAUGUGCAGGGGAGCACGCUCGGCCUCGUUCUGCCGCCGAGCUGCCUCUGAUGUAUCAGACGGCAGCCGAUCGAUGAGCCGAAGCAGAUGCAUCAGUGGCUGCAUUGCCACGUGUAUAUAGAUGCAUACGUCGAAUGUAUCACGUAUAUGUAGCGAGUGCUUAGACUACACGGACGGCACGUACUUAAUUACCAUCGUAGAUGAAUCGUAGAACAUCUGUUGGUUGUUUUGUUCUAUCGUCGUCUUUGCCUUUUCAUAAAAUGAUUAGUGUAGCUGGCAGAGUGACUGGCUGUAAUUAUCUGACUUCAUCUUACAAAUAAAGACCAUGCAAUCUGUUGCACCAGUGCAUAAACGCAAGUACACACACUCUUUUUCAAGGCGAGAAAUGCUCAUAGAUAACACAAAAUGGGAAAAAUAGACGCUCAAUCACACCAGGCUGACAGAAUCUCCUGAGCUUGGGCCGUUUUAAUACUGGUACCGAAGCCCACAAUCAAGUGGGGCACCACGCUUUCACACACACACACACGACGGUCCGGCGAAGAGCACAAGGAAGCCCAACUCUCUUACCGCACGAGCGGGCCGGCUCUAUCCAGAGGCCCAAAACACUCAGGCCCACCGCGCGCCCGCGGCAUUUGUUGUUGUUGGUUGGUUGGUUGGCACGGCACGUUCACAUGGCGCGCGGUCCGCACAAUCUCCAGAGUCCAAACCAACAGACUGAAUUCAACCACCAACCCGGCGCCCGCCGCCGUGGCACGGCCGGUGUCCUGUCCCAUCCCAUCGCGCGCCGCGCAGCUACCCCGCGCACAAAAUCCUGGCGAAUCGUAGGGACUCUCGAGUCUCGGCACAAGAACGAGGCCAACCAAACCCCAACCUGCUGCUGCUCCGGGACAGGUCCACGGCGGCGCUGCGGCAUGGAGAAAGAGGCGGCGGUGGCGAGGAACAGGAAGGUGGUGCUGCGCGGGUACAUCGACCGCGCGCCGAGGGAGGACGACAUGGAGCUCGUCGACGGCGGCGCCGUGGCGCUGCGCGUCCCCGGGGGAGCCGGCGGCCCCGCGGUGCUGGUGAAGAACCUCUACCUCUCCUGCGACCCCUACAUGCGCGGCAGGAUGCGGGACUUCCAGGGCUCCUACAUCCCGCCCUUCAAGCCUGGAUCCGUGAGCUUCUUCCUUCAAAUCGUUUUUCCUCAGCUUGGGCUGGGUUGUUAGUUGCUGAAGCGAUCGGUUGUGCAUUGGUCUUGCGCAAAUUCCAUUAAUUGCUUCCACUGAUUGAACGAUUUGUUGAUUGUGAAGCCUCUUGAAGGAUUUGGCGUGGGGAAGGUGAUCGACUCCACUCAUCCAGGAUUCAGUGCUGGUGACUUUGUUUCGGGGAUGACUGGUUGGGAGGACUACAGUCUGAUCACCAAGCCUGAACAGCUCAGGAAGAUUCAGCAAAGCGACAUACCGCUCUCUUACCACUUGGGCCUACUUGGUUAGUUCCUUAUGUUUUUCAAAUUUUUUUAUCAGUUACAUUCUAAGCAUAUAUAGACAACACAAAUGGUGUAGCUGUUGAACAGCAGCAGUUGGAUGAUGUUUUUGGUUGGAAAGACUAAACUAGGUUGAAAAUACCCGCAAAUAAAAAAACUAGGUUGAAGAGACUCAUUGCAUCUAAGGGACAGGAAAAGGAGAGGUGGGUGUAGGAGUAGGAGUAGAACUGUGAUAAUCACAAAUGGUGUUUCUGAAUUUUUCUUUCCAUGCUAUUCUUCGCUCCAAGAAGCUUAUAUCUCUUAUUAUUCCUCCACAGGCAUGCCUGGUUUUACAGCUUAUGUUGGAUUCUAUGAGAUCUGUUCACCAAAGAAAGGGGAAUUUGUCUUUGUUUCUGCUGCAUCCGGAGCAGUUGGCCAGAUCGUUGGUCAACUUGCAAAGCUCCAUGGCUGCUAUGUUGUGGGAAGUGCUGGAACAAAUCAGAAGGCACACACUCAUACUAGUCCCUUCUUUUCUUUUUAAUAAAAAUUCACUCCAACUAGUAUUAGUUGCUUGCAUUGCCUGUGUAGUUGCAUCAUCCAAUAUCCACAAUAUAUAUCUUUCAGGUUGAGCUCCUGAAGGAAAAACUUGGGUUUGAUGCAGCUUUCAAUUACAAGGAAGAGCCUGACUUGACUGCUGCCUUAAAAAGGUCAGAAUUUCUUCUUCUGCAGAAAAUGAUAUCAGCUUGAUUUAGCAUUCAUGAACAGCUGAUGAGCCAAGCUAGGAUCGUACAGAAAAGAAUUAAACUUUGAUGGAUGAUGAACCUCUGUGAACUAUUGAUGAAUGAGAAACACUGAUAACAUAAAAAGCUGUACCUACCUAGAACAUACUAUUCCUUAAGACAACUGAUUGAUAUAAAAGCAGUUUACCUUUGUUGUUGUUAAAACUGGGGAAUUAUGCUGUGAUCUUGUGGAAAUGUUUUCCUGUGUAGGUACUUUCCUGAAGGUAUUGACAUCUACUUCGAGAACGUAGGUGGGCCAAUGCUUGAUGCCGUACUACUCAACAUGCGAAUACAUGGACGCAUUGCAGUGUGUGGGAUGGUUUCCCAGCACGGGGUAACUGCUCCUUCUGGGAUCCACAACCUGUUCUCCCUGAUAAGCAAGAGGAUAGAGAUGAAGGGAUUCAUCCAGAGUGAUUACCUCCACCUGUUCCCACGGUUUGUCGAUGACAUCACCAAACAUUACAGAGAUGGCAAGAUUGUGUAUGUGGAAGAUAUGAGCGUCGGGCUGGAGAGUGGACCUGCGGCUUUUGUUGGCCUGUUCAGUGGUAAAAAUGUUGGCAAGCAGGUUGUGCGCGUGUCACAAGACUGAAACCUGUGUACACUCUGGUAAAUUAUAAGGCAUCCUAAUACCAGAAUCUCUGUUGGAAAGAAAUAAGAAAAAUAGAAACCUCUAUUCAGUGGAGCAAUUGUUGUAUGUUUUCCUGAUCAUGUUCAGAGUUCAGACUUGAUCUUCACUUUCUCCACUUGUUGGGAACUUGGUAGUACAUCGUCUCUUUGAGACUACAAUGUGAAGUAUUGACUAUGCAGAUUCUUUUGUUCUGAAGUUUAGCAAAACAAAGAAAAAGAAAAUAAAAUAAAAAUAAUAAAAAUGGUUCUCGAGUUUUAGCUCCCUUCAUAUAUGAUAUAUAGCUUAGUCACUGUCCUCUUCAUUAGUAGCAUUUGCGGUUUUUAUGGCAUUAGAGCCCGUAGAAGCAAAUGGAGGCUGAGGUUGCGAAGGAUCAAAGAUGAGUCAGUUUUGGCAGCUCGACGAGAAGUGCGUCCUGUUUUUUUCUAAACGAACCAGCCAAGAGAGCUGCCGAUUAUAUUAAAAAGAAGAAUACACCCAUACUGCGUACAACAACAAAAGAAAUAGCGGAACAACAACACUGGCCGGUUGGAUUGGGACAUCAACACAGCCGCACAACUCCACUCGAAACACCAACUCAAAAUAACAACCGGUUGGAUUAAGACAUCAACACGGCUGCACAACUCGACUCAACUCCACCCAACUCACCACACCACCACAACCCCGGAGAAUAGCCAACAAGUGACACUCAUCGCAAGUGCCGUCAUUCCUGAUGAUGUCCCAUGCCAACCAACCGUUGCCAUGCAGAACUAGCCGCCGCAAUCCGCUGCAAGCCAUGUAGCUACCACGAUUGUUCCACCAUGCCACCAUCAUCUUCAGGCCACACACACGAUCGUCGAUCUUCCAACCACGGUCUUGCGUUGGUAGAAGUCAGAAGAAGAGCCCACCACACCUCACCGAAGAAGCCACCACCAUGCAGGACCCCUCGCCGAAGUACCGCUGUUGCACCUUACACGCCAAAAUGACUGAAGCACUGCACCGGAUCCUGAACCUCCAAGGCAACGCAGAACGCAUGGGACCUCGCCACAUCCACCGCCGCACACCAUUUCUCGGACUCUCUUCGGACGCACCACUCCUUGAACACACCACCUUAAAGCGCAUGGGGGCCUCGCCUCUUCCGCCGCUGGACUCUCCGAGGAUCUGGGUUUGCUUCGCCGUCAGGGUGACUUGGUACCAGUCCUAUGUGCCUAACUCAAUCGGCGAGUUUUGUUUUGGGACAUGGAUACGUAUGGAUGUACUCCACACCUACACUGGCGGAGCCCUGUUGGGGCCAUAGUGGGCUCCGACCCCCACUUGCUUGCUCGAGGAUGAAUGGGCGUCUCCGAUGUAUGGACUCACCCAUGGACUCGACCUGGGUUUUAGAUCGGGCCCAACAUUGAUGUAAUAUCAACUAAUGCAAGAGCUGCGGUAUAGAGAUGGAUACUUACAAUCAGUAGAUUUUGUUUUGGGGACAUGGAUACUUAUAUGGAUGUACUACACCUACACCUUGCAACUAAUGUUAUCAAAGUAGUUCAUGAAUUCAUUCUCAUACCACGUUACCAACCUACAUGUAGCGAGCAAAGAUGUUGUCCAUAAAAUAUAAAAAAGAAAGGAAAAAUAUAAAAAAGAAAAAAGUAUUAUACAUAAAAUGAAAAAAAGAGAAGGAACGAAAAGAAAAAAGAAUCUAAAAGAGGGGGAAAUGAACAGUCACCGUUGGCUUGGUCAACGGUCAACGUUGACUUGGACAACGUUGAACGGUCAACGGUCAACUGGGCCCCACCGGUCAGUGGGCCCUAUUAGUCAGUAAGUGGACCCCAAGAGUGGGCCUGACCCUGGACACGUCAGCACCACGUGGCUCCACAUGGCGUUUUGGUCUGCUUGUAUUUAGUGAAGACUUUGCUCCUUUUCCAUCCUUGCGAAUGAAAUAUAUAUUUGUGAAGUCACACACAAAUGAGCUGCAUCCAUGACAAGUACUCCCUUCGUUCCAAAUUGUAGGUCGUUUGGGACUCGCAGAGAGUUCAUAUCCUUCGCAAUGGGGCUUCUAAGAGCAUCAUGCCUCGUUCGUGUCAGAAACGGAAAAAGUCUGACAAAAAUAUGAAGAAGAACACUGAAGAACAGGAUAGAUUUAUGUAUAGAUAGUUGGGAUUCGAUUUCAUUCAGCAGAAGCAGAUAUUAGAAGGUCUAGAUUACGCUACUCUACUGAUAAUUAGGGUUCGUAACAGGCUCAAACGCACUUUAGCUAAACGAAGAAUGAACACUGCUUACAGUCCGAAAACGGGCAAUAAAGCGAACAAAGUGAAUUGCUGAAAACUGUAGGAGGGAUAAUGAUCGUUGUUCCUUGCAUGGCUGUGUUUGUGACUUGGAGUCCGCGUCAAAUCGCUGAACAGAGGACGACUUCAUUUGGUACCUUGAGUUUCUGAACUUUCUGAACCCGCAGAAGAACGUCACCUUGCCCGUCUGCAGGGACCUCGACCUAAAUUCUCAAGGUCCAUUAUUUUUUUUAAAAAAAAUCUCAAGCUCCAUACCCAGAUCCAAAUUGAGCAAAAGUAACACUAACAGUCACACGGUAGGCAUUUAUUUGCUGAGAAAAAUAAUCUCCAUCCCAUUAAUAACAUUAUCAUUCACAGUCACGGGGCUUGUUUUGCACAUCGAUAUCCAUAUAUGAUUUGAAGUUUGUAAGAUAAAAUUAGGUGUUUUUUACAUAUGCGCUUAAACCCAAAUUAAUAACAAAAUUGAACAACCAAGUAUUUCUAUUAUGCAAGUAGCUCUAACUAGCUAUAAGAUUUUCUGGAACUAAAUGACCGGCUCUAAAAAUUCUCAUCGAAUGGAGCGGUUAUGUAUCUUGUUCCUGUGAGCAAUUCCAGAAGACGGCUAGUCUUAUCCACUUUUUUAAGGGAAAACUAAAACUACGACCCGCGCACAUUUUUUUCCCGGACCUUCACCGCCCCUCGCCCUGCCGCGCACCCGAGCAGCGACCUUCCCGCGCGGCCCCUUCGCGCGCGCGCAGCGGCGGCGGCAGAGCGAGGGGCUGCAGCGCCGGCGGGGCGAGCGGCGGUGGCGGCGGCGAGGCGAGGGGCAGCAGCGCCGGCGGGGCGAGUAGCGGGGCGAGGUGCUGCGGCGCCGGUGGGGCGAGUUGCGGGGCGGCAAGGCGAGGGCCUGCGGCACCGGCGGGCACUGCCCAACGGUUACAGAUAAUCCAACGGGUAAUCACUGUGGGUGCGGCUGUGGCGUCUCGGAGACGGAGUUCAUCGUCGACGUCAACCUCGCCAGUGGCUUGGGUCAAUUUGGGUGCGCUGGGAGGCUCCUGGGAUUGUGGUGAAGGUUUGGGCGAGAGGAAUUGAACUGAGAUGAAUUGCAGCUCCCGAAUUGAUAGGAGCCGCGAGCUCUGUCUCGGUGCGCAUGGCGCGACUGUGGAAAAUGGCGAGCUCGACGGCGGCUCUGGCUUCCGGUUCCGAAUUUGGCAGGCCAGCGCGCGUUCGUCGUGAACGACGACCAACGUCUUCCCCUUGCGGACCCGCUCCUUCUCAGCUCAGUUGACGGGGGGCGUUCUUUGGUUUGCUUGUCGGUGAGGGUGUUAGAGAUAUAGAGAUCGUAAACUCGUAGGAUUUGACUUGUAUUAGAGAUAACCGAGAUUUAUAAUCGGUUUAGACUCCUAGGUUGCAGUCAAGUCAAACUCCUGUAAUCUCCUUAAUAUAUAAACAGUAACCGUGGCGCCACGCAAGUUCUCCCAAACUCUUUCACCCCGCCACGCUCAAUCGGACAUGAACGACGAAUUCAUCGAAGCCGCUGCCACCGUUUUUCGCUUUCUUGGGGAGGAGAUUCUCCGGGACAAUGCCGCGAAGCUCGCGAGGCUCGCCCUCGAGCUCGCCGCUGUUGAUGUCGGCGUCGGCGGCGUGCCCCGUGGCAACCUGAAGGCGGCCGCGGACGCGUUGUCCCAGGCGGGCAGCUCGGGAAGGUCGGAGGCUGUCCUCGCCCUCCUCGACGCGGCCACCGAGCUGGAGGACGCGCUUGGAGCCGACAUGGAGUCGCUUCGAGGAGGCGCGUCGUUCUUGGCGCUCACAUGCCGCGAGCUUCGGGAGGAGCAGCGGGAGGAGCGGCCGGCUGCGGGUCCGUGGUGGUGGCUGCUGCUCCGGGGGUGGCUUCCGCGUCGCCACGAGAAGAGCGUGGAGAACUUGGAGGCCGCUCUUCUCGUCAAGGAUCAGGUACGCAGGCAGCAACCCGAUUUAAGGUUUGUGCAAUGUGAGAUGGCGGGUUUAGGCUUCAAUUUCGGGGGAUGUUUGCAGGGAGCGGGCGAGACCAACUACGCCGCGCAGAUCGCUAUCGAUUUCAUGUGCAAAGAGUCGGCGCAACGCGAUAACCUGGUGAAGAUGGCCUGCGAGAUACAACAAUUCGCCGACGAUCUCGGUUUUCCCCACCACGACCUGGACCGGGCCACGGCUGCAUUGAUGGUGGCGGACAAUGCGAGCGCCGCCUUUGUCGAGCUUGGCACCGCGGCAACUGAGCUCGAGCGGGAGGCCACCGCACAGCUGCACGCUCUCCGCGCUCCGAUGGUGCAGCUGGCGGACGCGUGCCGGAAGUACGGGGAAGAGGCUAGGGUAAUGAAGGCGGUGCUCCUCGCUGAUGAGGAGAGAGCGAGGCGGAAGGCCGCAGGUGCCUCGACCCGUUCAGGUAUGCCUAAUUCUCGGCUAUGGAUUGUGUGUGUUGCAUUUGCGGAUUACUAUGAUGCUCCUAUUCAAUCGUUUCAAUUGCAUCAAUUAUUGUAGCAGGAUUUCUCAAAGUACUUUUCCACCGGCUUUCGGUGAAGCUCUACCAAAGACGCAAUUGAACUGAGCAUGCAGGCUUGUACCGAGGGGGAUAUUCUAGCUUUGUUCUAUAGUUUUCGUGCAAACUUAAGUCCAUCGUCCACCAGGCUUGGUACGAGGGGUAUAUGUGAUUCAAGUGAAUGGGAGUGAUAUCCACCAAAUGAGAAGUGUGGGCAGCCUCCGGAAGGCCCGAAUUACAGAGUCAGAUUAGAUAGGUAUAGGUGUUCUUUACUAUCGUUGGCUACUGCUGAUAUGUGAGUGCAAUAGUGCAUUGUGACGAUCCAUUGGUAUUAGUCUAGCACUUCAAAAGAUAUGAUUGGAUAAUAUGAUCCUGCAACUUAACAGCGGGAGUAAACAGGAAUGCAACUGUUAAUUGUUAAUGGUAUAAGGUCUUCUACCCACGGAAGUUCUGGUGAAGAAAUGUUAUACUGCACCAUCGACGUGUUUGCUAUUCCAAAAUACACUGAACCUUGCACGUACCCGUGCAAUGUUCCAUACGCUAAUGCAGGAGCUUUAAUGGGUUUAUAAAAUGUAAUUUCAGAACGAAUUCCGAAUUAACAUAAGUUCAAAAACCAAUGCAUCAACCAUGAGAAAUAUAAUUUGUUUUUAGCAUAAAUCAACAUGUUAAUUUGUUUGUAACUUAAGGCAAGGAACAUCAGCUAGAAUCUGCGAACAGCCACGUUAGGCGGGAUAUGGAUUGUUGCUGCCGCAGAAGGAUAUUGUGUCGACAGCAAUUAGAACUAUGACUCGCAUUAAUAAUAGUGAAAGAUGAGAGCUGAAAUCUGGCCAAAAUAUACAUGUAUGCUCCUCUCCUUAACAUUGCUGACAUUGUUCUCCAUCCGUCGCUGGGUCUUCUGCAUAUAUAGUAUGCAAAUGAGAAACAGAAUCCGAUCACCAUGAGAGCUGAAACCAAAUACGCUAUCAUUGCGAAGUUGUCCUCAAAGUCCGGGAUGCGUAUUGGUACACGAAAAGGCAGGCCAGCAAUACCAUGCCCCAAGCAACCAUGAAGCACUGCAAAAGCACAAACAAGUUAAGGUAUAAACCUGCACAUGAACCAUGGGUGAUGCAUGGUUUCUAAGUUGUAACCCACUAUGGAUUCAAAAGAAGAGACGGCAAGAGACUCGCUACAUGAUGAUCAUCUGGAUUUAUUAACAGAUCACAGGGGCAACGGAUUCAGUACCACCAUGAAGGGUUUGCAGAACUUCCUGGUGGCCUGGCUCGGUCUCGGGAUCAGAGGCGGACCAUAGGUAUUCAAAAUUCCAUAUGGUAAAAAAAAAAUUUGGCAGCUAAAAUUAUAGUUUUAUAAUACAGAAUUAAGUCGCAGCAUUAUUGAUUAAUAAAAUUGAUCGCAACUGGAAAUUAUUCAGCUACCAAUGAUCAACAUAUCAAAGUGGCAACAUGUGAAAUAAAUAGAGGAUAAAACAACACCUCUUGCCAAGAAAGCUCUCAAAUCAGUAAUGGCACUAUUCUUCCUCUUCAUGUUUCAAACCUAAAAUUAAAAUCACACAAGUAUUGAUGCUUGAUAGAGUGCUCACCUGUAUCUUAUUGUAGUCCUGGGCUUGAAUGCUUGAUAAAGUGUUCCCUGCUUGGCUGCUCCCGUGCUCCGGCACCAGCCACCCGCCACCCAGAUCAGUAGACCGCCGCCGCCACCACGCUGGCCGCCUACCGGCUACUAUGGUGCUGCGCGCGCCGGCUGCCGUGCGUAGUGCGCCUGCGCCAAGGGCGCCGCCGCGGCGCCGCGCCUCCACCUCCACCCUCACCGACCGUCGUCAGCUCGCUGUCCAGCCUCCCCGUCACUGUUGGCCUGGUGCCGUUAGGGUUACAUUGGAACGUGCGUUGAAUCGAUUGAGAAAUGAGAAAGAGGAGGGCUGCAUAGGCAGCUCUGUGCUCGGACAGGAGGGAGUUGGCCGACUAGGUCAAUUGGACUGUUGGGCCAGCACGGGGUAUAGGGAAGGAGGAGCGGUCCAGAACUCCAGGUUGACUUUUGCUUUGUUCGGAUUGAAUUUCUUUUUGUUUUUUGAUGUAUAUAUAUAGGAUACACUAUAUAAAAAAUGCAGAAAUAAUGGGUAUUACCCUUGAAUACACGUGGACUCACCCCAGCUCGGGAUUAUUGAUCGUUCUUCCAGCCUACGGUAUGCGAGGUGCUUGGCCGGCCGUGGCGGCAUGUAAGGGAGGAAGGCCAUCGCACGCGUGGAGCGCGCACGGCGCGGGGUGGCCGGACCGGAGGCCCUGGUUCGAAACCUAACUACGGCGGGGGCAGAUUCCCAGCGGCACAGGUGAUAGGACCAGGCAAAACCAAGGGGGGCUCGAGACUGGCAAGGCCUAUUUUAUUAUAACACAUCGAUCGCAGAAGCAAAUUGCCUCCGUGUCUUCCGUGUUUGGCGAGCGCGUGUCUGCAUACAACUCUGCUCCUUCGAUUCCACACGAUCCGCUUUCAGCUAACAGGCCGCGAAAUAUAUCACAUGGGCCGCAAAAUAUACAUGGACCGAACGAAGGAAAGAGUAAGAAAAUAAAUCAAGGCAUUUAUCUUAAUUGGGCUUCAACCGGCUCCUAACAGGUCACGCGCGUGCAACUUCCGGUGGUGAGCUGCCAAUGGGCCAAAUGUACGGCACUAGAGCCUGCUGGCGACAGCUUUUCCCGUAACCCUCAGGCGGCACUGCGGCAGCGGCUUCCAUGAGAACAGGGCAAGCUCAGUAGCUUGCGCUUGGAUAGAUCGUCGAGUUGAACCUUCGAAACAUUCACAAGGAGCAAACCUUUUAAACGACCUGAAUUUCCAAUUCUAAGAAAUCAAGCCUACACACCUCCACAAUAAUCCUAGAAAAGAUAUCACGUGUGAAUCACUAUCUCAGAUAGUACAAAUUCAUACCAACAUAGAAAUAUAAAGUAGCAACAAAAUAAUAAUAUCAUAAAUAUCGAGUACAACUCUUCAGCUCAUACCUGUACAAGUCCAUCAGAACUGAAUCACGAAAGAUAAAACAUAGAUGCGGUGUAAACAUGAGCUAUGACGAACACCAUUUUCAGAGGUGACUUGAGCGAGGGAUCAUUCCUAGUCUUCUCAUCCAUCAUUGUCGAAGUCGUAGUCGAGCUCCGAUCCUGAAAAGCUACCAUCUACCCGAGAAGCGGGUAGGCCAUGUCAACUCCCAAUAGUAGCAAGCCAAGAAAACGGGGGAAUAAUACUAUAUGCAUGGAUAAUCCUAUAUAUGGAUGUAUAGGUUAUGCAGUAGCACAAGCAACAAUCAAGGAUGCAUCAAAACAAUACCAUCUUCAAGAUCAACACCUCACAACAAGGAAGUCGUCACAAACCAUCAUAUCUUUUACCCAAGAAUCCAGCACACAAACACUAGGCGAUGUGAGAGCUUCCUCUCAUCACAUCUCAACGGCAAACGCCGACCCAUCUCAAAAUAGGAAGGUAGAAGAGUUGUAAAAAUCUAGUUAGAGUAACAGAUCAAAAAACUGUCCAUACUAGUGGACACGGACUAUAGCUAUAGGUUAUACACUCUGCAGAGGUUCUACAUCUGUACCCGCACGGAUGGAGCCUGAAUAGAAAUCAGCCGUCCAAACCCUACCUAACGGCUGAAGCCCGAGUAGGUGGCUAACACUCUCCUGUUUCCUCGAGUUUGGUAGUGUCUUCCACUACAGGGCACGCCGUCACCAGUUGGAGACCUCGAAACUGUGAAACCUACCCACGCGGGGGUGUAGUCUGGUCAGAGUAGGACAACGCCUCGAACUCCGUACACUAAUACUCCAAUCCGCAUAUAGGUUGAGCACUAUCCACCACUAGUCUCGGACCGAACCCCGCCCAUAACAAGGCGAUUGGUAUAUACGUAAAUAGUCCAAAGAAACAUGGUUAAACUGACUCGAGCCAAAAGUGAGCAUUCAACUCCACAGAGUAUGUGCUGAAGCACCUGCAACAUACAAGUACACCACCUGCUCCUCAAUGUCAAACAAGGUACCCACCACAUGCAUAUAGGGUGGAGAGAAACCAUAAUGCUCUUUGGACAUUUCUUAGUACAUACUAAGGCAUUUCUUAGUACCAACUGUGCCUCGCUCCCGCCAAAAUACAUCAAGAUCACCUGGAUUUGGUGUUUGACCGGUCUUGGUGUGCCCCGCAUAAUCGUACGAUCUCGGGUUCUGCAUUUUUAUACCCGGCUCGCCAGCCGCAUUGGCAUGCUAGGUAUGAAGAUAUCUCUUGUUAUACGAGUUGCCAAAUGGCGUCACUUGUAGAUUGGUAGUUUAUUAGUUCUACUGAAUAAAUUUGAAUGCUCCUUCUUGCAGCUGCCAUACUUCUCGUGAUCUUUUACUGCCACUGGUUGCUCUUCCCAGACUCAGUAGCAGCGCUUUGGAUAUUGGUCAUUGUUUCAGCCGGUCUACACUUUAUCAUUUUCUUAUGGGUAAGUGUAGGCCAUAGUUAUCUUAUUUUAUUUGUUCCCAACUUUCUAUUAAAAUUGUCAGCCUUUGACCUUUGUUAUGUAGGCUUGCAUCGAUGGUGAUAUGUGAUUGUGAAUGCGGUGGUACUGAGAUGAGCGUGGCAUUCCAGAAGUGUAGCUUUGAUUCUUUGCCAAAAUUGUGCUCAACUGUACAUUGGCUUCUCUUGGAUUAGUUCUUUUGAUCAACCUGUGACCUGUCUGUCAACAUUAUUCUUAGCCCCGGAUUGUGUAACAGCGUGUGCUGUUCGCUGUUGAUGGAAUUGUCUGACCAGUAGUUCACUACUCAUGCUGCUUUUUGUUUUUGCAAAAGGAUGUAUUGUAUCAAAUGCAACAUACUCUCACAAUGUUAUCUGAUAUGUUCUGAAAUGAAAUGGUCUUAUCCUUUACUAGUUCACAGCCUCAUGUCUUUUGAGCCUGCGAUGCGUCGCUGAAUUUACAACAUAUAUCAGCUCAACUGUCCUUCAGCAAUUUCAAAGUGUAAAUGUGUACAGAAUAGAAAAUCAGGUGGAACACUCAUGCUCAAAUUGCAAAAAACAUGUGAGUAGGGGGAGCUUCAAUGAAAAAUAAAAAUCUAUAUAGAAUUAGUCAAUCUUGAAUGGGUAUCAGCAAACCAUGGUGGAUUUUAUUGAGAUACUCCUUGCAAUGAAGAGACAUGAAGCAGAAUGCAUAAUAGGUUGUUUCCAACUGUUAUCAUAGAAGUGAGAAGCUAAUAUGGUAACCUCUAGCUUCCAAGAAUCAAAAAAAAGGUUCUCUCUAAAAUACUACCAGCACAAAACCAGAGCAAGUUCCAAAUUUUUUUUUCCCAAAACGCUGUCCUAAAAAAAUUUUCUCCCAAAAACAUAACAGGCCAUAGCAGAACGCUAAAACUUACUCUCGAAUAUUUACCACAUCAUCGUAAUUGGACCUACCUCCAGAACAGAGCCCUCCUCUACCUCCAGAACAGAGCUCCAUCGCUCCUUCGAACUUGCUGUCGGCCAAAUCCGCUGUAUCCCGGCCGCGUCUGCUCGAUUCCUCGCACUCCUUCGAACUCGCUGUCGGCCAAAUCCGCUGUAUCCCGACCGCGUCUAUUCGAUUCCUCGCACCAGCAGCUUCCCCUCGCCAUCCCGCAUCUAUUUCACCCAUCACCGACCUCUCUCGUCCAUUGUCCAGGGUCUCCCCUCCCUACUUGGCUGGCCGGCACGGGGCGACCGACGUGGGGCGACCGGCAUGAGGCACGGGACGACCGGCGUGGGGCGACCAGCGGCAGGUGCGGGGCAAGCAGGCGCGCCACGGGCGGUGCCUGUGCGGCAAAAAAAAACAAGCACGGGAAGUAUAUGGCGCGUGCGGGAACGGAGCUCGGGGGGAUUGGGGAAGACCGCGCGACGCGAAAAUAUGUGGGGUGAGAUGGCGUUUUUUCUCACCAAUCUUUUAGGGGAGUUUUGGGUGGACUAUUGAAAUUCUUUUUUUCUUUUUUCCCUAAAUAAGGUAUUGGGGGGAAAGAUCAGCCGCCUUUUGAAGUUGCUCUAACUGACUCGAUAGAAAAAAAAACAACUUAUAUCUGUAUACUAUCUUGAUUUCUAUUCAUGAUACAUCCCGGGGCACAAGCUGAUACUGUAUUAUUCAGACUCGCCGUUUAAUUUGUUCGAACUCUCUAUUUCUGCUUUUACUUCGUGGCUUUCUUGAAACAACCUUGUAAUAUCACACCAUAUGUAAGCACUGUUUGAUCUAAAGGAAACGUAGCAUGUAGGUUCAAUUUUCGGGAUGUCUCCGAAGAGAUCCUACAAAGCUUGAUCCUAGAGCUUUGUAGAUUUUUAGGAAAUUUCUAGGAAGUUAUGGGAUUAAAAUGGAUGAAAAGCAAUUCCUUAUGUACAUGAAAAUGUUGUUUUUAAUAUUUGAAAACCCAAGAUAUUAAGUUUAGAAUUUUUCUGAAUUGGAAUUGAUGUGACGAAGAAAUUUAGUUGUAUAGUUGACCUUAGUAUUUUUGGAAUUUUUAUGAAAAAGGAAAGGGCUACAAAUAGGAUUUUUGUCUAUAUGUUCUGCUGACGUGUGGAACCAGAACGGUGGGGUCGGGUGCUGCCACUGAGCUGUGGGCCACGGCUUGGUUCCGCCUCCAUGUCUGUGGCUCAUGUGCACUGGGUGCACGGAGGCGGGCGGCGUGGGUUGGCCCGCUGACUGGUGGGCUCUGAUGGCGGUGAGUGGGGUUGAACGUGGACCAUGGACUAGGGGUCUUUUGUAUCAUUGGUCCAAUGCACCAGGUGUAGGGAGAUGAAGGCAUGGUUGCGGCGGCCAGUGCGGCUGGCAGACGGCGCCUGCGCAACCGGUGCGCCGGCUCCCCCCUCCUUAACGCCGUCGAGGACUCCAUAAGACCAUAACAUCCUCCCAAUCUCUUUCCCUCUCCCGCUCGGCCGCUCCGCUCAAUCAGAGAUGGCCGACGAAUUCAUCGAAGCCGCUUCCCGCACGAUCUCCAUUUUGGGGGAGGGGGCUCUGAGAAGCAGAGCCGCCGAGCUCGUGAGGCUCGCCCUCGAGCACGUCGGCGUUGACGGUGUGCGCGACAACAACCUGACGGCAGCCGUGGAAGCGUUGUCCUAGGCGGACAGCGUGAGAAGAUCGCAGGCCGUCCUUGACCUCCUCAAUGUUGGAGGUAUGCCCUAGAGGCAAUCAUAGAGAUGAUGACAUUCCAUUUGUAUCCAUGAUUUGUAUGUUGUGUUCAUUGAAUAUCCAUUGAAGGCUACUUGAAUUGAUUUGCAAUUAUGUGAAUUGUAUGUGAAACUCUUUACUUGUAUGGUUAUUCUAAAGUUGUCCCUAGUCGGAGUUCAUGUGAGGACACACAUGAAUAUUAGACUAGCACAUGUAUUAGUUGAUGACUAUGUUUCACAAGUCAUGGACAUGGAAAUGUUGAACUAAUAAUGUGGACACAUGUGGAGACAUGUGUUAGGACUGACCCAACACGAGAAGUAGUUCUCUCUUUAAACAACAUGUACGCUUUGUCCUUUGACCUGAGAUUGUCGAAUGUAUUCUAGAUGUGGAUUGACCUACUUAGGGGCUAUUAAACGCUACGCCGUAACAGGGUAGUUAUAAAGGUAGCUUUCGGGUUUGUCAAGAAGCAUGCUAUGAGACAUGGUCAAUCAAGAUGGGAUUUGCCCCUCUCUGAUUGAGAGUGAUAUCUCUGGGCCCCUCGAGUGAUCGGAUCCGAAAAUGCAUGGCCAUGCUACGUACGGUUAAGAGUUAACCUACAAAGGGAUUCCGAAUCACAGGAUCGAGAAAGAGCGGUCGGCUUGAAGCUAGACCAAAUAUCGUGAGGCAAAGGGAAUAGCAUGUAUAUUAUGUUGUGAUGGUUCGUCUGAUAUGAUCUUCGUAUGCGUAUAGGAGUUGGCACGUCUUGCUAGAGGCCGCUACCGACUAUUGGGCCGAGUAGGAGUACUCGGGCCAUGUCUAUACGUAUCCGAACCCAUAGGGUCACACACUUAAGGGGCUGGAAGCCCAAUUCGGAUCUGAUCCGAGUUGGAUUAGGUUUAGGAGUACUAAUGGGCCUCGGAUCCAGAGGCCCGUCAGGAACCCCUAUAAAUAGAGGGGUGGGGGCGCCCUAGGGUUUACACCUUUUAAAAAAACAGACUUGCCGCGCCUCCCACGCCCUCGCCUGUUGCAACUCGCGGAUCUAGCAGUCCGGCUUGCGACGCUUCCUCCCUGCACGUGUGGAUACCUUGGAGGUGUUGCGCCUGCAGCACUUGGACGAGCCAUCGACGAGCCGCCGACGAGCCACGACGAGCCGACGACGAGCCGCGGCACCGGAGGCGAUCUUGCUGUGCACGUGGACGAGCUGCUGAGGAGCUGCUGGACGUGAUCGACUACGUACGACUACGUUGAUCGACUACGUACGACUACGUGAUCGUCUUCACUGCACCGACGCGUAUCUACAUCUUCCGCACCAGUAGUGCGUCGAGUGGUAAUCCCGUGAUCCUUAUACGGCAGUUCUUCCUGGUUAUACGCGGUAGAAAUUUUGAUUUGCGCUAGCGUAGCCUACCUCGUAUUCCUACACUCAAUACGGCCACCGCGCUGGAGGGCACGCUUGAAGUCAAGCUGGAUGCCCUUCGAGGUGUUGCGUCGGACUUGGCGAGCGCGUGCUGCGAGCAUCUGAAGAUCGCAGAGGACACCAGACAGGGCGGCAUGCCGCGGCGGAGCUGGGGGAGCAGGGGGAGGAGCGGGUUGCGGGACCAUGGUGGUGGUUGCUGCUCCGGGGGAGGGGGAGGGUCCAGCGCCACCGCGGGAACAGCUUCGAGACCUGCCUUUUCGCCGAUGAGGAUCCGCCUCCGCCCCCUCAGGUCAGGCAACAACAAAUCGGGAUGAAUUUUUGGGGGGUUCAUGCCCUUCGCUGGGGAUUGCGGGUUUACGCCCAUUCAAUUCAGAAGUGUUUACAGGCAACAGGGGCGAAGGAUCGCCCGGAGAUCUCCGUCAAGUUGCUACUGGAGGAAUCGAGGAAGCACGUGCGCGACGAGAUCUUACCACGAGCCCGCAUCAUCUAGAAGCUCGCCAACGAUGUCGGCGUGCCCCAUUGCCACCUGGACCGGGCCAUGCACGCAUUGAUGGGGCCAGGCAACGCAAGCGCGGACGUCGCCGAGCUCGGCACCGCGGCGACGGAACUGGAGCGAGAGGUCACCUCACGGCUCCGCGCUCUAGUGGCGGAGCUGGCGAAAGCGUGCCUGAGGCACCAGCAAGCAGCAGAGGCCAAGGAGGCGGUGCAACGCGCCGCCGAGGAGAGGGCACAGCAGAGAGGGAAUGCUGCUGGCGGCGUACAGAAUGAGCCACCACUCUGGUCGCGUUGUUAUUGGCCAUGGAUUGAUGGCAACGCAAAUACCCAAAUUCGACCACAACACGUAUUAUAUUAAUCAAACAGGUUUGACUUUAAUAAUUUCUUAGUUAGGAUAGAUUGGGAUUAUGCUAUUUGAUGACAUGGGAAUUAGUUAUUGUGCAGAUGGAUGGCACAUAGACCCAAAUUUAAUUACAGCACAUGUACUAGUCUAAUUGCUGUCUGAUUGUUCACUGGCAUUUUGCGUACCAAUUGCAUUGUUCUAGUCGAAUUGUUGUCUGACUGUUUACUGGCACUUUGCGUACUAGUUGAAUUGUUGUAUAAUCAUUUACUGUCGUUUCGCAUACCCGAUUGCAUUGAACUAGUGGAAUUGUUGUAUGAUUAUCCAACGACAUUUUGGGUACCAAUUGCUCUUUCUCAUUAUUCUUAUUCCUGCAGGGAAACCAGUGGGAGGCAAGCAUGCAGGGAUAUGCUCUGAGUGGUUGGUUUAGUCUGGUGCCCUACUUGGCAGCCAGCACUGGUAAUGUGCCAAGGGCUCUCAGCGACGAAGAUAGAUGGAAAAUUAAUCUGGUACUCUCCUCGUGUUUACUAUUGUGGCCAUUGGUGUUCUGUUGACUUCGACUGCAAGAUCUUGGGUUGAGCGCUUGCUUGCGAUGAUAUCAUCUCGAGUUGGAAUGUUUGAUACGUUUUUACCUCUAUUGCUAUAUAUCUGUCAUAUUUUGCUCAUCGAGCAGUUCUAGGUCUUAGCUGUUUCUCCACAUCCAUUGUAGGUAUCAACAUCUUUGCCAUAUUAUUCGUCUAUGACCGCAGGCCGUCCUUGACCUCCUCACUUCCGUGUGGCAGAUCCUACCAACAGAUGAAGCUGAAUUCCAGGUGGCAGAGCCAACCUACGAUGAAGUCCAGACCCUUGUGAUCCCGGGUGACAGAGCCAACCUUCGAUGGAUCACAACUUAUGCACUAAGUACUUAGAAACUAUAUGACCCAACCGGGAGACUAAUACUUGUAAGAAACAGAACUUUAUUACAACAUAACAAUAUUACACAAGAGUGUACAACACCCUCUCUUUAGUGGCUAGCCUGGCACUCACCCUUUAUUUCUACCAUACUCCACUCAUCUACCAUACUCAUGGUUGAAUGGCAUGGCAAGGAAAUGGGACCUCUAUUUAUAGGCCAAGCGAGUUUAUAGGAUGAUGACAUGUGUCCCCUUCUAGAGUUUUCACUAGACAAAUAUCUAUGUUCUACAUUAUUCUAAUUUCUUCAUGGCAACAACAUCUAGUGUCUUCAUAGAAAAUAUCAUGGAUCAUGAGUUGUGGAAAAGAUUCUAGAAGCUUGUAUUUGCUUUUCUUCAAUACUGAGGAGGAAACGGAUCGCAUACUACGUGGUGAAAAGGAUGCUUGGGCUGUACGUGUCUUUCAGCACUCCUUUAAGUUGUGUGCAAAAAGCUCAAAGUAUUCUAAUUUUGUUUUUUUUUCCAUGCAGUUAAAGAACCUUGAGGGUCACAUGGAGUUUGAGCAUGGUUAUGACAUGAGCAGUCCAUCUAUUACUACUGUAAGUAAAGUACAACAGGUAUGCCAAUGAGUAUCAAACUUUAUAUUUCUUGAACUCUUAACCAAUUAAUUAAGGACUCAACUAUAAAACUAGGGACAAAAAUAAAAUGCAUUUUAAUCAACUGUGACAAUUGACAAGUAUCAAUGCAUGGAAACUGGCUAAUAUAAUAAUUAACAGUUAAGAAACAUAGUGGAAAAUUUCACAGACUGAGGUGCAGUUGUGUGCAGAAGGUUGUCAUGGAUUUCUACAGCUCUUGAUGCAAAAGCAUCGAGAACACAUUGUACAUGACAUUUGAGAACACAUUGUACAUGACAUUUGAAGUCUGCAAACCCUCCUUUGGAAUCCUCCAGCUCUUUGUUUCGUCAUGAAAGAGCUUAAACACUGACACAAAUCUAGGAACUUUCACAAUAUGGAUUACAGAAAUGCCUUCUGCUGGUUGUAACUAUCAAGGAUCUCUACCAGUUCAUACUAUUACAUUGAUCAUCAGGUGUAAAUUCAUCGCAGUCAGGGCACCACCGCACCAGUUCUAGUACAGAAAUGCCACCUGAAACUUUCUCACACUUGACCCUAUGUGAGAAAACUCACCACAGGUGUCGAAGUACCCAUAUGAGAUCCAAAUUUAUCGCAGUCAUUUGCUUUGAGGUAGGCAGUCUAGCUUUAAAACAGCGAACGGAGAGAACUUUACUAAUCAAAGAUUGUAGCGAGGCAUACCAUCUGUUUCAUCAUAUAUGACUCAUACUUGAUCACUUUGAAAAUAACUUAGCAUGAUCAGCGAAAUUGAAGAAAUCUGCAUGCAUUCCACCAGAGCCUUUUAUCAGGACAUGAUUCUUGGUUCAAUCAGCCAUAUUUUUCAGCCACAUGGUGCUCCGUUGCUGCAUUAGCACCAGUUGCGCCAUCUCGUAACUCCUAAUUCUUUGUCGUGUGCCUUGCAGUUUCUCCUUAUAUAUACUACGAAAACUUCACGUCUUCACGUGACCUCCCACCACGACUUCAGCUAUUCUUUUAAACAAACCUGUUUACAGUUCAUCUCCCCCUGAUUUUCUUCUGAAUCAACUCUUUUGCUAACCCACUCCAUGACAUCAUCUUAAGGCCCCGUUUGGUAGGGCUUCUCAAAGUGCUUCUUCACCGGCUUUUGGUGAAGCCCUACCAAAGGGCCAAUUUCAAAACGGCUUCACCACCAAAGCCGGGGAGAAGCCGCAAAACGGCUUACACUAGAGAGGAGAAGCCGAAAAAAGUGGCUUCACCGGCUUCUCCUCUCUCUCCAAGUAUUAAGUGAUCAUAAAAUUACAUAUAUUGCCAUUGAGAAGCCGUUUUACCAAACGUUUUGCAAAACGGCUUCAACUUCACUAAAAAAGCCACUCCACCGAAGAAGCCACUCCACGGAAGAAGUCUGACAAAAAUAUGACGAAGAACAGGAUAGAUUUAUGUAUAGAUAGUUGGGGUUCGAUUUCAUUCGGCAGAAGCAGAUGUUAGAAGGUCUAGAUUAUGCUACUCUAAUGAUAAUUAGUGUUAGUAUCAGGCUCAAACACACUUUAGCUAAACGAAGAAUGAACAUGCUUACAGUCUGAAAAUGGGCAAUAAAGAUACUUAAGCAGCGAACAAAGUGAAAAGCUGAAAACCGUAGGAGCGAUGAUGAUCAUCGUUCCGUGCAUGGCUGUGUUUGUGACUUGGAGUCCGCGUCAAAUCGCUGAACAGAGAACGACUUCAUUUGGUACCUCGAGUUUCUGAACUUUUUGAAUCCGCAGACUGAAGAACGUCACCUUGCCCAUGGUGCUGCUUGUCCGCAGCGAGCUAAAUUUUCAAGGUCCAUUAUUUUUUUAAAGAAAAAUCUCAAGCUCCAUACCUAGAUACAAAUUGAGCAAAAGUAACACUAACCGUCACACGGUAGGCAUUUAUUUGCUGAGAAAAAGAAUCUCCAUCCCAUUAAUAACAUUAUCAUUCACGGGCUUGUUUUGCACAUCGAUAUCCAUAUAUGAUUUGAAGUUUGUAAGAUAAAAUUAAGUGUCUUUUACCUUGAGCUCGCCGCCGUUGAUGUCGGCGUCGGCGGCGUGCCCCGUGGCAACCUGAAGGCGGCCGCGGACGCGUUGUCCCAGGCAGGCAGCUCGGGAAGGUUGGAGGCUGUCCUCGCCCUCCUCGACGCGGCCACCGAGCUGGAGGACGCGCUUGGAGCCGACAUGGAGUCGCUUCGAGGAGGCGCGUCGUUCUUGGCGCUCACGUGCCGCGAGCUUCAGGAGGAGCAGCGGGAGGAGCGGCCGGCUGCGGGUCCGUGGUGGUGGCUGCUGCUCCGGGGGUGGCUUCCGCGCCGCCACGAGAAGAGCGUGGAGAACUUGGAGGCCGCUCUUCUCGUCAAGGAUCAGGUACGCAGGCAGCAACCCGAUUUAAGGUUUGUGCAAUGUGAGAUGGCGGGUUUAGGCUUCAAUUUCGGGGGAUGUUUGCAGGGAGCGGGCGAGACCAACUACGCCGCGCAGAUCGCUAUCGAUUUCAUGUGCAAGGAGUCGGCGCAACGCGAUAACCUGGUGAAGAUGGCCUGCGAGAUACAACAAUUCGCCGACGAUCUCGGUUUUCCCCACCACGACCUGGACCGGGCCACGGCUGCAUUGAUGGUGGCGGACAACGCGAGCGCCGCCUUCGUCGAGCUUGGCACCGCGGCAACUGAGCUCGAGCGGGAGGCCACCGCACAGCUGCACGCUCUCCGCGCUCCGAUGGUGCAGCUGGCGGACGCGUGCCGGAAGCACGUGGUAGGGGCUAAGGGAAUGAAGGCGCUGCUCCUCGCUGAUGAGGAGAGAGCGAGGCAGAAGGCCGCAUGUGCCUCGACCCGUUCAGGUAUGCCUAAUUCUCGGCUAUGGAUUGUGUGUGUUGCAUUUGCGGAUUACUAUGAUGCUCCUAUUCAAUCGUUUCAAUUGCAUCAAUUAUUGUGGCAGGAUUUCUCAAAGUACUUCUCCACCGGCUUUUGGUGAAGCUCUACCAAAGACGCAAUUGAACUGAGCAUGCAGGCUUGUACCGAGGGGGAUAUUCUAGCUUUGUUCUAUAGUUUUCGUGCAAACUUAAGUCCAUCGUCCACCUUUGUUAUGCAAGCUUGGUAUGAGGGGGAUCUGUGAUUCAAGUGAAUGGGAGUGAUAUCCACCAAACUGAGCAUGCGGGCUUAGUUUGUUUCAUAUGUUUUUUCCAAUUUUUCAGCUGUAUUUUAAAGCACACAAAAGACAACAUAAAUGUGAAGUACGAAAAAAGAUGUGAUGUCGAGCAGCAGCAGUUGGAUGAUUUUUUUUUUGUUGGAAAGACUAACCUAGAUUGAACAAAUUCAUUGUGUACAAGGGACAUGAAAAGGAGAAUUAGAUGUAGAAGGGAUAGGAAAAGGAGAAUUAGAUGUAGGGUUAGAAGGAAAGAUAAAUAAACCAGUUCCCCUCACACCUUGUAGACAGAAUGCUGUGACAAGAUAUAAAUAGGCCAAAUGAAUAGAGGUUGUGUGAUUGAAAGAAAUGUGGAAGUGUAUAUUCUUGACUGACGAAUUACCACUAGCAUCGCCACAAAGAAAUAUAGUCUACACUGUGCUGUGGUCAUGGCAAAUGAUGUUUCUGAAAUUCUCUUUCCAUGCUAUUCUUCACUCCAACAAGCUUAUGUCUCUUACUGUAAUGUACAGCAGGCAUGCCUGGUUUUACAGCUUAUGUUGGAUUCUAUGAGAUCUGUUCACCAAAGAAAGGGGAAUUUGUCUUUAUUUCUGGUGACAUCUGGAGCAGUUGGCCAGAUCGUUGGUCAACUUGCAAAGCUUCAUGGCUGCUAUGUUGUAGGAAGUGCUGGAACAAAUCAGAAGGGCUGUACUCAUACUAGUACCUUUUUCAUUUAAAAUGAAAUUCGCUCCAACCGGUAGUUGCUUGCAUUGCAUGCGUAGUUGCAUCAUCCAGGAUCUGCAAAUCUUUCAGGUUGAGCUCCUGAAGGAAAAGUUUGGAUUUGAUGCAGCUUUCAACCACAAAGGAGAGCCUGACUUGACUGCUGCCUUAAAAAGGUCAGAAUUUCUCCUCAGGAAAAUGGUAUCAUUAUCAGGCUAUCAGCUUAAUUUUAGCUUGCUCGAACAAAUUGAUCAACCAAGCUAUGAUCUAAAAUAUCUGAUUUUUUAAUUUGAUUGCGAGCCUCUUUUUAGCUUUUGAUGGACCUAGUAAGUAGUAAAUCAUGGAGCAACACAAAAACUUUUACCUUCCUUGGGCAAACUAUUUGUGAAGAUACCUUAUUAUUUAUUCACAUGGGGCACUUUAUCUUUUUUGCUUAAACCUAAAUGGUGGAACUGCUGAUGCAAUCUCAUAUGCAAGUGUGUUCCCUCAUGUGAUAAAUUAAACUUGUAUAAGAAUUUUGUUUAUACAACAAUACAGUGAUCUUGAUGUGCAAGUGUUCUCCUGCGUAAGCACUUUCCUGAAGGCAUAGACAUCUACUUUGAGAACGUAGGUGGGCUGAUGUUUGAUGCUGUGCUACUCAACAUGCGGGUGCACGGCCGCGUUGCAGUAUGUGGGAUGGUUUCCCAGCGCGGGGUAAGUGUUCCUGCUGGGAUCCACAACCUGUUCUGCCUGAUAAGCAAGAGGAUAGAGAUGAAGGGAUUCAUCACCUCCACCUGUUCCCACAGUUCUUCGAUGACAUCACCAAACAUUACAGAGAUGGCAGGAUCGUGCAUGUGGAAGACAUGAAUGUCGGGCUGGAGAGUGGUCCUGCUGCCUUUGUUGGUCCAUUUAGUGGUAAAAAUGUUGGGAUGCAGGUUGUGUGCGUGUCACAGGAUUGAAAGACCGUGUUCAUUCUAGUGAACAUUAAAAAUUACUUUGUAAAAUCAGAACCUUCGUUUGAUUGCAUAAAAAAGAGAACUCUUGUUCAGACUUCACCUUUUAUUCUGAAUGAAUUCGAGUGCUUACUAGCAUCGAGAUAUGUCAUCUUUACUCUUUACGAAGUCUUAGCUGCCGGUCAUUAGUAGCUUUGUUAUUGUCCUGAUAAAUCUGUGAUGUGAUGGUGGGGUCAGUGUAGCAAUUUUUACCAUCUACUUUUACAUGGUACUAUGGUAGUGUCAGUCUUCGGAGAAUGUUUCAUUCUGGAGACCGUUGACUCAGCGCAACUGUUUGUAAGUCUCGAGUCAGCAGGACUAGUAUAUGCAUAGCAAAGCAAUUAUCCUCCCUCUUCAAGAGCUCCAUGCCUGUGGUCAUUUAUCUAUUGCGGGUGGUGGCUUUUGCUUUGCCUGGACGGUGGAUCAUCUGGUGAGUUUUUUGCUACACCUAUCUUGUCCAUACACUAGUAUGAAGAAUUAUAUAUCAGUUGAGCAUCUAGUCAGUCCUCGUUAGUAUUACUUUUGGAAGACGAAUCAAAAAAUUAUUACAAUUUUACUUUGAGGCAGCGAGGUGCCUCUCUGUUAUCUUGUCUUAUAUGCCUAUUCUCACUAGUUUUCAGCAAGUGACACAGGAGUUGGGAAGCUGCAAUUGGCUGAGAAAACUGUUUGUUUUCAUGCCAUGUCUAAGAUAGCUGAUGAUAUCAAGUUUGCCCUUUGGUUGCUGCUGUUGAGCGGCUCAUCAUCGUGUUUUGGUUCUGAUCCUGAUGUCCAAUGCUUGAAGACUGUACAAGAAUCAGUGAUUGAUCCCAACGGCAUGCUAAAAUCCUCAUGGAUUUUUGAAAACAACACCGCCGGUUUCAUAUGCCGAUUCACGGGUGUGGAGUGCUGGCACCCUGAUGAGAACAGGGUUCUCUCGCUGCGUCUAAGCAACCUGGGUCUUCAAGGCCAAUUUCCUCAAGGUCUCGAGAAUUGUACAAGCAUGACCGGCCUGGACUUGUCGAGUAACAAUUUUUCAGGACCCAUCCCUUCCAAUAUUGCAUGGCAGCUGUCCAGUCUGACGUUUUUGGACCUCUCAUAUAAUAAAUUUUCGGGUGAACUCCCAAUCGGCAUCUCAAACAUCACAUACCUGAACACUCUCAACCUUCAGCACAACCAACUCAGCGGUCGAAUUCCAUCGCAGUUCGCUCUGCUUCCUCGAUUACAGGAGUUCAAUGUUGCGGACAACCAGUUGUCUGGGGCUAUUCCGCCUGCAUUACAGAGGUUCCCGUCAUCUAACUUUGUUGGUAACCAAGGGCUUUGUGGUCCACCGUUGCAUGACUGUGGCGGUAGAAGCAAACGGAAACUGAGAUUGCACAGGAUCAACGACGAGUCCAGUAUUGGUGCGGCUGCUGGGUUCGUGGUGGGAUUUGUUAUGGCCUUCUACUUUCCGCACCUGUUCGUCUUCUCCCAGAACCUCCAUCCCUACGUCUUCCGCAUAUGAUCUGCCUACUCUGAAACUUUUAUCUGACAUCAACCUCCGGAGAUCAAAUGAGUACUUCAACUAUAAUAGUAGUUCUUUCUUUAAUUUUUGGCAGCAAUUGGGUCUCACUUAUUGAUCAAUGGAUAGAAGCUUUCAUGCAACUGCAAUGAUCAUUUUUGUUUCCUUCUUUGUUUCUUAGCUUUGUACAAACCUUUUGUCUCCUUUGCUUAUUUAUAAUAUAUAUAUAACCAGUAGGGGCAACCCCUCCUAUUUCAUAAAAAUAAAAAGAAAUUGGGUCUCACUUAAGCAAUUUGUUUACACCGCAAUUUAGUAAAUGGGGUGUUUCGUUUCUAAUGUAGAUUUUAACCCUUGGAAUGUCUAAAAAUGAUCUCUGAUGUAUAUCAGGCUGCGACAAUUCAUAAAUCCUACCCCCUCCUCGAUCUUCCUACAGAGCGUAAAGAAGAGAAUGUUGAAACUUGAGCAUGGCACUGGUGCGAGGCUCGUAGAGUGACUCCAGAAAUUAACACUUGCCUUGGAGGAAAGCGAGCUCAACAAGUUCAUCACAGUUACACAGUAGUAAAACAAUUCAGGACUCUACUGAACAAACCAAGAAAUGCCGAUAAGCGUACUUGGUAUGUCAUCUCGGCAAUUCGGCAUGAUAUAACUGUAAACAACAUCAAACAUUUCGCCGGUAUCCGGGAUCCUUCUCUACAUAAAGUCGACACGGUUCCAGACUUCCAGUUAUUAUCGUGGGCCAAACAGCCUGAUCAAGCCAGUGACUAGUCACUGCCCCAGCAACUAUCUCCACAUGUUCCGCUGACUAGUCCCCUGACUAGCUGCCGUGUUCCGUCUUGGCGUUGGCGAGGUGAUCGUCAUCGUCUCGCCAGCGAAAAGUCCAACGUGGCACUCCGAUUGCUCCUGUUAAUCAACCGGUGACAAGAAAGACUUAAAUUUUCGGGUUCUGCGAUAGUCUUCACGAGCAGCUGCUGCUGGUGCUCGAGCUGUCGGCCGUUCUAACCUGCGCCUGCCAUAUGCCUACGCGCGAUUACAUGAUGGACUUCAUGGUCGUCUGGCUGCUGCUCCUAAGCAGCUUAUCCUCGUGUUCUGGUAUCGCCAGUGACAUCCAGUGCUUACAGGAGCUGAAAGAAUCGGUGAGUGAUCCUACCGGUGCACUCUCCUCAUGGAAGUUCUCUGAAAACGGCACAGAAGGGAACAUAUGCCAAUUCGCCGGCGUUUCCUGCUGGAACCCGUCUGACAGCAGAGUCCUGUCCUUGUGCCUCCGCAACAUGGGGCUUCAAGGUUCAUUCCCUCGAGGCAUUCAAAACUGCAGUAGCAUGACAUCCCUGGACCUGUCACAACAACCUUUCAGGGCCCCUCCCAGGAGACAUCUCUUUGCAGUUGAGGUACAUCCAAGAUCUCAACCUCUCGUACAACGGCUUCUCAGGUGAUCGAUAUGCAAGCUACUGGUUAACGGCCCGCGUUGUACAAACUUUGUAUGAACUUCCUCUUAAUUGAUGUGCAGCUCUCCUGCGUAUUCUAGAAAAUAUGCAAGCUACUCUCUCUGUCUAACCAUUUCUUCGCAAUGUAAAUGAUACUCAGCUCAUGUAUAUUGUUCUCUAACGAGAAGCUUCUCAGGUGAAAUCCCGCCCGGCAUCGGAAACCUGACGUACCUGAGCAGCCUGAGCCUUCAGCACAACCGGUUCACCGGACGGAUCCCGGAGAAGAUCGGCAAGCUUGCACAAUUAACUACGCUGAACGUUGCAGAUAACUCGUUGUCAGGUCCCAUCCCGGGCUCUCUCCAGAGGUUCGCGCCGGAAUACUUCGCCGGCAACGGCGGUCUCUGCGGGGCGCCGCUGGACCGCAAGUGCAAGAGGCGUUUCCAUGUGCGGAUACACAUCAGGCUGCGCAGGAUCAACAACGCGUCCAGCAUCGGCGCCGCGGCCGGGUUCAUCGUGGGGUUCGUCGUGGCGUUCUACUUCCCACACUGGUUCGUAUUUUGUGGGGGUCUUCGUCCCUACAUCGUCCCUGUGUGCGGCUGAUAUGAUAGCGCUCAUCUUUCUCGAAGUUAUAUUAUGCCACUUUUAACGGGAGUUUCGUUCGUUAUUUUUAAGAGGGAUAUAAUCAUCUCAGGAAGUUUGGGGUUGAUGAACGAAACAAGCCAUUAGUCACAGCAUUUAAUUGUUACACCGUGUUGUAAAAUAAUGAUUCGGUCAUAAUUACAUUCUUUUUUGUUACGAUGAUGUUAAGUACCAACGGAUUACUUUUUUCUUUAAAUAGUUUAUGAUGGUUGACACGAGGAAUGUAAUACAAAAUUUGAUUAAAUUAGUGCCGGUCUCACUAUUUUUAAUACUUGAUCCCACCUAUUUGAUAUUUCUUGGUAUUUUUCUCUAGUUACCUCUAGGUACUUUCUAUCUUUCCACCGCACGAUUUUUCUGGAUGGACGGCUUUUAUUUUUUCCAUUAUUAUAAAAAUCCUCAAAUGGAUAUACUAUAUUUUAUUAGAUUAAACUCAUUCCUUCUCAUUCUUUUUCUUAAACUUUUGUACGACCUGUAGAGCUGGGUCUUUCUUUGACUUUUCCCAUCCCUAGUUUCAAUUAAUUUGCUUGCUGGCAAUUUAGCAAACGAGGUGUUUCAUUUGUACGGCAAUUUAGCAAAUGAUCAUCUGGCAAGUCUCCAGAUGUGAUGGAAUUGUAAAAUCUACGUUCCAGUUUUGACAUCCCAAAAGUUACUAAAAAUGUUUAGAAUCAGGUAGAGCGUUCAGGUUAGUAAAGCGCCUCCUUCAGCAAGAUUUUCUUUCGUCACGGAAAGCGAGCUCUGCAACUCCGUCAGUCGUGAAUCAAUUAUCGCCGAACCAAUCUAGAAAUACACACGAGCAGACAAGCUGGAUCAUUCCCUUUCAUUCCCUCGUCCAUACGCACGCUAUCUACUGGGAGCAGGGGUGGUAAAAGACCUCUUAGCAAAUUUAAGGAUUGAGCUCAAUAAAAACCAGACUAUAAUAUUAUAUAAUUUUAAAUUAAAAAUAGAUAAGGUUGAAUUAGACUGUGAAGGGGACAUGAGGGUCAUGAUCCAUUACCACUGGGAAGCACAGUCAACAUUUUAUCAAUUUUUCUACAAAUAUUAUUCCAUUAUUUUAUGCCGUUACAACUUAAAAUUCAAUUUAUAUCAAUUAAAAUUCUAUAAUUGCACUUAAUAAAUUAAAAUUAUCAAACAGAUCUAAAAAAUUAUCAAAAUUUCACAUAAAACAAUCUAUGUUCACUAUUGCCUAUACAAAAAGUUUUGAAGUCAAAUCCCAAUUCGACUGUCACUUUGACUCCAAAUCUUACCGAUUCCUUCUUAACGCUAAGAUUCUUUUUAUGAGAUGCUUCGAUUUGUAAACAUCAUACGUGAUAAAUUGUGCAAAAUCUUCUAAAUUUUUUACCACAACCUCCAUGUAUGAUAUCAUCACAUCAUGACAAAUCUCAUAAUUUACAGACUUCGUUUGCUUUUUUAGAAUUUAAAAACCAAUCGGCCACACAUUCGUGUUCGUGUUUUCUGAACAAGAUGUUUGAAAUUUCUUUUAAUUUCCUGGGUAAGGCCUAACACUGACUCAAUAACAUGAAUAUCAUUUUUCUACUUAUUUUAUUCUAUUAUUUGAAUCACUUACAGUUCAAAUUUGACUUAUACCAAAAAAUUCCUAGAAAUACAAUAAAUUAAUUAAAUAUAGCAAACAGAUCCAGAAAUAUACCAAAUAUUUAACAUGGAAUACCACAUGUUGUAUGUUGAGAGUAGAAAAAAUUUCAAGGUCAGAAGAGAAAAAAAAUAAAAUUAUUUGCCGAGUGCCACAGAUUUAUACUCGGCAAAUAUAGUAAAGGAUGGACACGUGGCACAUUCUUUGCCAAGUGCCUCCCUUUGCUGAGUGUUUUUUUCCUCUUUUGCCGAGUGCCAAAAUUCGCCGAGUGUCUAUGGAUAUUUUUGCCGAGUGUAAGUCUUUGCCGAGUGUUUCCACUGACGGACACUCGACAAACAAAACUAACGGAUGUAUAGGUGGCACGUUCUUUGCCGAGAGCCUCCAUUUGUUGAGUGUUUUUUCCCUCUUUUGCCGAGUGCCAAAAUUUGGCGGGUGUCCAUGCACGUUUUUGCCGAGUGUAAGUGUUUGCCGAGUAUUUUUUGAUCUGUUUACCGUGUGUCGCAUUGUUUGCCGAGUGUUUUUAUAUUAGCCUAUUUGCUGAGUGCACGAUAGAAUACAUAGGCAAAAAUCUUGGCACACGGCAAACCUGGGCAUUCCGGUAGCGGCAGUGACCACCUCCACAUGUUCCUGUGGUAAGAUUGCUGUCUACCAAUUAGGCCGUGGACCCGUCAUGCAGAGUCGCUCUCUAGUCCCUCUGGUUGUGGCGUGGAGAGGCUGAUGCUUGUCGAGGAAAAAUCUUUGCAUUGCUAGAGUGGUAUAUUUGUCUCCUGUUUACUGCUGCUCGAAACAGCUCGAGCGCAUCUAUGUUCCACUUCCACUCCAUGAAGUUCAUCAUCUUGCUGCUGCUCCUAGGCAGAUUAUCCUCUUGUUCUGGUUCCAGCAGCGACGUCCAGUGCUUGAAGGACCUGAAAGAAUCGCUGGGUGAUCCUAAUGGCGCACUCUCCCCAUGGAAUUUCUCCAGCAACCACUUGGAAGGAUACGUAUGCAAAUUCAACGGUGUCGAGUGCUGGUCCCCCGACGAGAACCGCGUCCUGUCCUUGCGGCUCGGCAGCAUGGGGCCGGCUUCAAGGUUCUUUCCCUCGCGGCCUUCAGUUCUGCAGUAGCAUGACAGUACUGGAUCUCUCCGGCAACAAUCUCUCAGGGCCCCUCCCGGCGGGCAUCAACCAGCAGCUGCCGCUCCUCACGUCCCUGGACCUCUCAAACAACGGCUUCUCAGGCGAAAUCCCGGGGGACAUCGGGAAUUUUAUGUUGGACUCGUACCUGAACACCCACAACCUUCAGCACAACCGGUUCACGGGACAGAUUCCGGAGCAGAUCGGUACUUUUGCACGUCUAAGUUCGUUCAGCGUUGCAGAUAACUCGUUGUCAGGUCCCAUCCCUGGCUCUCUCCAGAGGUUCGCGCCGGAAUACUUCGCCGGCAACGGCGGUCUCUGCGGGGCGCCGCUGAACCGCAAGUGCAAAAGAGGCGUUUCCAUGUGCGGAUACAUCUCAGGCUGCGCAAGAUCAACAGCGCGUCCAGCGUCGGCGCCGCAGUCGGCUUCGUCGUGGGGUUCGUGGUGGCGUUCUACUUCCCGCACUGGUUCGUCUUCUGUGGGAGUCUCCGGCCCAUCUUCCGUAUAUAUGUGCGCCUGAUACUGAUACGCCGGAGAUUAUCAUCUAUAGUAAAUAGUCACUAGGCAACAUGUAAUCAGCGAAAAUUCUUACUGCAUCUUGAUCAAUAAAUUUGGGCAUUUGGCCUAGGCAUCUCACAGAUGUGUAGCAAAUUCUGAAAGAAAAAGAGAACCAGUUGCACCACUGGACAAGUGCGGCACAACCGCGUAGUGUCAGUCAAACAGGGCUGCCGCCAAUGGCAAUAGGCAUAGGUGCGCGUCCGCCUACCAGUUCCCCCGCCGGCGCGGCGGCGUCUCACCUCCCUCGCUUUCCGCUUGCACACUCCGGCGACCGCCGCUACCGCGAUCAUUUCAGAUCCGGCCAACUGCUCGUCGCCAACGUCCCAAAUCAACUUGUUGAUCUCCGGCCGGGCUCCAUUCAGAUCCGGCGGCCAUCGGCCGGAUCCUGGAUACCUCCGCCACGCUCCUGAAAGCCCAGCGGCCACAUCAUUGACGUUAUGUCCUCGUUCGGCGCCAUUAUCGUUUUCCCCAGCCCCUAGCUAGUUUCUUCUGGUUUGCCUGGAUCAUUUGGGAACCGGUGAGUUCUUUGAACCGGUGAGGAGACCAAAAUAACAAUAUUGUUGUUUCAUCCUUUCUUUUGUUUUUACCAAUGUGGAGGCUUCUCUGAGGCAUCUGCAUUUUUUGUGCUUCUGCAGGAACAAGCUUCUUCUUCUCAGGUGGAGUCAGUUUCUUCUUCUCAGGUGGAGUCAGUUGAGCAUUUUUGUUUUUAGGUUGAGAGAAGCUUUCUGUUCCUACACCAUGUCUGGGAUGGCUGGUAAUACCAAGUUCCUCCUUUGGCUGCUCCUCUUGAGCACGACCAGCUCAUCGUCGUGCUUUGGUUCCCAGCUAGAUAUCAGAUGCCUGAAGACUGUAAAACAAUCAGUGACUGAUCCUAACGGGACACUGGAGUCCUCAUGGAAUUUUGACAACACCGCCAAAGAUUUCAUAUGCCAGUUUAUAGGUGUGGAGUGCUGGGAAUGGAACCCCAGCGACAGCAGGGUUUGAAUCUCAGCAACUUGGGUUUUGAAGGCCAAUUUCCUCAAGGUCUCGAGUACUGUACAGGCUUGGCUAGUCUGGACCUGUCAAAUAACAAUUUUUCAGGGCCCAUCCCUUUGAACAUCACACGGCAGGAGGUGACAUACUUGACAUUUCUGGAUCUCUCGUACAACAGAUUUUCAGGUGAAAUUCCAAUAGGCAUCUGCAAUAUGGACCUGAACGUCCUAAACAUUCAGCACAACCAACUCGGUGGUCAAAUUCCAAGACAACUCGAUGGGAUUCUUCGGUUAACAUCUCUCAGUGUCGCAGAUAACCAGUUAUCCGGGCUUAUUCCUUCAUCCUUAUCCAAGUUCCAAGCAUCCAACUUUGCUGGUAAUCAAGGGCUUUGCGGUCCACCGUUGGAUGAUUGUGGCAAUACAAACAAAGCGAGUCUGGGAUCACACAGGAUCAACGACGAGUUCAUUAUUGGCUCGGCUGCUGGGUUCGUGGAAGGAUUUGUGGUGGCGUUCUACUUCCCGCAUAUUUUCAUCUUCUCCCAACGGCUCCAUCCAUAUGUCUAACGCACAUGUUGAUGUCUAUUUGUUCUGAAACGUUGUGGAGAGUCGAGACCAAGUGAGUUAUUAGACUGCAAUUAAUUCUUUUUUCCCCUAUCAGCAGACAAAAAGGAAACAUUCUCUGAAUUUGUGUUCAUGGAAACCUGCAAAUGAGGUGUUUGUUAUGCUGUAAAUGCGGAUUUCAACACUUCCCAUUCCAAAAAUGAUUUUGAGGCACAAUGGAAUGGGGAGCACGAACUAGGGGUACUUGGAUGUCGACUCGCCGCCGCCGUUCGCGAGGAAAGGAGCCGUGGAAACUGGAAACCUGUUCUUCAUCCCCCGCGACUCACUGCCACCGUGAGCGCCAUUGUUGGAGAGGAUAAUGAAUUAACCAUAUAUUUGCUUUAAGAUUUGUAGAAGUUUUAUAUGAAAAGAACCACCCAUUGACUAAGUUUUUGCCUCCCGGCCCUGCCGGGGGCCGGCCUGCUAUAAGUACCGAAUAACUUAGUCAGUGUCCUCUUAAAUCCAUGGUGUGAUGGCAAUAGAGCAUAAAUUAUAGCAUCUGAUCAGCCUCAAGGGUCAAACAGUCAAACUGGAGACUCCGUCCUUCUGUGGUGUAUAGUCAGUCCAACUGGCAGCACCCUGGUAUAAGUCUCCAGGUCAGCAGAACUGAGCAACUGACUGAAUAAAAACAUAUUCUCCAGUGGAGAGUCCUCUCCUUUUAUAGCUGUAUCCUGUGGGCAUCAUGUUCUGCCCUUCGCAUGCACUAAUAGAAGAGGAGGCUCAUAUCUCCAGUGAGGGGUUCUAUAUUUCUAUCAGCUUUGCGUGGAUCACCAGGUGAGUUUUCUGAUACACCUCAUCUUGUCCAUACACGCGCUACUUCAGAGUUUAGAAAAGCAACCCAGUAAAUAAUUGUUUCGUUGUCGUUGAUGCCUGCGUAGGAAGAGUGCUUGUUCUUUGCAAGUGGUGUAUUCGAGUAUUGUUACACAAGUUUUGAGCAGCCAAGGCGGGAAUUUAGAAGCUGCAACUUUUGGCUGAGAAACUCUGUAUUUCUACUCCAUGUCUGGGAUGGCUGACGAUAUGAGGUUCGUCCUUUUGUCGCUGCUGUUGAGCGGCUCAGCGUCGUGCUCUGGUUCUGAUCUUGAUAUCCAAUGCUUGAAGACUGUACGAGAAUCAGUGAUUGAUCCCAACGGCAUACUAAAAUCCUCAUGGAUUUUUGAAAACAACAGCUUUGGUUUCAUAUGCCGAUUCACGGGUGUGGAGUGCUGGCACCCUGAUGAGAACAGGGUUCUCUCGCUGCGUCUAAGCAACCUGGGUCUUCAAGGCCAAUUUCCUCAAGGUCUCGAGAAUUGUACAAGCAUGACCGGCCUGGACUUGUCGAGUAACAAUUUUUCAGGACCCAUCCCUUCCAAUAUUGCAUGGCAGCUGUCCAGUCUGACGUUUUUGGACCUCUCAUAUAAUAAAUUUUCGGGUGAACUCCCAAUCGGCAUCUCAAACAUCACAUACCUGAACACUCUCAACCUUCAGCACAACCAACUCAGAGGCCAAAUUCCAGAUCGAUACGAGUUUUCUAGGUUAAAUUUGUUCAAUGUUGCAAACAACCAAUUAUCUGGUCCUAUUCCGUUGCAUUUGCAGAUGUUUCCGCCUUCAAACUUUGCUGGUAACCAAGGGCUUUGUGGUGCACCGUUGGCUGCAUGUGACCGUAGAAGCAAAUGGAUCAGCGACGAGUCCAGUAUUGGCGCGGCUGUCGGGUUGGUGGUAGGCUUCGUGGUGGCUUUCUACUUUCCCCACUGCUUCAUUUUCUCCCAGAGGCUCCGUCCGUACUUCUUCCGCAUAUUCUGACAUCAAUCAUCUCUGGAGGCUAAAUGAGCAUCUGCAACGCUGGUUCUUUCUUUAACAUUUACCAGCACUUUGGUUUUCAGUUAAUUUGUGUACUCGGCAGUUUCGCAAAUGAGAAGUUUCGUUUGCACUGCACAUUUCAACACUUGAAAUUUCCAAAACCAUCUCUGGCGUGGUAACUUGUAAAACAUGGGACGUAUUUAGUUUCAAUCGAGCUUUAGGAUCUCUGCAUACUGCAUACAUUAUGUCGUCCAUGAACCUCUCGAGCAACGGCUUCUCAGGCCAAAUCCCGCGCACCAUAGCGAGCAUGCCGUACUUGAACACCCUCGACCUUCAUCACAACUGGUUCACCGGCCCGAUCCCUGAGCAGCUCGGCAGUUUUGGAGCGUUAAAUUCGUUGAAACUUCUCCCCGCCCAAUUGGCAAACAACUUGUCACGACCGGCAAGUGCGUGCCAUGUCAGUCACGACCGGCGCCGUGUCAGUCAAACACGGUAGACGCCAAUUGGCAAGUGCGUGCCCGCCCAAUUUCACGCGAGGAAAUAAACUUCUCCCCGCCGGCACGGCGACGUCGUCCCAUACUCCCAUCUCCUUCGCUUUCCAUCUCGUCUCCAUCCGACACUAGGUGGACUGACCCUAACAUUUAACACAAGGGAUUGAUCUCCCCUUUCAUCUGUCGCGGGUGAUGCCUUGUGCAGUUCUGCUUUGCCUGGAUCAACUAAGAGCCGGUAAUUCUCCUGAAACGCAUCCUCUGUUUCAGAUUUUACACGACUGUUGAACAUCUAGUGAUGGCGCUGCUAAACAUAUGGAGGAAAAAAAACUAAUAUUUCGAGUUCUUGUUUUUUUCUCUCACUUAUGCAGGUAGGCAUCACCAUAUUUUGUGCCUGUGUAGGAACACUAUUUCUUCAUUACAAGAGAAUUUUUUUUUAAGCAAUAAGCAAGAGAAGGUUUUGGAUAUCCUUUCACAGCUUUGAGCGGAACCAUGUCUUGGAUGGUCGGUGGUAUCAAGUUCCUCCUUUGGUUUCUGCUUUUGAGCAGCUCAUCAUUUUGUUUCGGUUCCGAACUUGAUGUAACCUGCUUGAAGACUUUAUAGAAAUCAGUGAUUGAUCCUAGGGGCAUAUUGAAAUCCUCAUGGGAUUUCAGCAGAUUCAUAUGCGGCUUUACUGGUGUGGAAUGUUGGCACCCUGAUGAAGACAGGAUUCUUUCGCUGAGUCUAAGCGACCUCGGGCUUCAAGGCCAAUUUCCUCAGGGUCUUGAGUAUUGCACUAGUCUAGUCAGCCUUGACCUGUCAAGUAACAAUUUUUCAGGGCCCAUCUCUUCCGACAUUGCGAGGCAGCUGCCCUAUUUGUCAUCUCUGGAUCUCUCAUACAAUAAUUUUUUAGGUGAAAUCCCACUUAGCAUCUCAAAUAUGGUUUACCUGAACGGCCUCAACCUUCAGCACAACCAACUCAGCGGUCAAAUUCCUGAACAAUUCAGUGGGCUGGCUCGGUUAACAUCGUUCAAUGUUGCAGACAACUUGUUAUCAGGAACUAUUCCUUCAACUUUGCAGAAGUUUCCGGCUUCAACUUUUGCUAGUAACCGAGGGCUUUGUGAUGCACCGUUGGAUGAGUGCCCCAGCAGAAAAACGAAACGGAGGCUAAUGAUCCAUGACGAGUCCGUUAUUGGUGCAGCUGUUGGGUUCGCCGUGGGUUUUGUCGCGGCCUUCACUUGGCUAUUAUUAUUGCAUCCUAAUUGCUUUGAGUUCAUGAGUUUGAUUUUAUUUAUGUAAUAGGAUCUAUAUUUCUUCUCUUGCAUAAAUGAUAUGGCAGUGCUCCUGCCAAGGUUUCAAAAAAAAAAGUUGUAGAACAAAAUUUCCUUCGCUCAAAAAUCAGGAUUUUGUUAUUUAUAUUUCAUGUAUUGUUUUCAACUCGGAAACAGGGAAGGGGAAAAUUCCACUUAUUACAAAUGUAUGUAAAUCUCGGCUUAGACCAUUGUUCCUGAUGUGGGCAGCUAACUACCACAUGUGGGGUUGCAUGGAUACUUGCAGUCGAUCUGUUUCACCCCUUUCCUUCUACCAAAGUACCAAUCUCCAACAGCCUCUGCAAUAGUCUGCUCCAAAAAAAAGUAGGAAAAAUACGAGGUUAUGGUUAUGCGACAUGCUUUGUUAUUGCAGUGUAAACUGUACAGUUCAGUGAUUUGGAUUGGACCUCACCUUGUUAUCAAGCCUUGGGGAGGUCGGCGAAUGCCAUGAGCCAUUCCAUUGAGUUUGACAGUGGGUGAAGCAUGAAUCGAUGAACAGCCCCCACUCCCUUUUACCUUCAGCAGCCUUCAACUCAUGGAUGAGUUUCCUUCUGAAUCCUGCAAAACACGGCCAAAGAAGAAAACAUUUGUCGUCAAAGGAAACAGGACGGACAGCACCGAUUGAAUGCUGAAAACAGAAGAGAUUGACAAGCUAGGCUAACCAUGAAGCACAUCGAUCUGCUUGGAACUGCAGUUCCCAAUAUUAUCUCUGCAAUUGGACCAUGUGUCUCCAGGAUAGGAUCCUACUGGCGCAACAACAUUUUGGAUCUGGAAAGUAUAAGCAUAUUUACAGCAGUUAGGAACUAGGAUGCUACCAAACUGACAAGUACUAGGAGCAAUUAGUAAGAUUGCAAUCACCUGCCAAGAAUCAUAUUCUGAGUUCACAAUAAACGUGGGGGUGCUGAUGCUCUUGAUAAGUUCAGCAGGGAAGAAACACUAGAGCAAAUUAAGAAAACAUGUUGGCAAAUGAGCCUGGCAGCAUAUCAAAGAGAGCUGAAUUCCGUAGACAAUGAGCAACUACAACUACAUACAUCUGUCGGGUCCUUCUUUGCCAGGCAGUCCUUGGGCAAAACUUCACUGACAUUCUACAACAAAAUUCAGAAAAGUUAACUCAAUCACUUUUUAGUAUCAAGCUGCACACACGUGUUGAACAGUUCCAUCCCAUGAUCACAUAAGGGAAAAGGCCUCAAGGUGAACAACUCCAGUCCACAGCUAACCUGAAGCUGAACAACGCCAUUGAAGACCGACCGCAUAGAUCUUUCUCCUGAUAAAUCCUUUCUGUUGAGGAAAAGAUGCCAUACUUGAUUUAGUACAAGUGCAACUUUAUUAUGCUAUUGGGAUAUGCUAAUGUCCAGAGACUAACGCAUCAAGAAAGAAUCCACCAUCAGGAACGCAUUUGACUGAAACCUCCUGAGGAAAUUUUGCACGAAAAUUAUCGCAAUGCAGUAGUGUAGCUAGACCACCGGCAGAACAACCUGCGAGUAAGGCCUGCAAACCGAUCACUACUGGUGAUUACAUUGCUAGAAGGCACUUGUGCAAGAAUACGAAAAACAGUAGUUAAACCUGUUUAGCUGUGUCCAUUCCUUUUCCCAUGAGUUCGGCGAUAACUGCUUCCCAGAUGCGCAAUCCUCUGAAGUACAAUUUGGUUCCAUCCUACAUUAAUUAAAGCCAGGAUCAGUUUGAGGAAUUCAGGAUAGGCAACUCACAUAGGAACCUAAAAAAAAAAUCACCUCUGCUUCACCCUCUGCGUUACCAGAAAAUGAUGCCCCGUCACAAUACCUUACAAAAGCUUUAUUCCAGUUGUAGAAAUCUGAUCACAGUUCAACACCAGUUGAAAUUAGCGAAAGGACACGUUGAGCUGUCAGAAGCAUCAAAACUCAAUUCAGAAGCUUCGCCCAGACAAAUAAUAGGGAGAUUGAAAGCGAUCUAGCUGACUAGUUGUGCUAUUUGAAAGAGGCACGUUUCUGAAGACCAAAUAGUGGAUCCACGAAAGAAGCACCUGCACUACACGUACCGGGAUUCUGUGGUUGCUGGUCGUUGAAUACCCCAUCAAAAGUUAUUGGUUCCAUAAACUUGGACGAACCAUACGCGGUCAUUUUACGCCCGGAACAAGUUUCUGUGGUGUUGCUGCUGCACCAAGCUCCUCCCUGAGUUCCAUUUCAUCAAUGUAAAAUCAGCAAUGCUGCGCCACGAAAUCUACUAAUUAAACAUGAACAGAAACAUCCCAUCGUGCAAGAAUGAACCCGUAUGUAGCUGACUGUAUAUAACAAGCACCCAUAUCAUAUAUAGCCACAACAGAGUUUUGUUGCAGGUUCCAGCUUCAAAAAAUCGUGCACAACAUCGGAUGAUUAUCUCAUCUUUCGUUCAUGGAGACGAUUGGUCACCUGAAGAAAGACGAUCCAGCUUUGGGAUCCGGAGCCGGAGCCUCUCUGCAAGUGGUAAGCAGGCGGGCUUCCAUCCAAGCACACUGCAACGCAUGAACAUACACAGAUCAUCAAGAACAAAGCACACGCGUAAUGGAAGAAAUCAAGGAGGCGACAUCGUUACAGCUCAAUAUACCCGCGCCCUUCUCCUGCGCGCCGGCGACGAGCGUAAGCUCCACGAGCCCCGGAGAAGAAUCCGCCGCCACCGCCACCGGUGAGCCGGAGAAGGCGGCGGCCAGGAGCACGAACAGUGGCGCCACCGCCACCGCGACAGUGUGGGUGUGCCCUGCAGGCCGGUGCUUCCGGACGACGAGCUGCGAAUUGUGCUCGGUCGCCAUGGCCGUCGUCGCGCUCGCACCGUGGCUUCAGCUAGUCACUGGGAGCCGGAACUACGGGUUGGUUAUUGCCAUCGUCGACGUCGAGUCUGUAUAGCUCGUCAAGCCGCGUGAUGGAAUCGAUCAUGGAGGCAAAUGGAUGGAACCCGCCAAGUGAGUCAGGAUUUAAAGAGGAGUAGGACACGGCAACUACCUCCAACUCCAAACGACAAGUCUACAGACUACAGAGACCGGGAGGAGACUCUUGACGCGGACUCCGUCGCUCCGCCGUGUACAGUGGACGAGAAGACGACGACGAGGGCCGGCUGCGGCUUUGCGGAAGAACGCGUGAUGACCGCGCGUAUCCCUGCCGAAACGUUCACGUCCCACACUGCCCACUUGGCACUUGCGGAAAAAUUCGCCAAAACAAAGACGACAUCCUGUUGUAUGAUCGCUCCUCCGGACAUGCAGAUUUUAUACACAUUUUACUGAAUCUGUCUGUUCAUUUUGGUGAAAGUCUUGUCUGUUGAACCCAGGAGGCGUUGGUGAAAGUCUUGUCUGCUGUCCUACUGCAUGAAUGGCUCAGCACUAUUCAGAACGAGCAGCUUUAUUCUUCUGUGAAUGGCAGUAUGGCACUAGGCUCUCAUGUGCUUUUAACCCCACAAAUGCCACGCACGCGAUGUUGGUGGACAUCUCUUUUCCUCGCCUUUUCUUUUGGGUUCUUUUAUUUUUUGAAAGCAACAGACGCUGAGAGACACAUAUACAGACGCAUGCAAACGAGCCCAUAACAAAUGCAGAAGAUACAGAUACGCAAAUGCAGGUCGAGGUGUAUCCUGAGUCUUGACACACUCCUGGUAAUUCUCAACCAAUCAUUGUAGGCAGCUGGUUGCUGCACGUGGGGUUAGGCUAAUCCCAGUGGGAGUUUCAUAGAGGUUUUAUGCAUAUUAAAUACGGUGACACAUCAGCAUAUGUGAUGACAUGGCAUGGUAGUUAUGAAGUGAGAGAGGGAAGGAGUUUCAUCAGGAUGAAACUGUGUAUACACUGUUUCCAAAACUAUGAAACCUAUUGAAACUUGCAUUGGGGGCUAUAGUUUCAUUUCAUCUAACCAUAUCCAAUCACAUGCCUCACAAUUAAAUGUCAUGGGCAUCCUAUGAAAUCGUGAAAUGAAACUAUGCACUAGGACUCCCUAUUUCAUUCAUGAGAAUACACCUCAUGGGAUGAUGUGGUAUCCUUGGAAACAGUGCAAUGAAACCUUGCACUGGGACUAGCCUUACGAAGGACCGGGACGCGCAACCAGACACGGUGAAUGCGAGCAUAUCAAAAUUCUUUUCUUAAAAUUCAGCUUAUAUCACAAAAAUCACCUUACACGCCUCUUUUCUAGAAUUGUUAGAUUUACGUAGCCAAAUGAGAUGCUACUAGACCUAGGAACAAAACUAGAAAACCCUUGACAUAAAGCGGAAACAAGCACGGAAAGGGCUAAACAAAAGUUGGAACCAAAACCGGAAGGGAAUAUUCCCAAAACCGGAGGGAAAUCUUCCAAAACUGGACCUUCCUCUUUUCAAAACUGGAACCUCUGAUUUUGCCCACAGAGCCUAAAGGAGCUCUAGGAAAAAUAGCAAAACUCGACCAAACGAACUCCAAAAUUCACGAGAUUUGGACCAUGGCUUUCCAAGGCCAUCAAAAGUCUAUUCCCAAGAAAUCUCCUCAAAACAAUUCCCUGUGCGGGUCAAGAUCCAAAGAAAAAGGAAACUCGAUCAAAUGACGUCCAAACUUCACGAAAUUUUAGCCAAAGGUUCUCCCAGAAGCAGUGAGCCUUUGCCCUAAAGAUCUUCUCAAAAAGAUCAGGAUUUCACCUUGAGUUUCAUGAUUUUGGUCAAGAACACAAAAGAAAACGCCCACCUUUCAAAUUGAAAUUACUCCAUCAAAACUCCAUGAAUUGAAACGAAACUCGAGCCACAGUAGCACCUCCUCGAGGGAUAAUAGAUCUAGGAAGAAGAUCUCAAAAGCUUAAGUAUUCAUCAUGAAUUUUGGAGAAAACCAAAUACCCUACAAAGAACACGAUUUGGAGAAAACUUCAAAUCCGAGCCAAAUUCAUGAGGGAUUUAAGUGGGAUCACAUCAAAGUUGCUCACAAGGAUCCUAGCAACAAAAUACCCCCACAAAUCUCACGGUAUUUGGCCUCAAACACGAAGAACAAAAAUUCCCACGAAAAUGCUCCAAAAAACCUGAAAAAGAUAAAUUUCAGAUUCAAAGAGGAUGGAACAAGUGAGCACGAAAUUGAUCUUUUGAUUACUCCACCAUAUUCAGUUACAAGCCACUCCAAGCAAAAUCAAAGCUUUGGAUGACAAAAAGAUCAAAUUAAAGAUCCUCUCAUCUCUCUCCUUCUCUCUCCUACCAAAGGCUCUCACCAACAAAAUGAUAAGCCCACCACCAAAGAGCCAAAGAGAUGUAGCUGCCCCAUGUUGACGCUCAUUAUUGACACACUUUCAUGCAUAUUCUUAUACUAACCCGUCACUUGACACCUGAAAUAAUCCCAUUUUCACAUAUGCAAGAUAUUUUGGAGGAUAUUUUGUUUUCACAGAAAUUGGGCUAAAUAUGCAUUUUUUGGAUAAAGUUUUGAACGAGCAGUGGACCACAGGAAGAUGAAGACCAGGAGGCAAAAAAGGGCCCAGGCCAAUCGGCCUGGUGCCCCUCAGGCCGAUCGACCAAUCGGCCUAGGGUCUUUUGACCCUCUCUUGUGCUCGUUUUUGUCACGCAAUCCUCCAAGAUGACUUAAGGGCUAAGUUUGUGAAGACAUAGUAAGAAUCACUUCGGGAUUAAGGAGAAAUCAAAGAAGAUCAAGUGGAGAUUUGGAAAGUUAUUGAAGAUCAAUCUCAUCCCAAGCUACCGACAUGCUAGGCUCACAUGCAAGUGAAAAUAAGCUUCCAAAAUAUCAUAAAAGACUUAGGGACGAAGAAGGGUGCGAGAGGCCACAAGGAAGGACCAGGCUGAUCUAAGGAUUUUCUUGCUACCCUCACCUUCCAAUUUCUGCCACACGCUUUCCAGACAAUAAAGACCCUGAAAAUUCACCGAGCCCGCAGAUCAAUCCACCAGAACUUGAUGAAACCAAGAACAUCCACCAGAGGGAGCUGAGGGGUGCUGCAAGCCUUCAAAGUUGUCUAGGAGAUGGCUUAGGCCAACCCUAGCCGCCAUGGUCUCCCUAAGCGGUUGUGCCAUGGUGGAGUUCAGGAGCUAGUUGUGAUCAUCAAUGGUAUAUACUUGGAGGUGAUGAUCUAUAAUAUGAGCAAUGUCCUUCAUGUCAUCCGAUCUAUUAGCGACUCAAUGCCUCUUAUAUUAUUGUAUCUAUCAUGAAUAUAUGUGUUCCUUAGUCUAAUUCAUGGUUAGACUACCUAGCUUUCUUUUAUGGAAUCAUGAUGAUUAGAUCUAAUAAGUUGAUCCUUCUUAAUAGCUAGACACGUUUACCUUAUGAUCGUGCCCUUAAUCUACCUAUGCUGAUAGAGAGGAUUGUGACGGGAUCUUUCUUGUGUAAGGUGGGGGUUUUUGAGAGGUUGACUGGAGGUAGUAGUUUAAAGAUUGUUUUGGAUGAGAUGCAUGUUGUCUAGAACUACAACUGAAGAUGAUAAGCUUUUGCUACCCUUGGUGGUAUUAUCAUAUAUAUAUAUAUAUAUAUAUAUAUAUAUAUAUAUAUAUAUGUGUGUGUGUGGAUGAGAUCUACUUUACUCAUGCUAUUAAUCUUACAUCAAGUUUGCUCUCAUAUGCAAUCUAUACUUCAUGCUAAGAUUAGAUCCGUUGAGCUAGAUAGAGAACCCUAGUCAGUUCGCUGCCGAUCCACGGAUUGAUAAACCUUGGAUGAAAUACUCUAAGUAAAAAGCUACGAUGAUCCGUGCGCUUGCGGUUCACAAACUGGCAUGCUAACUAUCGUCAACACCCAUCAACCACUCCUCGUAUAUAUAGACAUUUGGCAAAUGACCAAAAUACAUUUACAUGAAGAUACAACCCAAAUACCCCAUAGGGUAAAACCGUCCAACUUUUUAUCAGUACAUCGAACGGACCCAGCGCCUUCACGACUUCGCUUCGCCUCGACGCAAGCUUCACGAUGGUACCACGCGUCCUCCGACUUGAUGCCGUCCGGCCGCAUCGGAUUCGCCCCCCGGUUUUUAGGUCAAACCAGUCAAAACCUCUUGCACACCCCGCAGGCGUGACUCACCCCCGGUUUUGAGGUCAAACCGAUCAAACCCUCUUGCACACCACGCUAGCGCGUGACUCACCGAUGUCGACGCGUAUCCGACCUCCGCCAAGCCUUUGACGCCUCCAAAUCUUUCGCUCCCCCUCCCGAGCUGCCUACUCGACUCGCCUACAUCCCGCUUGACUCGACCAACGCCGUCUCCAUCCCGUUCGUGUACUUUUGCUUUUCCGUGCACCAUGUGGAUCGCCCAUGAUUCCACCCGAACUCCUCGGGUCCGUCAGUCCAAGUGUAGUCGUAUUCUCCCUUCGCAGCCCUAGUUCAUCGGCAUGAACCUUUCACUCGACCUUCACCUCAUGCCGUCGACCGUCAUAUCGCUUCACCUCAUGCCGUCGACCGUCAUAUCGCAUCCUACACCUGCACAUCACAAGCCAAGAGACGCAACACACAAGAUAUGUUUUACACCCACAUCACAAUACACACAACACAAUACCUCCGGUUAGCCGUUAGCAUAAGCAUGCACGUAUGAAAUAUGGACUCAACCGGAAAAGUCUCAAAUCAUCUAAUCAAUCACUCAUCACAAAUAGACUAAGGCACUUCUCAACUCGAUAUCUCAGUUACAUGGAUACUUGCAGACGAUCUCUUCACCCCUCGGCUUCUACCAAAGUGCCCAUCCCCAACAGCCUCCGCGAUCGUCUGCUCCGCAGAAAAUCAAACUAUUUUAGUCCAAGUGUAGACGAUGACGCAUCCAAAACGAAAGACAAAAGAAAACGCUGUGCCAUCGCAGCGUCGCCGGCGUACAACUGCACAAGAGGAGUUCAAAUGUUUUGAACAUCACCUUAUGACCAAGUCUUGGCGAGAUUGGCGAAUGCCACGAGACAUUGAACGGAGUCUGACAGUGGGUGAAGCAAGAAUCGACGAACAGCCCCCAGUCGCUCUUACCUUCAGCAACCUUCAGGUCGUGGACUAACUUCUUCCUGAAUCCUGCAAAAAUGUACAAGGAAAAUACAUUGCGCCACUGGCAGAUGGUCACCAAAAUGAGAGUAGAAAACGAAGAGACCAAUAAGAGCUUGGCUAACCAUGCAGAACAUCAAUCUGUUUGGAACUGCAGUUCCGGAUAUCAGCUUUGCAACUCGACCAUGAUUCUCCAGGAUAGGACCCAUUUGGCGCGAGAACAUUUCCAAUCUAAGCGAAGGUAAGCAGUUUCGAUUCUGACCAUUUGAGACUAAUGUGCAGGGGAAAAAGGAGAAAGAUUCUAAUCAAUAAUCACCUGCCAGGAAUCAUACUCCGAGUUCAGAAUAAAUGUUAGGGUGCUGAUGCUCUUUAUAAGCUCAGCAGCAAAGAAACACCGGGAGCAAAGAGCCAAAGAACAUGUCAAAAAUUAAUCACAACUGAAUCUUACUAUUACUAAUUGGAGGCUCCUUUUGAAGCCUCCAGAUGAAGCCACCUAGGAUUCCUAGGUGGACACUCUAGAAAAAGAGAGAAAUCCUAGAAAUUCUCACAAAAAAGCAAAACAUCCCACCAUCAAUCUAUAGAUUCAAAUCAUCAUAGCCAUUGGAUCUAUUAUAUUUUCUAAAAAAUUACCCACCUAUGCCAUUAUGAAAAUAGUCUAAAGUAACCCCCUAAAUCUAUAUAUAAAUUACCCACCUCUGCCAUUAUAGAAAAUAAACUAAAGUAACCCCUAAUCUUAAUCAAAAUUACCCACUUAUGCCAUUGUAAAAAAUAUUUAAAAUAACCCCCUAAUUUGCGACUGAAUUGCCUACCACUAUUACUUAAAAAACUUAAAGUAAUCCUUUAAAUUUGCAUCUAUAUUACCCACACAUGCUAUUAUUAAAAAUAACAUGAGGUAAUAACCCUACGUAAUGUACAACAAUAUAUGAUUCUAAAUUAUCUAUAUCUUGCACUAUUGGUAUAUGAUAUAAUAAUUAAGAUCUAUACGCAUGAUGUGUGUCACCAUUUAUAAUUAAAGAUAUAAAGUGAUGGGAAUAUAGAUUUCUAUGCUAAAUUAAAGAUAUAAAGUGAUUGCAUAGAGUAAUUAUUAAUUAAAAAUUAAUCACAACUGAAUAAAGAUAGGUACGUACCUAUAUAAGUAUUAUGUUGAAGUAUUGAAAAAAUAAGAGAGUAGUAGGUAAACAAUUUUGAUCAUUAGCUAAGAGUUUAACUUUUAAAUAAUUUUCAAAUACAAUAGCUUCUAAAAAUAUUAGUUCGUGCGGGAGUACGGGUUGAUGUACUAGUAUAUAUAUAUACUAUAUAUCAAGGAGGACUGAACUAGACAAUUUGCAAACUACCUCAGUCGGAUCCUUGGUUUUUGCGAGGCAGUCCUUGGGCAAAACUUUUCUAACAUUCUGGAAAAAAAUUCAGAAAAAAUAACUCAAUUUCCAUUUACUACCAAGCAUGAUGCAUUCCAAAAGGGAGGAACGAAGGUGAACAACUCCGGUUCACAGCUAACCUGAAGAUGAACGACUCCAUCGCAGACCGACCGCAUAAAUCUUUCUCCAGAUACGGUAUAGAAGAUUCAAAAUUAAAUUUGUAAACAAGCAUGACACUAGUAGGGUAUACAAUUUUCACAAACUUGCAUAUCAAGAAAGAAUCCAGCAUCAUUGAGGCAUUUGACUGAAACCUCCUGAGGAAAUCGUGCACGAAAGUUAUCGCAGUGCAGUAGCGUAGCUAGACCACCAGCAGAACAACCUGCGAGUAAGGCCUGAAAAAGAAUUCUAACUCGGUGCCAGUGAUUCUUGCCCAAACCAGAUGAAAUUAAAAACAGUGAUACCUGUUUAGCUUCGGCCAGUCCUAUUCCCAUGAGCUCAUCAUCAGUCCUAUUAAGAAUUACUUUCCAGAUGCGCAGUCCUCUGUAAAAAAGUUUGGUUCCAUCCUACACCAACGCUACAUCAUCAGUUCAAGACUUGAGGUAGAUUAAGACGGGCAGCACUGCACAAAUCAGAGUUCAGAAAACUCACCCGAUCUUGGCCCUCCGCAUCCCCCGAGAACGAUGCCCCAUCACAAUAUAUCUUAUAACAACCUUAUUCCAGUCAUAGAAAUUUGGUCAUGUGCAAAGAUGUAUUGAGCAGGCAGAAGCAUCAAAAGGCAACUCAAACGUUACGUCCUGAGGAAAGUGAGAGUGAUGGCUAGGGACAUGGAAAAAUGAUAGCGGACUGGACAAAACAUUCCAAAUAUGCGAUCCCAACAAAGCAUCUCUUCGCGUACCAGGAUUAAGCUGGUGCUGAUUGCUGAGCAUCCCGUCAAACUCUACUGGUUCCAUGAAUUUAGACGAACCAAGUGCGGUCAUUUUGCGCUCGGAACAGCUUUCUGCGGAGUUGCACCAUGCUCCUCCCUGAAUUUUAUCAACCGGAAAAUCAGCGACAGAGUUUGUCAUAGUUAAACAUCCUAUGGCGCAGGAGCUAGACAACUUAUUUAUAACCGCAACCACUCCUAGCUUACAGCUUUCAGUCACCAAAAUUGUGUAGAGCAUCUAUCGGAGUAUGAGUGCUUCAGAGUUCAGACGCAUCUAGCAUCUUUUUUAGAUAAAGGAAUGGUAUAAAAAGGAUGCUAGAUGCGUCUGAAUUCUGAAGUACAUUCAUGAAAAAUAGCAUUUUCCAACUGAGUCUGAAAGAAACGAUCGAUCAGUCACCUGAAGAUAGACGAGCCAGCUGCGGGAUCCGGAGCCGACGCCUCUCUGCAGGUGGUAAUCCGGCGGGCUCCCAUCCAGGCACACUGCAAUGCAUGAGCACUACCAUAUGGCAUCAAGAACCAUCUCCGCACCAACGAAAGAGACGAGUGGAUAAUUAGUUGAACACGUACCGGCGCCCUUCUCCCGAGCGCCGGGGAGGAGGGUCAGCUCGACGAGCUCCGGGGCGCCCGUCGCCACGGCCACCGGUGAGUGGGAGAAAGAGGCCACGACCAUGAGCACGAGCAAGGGCGCCGCGACAGCGACGCUGCGGAACGGGCGGCGGACGCCGGAGCUUGGUCGCCAUGGCCUUGCGCGCGCGCGCCGCUGGAGCCAACGAUAUGACAGAGCGGAAUCUUAGUUGUGCCGCGUGAAUGCGUGGUGGAUCAUGGAACCCGCCAAAUGAUCUGGGUUUAAAUAAGGGGAGAAUGCAGCCAGUCCUGAUAGGCACUACUUGGCCCAGUCGUACGAAUCCCAGAUUCGAACUGAGUAAAAUUUUGCUUAAUCCAUAGUUUAGGACGCAGAACUGAACAAUAAACUUUGCUUAAUGCAGAGUGUUCGGUGCUAAGAGAAGGGAUGCCUACAAUUAUAGCGGUUCGUUUUUUUUUCCCUGUGAUGAACAAGUCCAUUUUUGGUCAAUAUAGAUGGGUUGGUUGACAUUCAACGCCAACAUCGAAACAUUUGCGCAGAUAUGGGCCCAUAUUUUUCUAGCCAAGUCAGGCCCUCACAAAUGUGGGUGGGCUGAGGCGCGCGUUCGACUUGGCGGAUGGGCUUGGGCUUCUUGAGGAGGAAGGUGGGCCUGUCGGUGCGAGUAAGCCCGGAACCCCAUGGACCGUUUCCCUCCACCCCGCAGCUAGCGCGGUGGCGCAGCGAGGAUCAGAGGAGCAGCAAUGGCGAGGAGAACUGGAGGAGGACGGGGACGGGUGAGGCGAGGGCAAAAGAUGGCAUGGAUCCGCUGCGCGCGGCGAGGAGGUGAGUUCCCGAGUCCCCUUGGCUAGUUGGAUUUUGCGGAUGGGAUUAGGUUAGUUAGGGUUUGAACUGAAGCCAAGUUUAGUAAUCUGGCGGAUUUAGCGGGUCUCUUGUGAACUUUAAUUGUUGUUUUUUCCCUGCAAGUAGGUGAUUUCGGUAGAGGAUAAGUGGUGGAUCCACAUCCACAACGGUCCCUCAAAAAUCUUUCCCAUUGGUAGCAGGUUCAUACUUCAUAGCACAAUGAGUCCUGACCUGAGUCCUGAGUAUUAACUGCAAUUCGAAUCAUCAUCUGGUCCCAAAGUAAGCAACAUAGUGUAUUAGUUUAUCCUUCGUUUCACUCGAGUGUACCUAAUCGGAGUGCAUGUUAGGGCUACAGAUAAUUUGGUUUUCAAAAAUGUGCAUUCGACAAUGUUUGGAUUGCAGGUUCAGUUCUAAUUAAUCACAUCUUAAUGCACCUAUAUGCUUGCCACUUAGAACCAGAUUGAUUCGUGUGGUUAUCCUCAUCCUCGAUCGUCGUUAAUAUGCCGGCCAUUUCCAGUUUACAAAGUUCUGAAUAUUUUUUUUCUCACACCAGUUUUAAGCUUGGGGUCUGUACUCUGUAGAGACUUGGAUAUGCAAAGCUGCCAUAACUCCAAGUUCAUAUAUCCUUUUAGUUCAAAAAAAAGUUCGUAUAUCCUUUUAGUUCAAAAUAUCUUAGUUUUCUUCAGUCGGAGGUAUCCACUACUCACUGCACUUUUUAAGGACCGUGCUUUUUUCCAUAAGCUACUGCUGGUUUGGCUUUUGACUUCCCUAUUUCCUGUGGAUUAGCCGAUGAUCCAUGGUCUGCAACCUUUCGUUUGUUCCACUACAUCUUUCCUCCGAUGUCAUAUGGCUCAGAUUCAGAAGUUCCUCACAUAAGAUGUUGUAACAUUCUGAAUUUUGUGAUAUCUACCUUCCAUGCUCUUUGUACAGAAACUUUUGCCAUGUCGAAAACUUAACUGAUUUUACUUAGAAACAAUAGGUCCAAAUCAGUUCUGCUUCAUUCUGAGUAUUGUGUUGAUGUGAAGUACGACUAAUAGUACUUCAAAUCGUGUUUAGUUUAAUGCAGGUCUUAUCAACAAAAUAAAGUCUCUUUUUGAAACCUCGACAAGACAAAGUUAGAAUUGAGGUUAAAAACUGUGAAAAUGGGGAAAGACCUGUAAUCAGUGCGGUCCUUUAUAGAUUAAGCACUAGGCAGACGGCUGCUGCAUGUGGGGUUACAUGGAUACUCGCAGUCAAUAUAUUUCACUUCUUCCCUUCUACCAAAAUACCAAUCCCCAACAGCCUCUGCGAUAGUCUGUCAUGCCAGAGGGGAAAAAGCGAAAGAAUUCAGGAGAUAUUAAUCCAGGCAAUAGAGACAGGAAACCAACAGUAUUGCAUUUUCGUAGUGUAUAGUUCAGUGAUCUAAACCUCACCUUAUUACCAAGUCUUGGGGAGAUCCGUGAGAUCCAUGAGAUUCUGAAUGGUGUUUGACAGUGGGUGAAGCAUGAAUCAAUGAACAGCCCCCAAUCCCUGUUAUGUUCAGCAACCUUCAAUUCACUGACUAAUUUCUUCCUGAAUCCUGCAGCAUGAAGAAUGGAACCUAAAGCGUCUAAGAAACAGCAUGACCACCAAAUUAGCAUCAAGAACAAAGAGAUUAGAAAGCUACGCUGACCGUGCAGUACAUCAAUUUGUGUGGAACUGCAGUUCCGAAUAUCUGCUUUGCAACUGGACCAUGCCUGUCCAGGAUAGGAUCCAUUUGGCGCAAGAGCGUUUCGUAUCUGAAGAGAAGAAGCAGUUAGGAGUUUUAACCUUUUGACAAGUGGUAAGAAACUUAAAGAUUGAAACCACCUGCCAAGAAUCGUAAUCAGAAUUCAGAAUAAAUGUGGGGGUGCUGAUGCUCUUUAUCAGUUCAGGAGGAAAGAAACACUGGAGUAACAACAUGUCAGUAAGUGAAUUUAGGAAAACCACAAAGAGAACUAAAUUAGAUAUUGGGAAGAUACCUCUGUUGGAUCCUUAUUUGCAAGGCAGCCCUUGGGCAAAGCUUCUCUAACAUUCUGAAAGGAAUUCAAAAAAAAAUGUGAUCCAAUCAACAUUUACUACCAUAUUGUGUGUGUGGAACUGUUUUGUGACAUGCAUCCUGGAAUGGGAUCUCUUAAAGGCGAAGUACUCUGUUCCAUGGCAAACCUGAAGGUGGACUAUUCCAUUGAUGAGUGACCGCAAGGACCUUUCUCCAGAUAAAUCCUUUCUGUGGCAGAAAAAUUGCACUUCAUUUAGUACUGGUGCAAUGCUAAUGGGCUACACUAAUUUUUAGAGCCUUACUCGUCAAUAAAAAACCCAGCAUCAGAAAGGCAUUUAACUGAAACAUCUUUAGGAAAUCGUUCACGAAAGUUAUCACAGUGCAAUAGUGCAGCCAGACUACCAGCAGAACAACCUGUAAGCAUGGCCUGAAAGUAUGGAGAGAAAAUGAAGUUGGACAUGACUCUUGAUUAGGAUUUGUGGUCAGAUUACUGGUGCUAAAGGUUUAUAAAAUUCUUUGUCAAAUACUCAAAUUAUAUGGAACCAACAUAAACCUGUUUAGCAGUAUCCAGUCCUUUUGCCAUGAGUUCAUCAACAACUGCUUCCCAGAUGCGCAAUCCUCUGAAGAAAAGUUUGGUUCCAUCCUUACAUGAAUGCCCAUACACCAUCAGUUUGAUGAAUUAAGAUGGGAAGCUCAAAUUCAGAAUUCAGAAAAUUCACCAGAUCUUCACCCUCUGCAUCCCCAGCAAAUGAUGCCCCGUCGCAGUACCUUAUAACUACUAUAUUCCAGUUGUGGAAAUCUGAUCAUGACUCAUUGGAAUUAAUGCAUGCGAGGGCACAUUCUAAAGGUAUGGAGAUCACAACUCAAUUCAAAAUCUGAUCCAGAAGAAACUUCUUUUAUACCAGGAUUUUCUCGGUGCCGAUUGCUGAGUAUCCCAGUGAACUCUACUGCUUCCAUAAAUUUAGAUGAACCAAAUUCCGUCAUUUUGCGCUCGGAACAACUUUUCGUGGUGUUGCACCAUCCUCCUCCCUGAGAUUUGUAAUACAAAAUCAGUAACAGUGUCUCCAUUCUAAUAGGAUCCCUAUCCCAUCGCUGGAAAGAACUCGGUUAACUAAAACCAAUUUUGUCACACAGGUUAGCGGUUAGCCAUCUCAAUUCUCAGCUCGCUUGCGGAUUUCAGCCAGCAUCCUUGAGAUGCAUUUUAGAUUCAUGGAAACGCAGCAAUUUUCUACGGGGGAAAAAAAAACAGGUCACCUGAAGAUAGACGAGCCAGUUGUGGGCGCCGGAGCCGGAUCCUCUCUGCAGGUGGUAACCAGGCGGGCUCCCAUCCAAGCACACUGCAACGACAUGAUACAGGUCUCUCAGCAACCAGCUUCUCCAGACAUACCGUCGACUGAAAAGGAAAGGAGGGGAACGAAGAAUACCUGCGCCCUUCUCUCGAGCUCCGGCGAGGAGGGUCAGCUCGACGAGCUCCGGAGAGCUCGCCGUCGCCGCCACCGGCGAGCAGGAGAAGGUGGCAACGGUCAGGAUCAAGAGCAGCGGCGCCGCCGCGGCGACAGCGAUGCCCCGCCGUCGCUGCCGGAGCAGCAGCUCGAUCGCCAUGGUCAUCGCGCGCGGGUGAUCAUGUGAGAAAGGCCAAAGCCCGGGCUGACUUAUUUGAUCGUCGGAUACUCUUGGCGGGCCAUAACCGCAGCUCGCCGAUGUGGACCGCACCGAAUCGCGCAGUCAAAUCGACGACUCUCUUAUUGAAUUGCCGUAAUUUUUAUUAGAAGAGGAAAUCGACGACUCUCAAUCAAGCUGUGGAGCGUGGUGAAAGUUCUCUACAACAACUGCACGUCUGCACCUCCGAAUCCAACAUCCACGUCAGUACACCACUCGCUCCCAUUCCCCACCCAACUGGCAGCAUUGCAUAGUCAAACAUUUACGCGAUUCCUGGGAGAGAAAAAAAAUUACGUGGUCCAAACUAUGCAGGAUAGCAGAGUAGCAGACUUGUUCCAGAUCCCAAAAGAUAAUGAAGUUUAUUCUCCAAAUCGCAAACAGUAUGUCAGAUUUUGUGUUCUUAGGGGGGAAACAAAAAAAAGAAGAAGAAAUUUUCAGUUAAGCAAUCAGUCCGCAGCAUACGGCUCGGUCAACCUUACUAUGUUGCUUUGCUGACCAAUGUGGGAAGUGGGCUGUAAGGCCUAUUCAGUUUCGCAUAUGGGCUUGGGCUUGUUGGUGCCAGUGAGCCCAGAGCCCACGCGAAUCACCCGGGGACACUGGAGCAUCAUCAAACGGCGAGUAGAACUGGAGCAAGCGAGGGCACAACACAGCGACACUCUGGGGUGGAAUUUGCUUACUCAAUUUGCAAAUUUUGCACUUGCUCCACAAAUCCACAUCCACAUUUCAUUUGAUCCAGUACAUAUUUCCUCAGUAUCUUGUUAAAUGCGCAAUAUCUAGCUUCCAUGCUCUUUUUCCAGAAAUUGUUCCCAUAACUGUGAUGUGCACGAGAAGUUCAUAGCAUUCACUGAUUGUACUUCUGAGAAGGGGGAUUUGCAUUCAUACCACCGCCUGAGGAUACACAAUUUUGAAUCCUGGAUUGUUUCUUUGCCUCUCCGGAGUUUGGAAGCAGCUCGAGGCCUUUGAAUGAGGAAAUGAUAAGGGAAAGUUCCUGAACAUUUUAGUGCAUAUCAGUUCUGACUCACGAAUGCUGUUGAUGUGAAGUACAACUACUAGGAUUUCAAGUCGCGUUCAGUUUAAUGCAGGUCUUAUCAGCAGAAAAAUUUUUCCUUAUGAAUCCUCAGCAAAACAAAGCUGUAACUGAGGUAAAAAAAACUUUGAGAUUAGGAAAGACUGGUGAUCUCUUUGUUAUUUCUUCUUAAUGCAAAGAUACGCAGCUCUCCUGCGUAUUCUCGAAAAAAAGGAAAGACUGGUGAUCUGAAAGCAGUCCUGUGUGAAUCAAGCAGUAGGCAGACGACUGCUGCAUGUGGGGUUACAUGGAUACUCGCAGUCGAUCUGUUUCACGUCUUGCCUUCUACCAAAAUACCAAUCCCCAACAGUCUCUGCGAUAGUCUGUUAUGUAAACAACAGAAGGAAUUUGGAAGAUAUCAGUCCAAGUAAAGACAUAGAAAACCUACAGUAGCUUUGCUAUUGCAGUAUGGUUCAAAUGAUCUAAACCUCACCUUGUCACCAAGUCUUGGUGAGAUCGGAGAAUGCCAUGUGAUAUGGAAUGGUGUUUGACAGUGGGUGAAGCAUGAAUCAAUGAACAGCCCCCAGUUCUUGUUAUCUUCAGCAACCUUCAUUUCACUGACUAAUUUGUUCUUGAAUCCUACAACACAAAGAAUGAAAUCCUGCAGCGUCAAGGAAAACAGGAUCACCGAUGAGUGUAGAAAGAAAAGAGAUUGACAAGCUUGACUGACCAUGUAGUACGUCAAUUUGUGUGGAACUACAGUUCCGAAUAUCUGCUUUGCAACUUGACCAUGCCUGUUGAGGAUAGGACCCACUUGGUGCGAGAACAUUUCGUAUCUAGAUAGAAGAAACAGUUAGGUUUUAAUCAUUUGACAAGCGGGAAGAAACAUAGAGGUUGAAAUUACCUGCCAAGAAUCGUAAUCGGAGUUCAGAAUAAAUGUGGGGGUGCUGAUGCUCUUAAUCAGUUCAGAAGCAAAGAAACACUGGGAGCAACAUGUCAGCAAAAUGAAUUAAGAAACAUCAUAAAGAUUAUUGAAUUAGAUAUGGGAACAUACCUCUGUUGGAUCCUUAUUUUGGAGGCAGUCUUUGGGUAGAACUUCUCUAACAUUCUGAAAGAAUUUUUUUAAAAAAAGUCAUUCAAUCAACAGGAUCUCUUGAAAGUAAUUGACUAUGGUCUGCGGCUAACCUGAAGGUGAACUACUCCAUUGAUGAGUGACCUCAUGGACCUUUCUCCAGAUAAAUCCUUCCUGUGGCAGAGAAAUGUUCUUCAUUUAUACAAUUACAAUGCUACUAAUGGGCUGUACUAAUUUUUAGAGACUUACACGUCAAUAAAAAAACCAGCAUCAGAAAGGCAUUUAACUGCAACCUCUUGAGGAAACCGUCCACGAAAAUUAUCACAGUGCAGUAAUGCAGCUAGAGAACCAGCAGAACAGCCUGUAAGCAAAGCCUGGAAAGUGAAGGGAAAGCAAAGUUGGACAUGGCCACAUGGCUCUUGAUUGGGACUUGUGUGGUCAAGCCUUGUGCAAUUCUUGGACUAAUCGUACGAAAUCAAUGAAAACCUGUUGAGCAAUGUCCAUUCCUUUUCCCAUGAGUUCAUCAAUAACUGCUUCCCAGAUGCGCAAUCCUCUGAAGAAAAGUUUGGUUCCAUCCUAUACAAAUGCUAGUACACCAUCAGUUUGAGGAAUUUAAAUGGGCAGCUGAAAUCAGAAUUCAGAAAUUCACCAAAUCUUCACCCUCUGCAUCCCCAGCAAAUGAUGCCCCAUCGCAGUACCUUACAACAACUAUAUUCCAGUCGUAGAAAUCUGAUCACGACAGACAAAAUUUAGUGCAAUCCUCCCAACUCAAUUCAAAAUAUUUAUGAUCAGAAAAAGACCAACACAAAGCGAUGCUGCAUCUGCAUUAGUCCAAAUUCCAAAAUGAAUAAUUGGGACUAAUAUAGCAGAUUGCUCCCUAAAAGAAGCAUCUUGAUGAAGACUAAUGUAUCAGUAGAAAGCCAUGACAGAAGCAACUUUGUAUACCAGGAUUUUCUAGGUGGUCAUUGCUGAGUAUCCCAGAGAACUUUAAUGCUCUCAUAAACUUAGAUGAACCUAAGCUGCUCCUUUUGCGCUCGGAGCAACUUUGUGUGGUGUUGCACCAAGCUCCUCCCUGAGAUUUUAUCAAUGGAAAAUCUGUAAGCAGUAAGCCUACUAGACGUCUUAUCCCAUCAGCAGGAAAGAAGUCACUUAAGUAUAACCAUUUUUUUUUGUCACCCGGGUUUACUAUCUUAGUUCUCAGCUACCUUUUCAUCCAAAGACGGAUAGUAUUUCUUUACAGAUUUCAGUUAACCAAAUUGUUCAGGAUGAACAUGAGACGACCGUUUGUGUAGGAGCCUCUGAGAUGCACGUUAUACAUACAUGAAACUGAUGAAAGCAAUGGCAACUCACAAUAGGAAAAGAACAUUCGGUCACCUGAAGGUAGAUGAGCCAGUUGUGAGCUCCGGAGCCGAAGCCUCUCCGCAGGUGGUAACCAGGCGGGCUCCCAUCCAAGCACACUGCAACGGCAUGAUACAGGUCUAUCAAUAACUAGUUCCAGACAUGGAAGGUUAAAAGGGAAAUGAGGCUACAGUUAGGGGACCAAGUACCCGCGCCCUUCUCCCGAGCCCCGGCGACGAGGGUCAGGUCGACGCGCUCCGGGGAGCUCACCGUCAGCCGUGAGCGGGAGAAGACGACAACGACCAGGAGGAGCAGGAGCAGGGGCGCCGCCGCGGCGACAGCCAGGCCCCGUCGACGCUGCGGGAGGAGGGGGGACAGCAGCUCGGUCGCCAUGGCCUUUUUGUGCGGUUGGAGAGUGGAGAACAUGGUUGAAAUUGAAAUUAGCUGCUCACCAACAACCUGUCUCCGGCCUUGCGCUGGCGCUCUGGCGGGCCAUACCACAGGUCGCCGUAGCCGAUGCGGACAGCGCCCACCAAGCCAUCUGCUUGGACCUCAAGCGGAUGGAGAUUCGUGGAGAAGAACGUGGUGGCGUCUUUCUCUGCAACAGCUCACCUCAAAAUCAAAUCCACGUCCACGUCAGCAUGCUGUUAGUCCUGGCAGCUAUAAGUCAGCUGCUACCUGCAACUCGAUUCCUCUUAAGAAAAAGAGUAGUAAGUGACGUUCUGGAUAUAGUCGCUUAAUAUUUGUAUUUCGAAAAACAAAUAUUUGUCUGAUGGAGCUACAAUGCUACAUAAACGUACCUGUCGAGAGUGACUAAUUACGGCUAAGUGCGCUCCGCUUUCAGACCUGUUGCGUGUGAUCUUUCUUGCCACUUAAAACCAGAUUGAUUCAUGUCACUAUCCUCACCAGUCGUUGGCACGCAUGUAUCACAAGGCCAAGCGGCUCCCAUCCUGUACAAGACUCCAACAAUCAACCGGAAAAAAAGGCAGUUUUUAACCAAUGGCACCUGUCAGGUUGUCACUACGCAAUGUACCAUUGGAAUCGCACCGAGAUUCGCACAGAACAUGGGAAGGAAAACAUUUUGUAAUGUGUGUUACGCCUUAGCAUUCGAUGGAGCCCGCAAUGGAGAUCACAAGUGGCAACUGUGAAAUCUAAAAUGUUCGUGUUUUGUUUCUAAAAAAGAAAAGAAAUGUUCAUGUAAACCUGUCUCUUUUUCCGAUAAAGGAAGUUUUAUUAAUUUUGAAGAAAUGUUCAUGUAAAAGAAAUGUUCAUGUAAAACUCCUCCCGUUACAGGUCGAGCUGACUGCUACAAGUGGGGUUAAUGCAUGGAUACUCGCAGUCAAUCUCUUUUACUCCAUGGCCUCCACCAACAUACCAGUCCGCAACAGCUUCGGCGAUCGUCUGUUCCGUAGAAACAAAGAGAAAUUGAAACCAAAACAUACACCAAUCCAAUUCAAAAAAGACGCAGAGACGAAACGGCAGCACUAGGUGCGAUUAAAAUUAUGCAACUUUAGGGUAAAAGUGUCUUGAACCUCACCUUAUUACCAAGCCUCAGGGAGAUCUGCGAAUGCCAUGUGAUUCUGAAUGGCGUCUGACAGUGGUUGAAGCAGGAGUCGAUGAACAGCCCCCAGUUGCUCUUGCAUUGAGCAACCUUCAAAGCCUCGACAAAUUCCUUCCUGAAUUCUACAGCAUGUAGAAGGAAAAUCGACAUGACAGCCACCAGAUGAGGGUACAAAUUGAACCUAGGAGAUUGACGAACUAGGCUAACCAUUCAUUGCCUCGAUUUGUGUGGAAGUACAGUUUCGAAUAUCAGCUUUGCAACGCGACCAUGACUGUCCAGGAUCAGAUCCGCCUGGCGCCACUACAUUUCCUACCUAGAGAGCAGCUAGGAUCUUAGCCAUGUGACAAGUAGAAUGAAAAAUUAACAGAUAAAGACUGCAAUCACCUGAUAUGAAUCGUAACCAGAGUUCCGGAUAAAUGUGGGGGUGCUUAUACUCUUAAUAAGCUCAGCAGGAAAGAAACACUGGAGCAAAGAACAUGUUAGCAAAUCGAAGAGAACUUGGCAGCAUAUAGGUCAAGAAGUGAAUUCCCUAGGUAAUAAAAACUACCUCUAUUGGCUCCUUCUCUGCAAUGCAGUCCUUGGGCAAAACUUCUCUAACAUUCUGGGAAAAUAUUCAGAAACGUUUGCUCAGAGGAAACAUGCAUCCCGAAAGGAAAAAAAAAGGCAUAAUGUUGAGGAAAUUAACGAAUUUUUUAAGCUAACCUGAAGGUGAACAACUCCACUGAAGAUCGACCGCAUGAACCUUUCCCCUGAUAAAUCCUUUCUGUGGCAUAAAGAAAACAGGUACUUAAUUCAGGAAAAGGUGCGAUGUUACUAGUAGUUUUCAAAGCUCACUAUCCUAGCCACUACAUCAACCAAUGAUGAAUAGUUUUCGAAGCCUUACACAUCAAGAAAGAAUCCAGAAUCCGAAAGGCAUUUUACUGGAACCUCCUGAGGGAAUCGUGCACGGAAAUCAUCGCAGUGCAGUAGGGCAGCAAGGCCACCAGCAGAACAACCUGAAAGUAAGGCCUGAAAAAUGACGUUGGACAUGGCUCUGCUCACAAGCUGUGUGGCGAGGUUGCCACAAAGGCUAAUAAUCUUUGUGGAUGAUUUUUACAAAAUCGAUAGCACAAUUAACCUGUUUAGCAGUGGCCAGUCCUUUCCCCAUGAGUUCGUCAACGACGGCUUCCCAGAUACGCAAUCCUCUGAAGAAAAGUUUUGUUCCAUUCUGCAUCAAUGGCAUUACACCAUCAGUUUGGGUAAUGAACAUAGGCCGGCGGCUAAAAUCAGAAUUCACGGAAGAAUAAUCACCCGAUCUUUGCCCUCAGCAUCUCCAGCAAAUGAUCCUCCGUCACAGUACCUUACGUCAACUUUAUUCCAGUUGUAGAAAUCUGAUCACGCAACCCAUUGAAUUGAAUUAGUACAAAACCCAUUGAACAGACAUCUGAAGCAUCAAGCUCAAUCUAAAGCUAGUCCAAUCAGCAGAGGAUCCAUGAAAGAGGAGGCAUCUUUAUUUACGUACAGGGAUUUUGUGAGCGCUUGUUGCUGAGUAUCCCCUCAAACUCUAUUGCUUUCAUGAAUUUGGAUGAACCAAGGUCGGUCAUUCUGCGGUCAGAACAAUCUUCCGUGGUGUUGCACCAUGCACCUCCCUGAGUUUUAUUCAUAAUAUUCAUAAUCAUGCACAAUCAAUACUGAAACUGCAUUGAGUCUAAUGGAUUUUUAAAAAAAAAAACUCAUGCUAGAAAGAAGCACAAUAUUCAUCGCAGACUAGCAGUUUCAAAUUUUCAACAAUUUUCACACAUACACAAAGGAUUGACUGGUCACCUCAAGAUUGACGAUCCAGCUGUGUUUUCCGGAGCCGAAGCCUCUCUGGAGGUGGUAAGCCGGCGGGCUACCGUCCAAGCAAACUGUGACGACGUGCAUCCACACGCAAUCAAGAACACGCUACAAAAUGAUCUGAAGGAAGCGAAUAUGGUUAGCUGAAAAUACCCGCGCCCUUCUCCUGAGCGUUUGCGAGGAGGGUCAGCUCGACGACCUCCGGAGAGCCCGCCGCCACCGCCACCGGCGAUGAGCAGGACAAGGCUGCCAGGGCCAGGAGCAUGACGAGCCAUGGCGCCACCGCCGAGACAGGGAAGCGUGGUCGAUGCUGCGGGACGAGCGGCGAGGACCGUAGCGCGGUCGCCAUGGCCAUCGCGCGGGCCUGGCUGCUGCAGGCCUGCAGCCAAGAACAGACGCAACGCCGGGUAGUUGUGGCGUCGUGGAAACUGCUAGUUUGUCAACGCCCGGGAUGGAAUGGAAUUGUACCCACCAAGAGCUGAAUUGCAGAAGGUAUCUUGUAGUUCUGAUUGACCAUAAUCGUGCAUAUCUCAGAUUUGAACUAAAUCUGGGAUAAGACCUUGUUUUGUACGGACGGUAGGUGACUGCUUUCCUCUCUGAAACAAAAGGUCAACUGUCUUAUGAAUUAGAUCACCAUCCAAUCAUACGCUCCUCGCAAAUCGAAUUUCACAAAAAUUCUCCAGAUUUAAAAGUGUGGCGCGGCCUGUUUGGAAUUUUGUAUGCCAUGGUUUCAGGGCCUAUAUCCCUCCCUUCCGACAUCGCUCGACAGGUGCCAUAUCUGACUGACAUCACCAUCCAAUGCGGGAAGUGACUGAAUUCUCCUCAACUACAACCGCCAGGCUCGCAGCUCAUACGCGAAAACUUCGGGAGCCUAGAGCAGCGGCGGCGCGGCGGAGACCGGAGAGGCCUCUGGGCUCCUGGUAGAGAGAAGGAGACUGGCCGGGACGUGGAGGAACGAACCCGAACCAAAUUUCACAGAGUUCCAACCUCGCCGAGGUCACGGAAGCAGUCAGCAUCACCGCGGCGUCGGGCGGCGAGGCCCUCCGAGUCUCUACGCCGAGGCGGCGGCGCUGCGGGAGGCGGAUACGAACGUGAAGACUGAGAUGCGCGCGUCCGGCCGGGAGGAGAAAGUGAGGCUCAGGACGCGGUGCCCGGUGGUGAUGCUUCUGGUUCUUGGCAACAAACAUGCAUGGCCACCGCAAGGGAGGAAGAAGACGCCGGGAUGGCCACAGCCGCUCUCCGUGGAGCGCAAUGCGGUAGGAGAGGCGCGCCGGCAAGGAGUACGCCGGUAUGACACUAUGGGGGAAGGUGCUGCGACGCUGAGUGGGAGCCGGCCGCCGGUGCGCCGGUGCUGACCGCGACGGCGUGGCGAACUGGAGAGCGCGCGCGGGGAGGGUCCGGGACUCCGGGUGGACGGUAAAUGAAAUACCGUCCACCACGGACGGUAUCUCGUUUACCGACCAGGCCUGGGUUAUGUAUGGCCGUUGGAUCCGGAGGCUGCGGCCACGAUUCGACCUGACGAAUUGAAGGAACGGCGCGGCCUGGGCCAAGUGGAGGCCCAGCAACUGGCUGGACUAGAGACACGUUUCAGUUGGGGCCCGUUCGAGAAUUUGGUUCUCGUGGACCUUGCGAUGUUCGCCGUCGUCCGUCGAUGAGCCCCGGUUGCGGCCGUCCGAGACAUCGUCUGCCGCCGCCAUGCGAUCAACCGCCAAGUCGUCCGCCGCCGCCGGCAGCGUGGCGAGCGCCGGCCGGGGGUACGACCAAUUCGUCGGCCAUCGACCGUCUUCGGCCUAACUCGGGAUGCACACCAUCCGCGCGGACCCAACUACACAAUCCGUGUAAAACUGUUCGAUCGAUGCGGUCCAGAUUCUUGGAUUCCAAAUCGAUCCGCCAUCGAAACUACGUGGGCCCGCCCGUUCUCGCGGCUGUAGCAAGAUGGACGCCGCCGCCGCCGCCGUCGCCCGCGGCGGCGCGACCGUGUCGGCUUCGGAAUCUCUCUGUUCCAGUGUUCCGGAGACGUGCCAGAGCCGUUGAACCGGACGCGCGCUCGCCAAGUGGGCGCCCGCCGGUGUGCGUCGGCGUCGGCGUCGGCGUCGGCGGCGUUAGCGUCCACGCGUCUGCGCAGGGCCGCAGCUUAGCGCGUGCGCGUCGGGCGUCGUCGGCCCUCUGUUCUGUGCUCGCCAUUGCCAUCCCCACGAAAGCGGAGGAGUAAAAAGCAAAGAAGCUGUGAGUAGGCCACGCUGCCACAGUAGUAACAACACAAAGAAACCGUGUGUCUGUCGUGGAGUCAUGAUGCCACGUCACUGGAUCGUCUUUGCGCAUCUCCCGGCGAAGCUAUGGUAGCACAUCACUGGAAUCAAGGACGUGAGCAAGACCAGUUCACUUCAAACAACAGAAAUAUCCUGCACAUGCAGUCGCUUCGACGACGUACCUGUGUACCCUACUCCAGUCCACCCCAUCAGGCACGAAAAGGGAAGAAAGCUUCCCCUUGGGGCACGGGAUCACGAGCUUUUGAGCUGUCCAGGCGUAGAGCACGGGCGUCCCGGAUCACGACGGGAAAAAUGCUGCGAAUUUCCGGCGAAGUAAUCCAUAGUGCCAUGCUGGCAUGACUUGGUCGUCGACGAGGACCGGUCCGAUCGCCCAAAAGCUUGUGUGAAAGCAGCAGGGUCCAUCAGCCAUCAGCCAUCUCGACACGGAUCGCGGUCGAUGCCAUGCCAUCCUUGUCUUCCGCGACCAGGCACGCGCGCACGCGACGCCGUUGCCCCGACUCGUGCACCAUAACUAAAACGCGUCGACGUGCCGACGUACGUGUGGUGGGGAUCCCCUUCCCCAGUUCCCCUUGUGCGUGUGCGUACAAUGCAAGGACAGAAGGUAGCCGUCGCCGCCUGCGCGAGAGGCAACAGUGAUGCGAUGAUGCUGAUCAGUAGCUUCCGAGUUCCGACCGAUUCUUUCGGUGUCAGCGUCGAAUUAAAAGUUCUCCCCAACAAUUUUAUCUCGGAAAUCUAAAUUUGGACCGAAAUUUUUUGCAUUGGGGCCUGAUAGGGGGUCCAACCGUCCAAAAGGUUUUGUUUUGAGAGGAAUUGGAGAUUUUACGUACUAUGGAAGUACCGGAGUUUCUCUAGAACGGGGAAAUGGCGUUAUUUUUUCCGUGAAAAAAGAAAGGAAAAGGGUCAGCAUGUGCGUACAAGUGCCAUUAUCAUUAUCUACUUAUUCAACGACAAUGAUAUACGUCCUAACUUUCCUGUAAACAUAUUAUUAUCUAGUUAUUAUGUGAAAAAGAUGUGCAAUUUUGAAGAGAAAUGUGCCCGUUCGCACUUCGGCUUCAAAGUAAUGCAUGAAAACAACAGCGAUUCUCCAUUCUCGCGAAGCAAAGAUAUUUAUUUUACAUCAAGAAAGAAAAAGAAAUUAUUAAUUUAAGAAAUAAGCAAAUAUCUUAUCUUAUCAUUUUUCCUUUUAGAACGAGAAAUGAAAACAAUUUACUACUCCUUCUGUCGCAAAUUAUAUCGUUUUGGUCGGAUGCACAGCAAAACGACCUAGGAUAGAAGAGUAAUUAAACUAAAAAAAUGGUGCCGCCGAAGAGACAAGUAAAACCAGUUACUAACCCUUUUUAUAUUAAAAAUUAAACCCUAUAUGCGUUGAAUUUUAUUCUGUCAGACAUCCGAGCUGGUGACAGCCAUGUACCUCACUUCCCUACUCUAUUUCGGCUCCUUUCUUGACAUGACCGUUACCAUUUUUUCCAACGGUAUUUCGAAAAAAAAAACGCGCCAAAAGAUUUCAUCUUACCCGCGUCAUAAGCGUAUAUAGCUAACUUUAGCUUCCCCCUCGCCCCGAAGGAAACGGGCCCUUCCGCUCUUCACUCCCCUCCCCUCGCGCUCUCCUCUUUCUCCUCCUCUCCUGAUUCACGAGGCCCAAGCCUACCGCCAAAGGUCUCGAUCUCCAGCGGGGCUCUCCGGCGCACUUUCUCGUGCCUCGGGGACCCCGAUCCGCCGCCGAGAUCCCGUUCCCGGAUGCACUGAUCAGAUCGUUCCUGAAGACUUGGUUCGCUCGGAUAUGGCGGCGAACGGCAUGAAGGUGGCGCUGCACCGGCAGGUAUCCGGCGGCUCGAUGAAGCACAACGCGGAGCUCCGGCGGCAGGCGUCGCUGGAGUCCCCGCGGACGGGGCGGGCGACGAGCCGGUUCCUGUUCGGGCGGCAGUCGUCCAUGGACCCGAACCGGCGGCGCGGCCGGAGCCAGAGCCCCGUGGGGUCGUCGGCGGAGGACCUGACCGUGCCGGAGAACCUGGACGCCACCAUGCAGCUGCUCUUCUUCGCGUGCCAGGGCGACGCGAUGGGGGUCGAGGGCCUGCUGCGGAGCGGCGUCGACGUCAACAGCAUCAACCUCGACGGCCGCACCGCGCUGCACAUCGCCGCCUGCGAGGGACACCGCGACGUCGUCCGGGUGCUGCUCAACUGGAAGGCCAACAUCGACGCGCGUGACCGCUGGGGCAGCACGGUGAGCUGCGCCGGCUAACCGGCGGCGAUCUCCGCGGUUCUCCGACCAAACUUUCCUUUCCAUCGAUUUGGCAGCAGACGAUGAAUUGAUGAUCUCCUUUGCUUCUCCGAUCAUAGGCAGUAGCUGAUGCCAAGUUCUAUGGCCACUCUAGGGUCUACGAUCUCUUGAAAGCUCAUGGUGCAAAAAUUCCGGUAUCUUUCUUGCCACAUCAUCUGAUACUUCUAGUAUUUGUUCGGUAACUUGCAAACGUGGCAUCAGCGAAUUCGCUGUUCACCUGCUGCUCUGCAAUCGUUUCUGCAGAAAAACAAGAGGACGCCGAUGAUGGUAUCGACCCCCGGCGAGGUACCGGAGUACGAGUUGAACCCCGGCGAGGUCCAAUUCCGGCGCGGCCACGAUGUUACACCGGUGAAAUUUUCUUUCUAAUAUAGUACAAUUUUGUUCCUCAAAUAUUUGUUCAAGGACGGAAUGUGACGCUAGGGAGAUAAGGGGAAUUGACUAAUGACACAUCGAACUGCAGGGCAUGUAUCAUAUUGCGAAAUGGAAUGGGACCAAGGUUUCCGUAAAGAUACUUGACAGAGAAGGCUGCUCCGAUCAAGAUGCCGCGUAAGAUGCAAAUGCCUGUGCUCAAUUACCAAAGAGUUUUUCCUUUACAAUAAUCGCCUCUUCUUUUUGUUGCAGAAACUCUUUCAGGCAUGAGCUGACUGUACUGGAGAAGGUCCGGCACCCUAAUGUUGUUCAGUUCGUCGGGGCCGUGACACAGCACAUACCUAUGAUGAUUGUUUCUGAACUUCAUGAAGAGGUAAUGGCACAUACUUUUUUCCUGAAAAAAAUUUACAAUCUUAACAUCGUCAGUAAUUCUUAACAUGCUACUAUGCCUAUUGCACAUCAGUGUUAUCUUCGGAUGCAUUAACGUCUUCCUUUUUUUACCCCUAAAAAUUCAGAAAGACUUAACCGCCUGUAUUCAGAAGAAAGGGAAGUUACAUGGUCAGAAGGUGCUAAGAUAUGGCCUUGAUAUUGCCAGGUAAUUGUAGGUUCUGAUUCCAACAAGAGUUGACGAGUACCAAUAUACACCGUAUGGUCCCUAAUAGAAGUAGCCCUUUACACUGUCAGGAAAAGAUAACAGUCCAUGUCAAAUUGCACAUUGGUACUAAUUAACAAUGUUUCUUCUCGCUGCCUUGACUGUGUAGGGGCAUGGCCUAUCUCCAUCAGUGCAAACCGGACCCCAUCAUACACUGCGACCUAAAGCCAAAGUAAGAUGAGGAAAUGAAGCAACUAGGCCUCCUUUUCUCUUGUUGCAUUCUUGGGCUACAAAUUUCAUUCAAAUUCUGUCUUUCAUGGUUGUCCCGUACUUUACUAUUUGAAUCUUGGUAAGGUGCCAGAAAUAUCUUCCUGGAUAGUGGAGGCAACCUCAAAAUUGCAGGAUUCGGAGUGACAAGGAUGUCGAAGAUCGGCUCUGACAAAAUGAGAUUGGUCCAUCAAGAGGAUCUUGUUGACAGCUUCAGUAAGCAUGAGAUUAUGGCAUUUUCUGAUCCAUUAUGUAUUUCCCCCAGAAUAUGCUCUAAAUGAUAGCCUUCCUAUCCCUGUGUUUAGGUUACCACACUGCACCUGAGCUGUACAGAAAUGACGCAUUUGACUCAAGCGUCGAUGCCUACUCGUUCGGUUUCAUCCUCUAUGAGGUCAGUAAAUUUCUAUUCCGGAUACAGAAACAACAAGGACAAUAAAAAAUAUUGUUUCGAUGUUUUGGAACGUAGUGUUCCUACAGCCAUUCAUUCUUUGUGGUGUAAACAUCAGAUGGUUGAAGGAUUAGUGAGAACACCAGAGGAUUCAGGACACUCAAUCCGGUUCGAGGGGGUGCGGCCAUCACUGAAGGGAAAGCUCAAGGGCUAUCCCCCAGACUUCAAAGCGUGAGUUCGAAAAAAGAGAGGACCCUUUCAUGUCACCUCAUGCGUGCCAUAUUCAGUUCAGUAUCAUGUGUUUCAGAAAAUGCAGAGUUCCACAAUGCAUCUAACAGCUCCUCUUCUUCUUCCCUGCCCUGGGUCUCUGCAGGCUGAUCGAGGAAUGCUGGCACCCUCAGGCCAUGGCUCGGCCGACGUUCUCGGAGAUCAUCAUCCGGCUGGACAAGAUCUACGCGCACUGCGCCAAGCAAGGGAGCUGGAAGGACUCGCUGAAGAUUUGGUUGGUAUCCCGGCGAUUUAAGCGAAUUAAGUACCGCUCAGUGAAGAGCAGAAUUCACACUGAACUGUGAACAGUAAUGUUCAGAAGAAAAAGAUCAUGCAUUUCCUUGGAAACAAAAACACGCACACGAUGAACUGAAAAUUUGCUCUGCGUUGCCCUGUGUUUUACAGGAAAUGACAUGGCCUGCUCGCCUUCUUUGUGUACAUAUCGCUGCGAACGCGUCUCCUUCCGGGGGGGAGACUGAGUGCUGUUAAGGUGGAGGAUCACGUGCCAUGUUGAUUAUUUUUUUUUGGUACGAAUUGUAACAGAUUGUGAGUAAAAUCGGUCAGAACGACACGUAUACGCCCUUUUCUUUCAGUGCAGUGUGAAGCAGAAUGCAAAUGUUGUUGAUAUUCUCGUAGACAUGAAGUAAUGAGAUACCAUAUUUCGCAAAAAAAAAAUAGAUAUCAUGGAAAUGUAGCUAUCCUUUUACAGAAAAAAUGAAGUCGUUAAAAGCACGGAAGAAGGAUAGCCUGCACUAAGCGCUUUUCGGUGGGCCAAAUCAGGGUGCGGCCUUGAAACAGGAAGGUGAAAAUUUUGGCCUACCGGCCCAUCUAGGUGGGCUGAAGGCCAGCCCAAAAAUGCCACCCUCUGCCCAACUGUUGCUAUGGCCCUCAAGCCGCGGCAUCGAGGUCUCCGCCCUCAAGGCCUCAGCUCACCACUUCACCUCCACUGUGGACGCUCGUAGUUAGGUAGACAAGUUUGGUUGUUAUCACCGUCAGAAGGUAUUUGUAACUCUGUACCCCGAGUUGAUGAAUAAAGGUUGGUGGUGUCAAAAAAAAAAAAAACUCACCACUUCACCAGGUCGGCGAACGGAGCACCGGCAGGCUGCGCUGUGGUUGCUCGGAAAAUGAAGUAGCGUCACCACUUCCCACUUUACCGGGCACCCCAGCCGCUCGGCGACCGGCGUGACAGGUGAACGGAACAGCGACUGCAGCAGGAACACAGGGCAUUUGUGUCCUGGCUCUUCCUCCUUCCUGGUCUCUGCGUUACGUCUGUCAGCGGUAAUUGACAAGGCAGUUGCCAGUUGCCCUCUGAACUAGAAGUAUCAAAAAGGUAAAAUUUCGGAUGUGAUUGUUCCAGUUCUUGGCAGAGCAAUCGUGGCUCUGAAACUUUUUAGCGUUGCGUAGCAAGAGCUCUCCGUUUGCCUCUGCACUUUCGGUCUUCUGAAACGCGACCUGCUGGCACCUACGCAUCCGUCUUCUGAAAGCUUGUGUGUUUUGGCCUCCCGGCGAGCCGGCCUGGACGUGGACACCUCGCAUCGUGGCAAACAUCAUGUCAAAAAGUGCUGCAGCGCUGUAGCAGCCCGUGUCAUGGAUGACACCGGCGCGGCGUGCGGCGCCAACAGCACAAGCGGAGGUCGGUACCCUCUUGCAUGGAAGAAGACAAAAAGCACAGAGAUCUCCAGAGCACCAAAAGGAAAGGUGAGGAAUGAAAAAUGAAGAACCAAAGCUCCGGUGACCAAACACUUCCGUAAGUAUUCGGUAUUCCGUUUAGACGUAGUGGUAUUGCUCUGAAAAAACAAAUAUUCUCUCUUUUUUUUCCGACCACUGAAGGAGCGUAGGGUUGGGGAUAAUGUGAAGCACUGUUUUGACUGGCUCCUGUAGCUGCAGAUCCCAGGACAGGUCAAUUCAUCGGUUUCUGUUCACUUCAUCCGCCGCUCCGGUGAUGCAGAGAGCAAUCCAGGUAGACCACACACCUUUCUUGUCCUGCUGGGCCAGGCUCGCUCUCUCUCACACACACACUACAGGAGCUCGCUGGGCGCCUGGGCGGCGCCGGCACCUCGCCACGUGGCGCGCGGCUAGUGGCUGGGCGCCGCGUUCUUUCCACGUGAGGACACGAGAGUCGGCGGCAGCGUCCGGCUACUUGCCGAUUCUGCUCCGGUGGCCGCCACUUCUCCGUGCCUGACUGCCUGGCUCUCGUCUCCCGGUCUCGCCCGACCUUGGGUGGGGUUGGCCGCGGUGGGCACGCACCCUCGUGUUUCUCGCCCGAUGACAUGUGGGGCAUGCCUUUGUGGGGAACACUUGUCAGGCGCAUUGGCGUCAGCGACUGGCUUUAAAAACUUUCGAGCGCUGACGAGGACGCGAUGGUGAAGCUCGUUUCCUUCUCGACCUCACUCUCUUUGCAGAGAGUCUCUGCAGUUUCCCACUCCAGAGCCCAGACUGAUUUUGUUCAGGUGAGCACGCUGCUGCGAUUUGUGAAUACUGCUUUCUCUUUGAUUCUUUCCUCUGCUUCCUCAAUCGAUUGGAUUUCGAUUCCUCUGAUUCCUUGUUUGCCGGGAUUUCGGUGAAGGUUUUCAGACUGAAUUUUCUUUCGUCUCAAAGUCUGCAGUGCUGGAGCGCACUAAGACGUUCUUCAGUCCUUCAGAGAGACUCACAAUCACAGUUUUUCUUUUAGGCUUGGGGGAAAAAAAAGACAUGAAGAAAAAUCAUAUGCUCGUAGAUUUUCUGCUUUAAAGAACAGCACCAUAAUCAGUACACAGGAAUACCAAGUAUUUAGUGACGAAUUGAUUCGCCUCUACUUUUGCUUUCUGUCGCUUGUGGCAGUUAUUUAUUACUACUUGUUCUCUCUGAACCUGCCUUGACCAAACAAUUACUCCUAUUUGCAGUACAGUUUCCGUAAGCUAUGUAAUACUCCGUAGUAAUUUUCAGCUAACAUUUUUCCCCUUCCACAGUCAAAUCAGGGGGCGCAUACCUGAUGGAAUGCCUCGAGUUGGAUUCUUCUGAUUUCUUCUUGGACGGCGAUCCAAUCGACAGCCCGUUGGAAAUCCAUCUUGAGUCCAAUAGCUUGGCAAGCACCAAAGCUGUGCCGGAUCAUCGCCGGUAUGCUCAGCUUCAUUGCAGUAAUGCCCCUGAUCCACCUCCGCUACCCGGAACUUCUUAUGGCGCGCGGAGAAGUUCUAGGAAGACAACGGCUUGCAGCCGUGUCCCUGGAGGGAUCCUGGAUUCCUGGGACAAGUUAUUCUUAGAGGGAUACCAGGCGGAUCUCCGUGUUUCGACAGACGAUGGCAGUGAAAUUCUGUCACACUCUUGCGUUCUUGUGAGUACAGCUAUCUGAAUCUUUCAUGUGAUAGGGCCUCGCAUCCCUGCAGGAUAGCAGGCUCGCUGUUAUGUAAGAGCUUCAUGUUUUCCUCCUCUGCAGGGUGUCAAAUCUCCUGUUCUGAGAGCUAUGUUGGAAGACGCUGAGCUGACAAAUGGUUUUCGGUGCAUCCGAAUUUCUGGCGCACCUUCUGGAGCAGUCCAUGUGUUCAUCAGAUUUCUUUAUUCUUCACGGUACGGGAUCAAGUUAUUCGUUUAGAUAAUUCACUGUACUCUGAAAAUCAGCUUUUCGGGCCUUUCGGCCCAAACUGUUUUCAGCGACUGAAGCUGAAGAUAGUGCAGAACUGCAGACUGUUUUCAUCCUGAAGCGUGCUCCCUUUUUUCAUUAUGAUCAGAAAUUUUCAGUAAGAUACAAACGUUGGGCUUAUGUUGUUUGUCCGGUGAAGUUUUGAGCAGGAACAGAUAAAGAAGCAUGUUCUGCACUUGCUCGUACUCUCCCAUGUUUUCUCGGUGCCAUCUCUGAAGACGGUCUGCAUCGACCAACUUGAGAGGAACUUCCUUGCUCCUGACAACGUGGUAGACAUACUGCAACUUGCCGGAUUGUGUGAUGCACCUCGGCUCUCCCUCAUCUGUACCCGUAUGAUCAUCGGGGAUUUCAAGACCAUCUCUCUGACAGAUGGGUGGAAAGUGAUGAGACGGGUUAACCCAAACCUGGAACAGGAGCUGCUCGAGUCUCUUGUCGAAGCUGAUACAGUGAGUUCUCUGCAACAAUCAUCACUCAGAAGCUUUAGAAAAAAAAAACCCUUAGCCAUUCAGAGUUUCAAUCUGUUCAGUUCAGAGUUUCAGACUGUUCAUCUGCAUGCAACCCUGUUUGAGUUUCCAAGGUUUUUUUAUGACAUGUUCUCUACCCAAUGGUUUAGCUGCACAUCUUUGAUGUUCUGUUGCGUUGCAUCUACUAAUUCUCAUUAAUUAGUUGCGCAUGCCUGCUCUCGGUGUCUGAACUUGCAGAGGCACAAAUAAUUCAGCACUUGAACAUGUUUUCAGGGUUUGAACCUUUUUUUUUCCCUGAUAAUCUGAAUUGAUGCAGAAAAGGCAGGAAAGAGCUAAAAAGAUGGAGGAAAAGAAGGUCUAUCUGCAACUGUACGAAGCAAUGGAGGCUCUAAUUCACAUAUGCCGAGAGGGAUGCAGGACGAUAGGUCCCCGAGACCAAGCGCUCAAGGGCAGCCGAGCAGGUGUGUGCAAGUUCCCUGCCUGCAAGGGCAUCGAGCUGCUCGUGCGCCACUUCUCAGGUUGCAGCGUGCGGGUGCCUGGCGGCUGUGCGAACUGCAAGCGCAUGUGGCAGCUCCUCGAGCUGCACUCUCGCAUGUGUUUCUCUCCAGACACCUGCAAGGUUCCUCUCUGCAGGUGAGCACAUCCCUUCGCUGUUCUGUCGAAGAAAAAGCUGAGUAGAGAAUGUCCAUGUCUUUCUUUACAAAAGAAAAUAUUGCCUGUUGUCAUUGCUAUUUUUAAAAUUUCCAGGCAUUUCAAGGAGAAGAUGCAGCAUCUGGGCAGGAAGGAAGAGACCAAAUGGAACCUCUUGGUGUGCAAGGUGCUGGAGAGCAGAGGAGCCAUGAGUUUUAUCUCUGAAAGGAGAAAGUUCUCAGCCCUAAAGACUGCUGGUCCUGGGAGUCGCCACGUGGCUCCUUGCCUUGUGGGACCUAUUUGAAACGUUGGCAAAGGUUUUGUGCAGAGGAGUUCAGUUUCAACAGGAACCAGACGAAUGCGUUCGCUUUAGAAAUUAGAAUUUGAGAAUGCGCAUCAAAGCUGGUAAUGGAACCAGACGAAAUCGUCAGAUCUGAAACAUCAAAGUAACCCUGAAAUCCUGAAUGUCUAACAAGUAACAAGCAGUGUCACAACUUGAUACGGCAUGUAAACGUGACAAUCUGAAAACUAGAGAAAACAUUGAAGAGAGAUGAAAACUAGAGAAGAACCGGUUCGAAGCAGCCGUGCUCAUCCAUUACACACAACAGCCAAGCACAGACGACUAUGACGGCAGGCAGAGUUAGCAGCACGGCGACGGGGCUCGGGAAAUCCUGGAGGAUCAGCAUCAGGACGAGCUCAGAAACCAGGACGAGAACGACGGUGGUGAAGAAGACCUGCAACAACAAAGGCAGAGGUGUCAUGCAUGCUCACCAAAAAGCAUGUCCAACAGGGGGAGCAGCAGUCGUCCCCCGGAGCCGGCGAGGAGUUGUGGACGCGACGCCGUGCCGGUGCCGGAGCCGGAGCCGGAUGCGGCUCGCUGUGACGCGGAUGACCGAGGGGCUCCUGCUGCCUCCCGUUGCCAUCGCCGACGAUGAGCGGGUAGCCCAGGGCCACCGCGUGGUCGCCUUCCUCCAUGCCGCGGACCGCGGCGUCGUCCGGGGCCAUAUGCGCGGGGCGCGGCGGUUGCAUGACGACGUACGGUGCGCGGUGGUGAUGAACGCGGACGGAGCGAGCAAUGUCGAUCGAUCUAGCAUAAGGCGCUGCAGAGGAAACAGGCAGGCCACGGCGUCUGCAUUAUGUAUUUUUUUAUUUAAAAUAAAUUAGUUAUGAGUUUUAGAUUUAACCAAAACUUUUUGAAUUUUUAGAAAAUGCAAAACCACCAAUAGGAUGGCCUUCGUCGUCCGAUUUCGUAGUUGUGGGUUGAAAAUCAAACUUUUACGAUUUUUUUUUGUGAAAAUAGGACUUUUCCCAUUAUUGAAUAUCUAUAGAUGCCAACUUACUAGUGACUUACCGUGUGUUUGGUUACCGGGUCGAGGUGGGUUGGAAUGGGUCGGACCCUCGUCGUCCCGUGUUUGGUUCAGAACGGAGUGGGUUGGAUUCGACCCAGACGGGGAAUAUUCCCCUUUUGUCCGGGUCGAGUGCAUACCGCCGAUUUGGAGGGACCGCGCGGACCCAGUCCCACGCCGUCCGCUCCGUCGUCUCGCCUGCGCGCUGGCGCGGUCGCCGCUGGGCGACGAGCGGCGCUGGAAGGAGCCAGGACCGGGGACGAGUGGCGCGGUGGCGGGCGCGGGAAGGUGGUGGCGGAGCCGCCUGCUCCAUGGCCGGCGGCGCAGGUCCUCCACCUCUGCGACGCCCCCAUGGCCGCGGCCCCUCAUGCCGGUGCGGGGAGGGAGAUGAGGCCGCUGCCGGCGGCGGGAUCUGGGGAGGCGGCGGCGGCGGCGGGAUCUGGGGAGGCGGUGUUGGAUCUGGGGAGGUGGCGGUGCAGGGAGCUGGGCCGCUGGGGAGGCAGGGGCGGCGACGCAGGGAGCUGGGGAGGCACGGGGCGACGCGCGUGGAGCUGGGGAGGCAGGGGUGGCAGCGCAGUUGGGGGACGGCGACGCAGGGAGCAGGACGGGGGGGGGGGCCGGCGCGUCGGCGGCUGAGGACCGGCCGGGGAGGAGCCGUGCGGGAGGAGAGGAGGAAGAGAGGAGGAAGAAGAUGGGAGGGAGAGGAAGAAAAAAAACAGAGGCUGACAGGUGGGUCCCACGGUUGACAGGUGGGACCCACCACUAACGGUGUUAAAAGGACAUGCAUCCAACCCUCUCAACCUCUCCAACCAAACAAAAUACUGGGUCGGCUCCAACCCAUUCAUCCAAACAUAAGAUGGGUCGGCUCCAACCCGCAAAAGUGGGUCGGCUCGAACCCAACCCACUUCGUCCCAAAACCAAACACAUGCUUAUUCAUCAUUAAAAUUUUAGGUUAUCUGGACAUCCGAGAUGUGUGUUGACCCAGAUGAAUAGAGAGAAGAAUUAGAAAUCCUAUGAACUUGUCCAACAUGCACUCGGAAGUGUAGAGACUGCAUGUAUGCAUACAAUUAUUAUUUUUCCUGUCAGUAGUUAAUGGAACCUUUUGUUCUUCUAAAAAAGUUUUCACUUAUUUUGAACAUUAUCAUAUGAUAGAAAUAACAUGUAUUUAGUAACAGAACAUGAAUAUUAUAUGCGCUCAUUUAUAAAAUUUCACAUCCAACACAGUCAUGAUGUCUCAUACUAUCCUACAUCAUUUUCUUAGUUUAGCAUGAUCAUCGUGGUGCUUCCAUUAAGCUAAGUAAAUUCGGUAGCCCUCCUCAUCAUUGGAGACAUGACAUCCAUUGCAAAUCACGGAUCCUAGUUGUGAGUGUUAACCUGUUGGUGACCCCAUAUUGGUUGGUAUGCAAAACAGGAAGUAUAAAGCCAAAAAUAACAAAUCGUGUCUGAAUUUGGAGUUAGGCUGUAAAACGGAUCGAUAUCAAGGGAUCAUCCCUAAAGUUUAGAAACUGAUUUAUAAAGCAAAUAAGGUGCCAGUAGGCUUCGUGGCUAGGCAAAUUAGGCCAAGAAUCCCCCAAGAUCUUAUACUUUGCAAUGUAAAGACAGAAAAAACUGAAUGUACAAACAAGAACACAACAGUUAAUUGCAGAGCAGCAGAGCUAACCAGCAAAUCUCCAUAGCACGACUUAUAAGUUACACCACUCCUUUAAGCUCUUCCUGUUCGGGGGUGGGUUGAUCACAGGAAGAUCCUUCCUCCUCUCGAAAAGACAUUUCACGAUGACUGUCAGCUUGAGCAUGGAGCCGCGGCUGGCAGCAUCGCUGGGUGAGCUACUGCUGUGGGCGGUGGCGGCGGAGAUCCGCCAUGUAGCGAACUUGCUGCUCGGAAGCGGGCCACCGCUUUCUUGCUCGGCAUCUUGCGAGCUGUGGCAACGGUCCUUGUCGGCGGUGGCAGAAGCGGGCGGGGGACUCGUACCCACGAACUUGCUGCUCGGAACCGGGCCACCGCUCUCUUGCUGGGCAUCUCCUUGGCAAGCUUGGGCAGACGCCUUCGUCGACGGUGGGGGUAGGAGUGGGGGUGACGGCGGGGCUUGUACGUGCAGCAGCAGGUAGGGGACUCGUACCCUCGAACUUGUUGCUUGGUCGACACCUCUUUGGCGAGCCUGGCAGUCGUCUUCGUCGACGGUGGAGGCGCGGACAGGGGCUUGUACACUGCAGCAGCGGUCGGGGGAGAAGUCGACGGCAGGGACUGGGAGGGGUCGAUCCAUGGUCUCCGAUGGAGGAGGUCAAGAAUGCAAAAAGAGCAGGUUGGCGAGAAUUUUAGCCGACGGCUAGCCGGGCUCGGGCAGGGGAUUGGGGAAGAUUUGACUCGGUUCCCAGUGCUUGUGCUUUACGCUUUCAACAGUAACACUAUGUCUGUCAACGAAAUACGUUAGAUGUCCAGGAAAACACAAAUUCGAAGGCCGGAGGCGUAAAGCUGCGAAAACCGUUUUGCCGAGGGACAACAAAAUCGUACCCCCUCCCCUUCUGCUCGACGGCUCCCGGUGUGCGCCUUCACCAUGGAGACGCGCGGCAAGAGGCUCCUCCCCGUUCUCCUGGCCCUCGUCGCCGCGGCGGUCGCUCCGCCCGCGGUGUCCCGUGACGGGAGGGAGGUGGUGGAGGUGUCCGGCGCGCCGGACGGGGUGGUGUGGGUGGCCCAGCUCUCGGAUCUCCACUUCAGCGUGCACCACCCGGAGCGCGCCUACGACUUCCGGCGGUAUGUGGGCCCGGCGCUCGCCAUGGUGAACCCCGACCUCGUACUGAUCACCGGGGACCUCACGGGUAUGUACUAGAUCCUUCUCUCCGGCCCUCGCCCCCGUCCUCGGUUUGAUUCCACGCGAUUUCAGGGCUGAUCCAAUGUGAGGUGAAAUUACUCAGUUAGCGAAUGAGAGGAUGUUUUCAGUAGUUUUCAAUUUGAGUGUAAAUGAGAUGUUUCAGAACAUUCGUGAUAAAAUGCACACUUUAAGGUAGCACAAUCCGUCCAGUCUGGUCUAGGGGCAAGUGGCCAGUUUUCGCCCAGUUGCCCACCAGUAACCAGGGCCACUCACUGCAGGUUUCAAUUUCACCAUUGCAACAAACAUCCAGUAGAACAAAGUAAGACUCCUCCGGAUGAUAUACUAGGUAGUAAGCACUGAUUGCUAACAACUGCAAACGCAUGCAGUUCCGUCCCUGUGAUAUAUUUGACUUGUUACUAAUAUGCAGGGUACAGUUCUUACAUUUAAAAUGAUUUGAUAUGAAGUAAUAACCAAAGAAAUAAAUUUGAAAUUCAAAGAUCUAUUGAAAUGCAAAACUGAGCUAACUGAACAUACAAUCUUCUAUUGCAUGUUUCAGCAUUGGAAAAUUAUAGGCACCUAUAAGUCUGUAAUAUUGAUCAGCAUCACGAGAGUUGCUCCAACCAGCAUAAAAGAAAGUAAUUAGCACCUUCUAAGAAACGGAAAAAAUUCAUUCCCUGAAAUGUUAUUACCAAGGAGAUUUAUCUCAAUCUUUAAUUCAUAUCUUUUUUUUUGUUACAGAUGGGAAAAGCAAAGAUCUGCUAACAAUGAAGCAGAACGAGGUUGAAUGGGCAGAAUACGAAAGUACAAUUAAUGAUAUCAUUCAAAUCAGCAAGCUUCCAAGAAGAAUUUUCUAUGAUCUGAGAGGAAAUCAUGAUAGCUUUGGUGUACCGGCACCUGGUGACAACUAUGACUUCUAUCAGAAGUAUAGCAUCAAUGCCAAGUUAAGACGGCAGGGGCGUGUCCAAAGCAUUACUUUGGAGGUCAGUGGUUUAUCUAUGUAUGAUUGACACCUAUCUUCUGCAGGAAGAAAGAUGUGGUGCCUCUUAUUUCAUUGCCGCCUCAUAGUUCAAUUGUAUUGUCAUUUGGUACAUAUGGUUAUUCUAGCAAUCGCUAUUCAGAAUUCCCUUGACGCUGUAUUUAUGAAUGCUCUGCAGAAUAAUGGUCGGAAGCAUCUAUUUGUUGGCUUUGAUAGCACUAUGGAGGUUGGUCUUAGAGGCCCAACCAAUCUAUUUGGCCAUCCAACUGAUAAGCAGCUUAUCGAAUUGGAUCAAGCAUUGUCGCAGUGGGAUACUGAUUUUGACAAGGCUCCAGUGACGAAAAUUGCAUUCGGGCACUUCCCAUUGUCUUUCUCAGCAUUAACAGAGUCAGGAAAAAGUAUCAAGGAUGUUUUUCUAAAGCAAUCAUUGGCCGCAUACUUGUGUGGGCAUCUUCAUACAAGGUUCGGGAAGAACUUGAAACGAUACUACCAUCGAGCAGUCCAGGAAUCAUCAUUUUCAGAACAUUAUUACCAAUUUAACAUGCACCAAGGAUAUGCAAUCCAGAGUAAUAAGGAAAACUGUUCUGAAGAAGCAGCUCACAUUGAAGAGUUCUGGGAAUGGGAGAUGGGAGAUUGGAGAAAGAGCAGAAGUAUGAGGAUACUAGCAAUCGAUGAUGGUUACGUCUCCUAUACUGAUAUAGAUUUCAGAUUGGGCUCAAAGAGCAUAAUCAUACUCCCUACCUUUCCCCUUGAUUCAAGAUUCAUGCAGAGAGCUUCUGCUUCUCGUGAUUUCAAAUGCCAUAUCAGGGGGCCGUCUACUUUCGAUACAGCGAGGGCUCUUGUAUUCUCUAAACAUGAGAUAGUCUCUGUUUCUGUAAAGAUAUAUGACUCAAGACCAGGAACUCUUGAAGUAGUCUUUGACUCUGAAAUGAAAAGGGUGGAUUCCAAUGAAACUAGGGGGCAUAUGUAUAUAGUACCAUGGAACUGGAGGGCAUUUGAAGAUCCCUCUCCCAGCCGAUAUUGGCUUCAAAUUGAAGUGAUGGAUAUAACAGGUGAUGCAAGUUUCAGCCAUUUGAGACCAUUCUCUGUUAAUGGCUUGACUGCAAGAGUGAACUGGACGUGGAAGGAGUUUUUUGUGAUUGGUAUUCAGUGGGCUUCAAUAUAUCAUCCUGCACUGUGGUGUGCUCUUUCUCUGAUAUUGUCCUUGCUUCUUGUACCACAAGUUUCAGCUGUGGUAUUCAAAGAUCAGUUCACAUAUAAGUCUCUAUACACAAAUGGUAGUCAGAGGACAUUGUUAACGUCUUUAGUUGGUGGUUUCAUCUGGCUCUUUGUUGAACUGGCCAGGGUGAUUCUUGUGUGGUUUUUGCUCUUGGUGUACACUAUCUAUUUAGUUUUCUUACCAUGGCUAUUUGGUCACCCUAUUACUGAGGAUGAUAAUCUCACAUACAUGACACGUAGAGGUUGGAUUCUUAAAAGACCCAACAGUGGCAACGAAGUAGUACAUACUGGGAUUCCAGAUGUCAUGGUCAUUGUUCUACCUCACUUUUGUUUUGUGUUAUUACCCACAAUUGUGAUUUUAGCUGCCAUGUCUGCUGAGAGAACGGCAUAUCGAGAGCAUUAUCUUUCUUGGUCAGGAAAGAAGAAAGAUGAUUACUACCAAAAGAGCAGGAGGCAGAUAGAACAUGAAAAAUUUUGGAAUGGUCGCUGGAUUAGGAAAUUUCUGUGUCUUCUUUGCCUGGUGGUUCUAUGGAAACAUUGGAAGGUAUAAAGCAAAAUUUGCAAAUUUCUGUGACUGCAAUUAUCUCCAUUUCAAACAAUUCUAACCACUUCUUUAUGCAGCUUUGCAGAGCUCUUGUGAAGGCUUAUGCUAUGAACCCUUUGCUCCACUCGCCUGUGCUCUUCUUCUUCAUUCCUGCCCUCAUGGGAUUUGCCAUCUACAGGACAUCUUCCAUUUAGCUGUUUGGGAGCUCGGAAGGUGUGAUAUACUAGAUUGUCCUACAAAUAGAUCAUCUUAAGGUGUCCCGUGUAGCCAUUGCACAUGGAGCUUCUUUCUGUGAAGACUGAAGUACUAUAACUCACAACUGAAGGUGUGCUACCUCUAUUUUUUUUCUCUCCUUCAGAGAGCAGAUUGUUAGAUUCUCUAACAUACAUAAAGAUGUUGUCAGCACUGCGUUGCAUAUAAAUGAGAGACUACACGACGUUUCAUUAGAAUGAACAGUUAUGAGAAAGAAAUUGUACUGCUCAAUAUAAUUUUUUUCAUAGUUCUUUCGAGAAUUUUUUUUCUCCAUUCUUGACCUAUCAGUUUUUUUCAUAAAAAAAAAAAAUCCUUGUGAGACUUUGGUGAUGUACACCUCAAAUAUUAGCAUUGUCCUUCGAGGAAUGGAUAUUAAUCUACCAUAUGCAAUCCUGUCUGCCUUUCAUCCUGGAAUGACAAUGACUAGCUUUGUCUUGUCCUGGAGAUUCAAGAGUUCUUGUCAGAUUUUGAAAUUAACAGAUAACAUUGUUCAAAUUUUGAAACGAAGAGAUAAGGAUGUGCCGUAGCACCUAACUUUGCUCAGCAUAUUCGUCAUGGUGUUAAACUGUAGUAUUCUUCUUGAAGGAAACUGUGACCCAACUCUGCCCUCUAGCCAAAUACUCAGUCACCCGAAAAUAUGGAGAAACAGGUGAUGGCUAAUCAGCGAUUGCCCAAAUUCAUAUGAUAGCUUAUCUGCAACGGAUGAUGACAGAAUCUUGGGAGCUCUUCUUUCCCUUCCAUUUUGCCCCUUCCAUUCGCAGGUGAAUGGGAGAUGUCCCAAUUCGGCGGACACUCCAACGCCGCCGCGCCUCAAGUCGCCGGUUCACGAACGCCGGCGAUCGGUUAGUCCAACGUCUCACGGCUGGCACAUCUCUGACCCCUCGGCCGUUGCGCGCCCGUUUCGACUCGAGAGGACGGGAGAGCUGGAGGAGGAGGGACGCAGCGGCGGCUCUACACGAUACAGGAGGGGUGUGCGUGCGGAUGCGGCAGCGGGAUAUCCGGCGGGGAAAGAGGGGGACGGGGCAGCGGGAUGUCCAGCAGGGAAGGAGGGGGGUGGGAGCUGGAGGAGAAGUGGAAGUCAAUUUACCACGACGAGGCGGCCGUCGCCGGCGACGGACGGGAAGGCGUAGCCAUAGGGACAGCUAGGAGGAGGGGUCUUUACGUAAAUAUUUGGAUCGCGAUUACAUAAAACCCCUUAAAUUGGAUCGCACUAUUGAUCGCGAUUCAAUUUAGGGGGCUUUAUGUAAAAUUGUGCGGGGAAAUUCUGAGAAAUAUUGGUUCGCGAUUAAUCCGACCCGGUGUGGCCACGACCUGCGCGGCUGCGCAUGGCCAUGGCGCUUCCGUCUUUGCGGUACUUGGACUGCGGGUAGACCCAUGAGUUGGCGACGAAGACGAUGGUGCCGCGGCCGGGGACGUCGUCGAGGGUGAUGGUCUUGAGGAAGAACUCGGAGGCGUGGUUGUUCUUUACGAUGAUGGCGCCCGGCACGCCCAGCUUCUCCACCUCCCACUCGAACGUCACGCCGAACUUGGACUCGCUGGAUGUCAGCGACGGCAGGGACGUCAGCCACUGCUCCAGGCUCGCCUCCGCGCACACCUUGCCGCGGUUGCCGUUGUCUGCGCAUUCGCCGGCCGCCAGUUCGGGUCAGCGUCACGCAACGCACGCAUUCGAUGCAAGCAGCUAACCCAUGUGUAAAAUCAAAAUGAAACCAAGAGAAUGCUCACUUGGGUCGACGACGGGGGAGCUGAUGAGCUGGCAGGUGAUGCCGCGGCCGAGGAACUCGCCGAUGUUGUCGAUGACGGUGGCGCCCAUGCUGGUGACGUCAAAGCCGAGGACGCUCUUGCGCAUGAGCACCACCGAGCCGUUGAGCCGGCCAUUCUUGUUCCCGGUCAGACCCCCGAUGAUCCCUCCGAACAUCUUCGCUUCACCUAGUGCCUAGCUGCUAGCCUGCUACUACGUUGCUUAGCACAGAUUGACUCGUGGAGAGGCUUUUAGUACCGGGCAAUAACACCACCUGGUACUAAAUGGCACUCCACGGGGUUUAUUGCUCGGUACUAAAAGAUCUAUGAGGAACGAAAAUUUCUACCCGGUACUAAUUUCGCGCGUUAAUACCGGAUGAAAAAGUCAUUUAGUACUAACGUCAAGGACGAAUGCACAUAUUUUAAUUAGUAGUGUGAUGGUAGCUAGCAGGUCAAAAACCUCUCUCUUAUCUGCUCCUUGGAUUUGCCUCUGAAGCGGACUUUCACAUACUCCUCCAUCCCACGUUACUAUUUCACUUUAAUUUUUCUAUAUACUUUUGAUAUGCACCUAAACAUUCUAUUUUGUGAGUUAAUAACACUGCUAUCACCUAAACAUUCUAUCAGUUUUUGCAGCAAACAUUCCACACAUGCUUGCGCUACUCGCAGCACUGUUAGCCGUCCAUCAUCCUCAUCAAGUACCGGAUAGUGAUUCUGAUGAAUGAAUCCCCUCGUGAUCGCUGUUGGUCUGCAUUCAAUCCUGACAACUAUGGUUACUGCGGCCUUGUUUAGUUGCCCAACUUUAGGGUGUCAAAAUUACUGUAGCAACACUAUAGCGUUUCGUUUGUAUUUGUGAAUUAUUGUCCAAAUAUUGACUAAUUAGGCUCAAAAGAUUCGUCUCGCAAAGUACAACAAAACUGUGCAAUUAGUUUUUGAUUUCGUCUACGUUUCAGUACUCCAUGUAUGUACCGCAAGUUUGAUAUGAUGGGAAAUCUUCUUUUUGCAUAGUACCAAAGUUGAGAUUUUAGAGUGAACUAAACAUAGCCGCAGAUGAACACCAACGGGAUAAGGAUGAAGCGUCUGGAGGGGUACAUGUGGAAGAGAACUAUUGGUUCUCCUCCUAUAGACAAUUAAUUAUUGGUCGACAAGCAGAGGAGCAUAUGCUUGAUGCUCCUCCUGUUGUUCUAUAGGAGUGCUAUUUUGGCAUCCAAGGGAAUUGACAGUUCACCCAAAAAUCUCAUAGGCACUCUUGAACUGGUCAUGGACUCCUGGUGCGUGCUGUCAAGUAUGGCAUCCGGACGUCAUGCUCGUGUCAGAUGGCCCGUGAACUCGUCUGUGCAAGCUGUUGGUUUGGGUCAGUCUGUCCUCUUUUUAUUGCGAUUCGGAGCGAGUGGUGCUGAGUUUUGGUUGUUAGGUCUUUUUAUUUGACCAAGUGGUCUGCGUGUUGCUCGACUUACCAGAGUAGUGGCGUCGUGUUUGCUAGUUGGAUCAUUCUCUGCACCGACGUUAUAUUAUUGAGGUAGUGUGCCACACCGCGCAUGUCAGGUUGUGUGGUUUUCGGAUAUGUUUUCACUAAAAAAAACUGGACCAUCAUCUCUUUUAUUUCCCUCCCUCUGAUAUAAAUUUGCAGCAAAUAUUUUGCUGCCCUUUAAAGAAAAAAAAAAGAUGGACCUCAACUCUUAAGCCUCGAUGAGAUUUAGUUCUUGAAGGAUCCAGUGAAAAAUGAAAAUCCUUCUAUAGAUGCAAAUGCUCAGUGCACGCACACAAUGAUAAUACUCACCGUUCACUAGUAGAGAAACGACUUUCCAUCCGCCCCCUUUUGUCCCGGUUUAAAGUUGGCCCGGGACAAAAGGUUCACCAACCGGGACUAAAACUCGGUCACUGGUGGGGGGCUCACCAACUGGAACCUUUUAUCCCGGUUGCAAAGGCUAAUGGAAAAAAAAGACUCUGAAAGGCCUUUUAUCCCGGUUUGAAACACCAACCGGGAUAAAAGGGGGUCUUUUAUCCCGGUUGGUGUUUCCAACCGGGAUAAAAGGGUCCCCACGAGUUAAUACAAAAGGAUAGUAUCCCCUACAUAGUCAGAUGUGGUGUGUAGGUGGGAUGGCAAGGAAGCUACGCGCGAGGCUGGAGGUUGUGGGUUCGAAUCCCACGAACCGCGCACGCGCAUAUUUCGUGUGGGGGGCCUGCCUAGGAGCUUGGGAAUUUUUUUUUUGCAGCGUCGGCGCUCUCGACCCUUUUAUCCCGGUUGGUAUUACCAACCGGGAUAAAAGGGGGUCUUUUGUCCCGGUUGAGUGACCCGGGAUAAAAGACCCCCCUUUUGUCCCGGUUGGUUUAUCCCGGAUGCAUUUUCGAGAGAUAUGCACCCUACCAACCGGGAUUAAAGCUCAGUUCUCUACUAGUGGUUAAGGAUGCGUAAGAUACUCACCCUGCCCCUAUAAACCUACGAGAGGUUAGGUUAACAUAUCUUAUGAUUGAUAAGGUCAUUUACUUAUCGUACGUCUCACUAUUGAUGAACAUAUCGUCUACCAAAGUAGCGUUGUUAAUUCAUGAAAUAAUAAAUAUAAAAAAUGAAAGCACUCGUGCUUUGAAUCUAUGAAUUGAACUCGGUGGACAGAUUAAAUCACAAGAAACCAACCAAACAAACAACCACACACAAAGUAAUGGGUUUUCUUUUCUGAUUGUUUGCAUGCAUCAUUUGAUGCACUACUAGUAAGGCAAUUAACUAAUACCGGUCGACUUAUACAAUGCAUAGUAUAUAGCGAGUGAAGGUGAUGUUCGGACAAGAAAACAAAUACUACUAUUCGCAAAAAAAAAAGAAUACUACUACGAAAAUAAACAGUCCCAGCUGUUCUGAACACGGAAACCUGAUUACCUGAAAGCUUCUUUUUAAGAAGUGGUCUACCCUGCUUUAUUCGAGAUGAACAAAACACACCUGAUUACAUGAACGCUGAUGUCACGAACACAGAAAAUCGUGUGGCGAUUCAUUAAUAUUAUUGUGGUCGCUGCAAGUGCAAGCGGAUGAACAGAGGAAGGGUUGCUGCUUGCCCUAUCAGAAAAUGACCAUUAGCCCCGUCCAUUGAAAGUUUGAAACAAGGAAGCGAGGGAUUCUCGGGUUUCUUUGCUGCAACAGCGCGACGUGGGUUGCUAAACUGCUAUAUGCUUCUGUGAAAUUCGCAAAAAGUGGUAUCCCCCACAUGGUGACAUGGAUUCGGUGCCUUGUUGCGUGGAAUCAAUUCGAUUUGAUGCCAUCCUCUGAUCCUCGUCUUGCUUCGGUGAGACCGUGGAAAAAAACUGCAACAUAGAAAUUUCAUAGGCGCAUGUGGUUCUAUUUACACAGUUCUAACGAAAGUUACAUCGAAUAAAUUCGGUGGACAGAGGCUAGGUGGGAUAUGAGCUUGUUAGUGCCACACUGCCACUGCCAUAGCAUGAGCGCGUACUAGUUUGGGGGGGCAAAAUCGUAUAUGCGUUCCAAGAAUAACACAUUAACAAUGGACCGAAUUGAACAAGCUGUUAGCUAGUGACGACGACGACCCAGGUAGCUAUAGCGGCGUAGAAGGCCACCGGAGGCAGCUCGUACGGAGCGUCUACUUGAGGUCCCCGUGUUGUCAUCGAGCAAGAAGCCAACAAGGGUCCUUCAUCAGGCGUCAGAUGCCGUCACGCCACGCGGACACCCGGUGCCACCUUGCAAUCGCUGAUAGCCGAUGGACGUAACUACCACACAUGAAACGUGUGCUUCUUUCGACGGCGCAACGGGGACAGGGUCCGCCGCCGAGUCGGCGACCGGCCGUUCCGGAGGCGAUGCGUCGCGCGUAGGCCCUGGUGGCGACGGGGGCUAGUUUCUCCUCCUCCUGUUCGGCGACCGGGACGUGCUCGCGAAUCACGUGCAAGAGCAGAGUAGCAGACUGGCUUGUCCGCCGCCGCUGUCAGACUGUUGCGUGUAGCCAUCGUGGAACGCGCCUCGGCUUCACGAAUUUGUUUUUUUCCUAAUCCUGGCGUGGUUGACGAACGGCCCCGUCGAGUAAUGGAAAGCUCCUCCGAUGAGUCCGGCCGGUGCACCCCCCUCACGAGUUGCAGAGAGAUCCAUCGCUGUGCGGUGACGACGCAGCAAAGCUACAGCGCGAAAUGACCGGUACGGUUUAGCGUAGGGUACGGCGUCGGCUAGUGCCUAGUGCAGUUGUGCUCAGCAGGGACGUCAGUGCUGGCGACCCAUAAAGUCGAUGGCGACCCAUACAGUCGAAGCUUUUGAGGGAGGGGUUCCUCUAGCUUUGAGCCUCUAACUUUGCGUCACAAACACAGUGAAUCAGUAACGUAUCGGUGACUCAAAGAUAGAGACCUCAAAGUUAGUUCCUCUGUCUGCACACGAACUCGACAGCGCAACAUCAAUGACUGGAAAAUUAAGCUAGAGCUGAAUCAAUCGUGAUUGGUGAAGCAUAGCGGGCGCACGCAUGACCACACCGUCUUGUGCCCCACGUAGCUGCGAUCAGAGGAGGAUUGGGUAGGAUCGAGUUGGUGAAGAAAUUGAGUCCAUGCUCGAUCCUCUGGGCUGUUUUGUCCUACUACUUGAUAAAAAUUAAAUAAUCUCUCCCCACUUAGAAAUUCUUUUUUAAAAAAAUUACACAUUUGAAUUUUUGGACCAUCAAAUUCAAAAUCAACUACUUGGAUCUAACCACUCUCCAGCCUUAUUCGCUCCCUCUGUCUCUACUCUGACGCCACCUUGCCAGCAUCGUCCCUAACGCCCGUGAGACCUAUCUUGCCUCCCUCGUCCCUUCUUUCUCCCUUCGCCAUUCGCACCCACCGUCAGAGCUCACCUCCGCGUUUUCCGCUGCCAUCUCGACUGCUCCCAUGCUAAGUAAUUAUUGGAGCUCACUCUUGCGCCCCUCCACCGCCCCACCUUGCCGCCGCCUUCCCGUCACCACCACCCGCUACCCUACUUCCCGAAGUUCCCUUCAGGUCAUCAAGAUGCAGGUAAUCCCGAACCUCCAAACCUAAAAAACUCGUCGAAGGUCGCUGGAGGAAGAGCCAAAGGGGAAGAUGUGGAAGAGAAAAAAAAAAUCAAGUGUGGGAGAGGCAAUUUAAUUAUAAUCAUUGGCGUGCAGUGCAGCCAUGCACUUUGGCUAGGGAUCGGAAGCACUUCGUACGCUCCAACCUAGCAGUAGUACUUGUGGCACUACUAGUAGAAUACAAUGCAAGACAUGAGUAGCUAGCUCGCCUCUACUCGUCAACUAGCUCGGGUUUGGCGACACCCAAAGUGAUGGUGUGCCGGUAGACGCUCGCCCGGUCUGGGGGGCUCGCGGCUACGAGGCUGUGAUGACGACGACGAUGCGUGCGUACGCGCUAGGUGUCGCAGCCCGCUGCCGUCGCUAUCGCGUGAUCAGCGCGCCCCGGCCGGCCGGUACUGUGUGACCGGCGACAGAUCUCCCGCCGCUUGCUCCACCAGCCGUCCGUCUUUGCACGAAGGACCCCGCUGGUCAAUUGCGCCUCUCACCUCACUCACAUCAAACUGGACACUAUACACAAGGCCUUGUCGUUUAUGUGCCUUCAGACGCCUCCUAUUUAUUGGGAGCUGUGAUGAAUAAAAAUAACCUUUCCCUGGUCACUGAUGUUGGCCCUGCCUUUUGCUUCGCGCAGAAUAAGACCUUUACCUGCCUUUUGACCAGCAAGGAUUAUAAGGCAACACGUGGGACAGUGUAAUACUACAGCGCAGGUCCUUUUUCCAGCUCAUCAGUAUAGCACGAGAGAAGAAAACUCAGGUAACCGGGUAACCGUGAAAGUGUGACGUGGACAUGGGUGUGUCCAAGUCUAGCUUUAUAGACGCUUUCGCCGCUCCUGCCAGGCUAGCACUGCACUAGUCCCUCGCUACUCCUCGUCUCUGUGUGAGGAUAACUCCUUCCUUUUGUUGCUUGGGCCAUGUUUCACUAUGUAAAAAGAAGAUUCUCCGUCACAUCAAACUUGCGGUACAUGUAUGGAGUACUAAAUGUAGACAAAAUCAAAAAGUAAUUGCACAGUUUUGUUGUACUUUGCGAGACGAAUCUUUUAAGCCUAAUUAGUCAAUAUUUGGAUAAUAAUUCACAAAUACAAACGAAACGCUACAGUGUGCUACAGUGCUAUAACAGUAAUUUUGGACCUCCAAACUUUGGACACCUAAACAAGGCCUUGGUCACUUGGAGAUCCACAAAACCAUUUUGGAUUCGAAGAUUAAUUCGUGGCGCAGCUGCAGGCAUAUAUAGCAGUACUCCUUCGGCCGUCGUCUUCCUCGGGGAGGCCGCCGGGGUCGCCAUUGCUAGCAUAUGGUGUGCUCGGAGAUGCGUAUGGCUUCCACCCAGAGAUAGGAUCUCUUAUAUUAGUGCGGAGCUGCUCCUAUUCUUGACCGGCUUUGCAAGUUCUUUGCAUUGCUUCCUUCGCUGCCUCUCUAGCUUACUUCCUGUUCGUGCUACACCCUCGUAGCUUCGUCUUUGGCCGAUCUAGCUUCAUGCAUGAGUGAAUCUGAUCGGCAGAGAUCAGUAUUACUGAGCUAGAAUCGAGUUGUAUUCUUGGUGCAUCUAGCUAAGCUCCUUAAUCAGCAUAGAGCUUACAGUAUUAGGUACAAAUUAAAUUAAGAUAUGCAUGGCUACAUGCAAAUUGUACGCACUGUUAUUGAGCUUCUUCUUUGUAGCUUACUAUAACAUCACUUUUCUGACUUCUGGGUGUAGGAAAAAUUACGGCGAUGGCACUACCAGCUUCCCCAGUUCAGGAAGAACUGCAGCCGGAGAGUCAAUUGAGGAACCAUCUUGCUGCAGCCGUGAGGAGCAUCAACUGGACUUAUGCCCUCUUCUGGUCCAUUUCAAGCACUCAGCCAGGGUAAUGUGUAAUAUAGAGUCAAUAUUUGGCUGCCAGACUUGUACAACCUAAUCCAUCAUUUUGCAUGAGUAUAUUAUCUUUAUAUUCCAGCUCAUCUAUCUAUAAAUCAAAUAAAUAAAAUCAGAUCAGGUGAUGCAAUUCUAGGUUACAUACUCAUCAAAUGUUACAUACAAUUAAUUAAGGAACUUUGUUACUUUUCAGUCCCUUUUUUCAGCCACUGAACCACAGUUAGUGUCUGUUCGUUCAGAAAAACAAAAUCAGCCCGUGUUCCUCCUCUAUGUUAGAACCGGCAAAUAAAAUCCCAUGCAUAUUUCGGGGAGGUGCAAUAUUACACUUUGAGCUAAAAAAAAUGAAGGCAAAAUCACAGGAGGUUUUAUUAACAUAAAGCAGGAUUAAAGUCUACUGCUCCCGACCUAAUAUUUUUAAAAGUUAUUGUAUUUGUAAGUUAUUUAGAAAUUAAAACCUUAACUAAUAAUCAAAAUUAUUUACCUGAUACUCUCUCAUUUUUUCAAUACUUCAACAUAAUACUCAUAUAGAUGUGUACUUACCUUUAUUCAAUUGUGAUUGAUUUUUAAUUAGUAAUUACUCUAUACUUUUUCAUCCACAUUCAAACUUUUUUCAUUUGAAAAAAGUUUAUUUUACUCCCCUCACCUAUUUACUUUAUCCACUUAACCCCCUAAGCAAAUUUAGGCUCACUUUACUCCCCCAAACUAUUUCAUUUGGUCCAAUCUACCCCAUAAUUAGAUUUCUCUUUUUUGUUUCUUCGCGUAUAAAUUGAAUUUUAAUUUCAUAUUUUAUCAGUUGACUUAUAACAUGAUGCUCCAUGUUAAAAAAAAUUAUUAGAAUUUUUCAUGAUUACUUUUCGUACAUUUUUGUAUAUCUAAGAUCAAUUUUGUAUUAAAUAUUCCUAACAUAUGAAAAUAACCAUGAAAAAUUCUUAGUAUAAUUUUCUAACAUAAGACAUCAUGUUUUGUAUAUGCUCACAAAAUUUGAACUCAAAAUUCAACUCAUACACGAAGAAACAAAAAAGAGAAAUCUGAUUAAGGGGUAGAUUGGACCAAAUGAAAUAGCUCAGGGGAAUAAAGUGAGCCAAAACUUUGUUCAGGGGGUUAAGCGGAUAAAGUGGAUAGGUGAGGACAGUAAAAUGAACUUUUUCCUUUUCAUUUUGCAUCACACCUCCAUGCAUUGUGUUUAGCAUAAAAAUUAAUAUUUUUCAUCACUUUCUCACAUACAUACAUAAAUACAUACAUAAAUGGUCUACAUGGUGACACUCAUCAUGCAUAUAAUUUAACUUAGUAUUUCUAUACUAACAAUGACAUAAAUAGAUAAUUUAGGAUCAUAUAUUAGUUUACUUUUGGAUAUUUCUGUAUGAUGCACAUGAAGAUAAUUAGAUUAAAAUUUAGGUAUUUACUUUAUGUUAUUUUUAAUAAUAACAUACAUGGGUAACUUAGAUACAUAUUUAAUAAUGAUGCACAAGUAAAUUGGAUGAAGAUUAUGGGACUAUUUUAGAUUACCUUUUAUAAUGGCUGAGCUUGGUAAUUUACAUAUAGAUUUAUAUUUUAUUUUAGAAUAUUUUUAUAAUGACAGUGGUGGGUAACUUUUUAUAAAAUAUAAUAGACCAGUAACUAUAAUUAUUAUAGUUUACAUGAUUGAUGUUUGAUAAUUCUGAUUUUUUGUGAGAAUUUUUAAGAUUUAUCUUCUUUUCUAGCGUGUCUCUUGAGUACUAAUGUGGAGUCUCCAAUGAAAAAAAACAGGCCACAUUGCUACAAAAUUAUUACCUUGAAGUACCUCUCAUUUGUUAAAUAAUCGAACACAAUACUUAUAUAGAUAUGUACUUAUUAUCUUCGUUCAUUGUGAUAGAUUUUUUAGUUAGUAAUUACUUUAUAACGUUUUCAUCCACAUUUACAAUUUUUAACUUUUUUCACUUUGCAUCACAGGUAUGAUCUUGAAUUUGUUUAAUGGAUCCUAAGUUUGAGCUAUACUUUUAACAUAGAAUCUAUAUUCUCAUCACUUCCUCUAUAUCUUUAUAAAUGGUGACACACAUCAUGUGUAUAUACCUUAAUUAUUAUAUCAUAUACUAAUAGUGUAAGAAAUAGACGAUUUAGAAUCAUAUAUUGGUAUAUAUUUUUAAUUAAGGUGAUUUGGGUUCAAAUGUAGGGUUAUCUCAUGUUAGUUUUAAUAAUGUCAUAUGUAGGUAAUGUAGAUGAACAUUUAGGGGGUUACUUUAAGUUAUUUUUAAGUUUUAGUGGUGGGAAAUUUAGUUGCAAAUUUUGGAGGUUAUUUUAAGUAUUGUUUAUAAUGGCAGAAGUGGGUAAUUUUGAUGAAGAUUAGGGGUUACUUUAGUUUAUUUUAUAUAGUGGCAAAUGUGGGUAAUUUAGAUAUAGAUUUAAGGGGUUACUUUAGGUUAUUUUCAUAAUGGCAUAGGUGGGCAAUUUUUUUAGAAAACAUAAUAAAUCCAAUGGCUAUGAUUAUUUGAGUCUACCAAUCAAUGGCGAGAUGUUUUGGUUUUUUUUGAGAAUUUCUAGAAUUUCUAUAUUUUUCUAAAGUUUCCACUUAGAAUCCUAGGUGGCUUCACCUUCAGGCUUCAAAAGGAGCCUCCUAAGAUGGCUAAAGUGUUUCUAAGAAAAUUCAUUGGAGCUAAAAGUAUAUGUGCAAAGCGUUUAGACAUAAAGGUUAACAAAUUGUACUAUGCAAGCAAAGAAAAACUAGCAAAAACCAUCCAUAAUUAUGCCUUUCAAGAAUUAAUUUUUAUUUUACUUAAUUCAUCCUAACUAAUAUUGAUUAUGAUCUUCUUUGGGAAAAAACUACUGUAAUUGAUAUUCAGGGUCAAUCAACAAAAUGAUUUUUAAAACACAAUACGAACACAUAAGCAUAUAGUCACAUAGUCUCUCUAAACCCUAAACACGCCCAUCACACGUAACGUAAGCGCACACUCACACCAUUGGCAGCAUAACAAAAGUGAGCGUAGACUCUUGUUUUGUAUUAUGAGUUUGAUCUCGCAUGAGCAGGUGUGCAACCAAUUCCAUCAAUUAACCAUCCAAUCAAGCAACGUUGGUUGGUUGAAGUACAUAUGAGCUCGUGAAGUAUCAUUUAUGGUUUUGUUUUAAAUCUAGCAAAAAUAUUGUAAUACAAAGAGGAUGUGGUAGAAUAUAAAUUAAAUAUCCGUCACGUCUUCAUAACUCGUAAAUACUAAAGAAACUUAUGUUGUGUAGUAUGAUCGUAAAAGUUGACAGCUACAUCUCGCAUUAGAGUUCUUUCUCACUAAAAAAAAAUGUUCUCUCCUGUCGCGGAAUCAAGUCAAGGAAAAAAAUUAUGGUUGCAGAUUCCUAACGUGGACGGAUGGGUUCUACAACGGCGAGGUGAAGACGAGGAAGAUCGUCAACUCUGCGGAGCUGACCGCCGACCAGCUCGUCAUGCAGCGAAGCGAGCAGCUGCGGGAGCUCUACGAGGCCCUCCUCUCCGGCGAGUGCGACCGCCGGGCGGCGCGGCCGGUCGCCUCGCUGUCGCCGGAGGACCUCGGCGACACCGAAUUGUACUACGUGGUCUGCAUGACCUACGCCUUCCGGCCAGGCCAAGGGUACUUGUUACGUAAUCAAUUACUGAGCAUAGCUGAUGUCCCCUUCACAUAAUCACAUUUCAUUUUUGGUCGCCAUGGCUUGUUUCGGUGCUUGCCAUUCGCGUGCGUGCGGCCACAGGUUGCCGGGAAGGAGCUUUGCUAGCAACGAACGUGUCUGGAUGUGGAACUCUCACCUCGCCGACAGCAAAGCCUUCCCCCGCGCGCUCCUGGCGAAGGUAUGUCAAGUUCUGACGGGGAGGAAAGGCCGAUCUGCAUUAAUUCUCCAUUUCCAUCCGUUAUCUUCCAUUCAUGUUCUUGAUUAACCGCUUGCAAUCUUUGUUGGCUUAUCAUGAACUCCAUGCUACCUCUGCAUGUGACCUUGCCGACCGGUUCAAGCAGAGCACGUCCAUUCAGGUAAGCGCUUCAUGCUUCAUUUUGACGUAAGCACUAAGCAGUGCACUUUCAGAAUGUUUUUCUGAAUAUAACUUCAUCCUGGAUCGUUUUUUCUUUUGUAGACAAUCGUCUGCAUCCCGCUCAUGAGCGGCGUGCUUGAGCUGGGGACAACUGAUGCGGUAUGCUCAAUGGUCAAGUUAACACUGUCUGAACAAAUUAAUUGUUGAAUCGAGAAUAAAAUAUAACCUCAGCUCCUGACGGAGUUUAUUCUUUUCAGCAUUUUGCAUUUUCCUGAAGAUCAACUAUAUAUAUAUAUAUAUAUAUAUAUAUAUAUAUAUAUAUAUAUGCAUCAGUAUUAUCUGAAAAAUGGGUAUAUGCAUCAGUAUUUAUUAAUCAUUUAACCAAACUUGGUGCUAUUGCCAGGUGGUGGAGGAUCCAAGCUUGGUCAGCCGAGCCACUGCAUCUUUCUGCGAGAUGCAGUUUCCGGCAUGCUCGCAGGAGCCGAGCUCCAGCCCGUCAGCAAACGAAACCGGCAAGCCCGCCGACAUUAUCGUGUUCGAGGACCUCGAUCACAUUGCCAUGGAAGCGAUGAUCGCCGGCGGACAGGAGCUAGGCGAAGCGGAGAGCCUGUCAGAUGGAAGCCUCGAGCAAAUCACCAAGGAGAUCGACGAAUUCUACAGCCUCUGCGAGGAAAUGGACGUGCAGCCACUCGAGGAUACCUGGAUCAUGGACGGGUCUUUCGAAGUCCCCUCUUCGCAGCAGCCGGCGCCGGGGCCUGCUACUACUAACGCCGCCGCCACCUCAAGCGCUCUCGUUGACGGCUCUCGCGCGACGAGCUUUACGGCCUGGGCGAGGCCGGAGUCGGACUCCAAUGAAGUGGCUGUGCCGGUCGUCGAAGAGCCACAGAAGCUGCUGAAGAAAGCGGUGGCCGGCGGAGCUUGGGCGGCGAACAAUGGCGGCGGCGGCACGACGAGAAUGGCCCAAGAAAGUGGCGUCAAGAACCACGUCAUGUCGGAGAGGAAGCGCCGGGAGAAGCUCAACGAGAUGUUCCUCGUUCUCAAGUCAUUGGUUCCCUCCAUUCACAAGGUAAUAGCGCACACAUUUUUCGGUGUACCGUGUACGUUCACUUGCAUGUAAUCCUUGCAUUCUGAACUUUCUGAUACAUUUUGAACUUUUUUGAAUGUGUUGCAGGUGGACAAAGCAUCGAUCCUUGCCGAAACGAUAGCGUACCUCAAGGAGCUUCAACGAAGGGUACAAGAGCUAGAAUCCAGCAGGGAACCCAUAAUCUCGCGCCCAUCCGAAACAACGAGGGCAACAAGGCGCCAUGACGAUGAGGCCGUCAGGAAGAAAGUCUGUGCCGCGGGCUCCAAGAGGAAGGGCUCGGAGCUCGGCGGUGACGUGGAGAGGGAGCACCACCCACGGGCCCUCUCCAAGGACAGCACCAGCAACGUCACCGUCACCGUCUCGGACAAGGAGGUGCUCGUGGAGGUGCAGUGCCGGUGGGAAGAGCUUCUGAUGACGCGAGUGUUCGACGCCAUCAAGAGCCUGCAACUGGACGUUCUCUCGGUUCAGGCAUCGGCACCGGAUGGGUUCAUGGGGCUGAAGAUACGGGCUCAGGUAUCACCGGAUCAUUAAGACAUGGGAAUUGCAAUGCAAUGUAGUAGGUUCUGGUUAGCAGUUAGCUCUCCAUUAGUUUGUUGGUUCGAGUUUUGUUUUACUGAUGCUGCUGUUUCUGUUGAGUUUCUGCAGUUUGCCGGCUCAGCUGCCGUUGUGCCGUGGAUGAUCAGCGAGGCCCUCCGUAAAGCUAUAGGGAAGCGAUGAGGGGCAGCUCAAGUUCUAUAUCGAUGUACAUAGAAGUUCCAUGAACACGUUCCUUGUGAAUCCUAUUUUUGCAAAUGGGGUGCACUCAUUUCAUAUUUUUUUUUGAACAAUCACCUUAUGAACAUGUGUGCUACACUAUGAGCAACUCGGCGAGAUUAUCCCGACAGUUCUUAAGAUUGACAAAAUCACCACAACCGCCUAGCUAUCAAUGAGUAUGUCACUUACCCCUGAGCGUAUUGCCUACCCUGAAAGAAUUUUUUGAAAAUAACCUACCCUGAAAGAAUAAAUAUCUUAGAAUACAAGCAUCCCUAUUGAAUCGGAAACUCUCGGAACACAAGUGGAUAGGUUACUCCACCAAGCAAAACUAGGACCAAGCCCUUCCUUCGCGAUCUUGGAUGGGUAUGCUUUAUGCAGUGCACGGUACAAUGGCAACCAUUGAGUUGCAUGCACCAAUCAGUUCAAUUCAAAAGCUUAAGCUAAUAGGAAAAUGUAGACAAUUCACUUAUACUCCAACAGCGACUGUCCCUCCUGUUUUGUCCUUUUUCCAUCAUGCCAUACGAUGUUGAUCGACCAUUACAUGGAUCACACCAUUGCUUGACACAUGAUGCGGUGCUCGGUUCAACCCUGAGCCUCUCUUUCUCAGGAAAAUUUACCAAAGCUGCCUAGAGGCACUCUCAAGGAUCAACUGACUUGCAUCUAUGGCCACGAAACCUGAAUAAACCAUGCUUGAAGGCUGGAGCAGUACAGGAAAAAAAAUCUUAUAUGGUUGGUAUUGCUGCAACUGCAAUGAUAGUACUAGUACAGCAUCAUUCUUUGGUAUGAUUAUUUCCAAAAUAUUAGGAGAUAAAUAGGACACAAAAAAUGUUGGUAUGUUGUUGGAUAAAGAAACUAGAAAAGUUUUAUCUUCUUUGCCAUGUGGUUCAAUGGAAGCAUUGGAAGGUAUGGCCACACGUGCAAGUUUCUGUUCUUUGAGUCGUCUCUAUUUCAAACUUUGAACAUCCUCUUGAACCAAUUGUUGUUGUUCAGCAUUUCAGAGUACAUUGAGGCCUCAUAGUUUUUGCCAUCUUUUUGGAGCUCUGAUUGUGUAUUUCCCCCCUCUUUGAGCAGCAGCGUAUGUGAUGGCACCGGAGGCUAUUCGAAUGAACGACGAGUUGAAGCAAAAUCCGGUGGAAAGAAGAUCUGGUGUAAGGAGAUCACUGAGGAGUCCUGCGAGCAGGUUAAGUCUGCAGGUAUGUUAGCUGAGGUUACUCUGCCCUGAUUUGAUGCUUCUCUUGGCUUUGCACUAGUUCCUCAGUCGUUUAGGGAAAUUGAUAAAUUGGCAUCAGCUGACUGCAUCAUCUUUUGCUACUUCGCUGCUUUGAACUCUAGCAAUGUGAAAAGGAUGGGUAUCUAAUGAACCUCAAAUUUUGAGGUGUGUGUUGAAUUCUAGUGAGGUCAUGUGAGCGUCUAGUUGGGAUUUGCACAGAUGAGCCUGCUUAUACAGUUAUACUCAAAACAUUUAUACAUAUAAAAGAGAAGAAAGGAAGAAAUACAGUUUUGCCCCUUUUCACGCUGCAAAUAUGUACUUGUUAGGCCUGACCUGGCAUAUACUCCAUUAGGCCAGUCUGCAUAGUUUCAUUGCACUGUGCCAGUUGAGUGUCAUGGGGAUGAAACUUCUCCCUCUCCUGAUGAAACUCCCCUCAUAAUGACCUUGCUAAGUCAGCAAUUUUGCUGAUGUGGCAACAAAUUUAAUGCUCAUGAAACCCCUAUGAAACUUCCAUUGAGACUGGCCUUAAGAGAAAACAGAAGGAACACAUUUACUUCACUUUUUUGAAGCGGCUUAAUUUUUUUUUUUUGAAGCGGCCACAUUAACUUCAUUAUUGGUGAACUGAAGGGUAUUAUUGUAGUGGCUUCCACGCCUAUUACACAACAUAGAUGAAACCGAGAGAACACAGCUUCCUGCUUCCAUGCACAGAUGCAUGAUGAAUGCAUUGGCUCCUAAACUCAGAUGGAUAUGCUAUUGGGGAUGCCCUUGGCAGUGAUGCCAGCGGCGUCGCCCUUCUUGUCGGAGGUGUUGGGGUAGAGCAGAGUGUAGGGGAACUUGGCCGGGCCGUUGCGGUUCUUGAGCCGCGGAUCGGCGUUCAUGGUCAUCGCACGUUUCUCUAUCUCCGUGAGCCGCGCUCCGAACCGCUUGAACGCCUCCUGCGCCUUGGCAUCCGACGUCCACUCCGGCGUGUCGCGCUGGCCCAGGUACACCUCGUCGGAGGAGUGGCUGGACAGGAUCUCCAGCAGCGAGAUGCCGACGAGGGCCUGGAACUGGCUCGUGAUGGUGCGCACGAACACCUUCUCCGGGUUGCGCUCCAGCUCCGCGUACUCCUCCGUGCCUGGCACCGGCAUCGGCUUCCGGCUAACCGACGGCCGGUUCGGGAGGUACCCCGCGUAUGGGUACUGCCCGAAGUUGACGGCGGCGUGGAGCGCCGACGCGAUCCAGAUGAUGGUGGCGCAGGCUUUGGCCAGCUCCGCCACCGUCUGCAUCUUGGGCCACCAGGAAGCGUCCUUGAUGUCGGCGUGCCCGACCUCACGCACCUCCUUCCACCAUGCCUGCAGCUCGACGUCGGCAUGGAGCACGCCGUCGUUGGGGUAGUAGAUGGCCAGGUACUCCGUCACCCACUGCUCGAUGGCGUGCCAGAUCGCCAGCCCGUCGGACGCGUACGGGUAGUCCUCAAUCAGAAGCCGCACCUUGUACCGGCUCGAUGGGUCGGCCACCGCCAUGCCUCUGCAGCAUUGCACAUUUGCAACUGAUCAUCCUGCUUUGAACUCGUUUUGAAAUUAUGCGUUGGUGUUGAUGCCAACGUGCCAGGAGGACUAACCUCUUGAUUAGGUCGUCGGGGAGAGCCUGCUCGGUGAAGUUCCAGUUCUUAUAGAUGACGGAGGACAUCUCGAAGGUGUAUUUGCGGGGGAAGACAGUCGUCUCGAAGAUGCCGCCGGCGUUGACGAGCAUCUGGCGCGCGUUGGAGUUGAUGUUCAUGGUGUCGCGGUAGUGGGGCAGCAGCAGCUUGUGCACGGGGUGCGCCACGCUGAGCUGCCGGUUGGUGGCGAUGACGAAGGGCUCCAUCACGGCGUGGGUGUUGAGCCAGUGGCUGAUCAGCUGGUGCCAGCAGUAGUCGUUCACGUUGGCGUAGGCUUUGGCGAGGUGCCACACCCACGCCUCGGCGCCGGUCGUCGACGUGGGCGUGUACACCGUGCUCUUCGCGGUGGUCAGGCCGUCCUUAAGCUCGGGUAGGCUCAGCUCGAUGGCCACCGGCGCGAGCGUGCCGUCGGAGCGCAGGAACAGUAGGGUCCUCGUUGCGUAGAUGAAGUUGCCGUUUAGGCUGUUGAAUUUGAGCAGGAAUGGCAUGAAGUUGUCGUGGUGAUCCAGGAUGUAGAGCCGGUUGCCGUCGAGCGCCUGCUGCACGGUGAGGCCCUCGAGGUUCCUCUCGAUGUGCGCCGCCGUGAUGGUGCUCGUGUGGUCGCCGUACUUGCUCGGGUCAAGAGUGCUUCUCGGAGGGAAUUCCUGAUGAACACGCAAAGAAUUAGGGAAGCCAUAUUCAAGCCUCAAGGUCCAUGGGUCUGGAUCUAUUGUUCACUUACGGUGAGACGUCUGAUGAGCAUGGGGUUGACGCCGGCGAGAAUCUCCCGUCCAAACUCCUCGUCGGUCAUCCAAGCUGUCUUGUCCUCUGCAUAGCCACAAUGAUCGAGAUGAACGGUGCCGCGUUUGCACGCAGAGAUGGACGGUGCUUAGCUCAGCUGCUGCGAACAAACUUUACCUUUAAUGAUUUGCGGCAUGGGGAGCUUGAGGAGGUAGUCGCCGCCGACGGGGAGGACAUCCUUGACGAGCUGGAGCGGGAACUGCUUCCGCAGCUCCUCGAGGGCAGGGAUCUCGGGCAGUUUGAUUCCGCCCUCGUAGAGCCUGAUGAUGUCCCCGAAGGAGUCGAACUCGCCGGGCGAGAGGUCCACGUAGGUGCGAAUGGCAGGCACGACGGCGUUCACCAGCGCCUUGAUCGCGUAGCCGUAGAAGUCCGACUUCUUGAUGUGCCCGAACCGCUCGUCGCGCGGCACGUAGAUGUCGCCCUCGACCAGCGUCAGCCUGCUCUCGCAGCUGGGGUCUGCGUCGUCCAAGUGCCAAGUUAAAAUAUUUGCCUGCAUCCGUAGGCUGAAACGGGGAAAACAAAAGGGGGACACGGGAUCGGAGACGAACCGGAUUUGGUGGGCUCCCGGCCGGUGCGGCAGCGACGCGGGUAGGGGAGGUCCCCGGAGCCGCCGAGGGUGGGGCGCGGGUUGCCGGAGUCGGGCAGGCCGAGGUCGUUGUAGACGUCGUAGCGGUAGACGCGGUCGUGUUCCUGGUACGGGCCCUGCUGGUCGUCGCCCCGGAGGUUCCGGAGCUCGUCGUCGCGGUAGGGCUUGAGCGCCGCCGGCAUCUGGCUCGGCAGGUACGUCUGCAAUAAUGCAAUGCAUUCCCCGACCGUGUCAGUAGAAAAAAACCGAUGAGUUGAGUUGGCGACUCACGUCGGAGAGUUGAAGCAUCAUCCAUCACUGACGUCGUUGGCGAAGAAGACGCGGCUGUAGCGGUACUUGGACUGCGGGUAGACCCAUGAGUUGGCGACGAAGACGAUGGUGCCGCGGCCGGGGACGUCGUCGAGGGUGAUGGUCUUGAGGAAGAACUCGGAGGCGUGGUUGUUCUUUACGAUGAUGGCGCCCGGCACGCCCAGCUUCUCCACCUCCCACUCGAACGUCACGCCGAACUUGGACUCGCUGGACGUCAGCGACGGCAGGGACGUCAGCCACUGCUCCAGGCUCGCCUCCGCGCACACCUUGCCGCGGUUGCCGUUGUCUGCGCAUUCGCCGGCCGCCAGUUCGGGUCAGCGUCACGCAACGCACGCAUUCGAUGCAAGCAGCUAACCCAUGUGUAAAAUCAAAAUGAAACCAAGAGAAUGCUCACUUGGGUCGACGACGGUGGAGCUGAUGAGCUGGCAGGUGACGCCGCGGCCGAGGAACUCGCCGAUGUUGUCGAUGACGGUGGCGCCCAUGCUGGUGACGUCAAAGCCGAGGACGCUCUUGCGCAUGAGCACCACCGAGCCGUUGAGCCGGCCAUUCUUGUUCCCGGUCAGACCCCCGAUGAUCCCUCCGAACAUCUUCGCUUCACCUAGUGCCUAGCUGCUAGCCUGCUACUACGUUGCUUAGCACAGAUUGCAGUUGCAGGCUUUGCUUGCUGUUCGUGUUGUGUGAGAGACCUGCGUAGCUGCAGGCUACUUAUAGAGUUGGAGGGUGAGCUGAAUGCCUGAAUUCAUGGAGUGAAGUUUAUGAUAAUCAGAUCAAAUCUCCAUUUAGGAUAAGAUAAUGGCAUCUACUGACCUGCCAGUUCGUGUUGCACGCGCUGCAUGGGCUCAAAAUUAUAUUCAACUCCAAAAUUAUUGAUCAAUUGUCAGAGAUGGCACAUUAUGAUUUCCUUAAAGAAUUAGAAUUGCGCCAAAAAUGUGGCGCGCACGCAGGGGUGGGCUCAUAUCGCACGUCUAUAAAUAAUUUUGUUCACACUUGAGUUACAAACUUGAGGUGUACCUAAAUUUGACACUGGAGUUACCAACUUUUCCUCCAGUAAACACCGUACCGUGCAGAAUUUUACUGGUUUAUUCGAGGAAGUAUCAUGGCACCUUUGCACAAAAUUUUCCCAACUAAGUAUAUCUUCAUUUGUGAUGCCAUAUGUAUAGACCUAUUAUAGAGAGAAUCUAGUUUGCAUGGUGAUAGAUCUUCUGCUGGUGACCAAAUCAUUUUAUUGUAUUGUAUCGAUCAGGCUGUUACACUCGACCAACAACAUUCUAUUUUAAAUCCUAGCCAACUUAGCCAUGGAUCCAAAGCAAGGCCUAGGAUCAUUUUAUUCACUGGCUCGUGUAAGCUAAAAAUGAUGUUCACAGAGUAAGUUUGUUGCGCAAGUUCUUUUCCAUAGAUAAAGCUCUCAUGAUAUGCAAGAGGCGCAAAAUUAAAGAAGAUGAAGGCUUAAUUAGCUUGUGCUAUAUAUUUAGUGACUUUAUCGUUCAUAUGUACUUCUACGUACUACAAGAAUCUACAUCUUUCCCAAUAGUUUUUUUGAAGUAGCCAGCAGUAUUAGCACUAUUAGUAUUUUUUUUUCUUAAGUGGCCAGCAGGGUUUGUAGUAUAAUUUUACAUCUUUCCCUACAGUUUUUGCAACUACCUACAAUAUAAUCUCCACAAACUCAUUACCCACAUUUUUCUUAGCUAGUGAAUCAAAUGUACUAUCACUGUUGGCCGCUUAUGCAAAGACACCAUUGGGGAAAACUACAAGUCUUGUAGUGUAUGUCCUAGUAAGUGUUAUUCAAGAGAGACCAUUUUUCAUUUUUUUUUGGAAAAACGUAUAUUCUUCAGAUUAGGCCUUGAUCUACAUAGGAAGCUGUGCAAGUGUGGAAUGGUCGCAUUUUCCAGGGCAAUCCAGGACAAACUGAAUAAUUUUUUCACCAUCGUUGUAAGUGCAAAAGGAGACCUAAGCUUCAAAUAAUAGAUGGGUGAACAGAAAGAAUGCUAAGUGUGUCCAAAAUGGACAUGUCAAUGCGAGCAGCACAUAUAUUGGACGGGCUGGUUAGCAAGGUUAGGUACAUUGGGUGCCUCAAAAUUUAGCUGAUGUGGAAUCGUAGUACAAAGUAUAAGCUGUGGCUGUCUGGCACUGGCAUAUUUGUCCACUACAGAAAUUGGAAGGGUCAUAUGCAUGGCAGCGUCUUCUCCACCUAACGCCGCAUGCUUAUAAAACAUGCAAAGCGUUGUACUAGGAGAUAAGAUUCGUGCAUCAUGACAUCAUAUUCUAGUGCUAGCCGGGCUUGAAGCUCUCCAGAUCGUCUGGGCGGAAAUAAUGGAUGGCCGAGUGGGUCUUGAUUACAUGCUGAAUAUAAUCCAGGGUUUAGACCGAUGCAAUCAUGAAUGAUCACAGGCAAAUACUAACAGCGGAUCAAAGCACACCUGCACGUACGCUUGCAGCGCGGCGCCCGGCUAGUUUUGAUUUCCAAAUAUAUCUCGUCUUCCACCUCGAAAUCAGCUGGUGUGGAGAUAUAUCGAGAGUUUGGCCUGGAUCAGAGCAGUACAGUUGACUGCAGAAAAGGAUGAACUGCAAAAUUGGAUUAGCGAAUCCUGGUUCCUUUUUUUUAUUUUUUUUUGCAUGGCAGGCUAGCAGCUGAGCUUUGCCAUUUCCCCAUGCGACGCACGCGAGUUGGUGGUUGGAACUUGGAACACGGGGACGUGCAUUGAAGUCAGCCAAGUCCAUGUUCCCAUGUGUACGUGGAAGUGUUUUUCCUUUUUCGUGCAUGUAUAAUUUUCAAAGUUUGACAUAUAGUUUGAAAGGCUGCUAACCGCGCUUGCCACGCGGUGUACAUGUAUAAUUUUCGUUUCCAUGUCCUACCGCGUUAAAUCUUACUAAUUGAUUUUGAAGCUUUCAAUUGAAGCCACCUAGGAUUACUAGGUGGACACUCUAAAGAUAAGAGAGAAAUUCUAGAAAUUCUUGUAAAAAAGCAAAAUAUCUGGACAUCAAUUGGUAGACUCAAAUCAUUCGUAGCCAUUGAAUCUAUUGUGUUUUCUAAAAAAUUACCCACCAAUGCCAUUAUGAAAAUAGUCUAAAGUAACCCCCUAAAUCUAUAUCUAAAUUACUCACCUCUGCCAUUAUAUAAAAUUAACUAAAGUAACCCCUAAUCUUCAUCAAAAUUACCCACUUAUACCAUUAUAAAUAAUAUUUAAAAUAACUCCCUAAAUUUGCAACUAAAUUGCGCACCACUAAUACUUAAAAAACUUAAAGUAAUCCCUUAAAUUUACAUUUACAUUACCCAUGUAUACUAUUAUUAAAAAAAUAACAUAAGGUAACCCUACAUUUGAAUCCAAAUCACCUUAAUUAAAAUACACAGCAAUAUAUGAUUAUAAAUCGUCUAUUUCUUACACUAUUGGUAUAUGAUAUAAUAAUUAAGAUAUAUAUGUAUGAUGUGUGUCACUAUUUAUAAAUAUAUAGAGGAAGUGAUGAGAAUAUAGAUUUCUAUGUUAAAAUUAUAGCUUAAAAUUAGUGAUUUGACUAAGCAUUUUUUAUCUUAGGCGAACGAUGGGUUAUCGGGUUCAUUAAACAAAUUCCAAGUGCAUACAUGCGAUGUAAAGUGAAAAAUUAAAGAUUAUAAAUGUGGAUAAAAAUAUUAUAGAGUAAUUACUAACUAAAAUAUGUCACAAUCAGAUAAAAUAAUAAGUAUAUAUCUACAAAAGUAUCGCAUUCAAAUAUUUAACAAAUGAGAGGUAGCUCAACGUAAUAGUUUUAUAGAGAUGUGGUCUCAUUUUUUUCCAUUAGAGACUCCACAUUAGUUCCCACAAGACAUGCUAGAAAAAAAAGACAAAUCCUAUAAAUUCUCACAAAAAUAAAAAAACAUCAAUCUCGUAAACUAUAAUAAUCAUAGUCAUUGUUCUAUUAUAUUUUCUAAAAAUUUACCCACCACUAUUAUUAUGAAAAUAUUCAAAAUAAACUCCAAACCUAUAUUUAAAUUAUCGAGCUCGGUCAUUAUAAAAAAUAAUCUAAAAUAACCCCAUAAUUUUCAUUCAAUUUACUCAUACAUAUCAUUAAUAAAGCAUAACAUAAAAUGUCGUUGUAAUUUGUAUCUUAGGUACCCACGUAUGUCAUUAUUAAAAAUAACCUAAAGUAAACACCUAAACCUUAAUCAAAUUAUCUUCAUGUGCAUAAUACAGAAAUGUGCAAAAGUAAACUAAUAUAUGAUUCUAAAUUACUUAUUUAUGUCAUUGUGAAUAUAGAAAUACUAAGUUAAAGUAUAUACACAUGAUGAGUGUCACCAUUUAGACCAUUUAUACAUGUAUGUGAGGAAUUGAUGAAAAAUAUUAAUUUUUAUGCUAAACAUAAUGUAUAGAGGUGCGAUACAAAAUGAAAAAAGUGUGAAUGUGAAUGAAAAGUGUAUAGAACAAUUACUAAUUAAAAAUUAAUCGCAACUGGGCAAAGAUAAGUACAUAUCUAUAUGAGUAUUAUGUUGAAGUAUUGAAAAAAUGAGACUGUAGUAGGUAAAUAAUUUUGAUUAUUAGUUAUGCGUUUAAUUUUUAAAUACAAUAGCUCUUAAAAUAUUAGUCCGUGCGGGAGCAGGGGUUGAUGGACUAGUAGUAGAAUAAGUUGGAGUUGGAGCUGAUUUGAAAGAGCCGUGUGGAUGCUUAAUUAAUAUAUUGUCUGUGGCUUAUGAAUGUCAGUUAUCCGAGCACCUAAAUAAUUUCAAAUAAAAAAUCUAACACGUUAAAGUUGUGGUUCUCAACCACUGUUUUGGAACUAAAUUUCUCCAACUACAGUUUUUAUGUAAAGACCAUCUUCAUCCGAUUUUGUAGGUAAAGAGGCUUGUCAAGUCAUGGAUUAACUUUAAGUGGCCGGACAAGCUUACCAUAUGAAUUAUAUGUUGGUAGAUUUCUCAGGGUCGUGCUAACCAGUGCGCGCCAGUAGUGCUUCCAACCAACGAUUCCCAACAGCCCACUCCGCUCCCUCCGAACUUUCCUUUUUCGGAAACUUUAAUUCCCGCAACUUUCUAUUUUUUGAAUACCACAACUUAUACACAUAACUUCGACACAUAAUUUCAUACUAACAAUUAGUUAUAAGAUAAUUUUUUAGCAUAACUUUGAUACAUGCAAAACUUAUGCGUACCAUUUCUACGUCCAAUUUCUAAUGGACAACUUCGAAUUUUAUUUUUAAAAAUUAUAACUUAUACACACGAUUUAUACAUUUAAUUCUUUAUUGACAAUAAUUUAUGUGAUAAAUUUUGUAGUAUAACUUUUAUGAUAUACAUAACUUAUACGCAUAACAUUUGCCAUGACUUUACGAGAAUGUUGUUAAGGAAUUUAUGCACAUAAUUUAUAUGCAAACAAUAUUUACUUCAAUACAAAAUAGUAUGGAAAAAAUAAUUGAAUCGAAAAAAAUUGAAAAAGAAAAAAAACGCUGGCGUGGUGCUUAGUAGCACCACGGAGGCCACCCCCGCCGCUAGCUGACUCACCUUGCGUGCUAGGAAGUGUGCUGACGCGCGAGGGUGGGAUCAGCUUUGCGGAUUUCUCGUGCGCUCUAUGGUGGCACAACUUAUUACAGUAAUGCAUGAUGUAGAAUGUUCUUAUCGUGCCAAGCAACCUAGCAUAGUCAAAAGAGUCAUUUUUUACUAAUAUAGUCUUAAACAGGCUAAUAAUAAAAUACUUAUUUACUUCAUCUAUUCUCUUUUGAUAGGCAUAUUUUACCUUCACACAAUAACUAAGAAAAAUAACUCUACUUAUCAUCCAAUUAAUGCAAAUAAGGCUCACCACAUUAGUUCUCCACUGUUUUUGCUUGGAUGAAUCCUUGUUGCAGAUGCUUGUUUCAGCCCACGCCAUAGUUUGUAUGACUACCUAUUAUUUCUGAAAAUCUAAUUUUGGAAACCUCUACUUGCUUGCAUAUAUGUAGUAUACGGUUUUCUUUUUGGUGAGGGUGUGGAAUAAACGAUUCAGAAUUCCCUGCUUGAAAUUCUCACCGGCCAUAGUUUUUUUUUCUGCCCACUCCUCACAUUGCAAGGCAUGAAAGCAAACACCAAAUGACCAGGAUAUAUAUUCGCUUCAUUAUUGGGAUACCUUACAAUUACAAAGCAAUGCAAGUACAUCAUUGGUACACGCCCAAGGCUACAAAUCCUUUAUUGUCACACCACUCCACACACUUCUCAUGGAUGAAAUGAAACAGAAUAUAACGGGAAUCACCCACCGCUACUUCCUCGUUGAAUAUUGUUAUCCUCAGCCGAUCCAUCAGAUGGAGAUGCUGUUGGGGAUGCCCCUGGCGGUGACGCCGGCGUUCUCGCGGUCGGAGACGUUGGGGGAGAGCAGCGUGUACGGGAACUUUGCCGGGCUGUUGCGGUUCUUGAGCCGGGGGUCCGCGUUCAUGGCCUCCACGCGCUUCUCGAUCUCGGCCAGCCGCGCGCCGAACCUCUUGAACGCCUCCUGCGCCCUGGCGUCCGACGUCCACCCCGGCGUGUCCCGCUGGCCGAGGUACACCUCGUCGGAGGAGUGGCUGGACAGGAUCUCCAGCAGCGAGAUCCCCACCACGGCCUGGAACUGGCAGGUGAUGGAGCGCACGAAGAACCUCUCCGGGUCGCGCUCCAGCUCCGCGUACUCCUCCGUGCCCGGCGCCGGCAUCGGCCUCCGGCUAACCGACGGCCGGUUCGGGUGGUACCCGCAGUAGGGGUACUGCCCGAAGUUGACGGCGGCGUGCAGCGCCGACGCGAUCCAUAUGAUGGUGGCGCAGGCCCUGGUCAGCUCCGCCACCGUCGUCAUCCUCGGCCACCACGGCUCGUCCUUGAGGUCGGCGUGCCCAACCUCGCGCGCCUCCUUCCACCACGCCUGCAGCUCGGCGUCGGCCUGGAGCACGCCGUCGUCGGGGUAGUAGAUGGCCAGGUACUCAGCCACCCACUGCUCGAUGGCGUGCCAGAUCGCCAGCCCGUCCGACGCGUACGGGUAGUCCUCGAUCAGCAGCCGCACCUUGUACGGGCUCGAGGGAUCCUCGACGGCCAUGCCUCUCUUGACGAGGUCGUUGGGGAGGGCCUGGUCGGCGAAGCUCCAGCUCCCGUAGACCUUGGAGGAGAUCUCGAUCGCGUACUUGCGAGGGAAGACGGUCAUCUCGAAGAUGCCGCCGGCGUUGAUGAGCUUCUGGCGCGCGAGGGCGUUGAUGUUCAUGGUGUCGCGGUAGUGCGGGAGGAGCAGCUUGUGCACGGGGUGCGUCACGCUGAGCUGCCGGUUGGUGGCGAUGAUGAAGGGCUCCAUCACGGCGUGGGUGUUGAGCCAGUGGCUGAUGCCCUGGUGCCAGCAGUAGUCGUUCACGUUCACGUAGGCCUUGGCGAGGUGCCACACCCACGCCUCGGCGCCGGUGGUGGACGUGGGCGUGUACACAGUGCUCUUGGCGGCGGUGAUGCCGUCGCGGAGCUCAGGGAGGCUGAGCUCGAUGGCCACCGGCGCCAGCGUGCCGUCGCCGCGGAGGAACAGCAGCGUCCGGGUGGCGUAGAUGAAGUUGUCGUCCAGGUUGUUGAUCUCGACCAGGAACGGCAUGUAGUGGUCGUGGUGGUCAACUACGUACAGCCGGUUGCUCUCCAGCGCCUGCUGCACGGUCAGGCCCUCCAGGUUCCUCUCGAUGUGCGCCGCCGUGAUGGUGCUCGUAUGGUCGCCGUACUUGCUCGGGUCCAGCGUGCUUUUCGGAGGGAACUCCUGCAUCGAUGACACAGAAACAGUAUUUAUUAAUUAUUGUUACUCCAAUUGGCCGAGACAUUCUCGAGGCCGUGCUCGAUCGAUUAACUGCCCGUCGUUCACAACUCACCGUGAGACGCUUGAUGAUCAUGGGGUUCACGCCGGCGAGUAUCUCCCUGGCGAACUCAUCAUCGCUCAUCCAAGCUUUCUUGUCCUCUGCACGCGAGAACCGAGAUGGCAUAGCAUAGGUCAGUAACAAACAUUGCUAAAUCACACAUAUAUGAUGGAUUUUUUUUAUGGAACAUGAGGGGCAAGGCAAGGCAAGGCAACCUUUGAUGAUCUUGGGCAUGGGGAGCUUGAGGAGGAAGUCGCCGCCGACGGGCAUGAGGUCCUUGAUGAGCUGGAGCGGGAACUGCUUGCGGAUCUCCUCGAGCGCGGGGACGUCGGGCACCUUGAUGCCUCCCUCGUACAGCCGGAUAAUAUCCUUGAAGGAGUUGAACUCGACGCCGACGUAGCCCUUGAGCGCCGGCACGAUGCCGUCGACGAGCGCCUUGAUGGAGUAGCCGAGGAAGUCGGCCGACUUGAUGUGGCCGAAGCGCUCGUCGCGCGGCACGUAGACGUCGUCAUCCAGCAGCGUGAGCCUGCUCUCGCAGUCGUGGUCCGUCUCCGUGGGCCUCCGGCCCGUGCGGCCGCGGCGAGGGUAGGGGUGGUGCUUGGAGCCCCCCAGGGUGGGGCGCGGGUUGCCGCCGUCCGGGUUGCCGAGGUCGUUGUAGACGUCGUAGCGGUAGACGCGGUCGUGCGCCUGGUACGGGCCCUGCUGGUCGUCGCCCCGGAGGUUCCGGAGCUCGUCGUCGCGGUAGGGCUUGAGCGCCGCCGGCAUCUGGCUCGGCAGGUACGUCUGCAACAACAACGAAACCCAUGAGUUGAUGAGUUGGCCGGUGAGUGGUCGGAGGAGGGAGCGUCGGCGGCGUCGCUAGUACUAGUUACUCACGUCGUUGGCGAAGAAGACGCGGUUGUAGCGGUACUUGGACUGGGGGUAGACCCAUGAGUUGGCGACGAAGACGACGGUGCCGCGGCCGGGGACGUUGUCGAGGGUGAUGGUCUUGAGGAAGAACUCGGAGGCGUGGUUGUUCGUGACGAUGAUGGCGCCGGGGACGCCGUGCUUCUCCACCUCCCAGUCGAACGUGACGCUGAACUGGUUCUCGCCGGCGAGAAGCGGCGGCGGGUUCAGCAGCCACUGCUCCAGGCUCGCCUCCGCGCCCACCUUGCCGCGGUUCCCGUUGUCUGCACGUACCACGACCGGUCAGCGUCACCGUCGUCGUCAAUGCCACGGAUACCGAAAGAAAACGUGUGAAUUUCAGUGCCUCUCGCUGCCCUUUUCGAUCGUCUCAAGCGCAUCCAUAGAAGAUUAAAUUGUGGGGAUGGCUUUCAUUUCCAAAAGGAGAAUUAAUGGACGAAAGAAAGGACUCGUACUGGGGUCGACGACUGUGGAGCUGAUGAGCUGGCAGGUGACGCCGCGGCCGAGGAACUCGGAGAUGCCGUCGAUGAGGGAGCCGGCGAUGCUGUUGACGUCGAGGACGUUCUUGCGCAUGAGCACCACGUUGCCAUUCAAGUGGCCAUGCUUGUUGCCGCCCGUCAGGUCGUCGAUGAUCGGGAUCUUCACUCCGAACAUCUUCGCUACUCGCUGAAGUGGCAGCGGCUGCUACGGUUCCUUGGAGGCUGGAGUGGGUGGGUGGCUAGCUGUGGGUACGGUGCUGCUGUGUGGGAGAUCGCUGGGCUAGCGGGCUAUUUAUAGAGCGGGAUGGGGUGGGUGGGGGUUCAAGUAGUGUGAAGCGGGAAUUGGCGAAGCGUCGUUCAAAACAUGACAACGACGACGUGUGUCGUCACCGUGCAAUGUGAGAGUGAGACCAUGCAUUUAGAACAAGCUAUGGUAGUAGGAGUACUAGAUGGGGCGCAUUUCUGGCCAUAUUUUUAGGGCGUCUCCGCGUUCCUUCCUUUAGUGCAUACUAAAGUUUAGUCUUUAGAUCCAGAGACUAAAGACUAUUAAAGUAGAUGAACAAAGACUAAAAUACUCCUAAUCAAUGUAAAAAACUGCAUGGUGUGGUGGCAAUAAUGAGGGGCAGGGGGUGUCGUCCUGAGCCUUUAGUCUCCUUUAAUCACCCCCAGGGACUAGAGGACUAAUACCUUUAAUCCUCCAUUUAGUCUUCUGUUUGUAAGUUUAGGGACUAAAAGAUGGCAAAAGGGAGGGACUAAACUUUAGUCUCAUGGAACCAAAUAGCCCCUUAGAGCUGGUUGAAUCAAUAUUUUACUUGUUGUAUAGUGCGAAAAGAAAGAGACUAGUGUGAAGGUAAGAGAUAGUCCUAAACGUCCCGAUAUACUUCGUGGAGGUAAGAGAUAGUCCUAAACGUCCCGAUAUACUUCUCUCUCACAGCACAAUACUCAAUGCUGCUUUCCCUCCUCCAUAUUUAACAUCUUAAAGCUAGUGCUAGAUCAUACCAUUGGAGACGGGCUUGUACACGUGGAUAGCAUGGCUCUGAUCCCUGCACAUCUCUGCCUACUACUCCACCCUUUCGCGCAUGUGAUGUGAUGAUGUGUACAGUCUAUGCAGAGAUCGCAUAUGCAGACAUGCAGUGACACUGACACACAGCCCUGCCCAUGCGCGAGUUGUACUCUGCCCUCCCCGAUCUCGUGUUGCAUGCAGCAUGCGUACCAUCAUGACAGGGACAGCCCCAUGUAUACUAAUAAUGACGCUAUGGAUGUUAAAAAUAAAAUGCCUCAAACUUUCGCCCAAUGUUACCGUAGGAUUAACGUGGAGGCAUACUCUCAUCUCCGGUCUCCGGUGGUGGUAUGGUCAACUCGUCGUACUGCAUGAUGCGAAUGAGCUUAUUAUUAGCACAUUUGGCUAAUCAAAAAAAAUAUUAUUAGCACAUUUGGCUUGUGUCCCUGUCUAUCCGAUUCAAUAAGGUCGUAUUUUCGAGAUUAUUUUUACAAGAAAUAGUAAUGCAUGAACACGUCCGUUCACCAAUCGAAACGACAUAACUCGCACUACAUUAGUCGUACUCCCUCACCCUCUGUUCUUUUGAACUAAUUCACUUGUCCUCAAACUCAUAUAUCUAAGAAAGGAGAUAAUACUCUUCUAAGGCAACAUUUAUAUAUGUAGAUUUUCAGUUAACUAUGAUUAUAAAACGGGCGAGAAUGUCUCCUGUACCGAGACUUGUUUAUGCAUCGCCGUGUGUAACCAAACAUAUAUAUAAUUAAAGUGCAUAAAAGACUACCAAAAAAAUAUGAAUAGGUAAAAAUGCACUCAUGUGCUUGCAUAUAACCUCGAACAAAACCUUGUGUACGGAGACGAAGAGAAAUCGGUAAGACGGCAACGGAUCCCUGGUCAGGAACCAGACUUAGAGCAUGGUUCGUUUGGCAGGGAUCCAGCUAUGGCUAAAACGACUGUAGCUGUAGCUUCUCCGAUAGAGCAGCUUUAGCUUCAUCUUGUCUGUUUAGAAAAACGUUUGGUAAAAUGGCUCCUUCGUCAAUUUAAAGUGGAAAGAUAAGGCGAAGUACCCGUAAUAUCUUUUCCUUUUUGCAUCCUAUUUAUUUUCCUUCCCAUUUUUCCCUUUAUUUUUCUCUCCUUCCCCUUCUCUCUCUUCCUUAUCCGGCUCCCAGUCUUCUUCCUCCGGUCUUGUUCCUCCCGCGAUCGAAUGCCGACCUCCGACUUUAGCCAGCCCUCUACCUCCCGUCGCCGGCUAGCCCCCUCCUCCCUCCAUCCCCUCUGGCCUGCACCUGCCUCCCGCCUCCACACCAAAGAAAGGCGGAUGGUGCAGCACCUACGCCUCCAUGACUUCGUCGGCCAAAACCUGUGCCCCCGCGCGGAUCUGCCUGUUUGUGCUGCCAACACAUCCUUCCGAGGCGCCAUCAUUGCUCGUUGGUCGUCCAUGGCCCGUCGCCGCCGGUUCAACACGAGAGGGAAGGAGAGAGCAAACAGGGAAGAGAGAAAAGGGUUGUAGGAUGUUUAGAGGAGGUGGUGGCAAAAUGGGUAUAAUUUCGACGAAUGUCAGAGGUAUAUUGGUACCGAAUGCUGCGGAGCUAGGAGGGGGCUGCAGGGAGCCAGAUUUUUUUGGCUCCAUCUCUCCGGUACAUUUGCGCGUGCGGCUUCGCCGAAGCUUUGAGCCUGGAGCUAUUUUUUGAUCACCCUUUGGUACAGCUUAACCAGAAGUCGUGUGCGUAGCUGUUGGAAAAGUUUCCAAAGUCCUACCAAAGAGGUCCUAACUUUCUUUCGUCAGCCGAUCUACCAUCAUUUUCUUUAUGUUCUUGUCCAUUUUUCAAUAAUGAUAGAUGCAUUCAUGCAUAUGAUGGAGCAAAAUAUCUUGUGUUUUUUUAUUUUUGUUUCUGAUCUCUGAUGCUACAGGUGCGCGCGCGCCCAUACCGACCACCCAGAUAUGCUUGAUUUUGUUCUCUAUCUAUACCGUACGUGCCAGGGCUAUAUACAUAUCUUGUGAUUAUUACAUGCACAUGGUACCCGAUUGGUUGGAGGGGACGAUGACGUAUUUUUAAUUCAGCGCCAACUUGCAUUGGAGAGGCCGAUCCAAUCGUGUAGCCUUUGCAUCGUUUUCAAGUAUUCAUUGGGACUGACUGAUACAGUGAUACACAAGCCAGCCAAAAAGGGUAUGGCCGCAGCAUAUCUUUCCCUGCAGAAAGCGAUCUACUCUCCUAAAACGUGAAUAGCCAUUCCAUAAGAAGGCCUAGCUAUUACCCGUCGUCGCGUCCGUGUCAUGGGCGCAUGACAAGCUACGUGGGUGGCUUUGACGUCCAGGCUGGAGGGCGAAGGUUGAAGAAGGUUGCGGUGGGCGGUGGCAGCAUUGCCUUCCAUGACUACACAGCGUAUACUCGGCUAAUUCAGCCAUUUUGACCCUCUGAUGAUUAAUAAUGAUUACUGGUUCGCCAAAUUUUCCUUCCAAAAUUACCACCUCUAUGUACAUGCUACUCUAAAUAUUACUAGCCCUCUGUCCCAAAUUACUAUUUGUUUUCGCUUUUCCAUCUAGAUAUAUACUAUGAUUAGAUACAUAGCAAAAGGUACGUAUAUAGAAAAGUCAAAACGAAUAGUAUGAAGGAGUAGAACACUAAAAAAAAUCUCUGGGACUAUGUGGACAAAAAUGGACACAAUAGCUAGCUAGGUACCGGACCUCACCCACGUUCACUACUUCACUUGACUAUAUAUGGCCUAACUUCCAAAAGAAAGAUCUAAACGGAAAGCUUUAUGCAUUGAUUUUAGAAAAAGUUACAUCAAAACGAUGCAACAGUACUUGAAAAACUCCAAGUUUCGAUUAGGUUACCACUCAUGAGGAAAGGCAUCGGAGUAUAGCACUGUACAUUGUCAGGUCACAGCUCCACUCCGGCCUGGUUUGGUUCCAUUUGCUUAUUUUUAAGCAAGUGUCACAUCAAUGUUUAGAUACUAAUUAGGAGUAUAANNNNNNNNNNNNNNNNNNNNNNNNNNNNNNNNNNNNNNNNNNNNNNNNNNNNNNNNNNNNNNNNNNNNNNNNNNNNNNNNNNNNNNNNNNNNNNNNNNNNUACUUUAGUAAAUUUUUCUCUGGUCUGGUGCGGGCCGAAUCUAUUAAGCCUAAUUAGUCCAUGAUUUGACAAUGUGCUGCUACAGUAAACAUUUGCUAAUGAUGGAUUAAUUAGGCUUAAUAAGUUCGUCUCGCUGUUUAGCCUCCACUUAUGUAAUGGGUUUUGUAAAUAGCCUACGUUUAAUACUUCUAAUUAGUAUCUAAACAUUGAUGUGACACUUGCUUAAAAUAAGCAAACAAACCAAACGCCCCCUCCCAAGUCCCACACAUGUAUGGUCGUCCUAUCCCUUGACAGAAUCCCUAGAUUUUAGUGCCGUGGAGCAACGUACGUAGAAGGAGCAGAAUCUCGCUGCAGCAUCAAGGCUAAUCAAGAAGGGUCCUCGAGGUUGCAGGCAACAUCCCUGAGAGGAGAUUGUCCAGAGGGGUUCUUCCUCCUUUCCAAAUUAUAAACUGUUUUAAUUUUUAAAUUUAUAAAUAUUAUUAUACAUUUAGAUAUAGUGUAUAUCUAGAUGCAUAAUAAUAUCUAUAAAUUUAGAAAAAUUAAAAUGAGCAUGCGAAACCACAUGGUACUUUUGAUUUGAUUGCACUUCUCAUCUCUCCAAACGAAUCGACAGCGGAUAUGAUAUCGAUGCAUCACGUACGAGCUGGGUCAGAAGCCGACUAUAUAUCAUUUUUCUCGUGGUAGCUAAUUGAGCUCUGAUUAAAUAAGAUUCCGGUUAGGAGGCCGGUCGACGUACUACGUGCUCAUCAGCGAUGCAAUUUGCCAUGCGACGCACGAGCUAGCGUUUGGUGUCGGCACCCGGGACGCGCUAGCUGUCCUCCUCCCUCAUCACUUACGCGGCGAGCAUGCAUGGCCAGGGCCCCGCCCGGCCUGCACAACUCUUUGUUGAUCCAUGCCUCGUCACGGCCGGUUGGUAGAAUCCAUAUCCUAUGCUACGAUGCGUCGUGUGUCUCGCCUGGUUGAUGGAACUCGAGUUUUUUUUUAAUUUGUAUAUAUGGGCCCAUACCCCGUUGGUCCUUGGACAUGCAGAUCCGCUCCACACCGUAGCGUCCGGUGACGACUUUCAAGUUUCAACACGAGCUGGCUCUGGAGCGUACAAUAAUCGAUCUUGUUUGGUUUUGUCGCGGUAGCAGCUACGUCAUCAGCCGCAUGCAAUUUGCCAGGCGACGCACGAGCUCUUUGUCGGGACUCGGGGACGCGCUGCCGGCCUCACCGCUAGCUCCCGCGCCGCAUGGCCUGCCCGCCACGUCGAUCGAUCACAUACUUUCACACUACCAUAUUGCAGCGUUGCAGGAGAGUGCUCGGAGCCGGUGGUAGAUGGGUCAUCAUCACUUCCGGUGGCUAAUCUUGCAGGAGAUGGGCCGAUGAUAGAUGAUGGGUCAUCAUCACUUGCAGGAGAGUGCUCGGAGUCGAUGAUAGAUGGGUCAUCAUCACUUCAGGUGAGCGCGCGGCCGGCUAACAGCUGGGUGGAGCUUUUGCGUCCAAGUCAUCAGUGUUGCUAACCUUUGUCGAGUGGCGGAGUGGGUUGAUUAAUAUAUAAGAUACUCGAGUGCAAGCUGCUCGUGGAUCACGUCUUAGUCUUAAAUCUCAAGGGCUGUUCGCAUGCUAGAGCUAGAGCUUCAGCUCUAACCACAUCGAAUGUUCGGAUGCUAAUUAGAAGGACUAUACAUGAGCUAAUUAUAAAACUAAUUGCAGAAAUCGUGGGCUAAUUCGUGAGGCGAAUCUAUUAAGCCUAAUUAAUCUAUUAUUAAUAAAUAGUUAUGGUAGCACCACAUUAUCAAAUUAUAAAUAGAUUCAUAGUGCGAAUAGAGGUUAUAAGCCAUGUAGCUUAAAUAUUUGAAGUACAGACAGCAAGAGUCUUGCCUUAGAUAGACAAGAAGUUUCUUUUAACAGCUUUCCUUCAAAAAUAAACACAUCUAGAAGUAAUUGCCAUCUAGCAAUUGCCACCGGAUACAAAAUACAUCUAUGUGCAGACCUCAAUAACAUGUCCUGAAUUAUGAGCGGCACAUAAAAAUAUAUUUCCUCAUUUUGGUUCAUGGUAUCACACAACCAUAGGUUGCCAGAUUAUCCUAACAGGCAUAUUUCCAACUUACCAAGAACUUGCUUGUCAUUAGAACAAGUUUUGAACCAGGCUGCAGCAGUCUCACAAUCUACUUGUUGCCGCUCGGUGAAGAAGAUGUACUGCAGCACAGCUCUUGCGAGCUCCGACCAUCGCCGCAACGAUUCCUCGCCGGCAAGGCGGCGACCGUGCGGUACCAUUGCUUCUCCGCAGCACCGCCUUUCCAGCUCGUCGGAGACCGCGUCAUGCCGCUGCUCGGCCGCUCCUCGUCGCGUGGCGAACUCCGCCACUGCGCCAGAGGCUCCGCGUCACCCGUGCGCGCGGAAGCCGCCGUCUCAGCCCUUCCUCCGUCGCUGGCGCAGUCACAUGGUCCGGUGGCUCAUCCUCGCUAGGCUCGGCACGCAUGGCGGAGCGUGUGGCCAGGUAGUUGCAGACGCUGGACGGGGUAGAAGUAGCAGUGGAGCAGCAACGGCGGCAAGGGGCAAGCAGCAGUGUGCCAGCACUUACGCAGCAGCGCGGUGGAGCUCAGCGUGCGGAGUUGGAAGCUGGAUUGUGUGGCUGGGCGAAAGGAUAAGGUAGAGGAACGGAUAAGGAACAAAGAGAAAGGAAGAAAAAAAAAUAAAAAGAGAAAUAAUUGGUUAAUUUAUAAUUAUAUUUAUUAAUCAUAUUCAUUUCACGUAUAAUCACAUUGCAAAUGGAGUCAAAAUAUAAAAUUUAUCUAUCAACUAAGUCAUAUAGGCUAUAGCUUACUCGAAAAAAAAAAUAUAGGCUAUUGCUAGGGGCACAAUAGGCAUUUGGCCUUUUUGAUACAUUUUCACAAUAAGAAUAGAAACUGUUUUGGCAAAUGGUUUUCAAAAUAGUUGUAGCUCCAUCGGAGAUGACGUGCAAUAAUUUUAUGUUGCUUGAUUAUAAAAUUUAUGUUUACAUAGAAAAAGCUGAUGUUUAUAAUAUAAUUUUAAUUAGCCUUAAAAUAUUAGCAACGUACAAUCCUAGUAAUGUAUUACAGAACAAGGGGGAUAGAAAAUAGAAGCUACGCGCUCUGUCAUUUGUUUUCGUUUUGAAAGUCCCGUAUUGGAGCUGAGUUGCCUCGUCGUCUCAGCUUGUGGGCUUCGAUUUUUAUAUAGGCCCUUGUGUGCGCCAGCCUUUUAUAUUGGGUUUUAACUUUGUAGGCCCUUUUAUUCUGUUGCAAGGCUCUCUGGUCCGUAUGCCUUUUCUGUUCGGGCGGGUUACGACUCUCUCAGUUUGGGCCAAAUUCAGAGGGCCUAGCGCCGCCGCACUGGACCCAUCCGAAUGACCGGGGAUCCCCGGCGGCCUACGCGCGCGUGUCGAAUGCUCGUAGCUAGAAUCUCUUGAGGCUUGGGUGCGUGCGUGUGUAUAGAUUCCAUUCCAUUCGGAUUGCACCGAACUAUCAGUAAUUCCGUCUGUAUUCACUCCCCUGAGUUUCAAAGAAGCCGAAAGCACGACACCUGGCGGUCUCUCGGUUCGUGCCACUGAAGAUAAACAACCAUAUAUCUCUCCAAAAAUGGUGGUAAAUUCCGCACAUUUCGCAGAUGCAUAUUAGCUCCAUCAAAGAAGUAACAGAACGCAGCAUCGGGCGCACGUGAAACUCGCUGCACUCCGAAAAGGGCUGGGCUUCCACUGGACACUGGACAGCCUCCCUCACGUCACGUAUACCACUAUAUAUACCCAGUAGUAGCAUUUCGUUGCUACAAAACCGCAUGGUUUCCAGACGUACGUGUCAUAUUCGUCUCUCCCUACUGUCAUGUUCUUGGUACUCGUGAUUGAUCGAUCACUUUCAGCCAACCAGCGAACCAAGUCGUAUGAUAGCGAUUUGUAGGGGGCACCCCACCCACAUCCUGGCCUGUAGAGUGGAGGCAACGAAAGCGUCAUGCACCCGGCAAUCUUGUGGCCACCACCACGCUGAUUGCGCGAGGACUCGUGACGCGUCUCCCUGCGGUGCGGCAAAUGCCAAACUGCCUGGUGACAAGAGCUUAGGGAGAAGCAACGGCGAGAAAGCGAUCCGUUGGUCUCAGACACCGAACUGCAAUGGGAACAAUAUUUACGGUUGGAAAAACCGAUUUCCUUUUUAGAACAAGGUAGGACUCUUCUUUUAUAGUGAUCCAUGACCUACUUUACAUUCCAAAAAUAUUCUUACCUAACCACUACAUUUCUAGAAUAUGCCGUACAUAAAGAUCAUUGGAGAAAACAUGUACAAAUUGAACUCUUCCACGUGGUCACGCUUCUCACGCCUUCUUCCCUCUAACCUUGGGGUUUCAUCUUCAUUUUGAGCUGAGCGCUUAGCCUCGAGUCUUCACCCGCGUCCCAAACCGAGCACCCAGCCUCAAGACUUCUAAGUCGUAAAGUCUUGCAAAAGACCUUAACCUCGAGUGGCUCCCUUCUGAGUGUCAUCCCUGAGUAAGGAAUAUAAGUAUGAAAGCUCGGCGUUCGGGUAAGAUUCCGAACACUCGAGGGUUAACCCACUUGGCGGUAGUUUUUGUUGUUGUCAAUUAUUACCCUUGAGCCCUUCCAGGAGCAGAGGCGUUGCGAGGUUACGAGGUUUACCAUUCGAGAUGCCUUCUCAGAGCGUGGAAGUUAAAAAAGGGUUCCACUUUCCUUGCUACCGACGUGUAACUUGGGAGGUUAAACUUGGGACCCGCUACUGUCAUUCGAGGGUAGCUAAAUUUUGUUCUUAAUUUGGAACCCACAAGACUAGAAAGGUUCCGUGCCUUUUAGCAUCUGGCGUACGACUGGCGAGGUUAAAGUUUCCCACAACUAGUUCGAGGGUAACAUCUUUUUUCCGACCCCAACACGAUCGAUGCGCAUCGCCGUUGUCUUCUUGUGAAGAGUCUUGUCGCAGGAAAUUCUCACCACUAGCCUACCUAAAGCUUGGGAGAGAACCGGAUGCGCCAUGGGUUACACAAAGCGGCUUGGACCUUGCGCCAAUGAUGAAGGCUAGGCUAUCCCCACGCCUCCGGGCUGAGUGGAUGACUGGAUGCUCACGUGAACGUGGCGCUGACAAUAGUGACAUGUCACUUCGAGUCACUGACGAGACGGCCGAGGAACCGUCUGCUGCGAUUGCCCCUUUUCUUUCUGGAUCAGCUGAGAUUGCCAAUUUAAUUUGCCAACAGGCAACAGAUGUUAUUAGGCUCUUGCAAUGGAAGCAGCGGGUGACUCGAAAACGGGAAGGAAACGAGACGAUGGUUGCUGAUUUUUUUUUUUUUAACUAGGUUGCCGGUUUUUGUUUCCCUUCUCUCGCCGCUGAUGAUUCGUGUGACAGCGACCAUUCCGGCUUGCCGGAGGGACACACUGACGGAGAUAUCGACGCUGUCCUGUACGAAUUUGGCUUUCUUUGCGGGACCGUCCAUUGAACGAGAAUGUUUUGAUCUCUUGUGGUGUUGGAUUGUUGGAAGUUGCCAGAUUCUGUGUCACAUAGUUGGUAGAUGUUCUAUGGCGUUUGUUACAAGUGGAGCAAGACGAAUCAGGCUCGGGCACACUUUGAAAUAAACAACCGUCUUCUUCGCUGAAACCGACUGAAGGAGGCCUAGAGGAGGCCUAGAUGCACGACAAUGAGGCGUUUCAGUCAAACAAACACAGCCACCAUACGAGAAACACAGAGUACUAAGAUUGAAAUGCCACAUUAGUUUAUUGCAUAUCAAAAAAAAUUUAGCAGUCUCUUCAUGUCACGUUUAAGGCCCUUUACAGCACACACUUUGCAUAGACAAAAGGAGCAAAGUGGGGGGUGGCUUUCAGAUCUGCCUCGACUCCUUGAGCAAACAGCGGAACAGCAACCAUAUGGGACAGCCAUGCAAAUGCAGGGUAUAUUCCACAGAUGACAGGUCAUGCAACAACACAGUUAAGCACCAACGGAAGAACUCAGCCAUUCAGUUGAUCACAUGUUGCGAUUAAUUUAUCUGAACCCCAAACCAAACACCAGCAUAGUUGUACAGAUCUCCUACAAACAAAGCUGAUCAAUGAAACCAGUUGCCUAAUAACAAUCAUUUGGCAGAUGGCAGAUGCCAGAUUGCCACUCUGUCUCAACUAUCUAUUUAAAUUAAAGGCUCUGAAUACCAUUAUCUUAUCAGGAGCAGAUAUCACAAUUCAAAUGGAAUCCCAAAAAGCAAUUUUCAUACACCACUGGAACAAGAAUUCAGCAAAAAAAAUUUAAAAAAUAUGCUACAAUUACGGAUUGAUUAUUUGACCGUAUCAAAUGCACUGUGAUAUAAAAGGCUCUGCUUAUUGCAAGUAGAGUUCUAAAAACAAAACACCCUUUCGUGCAAAACACCCUUUCACGAAGGGAAGUAGGGCAAACAAAAAGGGCUGGUGUCAUGGAGCACCCGCUUCUUCUGAUCCAGAUCAGCAUACAAUACAAUUUGCAGAAGUCGAAGCUAGUGAAAACCAUAGAAAAUAGGGUGAUCUAUGCCUUCUCCAUUAGCUGCAAGACCUCAGUUGCAGUGGGCAGCGACGGGAUUGCCCCUUUCUUCGUGGCGGUGAUUGCGCCACAUGCAUUGGCAAAUUUAAUCGCCUCCACAAGCUUCUUCUGAUCCUGUACAAUCAACAGACAUUAAAUUUCAGUGACAUGGAACUGAAAACUGAAUGACCAACUUGACAUGUAGAACCAACGAUCUUUCGGAUCAACAAACACAUUUCAGGCAACUUACUUGUAGCGAGGAUGGAUCUUGGACAAUCUUUCGGAGCAGAGCACCAACGAACGCAUCACCCGCGCCUGUUGUAUCAACUUGUUGUACUUUGAAGGAAGGGACAGCUCCAUGGAAAUCCUGCAAUCAAGUAUAGCAAACCUGUGAGUCUCAGCUGCAGAAUAAGUCCUCAAAUUACAAUGUGCAAGUUAUAUACUAAAAGUGUAUACUUUGCAUUUGAAAGACAGGACCUAGUGAAGUUCGAUAUAAGCAGUCCAUGAAUAUUAUUCAGCAUAAGUAACCAUUUUCAUUGGGUACAAAGGUAUAAAGCAUACCCUGGUAUAGUAUUUGCACCCUUGAUCUCCAAGAGUCACCAGGAGCAGCUUCAUGGUAGGCCGCCACAGCUUCAUGACAACAUCAUCCUCCACUGAGUCGAUGCCAGUCAAGAACUCAAGCUCAACCUCACUGACCUUGACAAUGUCUGCCUGAUCCCAGAUACUCAAGAUCUUGGUGCGGGCCUCCUCACGGGAUGGCCACAAUGCCUCCCUCAGGUUCGGGUCAUAAGAGAGCAGUGCACCGGCCUCUUUGGCAAUCUCCAUGGCACGGAGAUGUGCUGACCGGCAAGGCUCAGCAAUCAAGCUUAUUGAUCCGUAGUGAAAGACUGCAGCCUGAAUACAUUACACUUAUGAGAAUUUAUCAGAACAGGGGUGAGGAAUGGACACUGAUGAUGCAAGUUUGUUUGCAAGUUAAAAGUGUUGGAUUCUGGGAGAUAGCAUGAGUGCAGAUAUUUUCCAGUAGUUUUACGAAAGGUGCACAUUUUCGACCAUAUUUGAAAUAAGCAUGAAUGAAUCGAACCAUCUAAAAGCGCCUGAUAAAUGAUAAUUCUCGAUUUAAUUCAAUCUGGGACAAAAAAAAAGGAAUUCUAUCUAACAAAUUGACUGAUGAAACAAGCUGUCUGGCAACGUACAGUUCUGCAUUUAUGUCUUAGAACGAUCACACGAAGCACACAAUCGGUACAAUGAAUACGGGCAAAAGCUGAAGUUCGUGACAUCAGUUGCAAUGCCCACAAUUAUUGACCCACUAGAAAGAAACAAAAUUCCAAGUAGAAUACAUUAAUACACGGCAAGGCUAAUGAUUUCUAAGGCCAGCUCAUGCCGAUGGAUCCAAGAACUACGGGUUUGACUAGUUUCAUAACGGCUCUCCUUUGGAUUACUUAUUUGUCUCCCCCAAUUUUUAGGAUGAAUCACAGAAGCCACAUGACCAGAUCCAGAAAAGAACAAUCCGCCAACUAGAACGCACAACAAGAUCCGACCAAAACCAGCAACGAGGGCGCCCACUUUCGCCCAGGAAUCUUUGGAUUCCACGGGAAGAUUCAACACCAAAGCGCCCGAAUUAGACGACGGGAAAAAGGGUUACCUUUAACGUGAUAAACAAGAACACGCCCAAGAAAAAUUACAGGAGCCGCAACCUAAGCCGCACGCGAAACCAGCGCAAGAAACCUAGCGGCCGCGUCCCAGAUCCAAGGAUCGAAAAUCAAGGAAUGGGCGGACAGAUUCUACCACACUCGAUGGGAUCGUCCGCAGAUCACGGAGCGCGAAGGUACGGGAUCACCAGGGAGCCAGGCCAACUCACCCUCUUGAUGAGCUCGACGUUGAGCUCGUCGGCGGUGAGGAGCAUGUCGGCGCUGGGGUUGCGGUAGAACAUGAACUCGCGCUCCCCGUCGGCGCGCAGGGUGACGAAGGCGAGCGCGGUGCGCGCGCCCGCGUCGAAGACGACGCCGCCGGCGUCGACGCCGUUGUCGCGGAGGAUGGCCGCGAGCAUGCGGCCGAACUCGUCGUCCCCGAGCUUGCCGACGAAGGCGGCCUCGCCGCCGAGGCGCGAGACCGCGAUGGCGACGUUGGCCGGCGCGCCGCCGGGGGCCUUGAGGAAGGCCGGCGCCUCCGCCAGCGACACCCCCGCCACCGUCGGCACGAAGUCUAUCAGCAUCUCCCCGAAACUCACCACCAGCUCCCGCCCGCCCGCCAUUGCCCCCGGCAGUUUGCCCCCCAACAACGCAGCGCACGGACGCAGGGGGUGGAAAGAGAGAGGAGAGGAGAGGAGAUGGGUGGGCGCGUGUGGGGAAUUUUCUGGUGAGGUGGCGAGGCGGCGUGUUAUAUAGAGGAGGAGGAGGGUUGGUUGCUUGGCUGGCUGGUUCGGGGUGGAGGCGGAAGGGAGGAGAACACCAGACGGUGGUGUGGUGUGGUGUGGUGUGGUGGUGGUGCGCAGCCGCAGGCGUGUUGGGCUUUGCGGGGUAGCGUCGCGAGGGGGCGACCAGGAGUUGUUGACGGCUGCCCUCCUUCGAUCGGCUAAAAUUUAGGGCUUUCAAAACAGUUUGGGUGGAAGGAACCAUUCCUUGCCGUAGAAUAGAAAUGGUGUGUGAAUCCCAGUUUCUAUAUAUGAAGUAGGAUGGAGAUCCUCUCCCUAUAUUGAGGAGCUACCAAUUAUGAAACUGAAGUGUUACGCUGUGAUAUGCUGUCUUCUCCAUCCCAAUCGCCUCUGUAAUAUGCCGUGAUGGGCCAAGCGCUGCGGCUUUUCUGCAGGAACUUAUCCAUCGGUGGGCGAUGACGCUGACCGCCAAAGAGCACGGGUCUGGACUUCCAAGCGAGCCGAGUUGGGCACGGAUCGAUCAAUGCUUUUCCAUGGUCCAUCCACGGAUACGAUUCCGGUCUCCUCCAACGUCUGGUCGCCAGCAGCUAGCCACCGGGUUCGAUUCCAUCAGCUCCUGCUUUCUGCCAAGCGUGAGCGAGGUUUCAGUUUCAACUUUCGGAAACUAGAGGGCUACAUCCGUAUCGUUGCAUCCACCAUGCAUCUGCAUAUGAAAGGUCAGUUACCUGACUCUGACGUACUGUGGCGGCGGCUACGAGCUCGAGCCUGCACAGAACUGUCAAAUUGUUGAUCCUACGAGCGAGCCAGAUUCUAAUUUGCCAUCCAACGGCCUGGAGAAUAAAAUUUAUCAUCGGGAAGGAUCAAACUGUACGAACUGGGCAGGGAGAGUGACGUUAUUUUCAGGGCCGAUUUGCCUGACGAUACGAGAAGAAGAUUUUAAACAACUAGCGGCUGCUGAAAAAGUAGCUGGGAUGCUGAUUGAAUCUUGAGAGCUUUAGAUCUUCCGUCAGAGAUGGGAAUGGGAUGGGCAAGUCUGACUUGGCCUGCAUGCACCGACGCAUGAAACCGAAAGCUCAUUCCCUGCUGUUUCCUUCCUGACCUCAUCAUCAUUUUAGCCGACACACUAAACUAAACUAAUACGCAUGCGUACGUAAAGCCACCGGCGAUCACAGUAUUUUAUAGCCGUCACCCCGCAUGUUCCUCAAACCAGUGGGCCUGCCCGGCCGUUCAGAACCCGGGCGCCCACACGGCUGCCUGCCAGCAGGUGGUUUUCGGAGCUCAGGAAUCGGGAGGGAUGGCGCCGACCGCCGACCGCCGAGGGCGUGGCCUUCGCUUCACAUGCCAGCCCAGCAAGACGAACGAGAGCCAUGUAGAUGGUAACAUGGCAUAUGCCUCAGGCAUUGCAGCUGCAGAACAGGGCAUGCUUUGCUCUGCCGUUGCCGGUUCUUGUGGGUCGUGGACUGUAACUGUAAUUGCGAAUUUACGCUGGGAAGAUGGCUCAGCUACAAGAAAUGAACGGGUCAAGGUAGUACCGGGUUUCUCAUAUUUGUGUACAAGCAGAUUUUUUUUUUGAUUUGAUGUACAAGCAGAUUUUGGAGAGCACUGAAGAUGCAUUUGGUUCCAGAGGUUUCAGAGUUCAGAGUUGCAGACUUCAGGAGCUGUAAUUACUGGGCUGGACUUUGUGCAAGCAACGAAGAAUUGGGCCGAGUCAGAUUGGAACAACGGCCGCACUUUUCCAUCAUCUUGCAGAAAUGGCCCAUAUAGGCGGCCCGCUUUUGUCACAGAAUCUGCGGGCCUCUUUCGGAAAAUAGGAAAGAUAGCGGGGGAAGCGCAGUGCCGGCCUGCCGCUUAGCCGCUAGUCGUCGUCGCCGUCGUCGACUCGUCGCGGUGGUGGUGGUGGUGCUCGCGGUUGCGGCAGCUCCAAAGUCCAAGCCAUACGUUGGUCUGGGGCGACCGAGGCGGGGACGAGAGGAGGUAUGGGUCGAUCUCUCUACGCCGCCGCCGCUGUGGCGCUCGUCUGCUUCUCCGGCUUCUGCCACGGGGAGCGGCUCGGGGCGCGGCAGUGCGAGGACCUGGGAUUCACCGGCCUCGCCCUCUGCUCCGACUGCAACGCGCUCUCCGAGUUCGUCAAGGACCAAGGUACGGCCGUGUCGUCCUCUGACCUGCGCCUGCUUUUCAUGCGCGGCUUAUGAGAUUCCCGAUCUGAACCGGGUAGGCGUAGGAGGGAAGAGCUAUUCGGAUGUGAAUUUAUCCCAGUUUCGCAUAUUGGGAGCGUGAAAUCUGCUCCAGUGAUCUGGAUCGGGAUACUCUCUGCGUUGCCUGCUGCCGUUGAGCACUAAUCCAGGGAAACCUAAUUAGGAAUUAGAAGGGUAAGAUAUGACUUUGAUUCUAGACCAAUGGCAACUCAAUUGGGAGUCUGAAAGCACGAGAAGAUAUUGUGAUGUGUACUGAGAGUAUUGUACAUGCGAGGUUUCCACAUGAUUAUUUGUUCAUUGAAUCUGAGGGUAAGUUUACUUUAUCAGGAUUGUCACUGGUUAUUGAACUGUGCAUCGAUUUGGUGUCUGGGGUUAAUGUGAGGCUUUAUGAAUGGAAGAAAUCAUUUCUGCUCUAAUUGGAGUAUUAGACUGGAGUUGCCCUUAACUCAGCAUUUUUAGAUCAGUUUGGUGUUGGGAAAUGGACCCUCAAUGUUUGGAUCAUUUAUUUUGAUUGGUCUAUAUCUAUGAGCAUCUGAACUGGUGUUACUCACAUAUGCUAGUGAAACGUAGUUUACUUUCUACAAAAUCUACAAAUGUUUGAUCUCAAUUCUUUUUUAAACUAGCUGCAUUGGAAAGAAAUUUCAUUUCGCCAACACAACCCUUUAUUUGGAGGGUUAUACUUUAUCAGGUUUGUCCAUUGCUUCCUGGGAUGAUAUAUAUUGUUCUGUUGAGGAUUAAGUUACUGUGUAUUUGCAAAUCAACAAAGGGUGGAUUUCUUUUUUCACACGCAUCACGCCAUGUGAUUGUUUGAUUGUUUUCAAUCUGAGCAGCAUUUUUGUUUCUCUGCAGAGCUGGUGGAGGAUUGUCGUAAAUGUUGCACUGAGGAUUCAGAUGAUUCAAUCAGCAAGGUAUAAACUAUGAAUUCCCAUGAAUCACUGUAACUCUGUAAGGAAGAUGACUGUUUUACCUGCAGUCUUCUAUGCUGGCCUUUCUUAGUCUUUGUAUUGUGUUUAUAGUUUAUCUUUGUGCUUAAUUUCUAACAGUUGAUUUAUGUGAAUAACGGGUUAGAUCUUAUAGGAAUGGCUAGCUAUGUACCAUUUUCUAAAAGGGGUAUAUAGUUUAGGUUAGAAUCAUGACAUAUUGAGGGAGGCAACUUGAAGGUUAGAGGUCUUGAAUGGCUGGUAAACAAGAUGUCAUAGAUGUUCUUUUUAGGAUGAGCACGAGUGUUAGAAGUUCCAUAAGUACUAGUUCUUUAUUUCCACUGAUGUAGUAUCUGACUGAUGUUUGCUAUUGCCUAUUGCAGCUCACAUUUUCCGGUGCAAUUAUUGAGGUCUGCAUGAGAAAGUUAGUGUUUUAUCCAGAAGUUGUUGGCUUCCUUGAAGAGGAUAAAGAUGACUUCCCUUAUGUGGAAGCCCGUUAUUCGUAUGGUUCUCCACCAAAGCUCAUAAUGCUUGACGACAAGGGCGAACAUAAGGAGACCAUAAGGCAAGUUCCACUUAACUAAAGACAGUAUCUAGUUAUCUGGAAAGGUGAUAUAGAUUCUUGGAUUUCUCGUACAUAUGCUAUAAUAGCUGUCUAACUGGACCAUUUUCAUAUCGUUCUGUCUUAAAUUCUUAAUCCAUUACAUAGUGGCACUUAUAAGUUGUCUGCUUCUCCUUAUCUUCCUCAUGCAGUCAUGCCAUACAGUUCAUGCAAUAAUCUGAUGGCAGAUACAAUAGGCAAAGAUAUACUGGAUGCAUUUGUGCCUGCAUGCCACUUUCUAUUUGAAUAUAUAGUUCUAUGGACAAAAAAUGCUUUGUUAGUGCUUCAUAGAGCUGUGGUAGUAUGUUGAGGUCAUUGCUAACGCAGCCUGCAUUUUCCUGGCACACAAUUCAUUCAUAGAUGAUGGAUGUUGCUGUUGUACUGAAUAAUUUGGCAUCUUUCUUUAUGUGUACCAAGCAUAGAUAAUGUAUGGUAGAAAUACUGAAACAGUGUUCCCAUUUGUUCAUUGGUGCAUUUGCUGGAAAUCUAAGACGAACUGAAAUUUGCAGGAUCGACAACUGGAAGCGGGAGCACAUUCGACAGUUUCUCAAGGAGAAAGUGAAGCUGGUGAAGUCAGACAGCUGAGUUUAAACCCUAUGGAGUUUGGUACUUUGCAAGCAAAAUUGCAGCUGAUAUGAGAUGGGCAUCAAAUUCUGUGUGACAUCUGUACAACUCAAUAUGUUUGUAUAAGAAGCUUCUGUAGUGUUAUUUCUGGCAUACUUGUAUCCCGUUCCUAUUACAGUCAGGUAGCUGGCACUGUGAUUCAUGAAAAUUAGUUGAUGUAGUACUGGUUGUUUCCCGGAGCUUUAACUCAAUAAAGAGGGUAAAAGAAUGUAAAAAAAAAAGCUUUGGUCAUAUGCAUUUCCACAUUUGAUCACAUGACCUCUUCCUCUCUAGUAAUACAAAGGCGUACAUAUCUCAUGCACAAAGCUGUACCCUUCCUGGACAAUCUGCACAUGAAAUCUAUUGUUCCAAUCUGAACAGUAUUUUGUUUCCAAUCUGAACUGUUUUCACCGAUGGACUCGUAUAACAUCGUAACUGUCUGCACCAUGGAAAUUGCGAGUCAGUAUCAUGAAUCUGUGAACGGUAUGGCCUAUUCGCUUCAGCUUAUUCAGCCGGCUUAUCAGCCACCAAACAGUAUUUUUCUCUCACAACAAAUCAGCCGUUUCAGCUUUUUAGCCGGCUUAUAAGCUGAAGCGAACAAGCCUAGAGAAGAGAAGCGCUUCUAUGUUUUCUAUUCUACUCGUCUGAACUGGUUGAGGAUUCAUUGCCUGUUCUUUUUAUUUGUAAUAGGAAUGUGUGAGGUUACAUCUUGUGCAGCUGUAAAAAGGUCUUGUUCUCAUAUGUACAGUUGAGAUUCACGAGGGCUGUUCUCGCUACUUCGUGACCUAACCCAGUAAACCACCUACGUUUUCAGGAGAGAAACCAAAUGCUCCAAGCAACGGGAAGCGUUACUUUUUUGCAAGCUUCCAUCUUUCUUCGGGGUACUUGGUAGCCUGGUACCAAGAUGGUGUUUCAGUUGGUACGUCUGAUGUUCUUCAAGGUUUCAGACAAGUCCCUACACCUGUUGUGAUAACCAAUACAACAGGUUAGACAGUCUUCUUUUUUGAAUAUUGACUUGUAUAUAUGUUUAUAAACAGUAACAUGCAUCUUUACAUCCAGCAGAAAGCAGUGGUGGCACAACAGAGGGGUUGGACCCAGCAGCACUGGAUUUAAGCAGCAGUCAAUACUAUCCUAGUAGGGAAAUUAGAGGGCUGUUUUGAGUGAGGGUUACAGGUACAACUCAGAGAGAAAAAAAUUAUUCAUGCAAAUAGAUCUAACUGACGCAACAAUGCUGAUGGUAGCUCGAUAAGUACAACGUGGUUCCUGAUUCCUCUUAUUUGUAUUUGGCAGAUACAUAAAUCGUUUUAGUUUUGACCCAAGUCAAAAAAUUGAACUUUGACCAAGUUUAUAGAAUAAUGCACCAACAUAUCCAACAUCAAAUUUGUUUCAUUAAAUCCAUCAUGAACUAUGUCUUGAUAUUGUAUUUACUAGGUAUUGUGUAUGUUAAUGCAUUUUUCUAUAAAUUUGGUCAAAGUCAAGGAAGUUUGACUUAGGACAAAACUAAAACGACCUACAUUUUUGUACAGAGGGAGUAUAUGAGAUGGUUACAUUAGCAUGAUAUAAUAUGGCUCACAUUUCAGACAUGCAAAUGUACAUAUACCCACUACCCUAAGCCAUAAAAGCACAAGUCACAAGCCCAGCAGCUUUUACUAGAUUUGGAAUAGGCUGGCCAUAAGUUUCUCUUGUACAUGUACCGGUGGGAAAGGAAGUAUACCUGUCUUCGUCUCCGAUGUUGCAAAGCAUAACAAGAACGUGCUAUUACAUAACAAGGAAGAAAGAAUCCUGCAAACUGAAGAGUUGCCUGAAAUAAAUGAAAGAUUUAGUGUUCUGUAUAAAUAGUGUACAUGGAAAACGAAAAUUCAUUCCCAGUAUGGACUGAGAAACAAAUGCAGAAGCGGAUUGUAAUCAGUUAAUUAUAAGUGCAUUUCAAGCUGACUCAGACUUCCAACAAAUGCAUAAUAAAAUGCCAAGCAGGAGUAUUUGCUAUUCCUUUGCACAGCAAUUGAUCUCUAGUAUAAAGCAGCAUUAUGCUAUUAAUUUGUUUUCAGCAUUAUGACACUACAAGGGAAACAGAUCACAUCAUCUUAACAGAGCAUUAUAAUAGCAUAAUGCAGCAUUAUGACACUCCAACAGAAGCUGACCGCAUCAUGUUAGCGGACAUAUUAAUAGCAAAAUGCGAUAAUUAAGUAGGCAUGUUGAACUCACACUGAACAGCACUGUUACAUCUUGUAGCAUGCUAAUAUCCCUCACAAUGACAAUUACAUGGCGCACAAGUAAAAGGAACAUCAACUGCAGUAAAGCCGAUAUUAGAUUCCACCUUCCACCACAAAUAAUAAUAAGUUUACAAAGAAAGGGCUUCUUUGACAUACAAUUAAAGCAAUGGUUCGGCAGCAUGUGACACCACUAGAAUUUGCAGAUACACAAUCCUCAAAUUCAGCUUGCAGCAGCUGCUGCUCUGCGAUGGCAAUGGCUAAAAAAUGAGAAUCAUGAGUAUCGAUUCUUCCAACCCAGUUUUGCCUGUUAAUAAAUAAAGACCAUGCAUUCAGAAUAAAUACAGUGAUAUCCAGAAAAUUGAGGGAAAACAGCUACGCUGCUUUAACUGAUCUUUAAAAAAAAACUAUCUGCUUUAACUGCAGAUGAAAUGGUAGGAUCACAUUCUAAGCCACUCCCACAGAAAUAGCUGGUUUUGACAUUAUUUUUUUAUUUUGAAUUAAUUGGUUUGUCCAAAUUUAUCAAAGGAUAAAGAAUUGUAUCCCACGAGUACCUAAGAUCCAUGUCCAUUUCAUCUGAACAGCAUUUGGGUGGAGGGAGGACAUAAUUUGGUGAGUAAACCUGCAGGCAGAUUAUAAAAAACAAAUAUGAAAACUUCUUCAGCAAUUACAGCAAAAUAAGAAACAUAUACAUUUUCCCCUAUUUUCCUCGUUUCUUCUGCUGGGCAGUUGCCCUGAAAUUGGAUCACUCCUAAACAUACUAGAUCUACACCUAACACCUACCAAAAUCAAGUAGCCGGAUAGACUGAAAUGGCUGCAAAGGUCAAAGUAGCAUAUCUAGAAAUGACACGCCACACAGCAUAAACAGAAAAGAAAAUAAAAAUGCAAAGGUUGGUCUUUUAACAGAAUAACAGAAACACCCACCUGGUUGCAGAUUUCACAUGUAAUGUUCCCCUUCUUGUUGCACCAUCUCUGUAUGCAUUUCCUGUGGGCGAACUGCAUACAACCAACAACAAUAAGUCAACAUACCAUAUUACUAUCAGCAUUUUCUCCAACAGGUACUCCUUAAGUCACGUGUACAACAACAAGGAGGAAAAAGCUUAUUGAACAACUGAAAAUGGGGAGCUGUACAUUAGGAUAAUGAUGAUCUAGCGAUUGAAAAAUUGGAUGAAUGUAUAUGUGUGGAGAAAAGAAGAUAAUGUUUCCAACAACUAAAACGCUCUUUUUAGAAUUCAUUGAAUCCUGAGGACACUGUUUAGACAAACCAAACACUGGCAGAGCACUUUGCAAUCAAAUGAACAGAUGAAACAUGGCAUCACUGUUUUAACUUUAGUUGACGCGAUAAAACAAUCACUUAAUAGAACUUCGAUGCUCCUAGAGUGCCAAGCCUAUAGCUAUCAGAGAUGUCCACAAUAAAAAAAUACUGAGACAAUUCAACAAAAAGGAGCACGAUGAGCAUAUAUAACAUCAACAUAACAAAAAUGAAAUCUCCAAAGAAAAACGUAAUGACCAGAAGGGCAGAAGAAAGUGUAAAUAGAAAUUCAAGCAGAGCAGAACUUACAUCUUGAAAUCUAUCCAGCUCCAUAAAGAAUAUAACAAACAAUCAUCAUAUUUCUACUUCGAUUUUUUACCAACCACUAAACUUAACGCCAGUUCCUCAACAUCCAGGCAAGGAACCUUGCACAGAGGGAGAGCGGGAGGGAGAGAGAAACAGAGGAGAGCGUUCACCUUGAGCGUGCCAGUGCAAGCGCAGGGUGAGUCCAUGGCGCUCUCUUCCCCCUCCUCCUGACAUAUCCGGCACUCAAUCACCCCCUUGACGUCCGCCCCCAGGCCGACCUCCACCUCCACGUGCCCUUCGCCGCCGGAGAAGCCAUCGCCGGCAACCUUCUCGGCGCGCGCCAUCUUCCCAGGAAGCUUUUCUUGGAGCAGGUGGUGAGUCUGGGAACGAGCCAAAAGGCGGGGCCUUUUUAGCUCUGGGGACACCACCAACUCCAAGAACAAGAAGAGGGAAGAGGGGAGAAGAAAUAUACUAAAAUGAGAUAGCCUUUCCCCUUUUUUAUUAUCCUAAUAUUCCGAGCUAUGUCACCAAUUUCUGCAGUUCUUUCUGCUCCAUGCUUUUGCAGUUUGUUUGUUUAUUUAUGGGGUCCAAUGAUGAGUGAGUGAUUGGGUUUGUGGGGUUAGUGGGCAAUGGAUAGCUUCCACUCAUGGCUCCUGCUAGUGGGGGAUGAGUUGAUACUGACACGCUAAUACUGGGAAACCUUUUUCCUUAAUACUGGAACAUAUUUUUCUUCUUUAUUCCGAAGAGAACACUGAUAAGGCAUUGUGUUUUCUCCUCUCUCUCUCUCUCUCGCCUCUUAUGCUAUGAAAAAAUUAUGAGCAAUUUCAUUGCAAGCUUUCCGUUCCCUCUUGUCUGAGCUGGGCUCUAGGUGACUGUGUUAACUCUGGGAAGGCACUAGGCAGGGGUGUGAUUAAAACGCCUUUUGUUUUGUUCUCCCUGAUGUCACGAUUGUACAGUUUGUUUUGCCUUUCUGUUUUGUUUUUUUUUUCUGUUGUUUUUUUUUUGGCUGGUUUCGUCACCCAUGCCGUGUGGUUAGGUGAGGAAGGGGUCGCCGUGUUGCUUGUGAGUAUUCGUUAAACAUAAUCUGCACAUAUAUGUAAACUUGAUUAGAAUCAUGCAAACUUUUUGUUUUAUUGAAGUUGGAUUUUUUUUGUUGGAAAGAUGGGAUUAAAUUGUAAAUGUAAUGGUACAAAUGCUUGUAAAGCACGGUAGCUUGAUCCCUGAAGCAAUGUAAAUGGUACUUGCUUUGCUAACCAAAAUGUCCAUCACUAUUAUGGUGCUUAAGACAAAUCGUGUUGCAUAUCAAGUACAGCAACGAAUAGGAGUGUACUCAUUGGAUACCUUUUGUCGUGGAAACAUACGGUUCUAUCGUACUAAAUGGUCCACUUUAAAAUUUUAAUCACAUUUGGAGCUCGCUUUUCUUUUUUCUUUUUUUUUUAAAAAAGAAAACUACAUUCGAAGCUAUACUGGACCAAUUCAGAGCGAAUCACCAUAUUAUAUGUUUUCCAAAAAAAAAGAACCUGGAAAAAAUGUAAUCAACUGCCUCUAAAAAGGCUACUCCUAUGUAUCUAAAAAUCAUCAGUCAAUGGUAGUGCCUUCCUGCUUCUCUGGGAGACCUUAACUUUUGUGUUGGCAAGAUUUGAUGUGUGUACUUGGGUGGUUAAACCACCCUGGCGUUCGACUUCAACGAGAGGUUGCUGUGCCUUUGGGGACUGCGACUGGUCACCCUCUACAACUAAACACCAUUGCCAUUGAUUUAAGCCAGCUUGUAUGUCACAUUUUUGUGCAGAUAUUUCUGGUUCACAACAGUGCACCUACUUUUUUUAUUUUGAGGAAAUAAUGCAGCUACUCGUAUAAUCAUUCGUCUGAAUCAAUGAUUAUAUAUAGUAAGUUGGUACCUAAUCUGCCUUGGCUAAUUUGUCUGCCAAACCAUCAAUAUAAUUCUUUGCAGAAAAAAAAUGAUAUAAACCAGAAGAUAGGGCACAGAUUAGGGGGGCUGACAACCCAAUGCAUGCCAGAAUCAUCCUCCAAUAAGCAAAGUGUCUGCAUUCACAAUGCUUCAAAAAUUGUACUAUAUAUGGUUCCUGCUCAGACCAAAAAGGAAAGAUGGUACAUGCUGUGUAUUAUGUUUUCAAACAUUGUAGCAACUAUUUGUGAUCUAGAAAUUCUGUUGGUUGGGAGUUAAGCAUUGAAGGUGUCACCAUUCAUUAAAAAAUUAUACUGAAAUCGUGACAGGAAUAUAGGGAAUAAGGUGGUAGUCCAAAUCAUCCCAGGUCCUGAGUCCAAUCAUAUCUGUUAAUGAAAUGACUUCUUUCUGGUAUAAUGAUGUGGCUACUAUCCAUGAAGUGAACAUUUCAGCACUGCAAUAUUAGUGUCAGGAAGUUGCAAAACACUGUCAUGACAGGGAAUUCUUAUGGACCAUGGAAUCAGAGUUGCAGAUGUUUUAGGAUCUUUUUUCUUCACCUACAAUAUAUGCAGCUGAUUUUCUCUGAAAAAAGAAGGAAUAAUAUGUGCAGUUGGCAGGUCACUGGCGAUGUGGGGGAGUGUGAACCUUGGGAGCUGGGGGCACCCCGAAUGAUUGAUCGGGUAGUUGGAAGCCAAGGUGUCAACGGAUGAUACUCCAGACAAAGUGGAUAAGAUUUCGUUAUAGUGUGCAGCAAGCUGGAGCUGCAGUGUCUCAUUGUUGGCAUGGGCCUCCCCAUGCACAUUUUCUUCAGUUCUAAUGAUAUCUGCAACAGGCUCUGAAGCAGAUGUGCUCUGUGUAUUCAUGUUCAGUGCGGCUAUUCAUAUCUUCAGAAAUGUUCCAGUUGCAACUUGCAAAAUCAAAACAGUUGCAACGACUUUCCAAUCAGUCCAUUCAUAAGAGAGAGCACAUGAGCGUGAUAAAUGUAUGCAGGGGAUAGCCUGUUCUUUCUACUCUGAGGAGUCAGAUUGCUCCUCUGAAUCCUCAUCAGAAUCAGAUUUCUCAAGCUGCAGGAUAACAUUGAACCCGAACGCCGAACCAGGAGUGAACGCCGACUCCAUCUCGCUUUCGGUCUGGGUCGUCUUGAUCUCUGGGUUCACCUUGAUGUUUUCCUGAAUCAGUAGCAAAUCAGUGUCAUACCCACCAGGCUACUAAAUAUACACAGGAUAAAUUUUGCUAAGUGUUAUCUGGAUUGGCUUUCACCUUCUUGACAAAUUCUUCGAUGGUGAUGCUCAGUAUCUCCUGAAGGACGAACUUGGUGACCCGACUUUUGCCAAGCAUCUGCAGGAGGAUGCUGCUGGGUAUCUGAAGAACAGCAACAUCAUUAGCUGUGUUCGGUGGUUGCUGAAGGACAAGAGACAACAAGAUUCUGCAGUGCAAGCUUGGGAUUGCACUUUUGUCAGGCCGUAUCAGUAGUUGAUCUCAAUUAGUAGCCGACACUAGCUGUUGAAAUCUAGUUGCCAACAGCUGCGUGUACUCGUGUUUGAUUGAGAAGUUGAUUGAAACAUUAGUAUGUGCUUUUGUUUCAGGAAAAUAGGACGGCACAUCUUAAAGAACAUGUCAUGCUUUGAAGAUUGAUACAACGGUCUUGAAUGGUUUUGCACUGGGGGACUUCAAGUGAAUGCAUGCGUGAGACAAAAGGGAAACCGUACAAUUAAAAGGGUCAGGUACAGGAAAAACUGAGGUUUGCAGGCACUUACAUUUGACGUUUUCCCUUCAAAUGGCCAACGAAUAUCCAUGUAGAGGAAGCAACAAAAUGUUAGAAGUUUGAAUUACUUGGUGAAAGCAAAUGUAAAGAGAUUCUUGUAAGAAAACACGAGCCCAAAUGUAAAGCAAGAAUGUCAAUAAUACGAAGGGGAGAGAUUAUGAGGCACUAAUCAGGAUCAGUACCUCCCUUGGACUUUCUGAAACCAGGAACCGGCGGUGCAUCACGAGACAAGAUCGUCAGGGCUUCAUCAAACACCUUUUGUGUUGCCUUCCCAGGCAACUGCACUCGUACCUUCAUAGAAAUAAAGGAUUGGCAUGGCCGGAUCAGAUUGAAAGAUUCAGUUGCAGAUAUGAGGAAUGGACGGCUACAUGCCUGAACCGAGUUGGCGAGCUCACAUUGAUCUUAUCACCGUCACGGGACGCAACAGACGUCUUGACGUUCUCCAGCGACAGGUCGCUCUUCCUGUCGGCUUCAGUGAUCGACGAGUCCCGACCUACAUGCAUUUCUUGAAGACGUUAGCAAUGUCUGAAAUUCUAAACAUUAAGUCUCUGAACAUUGUGGAUCGAUAGGAUAGGACCGAUAUGCUUCUGCAUUGUACGCAGUUGCAGAACUCACCUGAUCCAACUGCAGACACCGGCUGGAAUGUGUGCCUCAAACUUGUUCCUACACCGGAACCGGAACGAAGGAACCUGUGAAAGCAAGCCUGAACACUGAAGACUGAAACUCCGAAAGUGACAAGCCACAAAGGAAAAAAAAAGUUCAGUUUACCCCUGCGCAGGUAUCCGGCACUUGGAGGCGCCGCAUAUUCUGAUGUGCGCACGAACUUGAUCAAUUACCUGAGGGUUGAGAAUGCCGAGAUGAGUGCCCGCGGCCAAGGGCUAGUGCAAUUGUUUGUUGGAAGUAAUCUACAGGGCAACUGAUGAACUGAACCUUCACGAGGGAGAGUAGGAGAAUGGGACCUGAAAGUAGCUGCGGCAUCUUGGCCUUGACUGAAACUUGGGGAGGGUUGCGGCCGAGGCCAUGGAGGUGACUCCUGCAGUCCCGCCGCCCGUCCAGUUUCAGCCGGCCGGAGUUGGGGAGGCUGCGGAGCUUAGGAAGACGACGGAGAAAUUGGAGCCAUAAAACGCCAUCCAAAAUUAUCUGCAACUGCAACGAGAGUUGUGUGCUGAUUUUGGGCUGGGCCGCGUUUCCUGCUUAAAUAGGGCACAAGUUUUGCUGGGCUAGAUUCCAGAGUCCAACGUUGGAUGGGCCCGAUUCCAGUUUCUCCUCACUCUCGGACUGAAGGCCGCGUGCCCUCUCCAGUUUCCAACCAGCCCGGUUCUUAUGUUCCAUCUUUCGCACAGUUUUUUUUUGUGAGAAAGGACACUUUGUUAGGCAACUCUCUGCGUUCCCUCGUACAACAAACGUAUUUCAAACACGUGUAGCAGCAAGCUAAUUCAACGGUUGCAGCAACUCAAAAUACGAUUCGUAUUGGCACAACUUUAUAUACACUUAAAUAUGCACACAAUUUAACUAAUUGUCGACCAAAACUUAUAAGUCUGACUUUCUCAAAUUCUAUUACAUUCUACACGAAGUAAUAGAGAGAUAUAGCAGUCAGUUAGUUUGUACUCCUUCCGUUCCAAAAUACUAUUUGUUUUGAUUGAUUAUUUUAAGUACAUAGUUUUUGCUAUAAUUCAUGAUGAUGCAACAGAUAACUCCGAAUGCCUGCAAAAGGGCCAAAAGUUAAAAAGCAAUUUCAAUAACAUUAGCUUCCUCAUAUUAGAAAUCAAUUUGGAAUUAGGUGAGGCCUGCAAAUUACCCUCGUGAAGGGUUUCCAGGCCGGGCUAAUGGUCCCGCUGCUGGGUGGUGGAUCGUAGUAGACUAGUAAUCGUCGUCUGCCGACGAGUAUAGUACCCGGCAUUGUCGUCGCACAUCAUCAUGCUCAGGAUCAUCGCAUCACCCAUGGCCGUACAAAACGGUCGAGUAACAAGGGUCGAUUGGCACUCGGCAACGCCCCACGUUGCAGCCGGUAAACAUUACUAUUCGUAUUUCAUCUUUUUAAUAUAAUGAUGAUACGUAGCUUUCCUGCGUAUUCAAGAAAAAUAUAAUCCCAUUUUAGGUAAGGUAGAACCGUAUCGGACUUGUUCCCCGACCGAAAACAAACAUAUUGUAAAAACAACGGGAUCUGAAUGUCUGAAACUGACAAUGUAAUAUAAUCCAGAGCCACACAAUGUAGAUUUGAUGGCACGAUGUAGUUAAGCGGCUAAAAGAUUGGCACGGCGGAGGAGGUAGUCAAGCGCGUCUGUGCGACUGUGCGUGCGUGAGGCAACAACGAGUUGUCCAGUUGGACGCCGUGCUCUCUUUACGCCAUCAAAGAAUCACAAACCUAAUUUCUUGUAACAUUUUCAUCGGGACAUUUUGCACAUAUACGGAACGUCCUGAACAAUUCUUGCCAUAAAGCAAAUUCGAGAGACUCGCAACAAUAUCAAUCGAAAGCUGACAUAAAGAGAAAAUCAGGCUGGCUUGGAUUCCAUGGCCUUUUUAUGAGUUCAGGUAUGCCUAGUGUACACCGACUUGGACUAGCUCAAGCUCAACAAGUCAAGCAGUCUCGUUCCGGAAAAGGAGGAUGCGAUUCGUGUCCGUCCUAAAUUGCAAGCAUAUUGAGUCCGGAUUUAAUUCAAGAAUAUGAGUCUAAAAUGAUCAUAGCCGUAUUGAUGUAAAUCUCUUUGAAACGUGCCACGUUUCCUUUUUCUUUCACCGGUGUCCCCAGACGCGCGUCGAUCGCCUCCGCAGACCAGAGAUUUUGCCCUAGCCUGCUCUAGGUUUCACCGUCGAUCUGUGCACCUGCUAGAUCGAUCACAGGCUCCAUGGCGUUCCCCAUCCCCUUGAUGCACAGCAACCGCAGCCGAUGGCAGCGAGCGUCGGCCGAGGACCUCGCCUGCCGCAAGAUGGAGGAAGGAGCGCACGCCGUCGGCCUUCUUCCCCCCACGAGCGACGCCACCGGGAACUUCGUGAGCAUCGCCUUCAGCGUACGCGGAUCCAUGGAGUUUUUUUACCCGUCACCUCCCAUACCAUGGACAUCCAAAGUCCACAUGAUCAGUAGAUCUAGAUGUUCUUCUCCUUGUGCUCACUCACGUACAUCUUUAUUUUGCUCCUGCAGUAUUUUACAACCGUCGUGGGUAUCGCGAUGCUGGCUUAUCUUUGUGUCUUGCGGUUCGUGUACCACGACCCUGAAGUGCAAGAUCCCAUCCCAAUGUUAAUUCUUGCUGCUUUAGCUCUUCUUGUGAUAGGAAUUGGAUACCUCCAGUCGAAAUGUUUUGAGGACUGAGAAAAAAUGUAGACCAUAUCAUCAGUAAGCACAAGCUGGAUACAUGAUGAUUAACUAAUUCUGCUCUGUCCCUUGCUCGAUCGAUCCCUUCAGUCUCGAGGCCGUGUGGCGCUUGCGCAGUGUUAACUUAUGUCACCGCCGGGACAUCAGUUCCCUUCUUCGUGCCUCCCCUUUUUUGUUUAUUUCCCGUUCUUUUCCGUGCCCGCGUUACGCUUGAAACGGGUUAGUUUCAUAGUCCUAAACGCGUACGACACGACAAACCUGAGCUUUUUUUCAUAGUCGGACACGACACGACAUGAGUAAUUUAGGGGCAAGUACAUUGGUGUCGUCUAAUAGGUGGUCUCAUGCAUUGACACGUAAUCUUGAGAUGAUUUAACAGGCAACCUGUACAAUGGGUUGUCCUAUAAGUUGUCUGGUAGUGGUAUAUAAUUCCUUAAUUUGUGUAUAAGAAAAAUAAAAUAUUAUGAGUUGCAUGGCAACAAUAACUCGUACAAUGGUUGUUAAGUUGUCUCGUAGUCCUACAAUUUAGCUCAUGAGGUGGUUGUUUCACGAAGCAACGACCUCGCUCUCUCUCCUCCACAUCAUCAAAAAUCCUACGUGGCACUGCAUGAGACGACUUAUGAGACCGCUGACGUGUAGCAAUGUACUUGACCUUAUGCUGGAUAGGAGUAUACACUCUUAAACACGGCCGGUGUUCUUCCGAACUCCGGUGUCCCGCCUCGUCUUCUCCGUAGAGAUCUUGCCCUCACCAACCUUAGGUUUCACCGUGGAUCCGUGCACCGGGUCACAGGCUCAAUGUCGUGCUCGUCCGCCGGCGGCAUCCUCCUGAUCCUCCAAAUCGCCAGACGGUCGCAGUAGCGACAUGGCAACCCUCACCAGCCACCAGCGUCGGUGGCCGGAGACCUCGCCUAUCGCAAGAUGGAGGAAGGAGCGUGCGAUCCUCCACCUGCCAAGGAAACACGCAGCGACUUCCCGUACAUCGCAUUCGCGGUUCAAAAACUAGCUAGAGACCCUUUCCCUCUACCGUACGCCCCUCCCAUGCAUCAGCAACUCCAAAAGCUCCUUUAAAAUUACUCCAAAAUCUUAUUUAUGGAAAAAAUAAAAAAUAUUUACCUCCAACAGCUCCCCCAUCCUUCCCGCAAAAAUACACGGACGCGAAAAAUAUCUCCGUCAUCCCACAUAUAUCCGCGAGUCCGGUCCUUCCCAAAUCGCCCCCAAACUGCUCCUUCCCGCGUGUUGAUCCGUUCCCACGCUAGGCCCUCGCGGAUGUCCGGCUGCAUGCAGUUCACGCCCUCCAUCGCUAACCCGUAGAUCUUGCGCCACGCUCGAAGCCCGUCGAGUUGAAGUAGGUGCGGAAUCGAGCGCGGCAACUAGCCUAAAUCCAAGAAAUAGUGAUCGCAUCACGAUCAUGGGCUCACCAUAGCUCAGUUUGUGUAGUUGGAGAAGAGGGGAUUGGGAGGAUGGGGUUUGAUGGUGAGGGGCGGCUGGCGGCAAUGGCAGCCGUUGGAGCUUCAAUCCCCAGCGCCUGGGACCAUGGCGCAAGGCAGGAAGAGGUGGAGGAGGUAGCCGGGCAGGUGAGCCAGGUGUGGGCGGCGGCGAUUUGAAAUUGGUAGAGUAGGGGCGGCGGAUUUGGCCGGCGGGUAGAGCGCUGCUCGCUCGUUUGUUUAUGGUAGACGAAGAAGAAAGGAGAGCGAGAGAGGAAGAAAGCAUAGAGGUGGCUUGGAGGGGAGAGGAGGGAUGGGGCCAGCCGACUUGGCGAGGAUAAGGUCGGGUGAGGAGGACCGGAGCAGGUUGUUGGUACUGGGGUCGUGCGCUCGCGUGACCGGCUGACUUGGUGGCAGCACCUUGACAGGCGCGUUCGGUCGCGGCAUGGGCCGUGGUACGGCAAGGGAUGCGCAUGGCACGGUGAUAGCACGGCAAGGCAGGCAGGGAGAGCGGUCCACGUGCUGACGUGGUCAUUUUUGAAGUAUUGAGGAAUUUAUUAUUGGGAUCUACUCUAGAAUGAUAUGAUUUUAGGAGAAAAUAUUUUUAGCAGAAUCUAAUAGAUAGAUUUAUUGGAAUUGUUCGAGCCCAGGUGAACCUUCCUCCAUCUUGCGGUAGGCGAGGUCCCCGGCCGACGCUCGCUGCCAACGUCUGGGGUUGCUGAGCAUCACGGCAGUGCCGACGGGGAACGCCAUGGAGCCUGAGAUCGAUCUAGCAAGCGCAUAGAUCGACGGUGAAACCUAGAGCAGGCGAGGGCAAAAUCUCUGGUCUGCGGAGACGACACGCGUCUGGGGACACCAGAAGCGUGAUGGCGAGGGGGACAGGCCCGACUAGUUCGGAAGAAAGUCGUGUUAAGUUAAAAGUAUUGCGGGACAUAUUGAAUAUUCGGAAGCUAAUUAGAAGGACUAAAUAUUUAAUUAUAAAACUACUUACACAUAUGGAAGCUAAUUCACGAGACGAAUCUAUUAAACUUAAUUAAUCCAUAAUUAGCACAUAUUUACUAAUUCACGAGACGAAUCUAUUAAGCUUAAUUAAUCCAUAAUUAGCACAUAUUUACUGUAGCAUCACAUUGUCAAAUCAUAAAUUAAUUAGACUUAAUAGAUUCGUCUCGCAAAUUAGUCUCCAUCUGUGCAAUUAGUUUUAUAGUUAGCCUAUAUUUAAUACUCCUAAUUAGUAUCUAAACAUUCGAUGUCACAAGAAUCUUCUAGGAUGUGCUAAAAAAACAAACAACCCCACGUCGAUCUACCGCUAUAAAAAAAAAAUUGAGGUCUGUGUCGUGUCCGGUUACCGCUAUGAAAAAAAGUUGAGCAGGUCUUACAUUAUAUUACACUAAUCAAUGAUGCAUGUUCCACGGGCGGUGGUGAACUGGUGAUGAGACGCACUCCAUCCUCCUCGCCGUCAGCGCGCGGUGGCCGGAGCCCGUGUGAUCGCGCCCGCGGACAGAUCAAACACACACGGAUCUGUACGGAAGGAUAUGUUCCGUGAGUCUUUCAGUCCGCCGCCGGCUUCCUCUUCUCCGCCGCCAUCUCCCUCCCUUCCCCUCUCGCGAAGUGAAGCGGAUGCCACGAGAUCUGCCCGCCUGUGGCGGGAAUGGGCGCCGUGACGGCGCCUGGUCCUUGGGGCGCGACCGUGACGCGCGAGUGGGGGUCUUUCUCUCGGUCGGCAGGCUGACCCACCAGAGAGGGGUUGCGCAUGCCCUUGGGGGAGUGGGGCGCGGACACCUGCCGGCGUCGUGUGACCGCGGCGGGCCGGGGCCCGGGGGGCGUCGCUGCUUGGUGCAGCUGCGACUGGGAGCGGCCGGGGCGCGUGAGGGGACCCGUCUUUGCCCGCGCGGUCGGCCGUUGGCCAUGGCCAACCCCAGUUGACGGGCACGGAUCCACCUCCACGACGCCGAGGUCACCGCGCUCCCCCCGCCGCCACCCUUCUUGGUACACCCCCCCCCCCCACCCCCCACCCCCCACCCCCCAAUUUCUCAUUGGUCUCCAUGUCUCAGAAAUUAAUUAGAGGCUAACAUUUUCUGUGGUAAUUUUACCCUUUUUUUUCUCUUUGUAACGUUGGUGAUCUUCUUGGAUUCUGAAAAAGAUCUAAUUGAUUUAGUUUUUUUUGUAACUCAUAUAUUCUCUUCAGGUGAAGCAACGGCAAGCAGCAAAGGUUCCACCCAUAAGCCACAGUUCAUCAGAGUGCUUCCAAAAGAUUUCAUGGAAAAGAUGGUGCGCAUAUCGUUGUUGACUUUGCUUUCACUUGUUGUAAUGACCUGACUUCUCUUCUGUCUAUGUGUUCUUGCAGCUGAUACCUGCUAAGUUUGUGCAAUAGCAUAUCCCCAUGGAGCUACUUGAUAAUCGUACGGCCAUCGUUUUUGGCCCCUCUGGCAAAGGUUACAGCAUUAAACUUGAAAUGGGUUGGACGGGCGUGUUCUUUGCAGUUGGUUGGUCACAGUUUCUCAAGUUUCAUGACAUUACUGAAGCUAAUGCUCUGUUGCUACGGUAUGAGGGAAACAUGGUGUUUACACUCAAAGCGUAUGGGCCAAAUGGAUACCAGAGAGAGUUCAACCAAAGGAAAACAGAGGUCGACAAAGUGAGCAAAAUAUAACUAUGUCUAUGGUUUUCUUUUUAAGCUGUUAGCAAUGGAUGUGAAUGAGUUAAAUUAAAUACUGAAGUGCAUGCAUGUCUCUUUUGUCUUAUCAAGUACCAACAUUGCCAGAUAUUGAAGAGCAGCAGGAAGCACCAUCUGCUUCCAUUCAGAAGCAGCAAGAAGCACCAUCUGCUUCCAUUCAGAAGCAGUAUAACAACAAUUUGCCAAGCAGUAAUGGAGAAAAGGAACAACAAAGCCUCACAGCAUCUUGGAACCAGACAUCAUUCAAGAUCGCGCCACCAUCAUCGAUAGAGAAGCAGAUUGAUGCCAACACACUUAAAAAUCAUAUUGUAAGUGCAAGCAUUUCCCUGUUAAAUAGAUUAAAUUGUAUGCUAAAAAACAAUAUGAGCUGAACAGCUGCUAUCAUAUGGCAUCUGGGACAGGAAGAAACAUAGAUAUUGGCUUUGAAUUCCUCACAGAGAAACAUGUUCAUAUGAUCAAAUGAUGCUCUAAUGAUGCUCUAACUACUAAUGCUAUAUGCACACGCUAACAGGAAGAAACAAAUCAAAAGAUUUUAGUUCCUCAUUGAGAAAGAGACUGACAUGCUCUUAGUAGCUGUAACUUCUAAGAAUAUAUGCACAUGUAACAGAGUGACAGGAAGAAACAAAUCAAUAUAUUAAGUUCAGAACUAGGUAAUAAUAAUAUUGUAUGACAUUUUUAUAUGCCAUUUGUCAUGUAUAUGCACUUGAGUGAUUGUUAUCAACCCAAAAGAAACGGAACUUAGAUCAAGCAGUCGGUAUUCGCCCACUGUGAUAUAUAGUGAACUGUCGACUGCUUACUGGAACCAAUGUGAUUGCAAUUAUUGCAGGUUUUGCCAGAAGCAUUCUGUGAUGGUAUUGGGUUGCGGGAACGCUGUGCGAUUACACUCAAGACCUUAAGGAAUGGUAGUGAAUCUUGGCAGGUACAUAGUCUCCCAUGCAAGAAUAACAGCUACCAGCUCAAGAAGGGUUCGUUGCUUAGUCCUGCUCUCUCCAUUUUUUUUCUGCCAGGGAAAAAUGAUUCAUUAAAUUUUAACUAGGUAAAACAUCACCAUCUGUGCGUACAACGUGCUGCAUACAAGAUUAACUUCAUGCUUACCAAGAGUAGUAAGGUACAUUGCACAUUAGAGUGUGAAAGGAACAAAGGAUACGGGGCAGUCAUUCUCUAUGCUUCAGAAUCCUAAAGUUCAUGAAGGGGAGGAACCCAAAGUACCAAAACGACCAUCACAUGGCCAGUACCAAAACGACCAUCACAUGGCCAAUACCAAAACGACCAUCACAGGACCAUGCAUCUCACCACAAGCAUUCAAGUCAAAUUUAAUCAUUCUGAAGCUACAAAGAGUAUUCGCCUAGCAUGCUGCAUUUCAAUGCUCCUGAUUCCGACCUCUUACAAUCUGUUCUCUCAUGAAAAUCUACUGGUUCAGGUUCGCUCGACGCUGAACCUGCAAUGCGAAUUAUCUAAUCAUGCUGAUGAUACAAUUAUGAAUAGGUCGGAUACAAAUAUGUGCAUGUGUAACUGAAGGGUUUAAGAGGCACACCAUCAUGAAAGAAAAACGAAGUGGAUCAGGGAGGCAAGUACUAGCCUAAAACUGAGGCCGAGUUUGUGAUCAAUGUCUAUAGUUAGGUAAGCGAAGAUAAUAAUGAAUCCAUUCACCGCUGCAAGAAGGAUCGUUACUAAUGACCAAUACCAAGACGUACUGAUGGACUGGAACACAUGGCCAACAAGUAUGAAUUGCACCUAACAUCCCAAAGUGGUCGAGGAUCUGCACGCACUGACGCUCUCAAAGAGAGACUGCGAAGGCGCUGCAGGUCAUGCCGGCGGAUUGCAGGAUCCACCAUAAGCACAGACCAGCGUGCUUAGUCCUGCUUUGUCCAUUUUUUUUUCUGCCAGAGGAAAGAUGAUCCAUUAAAUUUUAACUAGGUAAAACAAUACCAUCUGUGCGCACAACGUACUGCAUACCAGAUUAACUUCAUGGUUACCAAGAGCAGUGUGGUACAUUACACAUUAGAGUGUGAAAGGAACAAAUGAUACCGGCCAGUCAUUCUCCAUGCUUAGGAAUCGUAAAGUUCACGAGGAGGAACCCAAAGUACCAAAACGACCAUCACAUGGCCAAUGUCAAAACGACCAUCACAGGACCAUGCAUCUCACCACAAGCAUUCAAGUCAAAUUUAAUCAUUCUGAAGCUACAAAGAGUAUUCGCCUAACAUGCUACAUUUCCAUGCUCCUACUUCCAGCCUCUUACAAUCUGUUCUCUCAUGAAAAUCUACUGGUUCAGGUUCGCUCGACGCUGAACCUGCAAUGCGAAUUAUCUAAUCAUGCUGAUGAUACAAUUAUGAAUAGGUCGGAUACAAAUAUGUGCAUGUGUAACUGAAGGGUUUAAGAUGCACACCAUCAUGAAAGAAAAACGAAGUGGAUCAGGGAGGCAAGUACUAGCCCAAAACUGAGGCCGAGUUUGUGGUCAAUGUCUAUAGUUAGGUAAGCGAAGACAAUAAUGAAUCCAUUCACCGCUGCAAGAAGGAUCGUUACUAAUGACCAAUACCAAGACGUACUGAUGGACUGGAACACAUGGCCAACAAGUAUGAAUCGCACCUAACAUCCCAAAGUGGUCGAGGAUCUUCACGCACUGACGCUCUCAAAGAGAGACUGCGAAGGCGCUGCAGGUCAUGCCGGCGGAUUGCAGGAUCCACCAUAAGCACAGACCGGCGUGCUUAGUCCUGCUUUGUCCAUUUUUUUUAUACCAGAGGAAAGAUGAUUCAUUAAAUUUUAACUAGGUAAAACAAUACCAUCUGUGCGCACAACGUACUGCAUACCAGAUUAACUUCAUGGUUACCAAGAGCAGUGUGGUACAUUACACAUUAGAGUUUGAAAGGAACAAAUGAUACCGGCCAGUCAUUCUCCAUGCUUAGGAAUCCUAAAGUUCACGAAGAGGAGGAACCCAAAGUACCAAAACGACCAUCACAUGGCCAAUGUCAAAACGACCAUCACAGGACCAUGCAUCUCACCACAAGCAUUCAAGUCAAAUUUAAGCAUUCUGAAGCUACAAAGAGUAUUCGCCUAGCAUGCUGCAUUUCCAUGCUCCUGCUUCCAGCCUCUUACAAUCUGUUCUUUCAUGAAAAUCUACUGGUUCAGGUUCGCUCGACGCCGAACCUGCAAUGCGAAUUAUCUAAUCAUGCUGAUGAUACAAUUAUGAAUAGGGCGGAUACAAACAUUUGCAUCUGUAACUGAAUGUGUAGAACCGUAUCGGACUUCUUCCUCGACCGAAAACAAACAUAUUGUGAAAAUAACGGGAUCUGAAUGUCUGAAACCGACAAUAUAAUAUAAUCCAGAGCCACGCAAUGUAGAUUUGAUGGCACGAUGUAGUUAAGCGGCUAAAAGAUUGGCGCGGCGGAGGAGGUCGUCAAGCGUGUCUCUGCGACUGCGUGCGUGAGGCAACGAGUUGUCCAGUUGGACGCCGUGCUCUGUUUACGCCAUCAAAGAUUCACAAACCUAAUUUCUCGUAACAUUUUCAUCGGGACAUUUUGCAUAUGUACUGAACGUCCUGAACAAUACUUGCCAUAAAGCCAAUUCGAGAGACUCGCAACAAUAUCAAUCGAAAGCUGACAUAAACAGAAAAUUAGGCUAACAAGUUUCACUAUAUUCAUUAUGAAAUAUAUUUUCAUAGCACAUCUAUUUAAUGUUAUAAAUAUAUUUUCAUAGCAUUCAAGUCAAAUUUAAUAAUUCUGAAGCUACAAACAGUAUUCACCUAGCAUGCUUCAUUUCCAUGCUCCUGCUUCCAGCCUCUUACAAUCCGUUCCCUCAUAAAAAUCUACCGGUUCGGGUUCGAUCAACGUCGAACCUGCAAUGCGAAUCAUUUAAUCAUGCUGAUGAUACUGAUGAUACAGUUAUGAAUAGGCUGGAUACAAACAUGUGCAUAUGUAACUGAAUGAUUUAAGAGGCAUACCAUCAUGAAAGAAAUGAUGUGGAUCAGGAAGGCAAGUACCAGCCAGAAACCGAGGCUGAAUAUGUGGUGAAUGUCUCGAGCCAGGUAAGCGAAGACAAUAAUGAAUCCAUUCACCGUUGAAGAAGGAUCAUUAGUCUAAUGACCAAUACCAAGACGUCCUGAUGGGCUGGAACACAUGGCCAACAAGUAUGAAUCGCACCUAACAUCCUAAUGUGGUCAAGGAUCUGCAUGCACAGCCGCUCUCGAAGAGGGACUGCGAAGGCCCUGAAGGUCGUGCUGGCGGUUUGCAGGAUCCACCAUAAGCACAGAGCGGCGUGAAUGCAGCAUCGGAGGAUCUCGGGAAAUAUCUUCACCCUCGCCGUAACUGUAUCAGGUCCGAGGCAUGUGAUCAAAACCAACGAGCCACUCAGCGCGAACGAAGCCAUGUCUGACAUUUUCCUCCCCCCUGCAUCAUGCAAUUGGUGAGGGGAACACUCAUCAAACCCCUGCCAUUGAAGGCUUGAACACGUAAAUCCGACAAAGAACAUAGCAUACCUGACCAAAAGCGGGCUGGACUCUUACUGGCGCCGCCGCCGCACCGUCUCCCGUCUCACCGAGACGACGUCUCCUUCCCCAGAGGCACAAGCAUUCAAGUCACAUGUAAUAAUUCUGAAGCUACAAACAGUAUUCACCGAGCAUGCUUCAUUUCCAUGCUCCUGCUUCCAGCCUGUUACAAUCCGUUCCCUCAUGAAAAUCUACCGGUUCGGGUUCGAUAGACGCCGAACCUGCAAUGCGAAUCAUUUAAUCAUGCUCAUGAUACAGUUAUGAAUAGGGUGGAUACAAACAUGUGCAUGUCUAACUGAAUGGUUUAAGAGGCAUACCAUCAUGAAAGAAAUGAUGUGGAUCAGGGAGGCAAGUACCAGCCAGAAACCGAGGCUGAAUAUGUGGUGAAUGUCUCGAGCCAGGUAAGCGAAGACAAUAAUGAAUCCAUUCACCGUUGAAGAAGGAUCAUUAGUCUAAUGACCAAUACCAAGAUGUACUGAUGGGCUGGAACACAUGGCCAACAAGUAUGAAUCGUUCCUAACAUCCCAAUGUGGUCAAGGAUCUGCAUGCACAGCCGCUCUCGAAGAGGGACUGCGAAGGCCCUGAAGGUCGUGCUGGCGGUUUGCAGGAUCCACCAUAAGCACAGAGCGGCGUGAAUGCACCAUCGGAGGAUCUCGGGAAAUAUCUUCACCCUCGCCGUCACUGUAUCAGGUCCGAGGCAUGUGAUCAAAACCAACGAGCCACUCAGCGCGAACGAAGCCAUGUCUGACAUUACUCCCCCCUGCAUCAUGCAAUUGGUGAGGGGAACACUCAUCAAACCCCUGCCAUUGAAGGCUUGACCACGCAAAUUCGACAAAGAACAUAGCGUACCUGACCAAAAGCGAGCUAGACUCUUACUGGCGCCGCCGCCGCACCGUCUCCCGUCUCACCGAGACGACGUCUCCUUCCCCAGAGGCACAAGCAUUCAAGUCACAUGUAAUAAUUCUGAAGCUACAAACAGUAUUCACCUAGCAUGCUUUAUUUCCAUGCUCCUGCUUCCAGCCUCUUACAAUCCGUUCCCUCAUGAAAAUCUACCGGUUCGGGUUCGAUCGACGCCGAACCUGCAAUGCGAAUCAUUUAAUCAUGCUGAUGAUACAGUUAUGAAUAUGCUGGAUGCAAACAUGUGCAUGUGUAACUGAAUGGUUUAAGAGGCAUACCAUCAUGAAAAGAAAUGAUGUGGAUCAGGGAGGCAAGUACCAGCCAGAAACCGAGGCUGAAUACGUGGUGAAUGUCUCGAGCCAGGUAAGCGAAGACAAUAAUGAAUCCAUUCACCGUUUAAGAAGGAUCAUUAGUCUAAUGACCAACACCAAGACGUACUGAUGGGCUGGAACAAUGGGCCAACAAGUAUGAAUCGCACCUAACAUCCCAAUAUGGUCAAGUAUCUGCAUCCACAGCCGCUCUCGAAGAGGGACUGCGAAGGCCCUAAAGGUCGUGCUGGCGGUUUUGCAGGAUCCACCAUAAGCACAGAGCGGCAUGAAUGCAACAUCGGAGGAUCUCGGGAAAUAUCUUCACCCUCGCCGUAACUGUAUCAGGUUCGAGGCAUGUGAUUAAAACCAACGAGCCACUCAGCGCGAACGAAGCCAUGUCUGACAUUUUCCUCCCCCCUGCAUCAUGCAAUUGGUGAGGGGAACACUCAUCAAACCCCUGCCAUUGAAGGCUCGAACACGCAAAUCCGACAAAGAACAUAGCACACCUGACCAAAAGCGGGCUGGACUCUUACUGGCGCCGCCGCCGCACCGUCUCCCGUCUCACCGAGACGACGUCUCCUUCCCCAGAGGCACAAGCAUUCAAGUCACAUGUAAUAAUUCUGAAGCUACAAACAGUAUUCACCGAGCAUGCUUCAUUUCCAUGCUCCUGCUUCCAGCCUGUUACAAUCCGUUCCCUCAUGGAAAUCUACCGGUUCGGGUUCGAUCGACGCCGAACCUGCAAUGCGAAUCAUUUAAUCAUGCUGAUGAUAGAGUUAUGAAUAGGCUGAAUAGAAACAUGUGCAUGUGUAACUGAAUGGUUUAAGAGGCAUACCAUCAUGAAAGAAAUGAUGUGGAUCAGGGAGGCAAGUACCAGCCAGAAACCGAGACUGAAUAUGUGGUGAAUGUCACGAGCCAGGUAAGCGAAGAUAAUAAUGAAUCCAUUCACCGUUGAAGAAGGAUCAUUAGUCUAAGGACCAAUACCAAGACGUACUAAUGGGCUGGAACACAUGGCCAACAAGUAUGAAUCGCACCUAACAUCCCAAUGUGGUCAAGGAUCUGCAUGCACAACCGCUCUCAAAGAGGGACUGCGAAGACCCUGAAGGUCGUGCUGGCGGUUUGCAGGAUCCACCAUAAGCACAGAGCGGCGUGAAUGCACCAUCGGAGGAUCUCAGGAAAUAUCUUCACCCUCGCCGUAACUGUAUCAGGUCCGAGGCAUGUGAUCAAAACCAACGAGCCACUCAGCGCGAACGAAGCCAUGUCUGACAUUUUCCUCCCCCCUGCAUCAUGCAAUUGGUGAGGGGAACACUCAUCAAACCCCUGCCAUUGAAGGCUUGAACACGUAAAUCCGACAAAGAACAUAGCAUACCUGACCAAAAGCGGGCUGGACUCUUACUGGCGCCGCCGCCGCACCGUCUCCCGUCUCACCGAGACGACGUCUCCUUCCCCAGAGGCACAAGCAUUCAAGUCACAUGUAAUAAUUCUGAAGCUACAAACAGUAUUCACCGAGCAUGCUUCAUUUCCAUGCUCCUGCUUCCAGCCUGUUACAAUCCGUUCCCUCAUGAAAAUCUACCGGUUCGGGUUCGAUAGACGCCGAACCUGCAAUGCGAAUCAUUUAAUCAUGCUCAUGAUACAGUUAUGAAUAGGGUGGAUACAAACAUGUGCAUGUCUAACUGAAUGGUUUAAGAGGCAUACCAUCAUGAAAGAAAUGAUGUGGAUCAGGGAGGCAAGUACCAGCCAGAAACCGAGGCUGAAUAUGUGGUGAAUGUCUCGAGCCAGGUAAGCGAAGACAAUAAUGAAUCCAUUCACCGUUGAAGAAGGAUCAUUAGUCUAAUGACCAAUACCAAGAUGUACUGAUGGGCUGGAACACAUGGCCAACAAGUAUGAAUCGUUCCUAACAUCCCAAUGUGGUCAAGGAUCUGCAUGCACAGCCGCUCUCGAAGAGGGACUGCGAAGGCCCUGAAGGUCGUGCUGGCGGUUUGCAGGAUCCACCAUAAGCACAGAGCGGCGUGAAUGCACCAUCGGAGGAUCUCGGGAAAUAUCUUCACCCUCGCCGUCAUUGUAUCAGGUCCGAGGCAUGUGAUCAAAACCAACGAGCCACUCAGCGCGAACGAAGCCAUGUCUGACAUUACUCCCCCCUGCAUCAUGCAAUUGGUGAGGGGAACACUCAUCAAACCCCUGCCAUUGAAGGCUUGACCACGCAAAUUCGACAAAGAACAUAGCGUACCUGACCAAAAGCGAGCUAGACUCUUACUGGCGCCGCCGCCGCACCGUCUCCCGUCUCACCGAGACGACGUCUCCUUCCCCAGAGGCACAAGCAUUCAAGUCACAUGUAAUAAUUCUGAAGCUACAAACAGUAUUCACCUAGCAUGCUUUAUUUCCAUGCUCCUGCUUCCAGCCUCUUACAAUCCGUUCCCUCAUGAAAAUCUACCGGUUCGGGUUCGAUCGACGCCGAACCUGCAAUGCGAAUCAUUUAAUCAUGCUGAUGAUACAGUUAUGAAUAUGCUGGAUGCAAACAUGUGCAUGUGUAACUGAAUGGUUUAAGAGGCAUACCAUCAUGAAAAGAAAUGAUGUGGAUCAGGGAGGCAAGUACCAGCCAGAAACCGAGGCUGAAUAUGUGGUGAAUGUCUCGAGCCAGGUAAGCGAAGACAAUAAUGAAUCCAUUCACCGUUUAAGAAGGAUCAUUAGUCUAAUGACCAACACCAAGACGUACUGAUGGGCUGGAACAAUGGGCCAACAAGUAUGAAUCGCACCUAACAUCCCAAUAUGGUCAAGUAUCUGCAUCCACAGCCGCUCUCGAAGAGGGACUGCGAAGGCCCUAAAGGUCGUGCUGGCGGUUUGCAGGAUCCACCAUAAGCACAGAGCGGCAUGAAUGCAACAUCGGAGGAUCUCGGGAAAUAUCUUCACCCUCGCCGUAACUGUAUCAGGUUCGAGGCAUGUGAUUAAAACCAACGAGCCACUCAGCGCGAACGAAGCCAUGUCUGACAUUUUCCUCCCCCCUGCAUCAUGCAAUUGGUGAGGGGAACACUCAUCAAACCCCUGCCAUUGAAGGCUCGAACACGCAAAUCCGACAAAGAACAUAGCACACCUGACCAAAAGCGGGCUGGACUCUUACUGGCGCCGCCGCCGCACCGUCUCCCGUCUCACCGAGACGACGUCUCCUUCCCCAGAGGCACAAGCAUUCAAGUCACAUGUAAUAAUUCUGAAGCUACAAACAGUAUUCACCGAGCAUGCUUCAUUUCCAUGCUCCUGCUUCCAGCCUGUUACAAUCCGUUCCCUCAUGGAAAUCUACCGGUUCGGGUUCGAUCGACGCCGAACCUGCAAUGCGAAUCAUUUAAUCAUGCUGAUGAUAGAGUUAUGAAUAGGCUGAAUAGAAACAUGUGCAUGUGUAACUGAAUGGUUUAAGAGGCAUACCAUCAUGAAAGAAAUGAUGUGGAUCAGGGAGGCAAGUACCAGCCAGAAACCGAGACUGAAUAUGUGGUGAAUGUCACGAGCCAGGUAAGCGAAGAUAAUAAUGAAUCCAUUCACCGUUGAAGAAGGAUCAUUAGUCUAAGGACCAAUACCAAGACGUACUAAUGGGCUGGAACACAUGGCCAACAAGUAUGAAUCGCACCUAACAUCCCAAUGUGGUCAAGGAUCUGCAUGCACAACCGCUCUCAAAGAGGGACUGCGAAGGCCCUGAAGGUCGUGCUGGCGGUUUGCAGGAUCCACCAUAAGCACAGAGCGGCGUGAAUGCACCAUCGGAGGAUCUCGGGAAAUAUCUUCACCCUCGCCGUAACUGUAUCAGCUCCGAGGCAUGUGAUCAAAACCAACGAGCCACUCAGCGCGAACGAAGCCAUGUCUGACAUUCCUCCCCCCCUGCAUCAUGCAAUUGGUGAGGGGAACACUCAUCAAACCCCUGCCAUUGAAGGCUUGAGCACGCAAAUCCGACAAAGAACAUAGCAUACCUGACCAAAAGCGGGCUGGACUCUUACUGGCGCCGCCGCCGCACCGCCUCCCAUCUCACCGAGACGACGUCUCCUUCCCCAGAGGCACAAGCAUUCAAGUCACAUGUAAUAAUUCUUAAGCUACAAACAGUAUUCACCGAGCAUGCUUCAUUUCCAUGCUCCUGCUUCCAGCCUGUUACAAUCCGUUCCCUCAUGAAAAUCUACCGGUUCGGGUUCGAUCGACGCCGAACCUGCAAUGCGAAUCAUUUAAUCAUGCUGAUGAUACAGUUAUGAAUAGGCUGGAUACAAAGAUGUGCAUGUGUAACUGAAUGGUUUAAGAGGCAUACCAUCAUGAAAGAAAUGAUGUGGAUCAGGAAGGCAAGUACCAGCCAGAAACCGAGGCUGAAUAUGUGGUGAAUGUCUCGAGCCAGGUAAGCGAAGACAAUAAUGAAUCCAUUCACCGUUGAAGAAGGAUCAUUAGUCUAAUGACCAAUACCAAGACGUCCUGAUGGGCUGGAACACAUGGCCAACAAAUAUGAAUCGCACCUAACAUCCUAAUGUGGUCAAGGAUCUGCAUGCACAGCCGCUCUCGAAGAGGGACUGCGAAGGCCCUGAAGGUCGUGCUGGCGGUUUGCAGGAUCCACCAUAAGCACAGAGCGGCGUGAAUGCAGCAUCGGAGGAUCUCGGGAAAUAUCUUCACCCUCGCCGUAACUGUAUCAGGUUCGAGGCAUGUGAUUAAAACCAACGAGCCACUCAGCGCGAACGAAGCCAUGUCUGACAUUUUCCUCCCCCCCUGCAUCAUGCAAUUGGUGAGGGGAACACUCAUCAAACCCCUGCCAUUGAAGGCUUGAACAUGCAAAUCCGACAAAGAACAUAGCAUACCUGACCAAAAGCGGGCUGGACUCUUACUGGCGCCGCCGCCGCACCGUCUCCCGUCUCACCGAGACGACGUCUCCUUCCCUAGAGGCACAAGCAUUCAAGUCACAUGUAAUAAUUCUGAAGCUACAAACAGUAUUCACCGAGCAUGCUUCAUUUCCAUGCUCCUGCUUCCAGCCUGUUACAAUCCGUUCCCUCAUGAAAAUCUACCGGUUCGGGUUCGAUCGACGCCGAACCUGCAAUGCGAAUCAUUUAAUCAUGCUCAUGAUACAGUUAUGAAUAGGGUGGAUACAAACAUGUGCAUGUCUAACUGAAUGGUUUAAGAGGCAUACCAUCAUGAAAGAAAUGAUGUGGAUCAGGGAGGCAAGUACCAGCCAGAAACCGAGGCUGAAUAUGUGGUGAAUGUCUCGAGCCAGGUAAGCGAAGACAAUAAUGAAUCCAUUCACCGUUGAAGAAGCAUCAUUAGUCUAAUGACCAAUACCAAGACGUACUGAUGGGCUGGAACACAUGGCCAACAAGUAUGAAUCGCACCUAACAUCCCANNNNNNNNNNNNNNNNNNNNNNNNNNNNNNNNNNNNNNNNNNNNNNNNNNNNNNNNNNNNNNNNNNNNNNNNNNNNNNNNNNNNNNNNNNNNNNNNNNNNNNNNNNNNNNNNNNNNNNNNNNNNNNNNNNNNNNUAUCUUCACCCUCGCCGUAACUGUAUCAGGUUCGAGGCAUGUGAUUAAAACCAACGAGCCACUCAGCGCGAACGAAGCCAUGUCUGACAUUUUCCUCCCCCCCCUGCAUCAUGCAAUUGGUGAGGGGAACACUCAUCAAACCCCUGCCAUUGAAGGCUUGAACAUGCAAAUCCGACAAAGAACAUAGCAUACCUGACCAAAAGCGGGCUGGACUCUUACUGGCGCCGCCGCCGCACCGUCUCCCGUCUCACUGAGACGACGUCUCCUUCCCCAGAGGCACAAGCAUUCAAGUCACAUGUAAUAAUUCUGAAGCUACAAACAGUAUUCACCGAGCAUGCUUCAUUUCCAUGCUCCUGCUUCCAGCCUGUUACAAUCCGUUUCCUCAUGAAAAUCUACCGGUUCGGGUUCGAUCGACGCCGAACCUGCAAUGCGAAUCAUUUAAUCAUGCUGAUGAUACGGUUAUGAAUAGGCUGGAUACAAACAUGUGCAUGUGUAGCUGAAUGGUUUAAGUGGCAUACCAUAAUGAAAGAAAUGAUGUGGAUCAGGGAGGCAAGUACCAGCCAGAAACCGAGGCUGAAUAUGUGGUGAAUGUCUCGAGCCAGGUAAGCGAAGACAAUAAUGAAUCUAUUCACCGUUUAAGAAGGAUCAUUAGUCUAAUGACCAAUACCAAGACGUACUGAUGGGCUGGAACACAUGGCCAGCAAGUAUGAAUCGCGCCUAACAUCCCAAUGUGGUCAAGGAUCUGCAUGAACAGCCGCUCUCGAAGAGUGACUGCGAAGGCCCUGAAGGUCGUGCUGGCGGUUUGCAGGAUCCACCAUAAGCACAGAGCGGCGUGAAUGCAGCAUCGCAGGAUCUCGGGAAAUAUCUUCACCCUCGCCGUAACUGUAUCAGGUCCGAGGCAUGUGAUCAAAACCAACGAGCCACUCAGCGCGAACGAAGCCAUGUCUGACAUUCCUCCCCCCUGCAUCAUGCAAUAGGUGAGGGGAACACUCAUCAAACCCCUGCCAUUGAAGGCUUGACCACGCAAAUCCGACAAAGAACAUAGCAUACCUGACCAAAAGCGGGCUGGACUCUUACUGGCGCCGCCGCCGCACCGUCUCCCGUCUCACCGAGACGACGUCUCCUUCCCCAGAGGCACAAGCAUUCAAGUCACAUGUAAUAAUUCUGAAGCUACAAACAGUAUUCACCGAGCAUGCUUCAUUUCCAUGCUCCUGCUUCCAGCCUGUUACAAUCCGUUCCCUCAUUAAAAUCUACCGGUUCGGGUUCGAUCGACGACGAACCUGCAAUGCGAAUCAUUUAAUCAUGCUGAUGAUACAGUUAUGAAUAGGGUGGAUACAAACAUGUGCAUGUGUAACUGAAUGGUUUAAGAGGCAUACCAUCGUGAAAGAAAUGAUGUGGAUCAGGGAGGCAAGUACGAGCCAGAAACCGAGGCUGAAUACGUGGUGAAUUUCUCGAGCCAGGUAAGGGAAAACAAUAAUGAAUCCAUUCACCGUUGAAGAAGGAUCAUUAGUCUAAUGACCAAUACCAACACGUACUGAUGGGCUUGAACACAUGGUCAACAAGUAUGAAUCGCACCUAACAUCCCAAUGUGGUCAAGGAUCUACAUGCACAGCCGCUCUCGAAGAGGGACUGCGAAGGCCUUGAAGGUCGUGCUGGCGGUUUGCAGGAUCCACCAUAAGCACAGAGCGGCGUGAAUGCAUCAUCGGAGGAUCUCGGGAAAUAUCUUCAACCUCGCCGUAACUGUAUCAGGUUCGAGGCAUGUGAUCAAAACCAACGAGCCACUCAGCGUGAACGAAGCCAUGUCUGAUAUUCCUCCCCCCCCUGCAUCAUGCAAUUGGUGAGGGGAACACUCAUCAAACCCCUGCCAUUGAAGGCUUGAACACGCAAAUCCGACAAAGAACAUAGCAUACCUGACCAAAAGCGGGCUGGACUCUUACUGGCGCCGCCGCCGCACCGUCUCCCGUCUCACCGAGACGACGUCUCCUUCCCCAGAGGCACAAGCAUUCAAGUCACAUGUAAUAAUUCUGAAGCUACAAACAGUAUUCACCUAGCAUGCUUCAUUUCCAUGCUCCUGCUUCCAGCCUAUUACAAUCCGUUCCCUCAUGAAAAUCUACCGGUUCGGGUUCGAUCGACGCCGAACCUGCAAUGCGAAUCAUUUAAUCAUGCUGAUGAUACAGUUAUGAAUAGGGUGGAUACAAACAUGUGCAUGUGUAGCUGAAUGGUUUAAGUGGCAUACCAUAAUGAAAGAAAUGAUGUGGAUCAGGGAGGCAAGUAUCAGCCAGAAACCGAGGCUGAAUAUGUGGUGAAUGUCUCAAGCCAGGUAAGCGAAGACAAUAAUGAAUCUAUUCACCGUUUAAGAAGGAUCAUUAGUCUAAUGACCAAUACCAAGACGUACUGAUGGGCUGGAACACAUGGCCAGCAAGUAUGAAUCGCGCCUAACAUCCCAAUGUGGUCAAGGAUCUGCAUGAACAGCCGCUCUCGAAGAGUGACUGCGAAGGCCCUGAAGGUCGUGCUGGCGGUUUGCAGGAUCCACCAUAAGCACAGAGCGGCGUGAAUGCAGCAUCGCAGGAUCUCGGGAAAUAUCUUCACCCUCGCCGUAACUGUAUCAGGUCCGAGGCAUGUGAUCAAAACCAACGAGCCACUCAGCGCGAACGAAGCCAUGUCUGACAUUCCUCCCCCCUGCAUCAUGCAAUAGGUGAGGGGAACACUCAUCAAACCCCUGCCAUUGAAGGCUUGACCACGCAAAUCCGACAAAGAACAUAGCAUACCUGACCAAAAGCGGGCUGGACUCUUACUGGCGCCACCGCCGCACCGUCUCCCGUCUCACCGAGACGACGUCUCCUUCCCCAGAGGCACAAGCAUUCAAGUCACAUGUAAUAAUUCUGAAGCUACAAACAGUAUUCACCGAGCAUGCUUCAUUUCCAUGCUCCUGCUUCCAGCCUGUUACAAUCCGUUCCCUUAUGAAAAUCUACCGGUUCGGGUGCCAUCGACGCCGAACCUGCAAUGCGAAUCAUUUAAUCAUGCUGAUGAUACAGUUAUGAAUAGGGUCGAUACAAACAUGUGCAUGUGUAACUGAAUGGUUUAAGAGGCAUACCAUCAUGAAAGAAAUGAUGUGGAUCAGGGAGGCAAGUACCAGCCAGAAACCGAGGCUGAAUAUGUGGUGAAUGUCUCGAGCCAGGUAAGCGAAGACAAUAAUGAAUCCAUUCACCGUUGAAGAAGGAUCAUUAGUCUAAUGACAAAUACCAAGACGUACUGAUGGGCUGGAACACAUGGCCAACAAGUAUGAAUCGCACCUAACAUCCCAAUGUGGUCAAGGAUCUGCAUGCACAUCCGCUCUCGAAGAGGGACUGCGAAGGCCCUGAAGGUCGUGCUGGCGGUUUGCAGGAUCCACCGUAAGCACAGAGCGGCGUGAAUGCAGCAUCGGAGGAUCUCGGGAAAUAUCUUCACCCUCGCAGUAACUGUAUCAGGUCCGAGGCAUGUGAUCAAAACCAACGAGCCACUCAGCGCGAACGAAGCCAUGUCUGACAUUCCUCCCCCCUGCAUCAUGCAAUUGGUGAGGGGAACACUCAUCAAACCCCUGCCAUUGAAGGCUUGACCACGCAAAUUCGACAAAGAACAUAGCAUACCUGACCCAAAGCGGGCUGGUCUCUUUUUGGCGCCGCCGCCGCACCGUCUCCCGUCUCACCGAGAUGACGUCUCCUUCCCCAGAGGCACAAGCAUUCAAGUCACAUGUAAUAAUUCUGAAGCUACAAACAGUAUUCACCGAGCAUGCUUCAUUUCCAUGCUCCUGCUUCCAGCCUGUUACAAUCCGUUCCCUCAUUAAAAUCUACCGGGUUCGGGUUCGAUCGACGACGAACCUGCAAUGCGAAUCAUUUAAUCAUGCUGAUGAUACAGUUAUGAAUAGGGUGGAUACAAACAUGUGCAUGUGUAACUGAAUGGUUUAAGAGGCAUACCAUCAUGAAAGAAAUGAUGUGGAUCAGGGAGGCAAGUACUAGCCAGAAACCGAGGCUGAAUAUGUGGUGAAUGUCUCGAGCCAGGUAAGCGAAGACAAUAAUGAAUCUAUUCACCGUUUAAGAAGGAUCAUUAGUCUAAUGACCAAUACCAAGACGUACUGAUGGGCUGGAACACAUGGCCAACAAGUAUGAAUCGCGCCUAACAUCCCAAUGUGGUCAAGGAUCUGCAUGAACAGCCGCUCUCGAAGAGUGACUGCGAAGGCCCUGAAGGUCGUGCUGGCGGUUUGCAGGAUCCACCAUAAGCACAGAGCGGCGUGAAUGCAGCAUCGCAGGAUCUCGGGAAAUAUCUUCACCCUCGCCGUAACUGUAUCAGGUCCGAGGCAUGUGAUCAAAACCAACGAGCCACUCAGCGCGAACGAAGCCAUGUCUGACAUUCCUCCCCCCUGCAUCAUGCAAUUGGUGAGGGGAACACUCAUCAAACCCCUGCCAUUGAAGGCUUGAACACGCAAAUCCGACAAAGAACAUAGCAUACCUGACCAAAAGCGGGCUGGACUCUUACUGGCGCCGCCGCCGCACCGUCUCCCGUCUCACCGAGACGACGUCUCCUUCCCCAGAGGCACAAGCAUUCAAGUCACAUGUAAUAAUUCUGAAGCUACAAACAGUAUUCACCGAGCAUGCUUCAUUUCCAUGCUCCUGCUUCCAGCCUGUUACAAUCCGUUCCCUCAUGAAAAUCUACUGGUUCGGGUUCGAUCGACGCCGAACCUGCAAUGCGAAUCAUUUAAUCAUGCUGAUGAUAGAGUUAUGAAUAGGCUGAAUAGAAACAUGUGCAUGUGUAACUGAAUGGUUUAAGAGGCAUACCAUCAUGAAAGAAAUGAUGUGGAUCAGGGAGGCAAGUACCAGCCAGAAACCGAGACUGAAUAUGUGGUGAAUGUCUCGAGCUAGGUAAGCGAAGAUAAUAAUGAAUCCAUUCACCGUUGAAGAAGGAUCAUUAGUCUAAGGACCAAUACCAAGACGUACUAAUGGGCUGGAACACAUGGCCAACAAGUAUGAAUCGCACCUAACAUCCCAAUGUGGUAAGGAUCUGCAUGCACAACCGCUCUCGAAGAGUGACUGCGAAGGCCCUGAAGGUCGUGCUGGCGGUUUGCAGGAUCCACCAUAAGCACAGAGCUGCGUGAAUGCAGCAUCGCAGGAUCUCGGGAAAUAUCUUCACCCUCGCCGUAACUGUAUCAGGUCCGAGGCAUGUGAUCAAAACCAACGAGCCACUCAGCGCGAACGAAGCCAUGUCUGACAAUCCUCCCCCCUGCAUCAUGCAAUUGGUGAGGGGAACACUCAUCAAACCCCAGCCAUUGAAGGCUUGAACACGCAAAUCCGACAAAGAACAUAGCAUACUGACCAAAAGCGGGCUGGACUCUUACUGGCGCCGCCGCCGCACCGUCUCCCGUCUCACCGAGACGACGUCUCCUUCCCUAGAGGCACAAGCAUUCAAGUCACAUGUAAUAAUUCUGAAGCUACAAACAGUAUUCACCGAGCAUGCUUCAUUUCCAUGCUCCUGCUUCCAGCCUGUUACAAUCCGUUCCCUCAUGAAAAUCUACCGGUUCGGGUUCGAUCGACGCCGAACCUGCAAUGCGAAUCAUUUAAUCAUGCUCAUGAUACAGUUAUGAAUAGGGUGGAUACAAACAUGUGCAUGUCUAACUGAAUGGUUUAAGAGGCAUACCAUCAUGAAAGAAAUGAUGUGGAUCAGGGAGGCAAGUACCAGCCAGAAACCGAGGCUGAAUAUGUGGUGAAUGUCUCGAGCCAGGUAAGCGAAGACAAUAAUGAAUCCAUUCACCGUUGAAGAAGCAUCAUUAGUCUAAUGACCAAUACCAAGACGUACUGAUGGGCUGGAACACAUGGCCAACAAGUAUGAAUCGCACCUAACAUCCCAAUGUGGUCAAGGAUCUGCAUGCACAGCCGCUCUCGAAGAGGGACUGCGAAGGCCCUGAAGGUCGUGCUGGCAGUUUGCAGGAUCGACCAUAAGCACAGAGCGGCGUGAAUGCACCAUCGGAGGAUCUCGGGAAAUAUCUUCACCCUCGCCGUAACUGUAUCAGGUCCGAGGCAUGUGAUCAAAACCGACGAGCCACUCAGCGCGAACGAAGCCAUGUCUGAUAUUCCUCCCCCCUGCACAUGCAAUUGGUGAGGGGAACACUCAUCAAACCCCUGCCAUUCAAGGCUUGAACACGCAAAUCCGACAAAGAACAUAGCAUACCUGCCCAAAAGCGGGCUGGACUCUUACUGGCGCCGCCGCCGCACCGUCUCCCGUCUCACCGAGACGACGUCUCCUUCCCAAGAGGCACAAGCAUUCAAGUCAAAUUUAAUAAUUCUGAAGCUACAAACAGUAUUCACCGAGCAUGCUUCAUUUCCAUGCUCCGAAUUCUAGCCUCUUAUAAUCCGUUUCUCAUGAAAAUCUACCGGUUCGGGUUCGAUCGACGCCGAACCUGCAAUGCGAAUCAUUUAAUCAUGCUGAUGAUACAGUUAUGAAUAGGCUGGAUACAAACAUGUGCAUGUGUAACUGAAUGGUUUAUGAGGCAUACCAUCAUGAAAGAAAUAAUGUGGAUGAGAGAGGCAAGUACCAGCCAGAAAUCGAGGCUAAAUAUGUGGUGAAUGUCUAGAGCCAGGUAAGCGAAGACAAUAAUGAAUCCAUUCACCGCUGCAAGAAGGAUCAUUUGUCUAAUGACCAAUACCAAGACGUACUGAUGGGCUGGAACACAUGGCCAACAAGUAUGAAUCGCACCUAACAUCCCAAUGUGGUAAGGAUCUGCAUGCACAGCCGCUCUCGAAGAGGGACUGCGAAGGCGCUGAACGUCAUGCCGGCGGUUUGCAGGAUCCACCAUAAGCACACAGCAGCGUGAAUGCAGCAUCGGAGGAUCUCGGGAAAUAUCUUCACCCUCGUCGUAAAUGUAUCAGGUCCGAGGCAUGUGAUCAAAACCAACGAGCCACUUAGCGCGAACGAAGCCAUGUCUGACAUUCCCCCCCCCCCCCCCGCGCGCAUCAUGCAAUUGGUGAGGGGAACACUCAUCAAACCCCUGCCAUUGAAGGCUUGAACACGCAAAUACGACAAAGAACAUAGCAUACCUGAUCAAAAAUGAGCUGGACUCUUACUGGCGCCGCCGCCGCACCGUCUCCCAUCUCACCGAGACGACGUCUCCUUCCCCAGAGGCACGCCCACCAAGUUCCAGCAACGCGACGCUCCCUGAGCUUCGCCGCGCCGCGCUGAACCCGACUGAUCGCAUCGGCCGCAUUCUUCAGCUCCUGGCACGCGCGCGCCAGGUGCGCCGCGUGGUCGCGGAUUGCCUUGAGCGGAGCGCUCUCUGCCGCCUGCACCGCGGUGGCCGCGGUGCUGAGGGUGCCAAUGCAGUUCAGCAGCGCCGCCAGGUCGCCUGCCUGCUCGAACGCGUCGGCGGCGGAGAGCUGUUGGCCGCAGGGCACGCGGGCGCCAUUCGCGGCGUCGACGACGCCGCGAGCCUGCGCGACCAGCUCGACGCCGCUCUGGCGGAGCUGCGGCAUGCCUUCGCGGAGCAGGUCGACGGAGACCGUGACGUCAGCCCGGUCCACCGCCUCCUGCAGGAAUUGUUGUUAGGUACUACUCCGAACGUGCCGACGAACCAACACGAACCGAUUCUCCGAGUGCCGCCGCCGCCAAUUCAUACAACCCAUUCACUACUCGAUUACCCCCCACCCCAACCCCAUUUUCCCGAACAAGAGCCACGUACCUCUGGUCCCACGCCUGCCGCGGGGAGAUUGUCGCGGACGCCCUGGUGAUGUUGGCACCUUCUCCACAGCGACCACCACCAGGAGCCAUGGACCCAGCCAUCCGUGCCCUCCUCCUUGGUGCGCAGCAUGUCGACCAUGCCGAUGGCGGUCUCGCGGUACUCUGCGCACGAGCGCGCCAGGUUCGCGGCGGCGCCGCGGAGAGCGUGCAGCUGGUCCCGAGCUGCUCCCUCCAGGGCGGCGGACGCGUCGCGCAGGUUGAGGACCGCCUGGAGCCUCCCCUCCUCCCCCGCUGCCUCCAACUCCCGAGCCGCCCCGCUGAGACAGGCGCGGUCGACUCCGGCGGCAUCGGCGGCUUCCUCCGCGCCGCGUGCCUUCUCCACCAGCUCCCCGCACUUCGCCUCGAUGAUCGAGGCGCCCAGGUACUUGAUCACGGUGGCGGCGGCCUCAAUCGUCUCCUCCAUCUCUCCUCGAACGCGACGACGAGGUCGGGGAGGGAACGGGAAGGGAGGGGAGGGGAGACUUCGGCCGAGGGGACGGAGAGAGGCAGGGGAGGGGCUGGAAGGAAGGAGGCAGCCGGAUUCGGUUGGGGGAGGCGGAGGCGGGCAGAGCACCGACGCGCCCGCUUGUUUUAUUUGUUUUCGGUUGGGCCUGGGAUUGGGGGAGCCGGCCCGAGCCUUGAAGGCGGCGGCGAGAACCGUGUUCGUGUGCUGCGCGUGCUUUGUUUGCGGUUUGCCCAUGGCCAGGCCGCCGCGACUCUACGUCUCGCAUAUGCGUGGUAUCCAGGCCUUCGAUAGGAGGACGGUGCGUGGGCGUGUGCUGGUGCAUGCGAGGGCGGAACCGCGACGUGCGUCCGUGUGCGACGCUCGUGCACGGUUCGCGGCAUGGGGGGGGGGGGCCUGCGGCGCGGCCAUCGGAUUCGGCCGUCCGCCGCAAGCUCCUGGGGCAUGAGCGUGGGUGGUGUGCUUGCGUGAUCCAGCGGCGGCGUCGGCGUCGUGCCGCCCGGGCGACAAACCCCACCUGGACAUUUCAUCGAAUGGCUACCGAGCAGUGAACACCACCGGAACACACGCACGAAGACCACGCCAAACCGUCACCGCACCGUCACUGCACAACACCCGCACUCGUGUUACAGUUGAUGUGCUAUGGUUUGAUCACAUAAACAUGAAUCGUUUACUCUAUGUUGUGCUUUAACACUGGAUGCUAGCCAUUUUUUCCUGGUGUCUGCAGAAUUCAGUUAACCAAAAGCAAGCGCUGGUGCUGCAACAAUCCAUUAUCCAGGGCGAAGUGUUUAAUGGGACAACAGAGAUCAGCUGGGUACCAAACUACCAAUUCCCCUUCUUGGCAAUGUGAGGCCACAUUACACUCGAUGAGAGCAUACCAGAACAGACACAUUCACACUGUACGGACAGAUCAUGCCAACCCCAACAUACAUGCAGUAGAGAAAGAGAGGUCGAAGAAGAACCUGAAAGAAGAUCAGCCCAUUGACGAGUUUUAAGGCCCAAGCCCACGCGCCGCGAAUCCGAGCCGCCAUUCGUGCGCCGCGCAGGCUGGCCUCACCCCCCACGCGGCCACGCCAAUUCCUUGCUUCCCUCGCCGAAACCCCCCAAGCCCUCGCCGGGAUAGGCAGAAAACCCUGCGCCGCCGCCGCCGCGGCCGACCACGACACGUCGACACCCUCGCGGACACACGCUUUGUUUGACGCCCGUGUGCACUAAUCUGAAGCGCUGAACAAGAAUGAGCUAGUCCAACCAUUUCAUUUCAGAUGUAAUGGGGAAACUGAUCAUUCGAAAACCAUCUUAGAUACAAGGCAGCAUGAGCUAGCCGGUGAUGUUGUGCCUGUGCUCUGCUUCUUCCACUUCUCCAGCUUACCUGUUGCUUCGCUGCAAGUCGAUGUUGUUUUUGUGGUUGUAAUGAAACGAUCAAACACAUCUUGUUUGAUUGCCACCAUGCAAGAUUUAUCUAGAGAAUUAUACAAAGGCUACCAGUCCUACCACCACCACGAUCAACCUCUCAUAUGCUUAGGAAUUGGCUAACACUUGCACGGGGAAUAAUAACGAGAGGAGAGAUAUUCUGUGGAAGUGGCAGCUCUAUUUGUUUUUAGCAAUUUGGCACAGUGACAUUAUUUUGAAAAAAAAUGAUAUACAUCUUUCAUGCGUGCUACCUUUAGGGACUUGGGAUGUCGGUCAGCGCACCGCCGCCGCCUGGCGUGCAGAGGCGUCUUGCCGAUUGGUGUCCGAUCGUGUCGGCCCGGCAGAAAUUGGGCUGCGGCGAGGACGUCGGGGGGCUGCGGCGCGUUGUAGGCGGAGGCCUUGGUGAAGACGGCGGCCGUGUUCGCAAGCCUCGCCGCGGCGUCCAAGUCCCCCGAGUCUGAGCGAUCCGAGUCGGCGAGCGCCUUGGCCGUGACGGCCACCAAGUCGCGGCCGUGCUGGUCGCCCGUGAGGGCCGCAGUAGCGGCGGCGAACUGCUGGGCGUUGUGCGCGCGGAGCUGACGCGCCUUGUCGGCGGAGGCCUAGGUAAAGACAGCGUCCGCGUCGGCAAGCCUCGCCGCGGUGUCCGAACCCGGCUGCGCUCCGGCUAGCCGUGGCGUGAGGCGGAGGCGGCGUUCAUGCGGCCCCAGGGGGUGGACAGUACCUGCUAGCCGCCCGAUGCGACGUUGAUGGUCCAGAUUGACUGAAUCGCGGAAGGAAGCCAAAGGCGCUCUGCCUUGUCAGAGCAGAGUCGGACGCCAGAGGCCGUGCUACGGUGCUCCGGCACUCCGCCGUCUCCGGUGAAGCAGAGUGAGAGGAGGGCUGAUCACUAGCUUGGCCGCUGUCGAGAGCGCCACGGGCUGCGCGACCUGAGGUGAGGGCUUCUCACGCUGCUCCAGGCCGGCGGGCGAUAGCUUCUGUCUUCUGCGGUGAAUUUCUGCGGUUAUCGAGCACUUGCCGGUGCUGCAAAUCUCGACGUGGGUAUGAACUGAAUCGAUCGCCUACGGGUACAGUAUGCAGACACCAGGCUGUACGUCACCACCGUCACCCGCUUCCCCAGCACCGCGGCCACGAUGAUCAGGUCCAGUCCAGCAGCGUGCGGUGGUUGCACACGUACAGGCGCCCGCCGCGCUGCCUGAGCUUUGGCCCGGGACGUGGCCGGUGGCCGGCGACGAGGCGGUAGUGCAUGCCGGUGAGCGCGCCGACGGGGAAAAAGAUGUGGUACGGGAGGAAGGAGAAGGCGAUGGUGUGGAAGGCGACGAGCGCGAUGGCGAAGGGGAGGAAGGUGUACACAUGUCGAGCGCGGUGGGCGGCGUCGGCGUGAAGGCGAGGCGGCCGUCGUGGAAGACGAGGCGCAGUGGUCGUCAUCUCCGCGGGUCAGCCUCGCUCACCGAGAGUUUCCUGCACGUUGUACGCCCAUCUCCUGCGCCGAAGCCGUGAACGCUCGCGGUGGAGGUCACCACGGCGUGGUUGCCAUCGGUGGCGCCGGGUCAGGGUGUGGACGGUAAAUGAAAUACCGUCCACCCCUGGUCCUCUCGCAUCCGUUGAAUCAGACUUGGGCGGCCUCGAUCGCAUGCAAGGUAGUGAGACCUCUGCCGCCUUCCUCUCGCGCCUCGGCCGCUUGCCGCUCCCCAGGCUCGACGCGCGCUGACCCUGACCUCUGGUGAGCCGCCGCAUGGCAUCACGGCCGCGGCUCAGAUCCUGGCCCACGCUCGCGAGUCUAGUGCGGACCACGCGCGGGGUUGGUCGGUGGCGCCUCGUCGGCCGCGACCUCCAUUGUCGGCGUAGGUAACGGCGCGAUGCUCGGCGUUCCGGCGUCCACGCAUGUCGGGCUUGCGACUGCGUCCAUCGUACCUUGUGGGUCGUUGGCACGGAUGGGGAUGUCGUUAAGGCGCGGUCCGCGAUGCUCCUAGCGCGCGGGGUCUUGCCAGUGCUGCACGCCUGCGUCAGGGCGAUGGUCUUGUGGACCUCGGCACUCGCCUGCGUCUGCUCCACGUCCUCGGCGAGCAUAAAACGCGGCGUGCCGGCGUCUAGGCGUUGUCGUGCUCGCUCGCUGCUUCUUGGCGUCUGCCUAUGGCGGUUUGACAAAUGAACUGCGACUCACACAACUCCGAAUCCAUCAGGCGGCUGUGGUCAUAUCUGCGUGCACCUCGCUUGCGAGGAUGAUCGGCGGCGGCACCUUACACCAGGCGCGCGUGCGGCUCUCCCCAGCCAUACAUUCGCGCGGACGAACGCGGUCGAGCUCCUUCUUUCUGUGGCGAGGUGGGGAAGGAAUCCGGCGCAGGGACUGGGCAGGGCGUGGGCGAUGUCGGCAGCGCGCGCGGCCACGACGCGGCCCCAGCGCCUGCACGUCGCGGCGCAGCGCGCGACCACGGCGUCGCCCGAGAGCACGUCGUCGGGGAGCGUGGCCACUGGCGGCUCGCCGCGCGCCGUCAAGGCUGUACUCUUCUCUUCUCUUCUCCGGCGGCAACGGGGCGUCGCGCGGCCGGUGCUCGUCGCAGCAGCGGCAUGGAUAGACCCCUAGCUGGCUGCGCCGUGCUACCUUGUCGCCAUGUUGGCUGAUCCGAUCUUGGCCCAACCUGUUACGUGCUCGAUCGACCCCUUCCUUUCAGUCGCGUGGCUGCGUCGCGCCGGCGCAGCGUGCGUGCCAUGGCAUGUCGCCAGGACGUGACGCAUGAAACGGGCGGGUUCAUAAGUUAAAAUGUAACUGAGGAUGAAUACGCCUGGCAAAUUCUAUUUCAGAAGCAUCUCGCUUUCAGGACCGUCUCGCUGCGCUGAAACACGGCGGGUUUCGAACAGCCUAGCCCGGCCCGUGUGGCGGUGCCGGCGGUCCUCGCAUUCGUGUGCGGACACGCUAUCCCGUAGUAUCCGUUGCUUGUGGCCUUGUGGGCUUCUUCUUCUUUUUUUCCCCCCGCGCCCUGCUCUUGCUUGGUAUUUCUUCUUUUGUUUUUUCUCUUAUUUUCUUUCCAUAAUUUUUUUUGAGCACGUUGAACAUUCAGAUAGCAUACAUACAUAAAGUAAUCAGCGAUCAAGUAGGUGGUACACACAAAAAAAAAAGAGUAGGUGGUACGGUGUUUAAAAUUUGAGAAAAAUUCUUAUUUUUCUCAAAUUCUUAUUUUUGUUCAACAGUGAACAGUGAAGUAAACAAACAGACAAAUUACAGAAAACAAUCGUGAAGCACACCAAAAUCUCAAAGUAAUGUACACGUUAGCGUUUGGUUGCCCAUGUCAACCAUGGAUGUAUGGCAGAAGUAACGUUGACCAUCAUCCACACAGUUUGCGUCAUGCUGCAGUCACAGCUAAGUCCACAGCGUCUGGAGUCUCAGCACUGCUGCAACCACAGAGGUCGCCGGUCAGUUGUCAACAGGAAGAAGAAGAGCUCGCGCAUCCGGACCAUCAUGCUGACCCGUCGUCACUGCCGCUGCGCGUUCAGUCCUCUCCUGGGAUGACAUCGUCACCUCGGAUGCAGCUCUGAAACAGUACAUGUGUGAGUGGUUAGUGGAAUCCAAAAGCAGCACACUGAAUGAUGAAAGACACUACAGAUGCAGUAAGGGGGCGUUUUGCUUAUUUUUAGCACGUAUCACAUCGAAUGUUUAGAUACUAAUUAGGAGUAUUAAACGUAGACUAUUUACCAAACUCAUUACAUAAGUGGAGGUUAAACGGCGAGACUAAUCAAUUAAGUCUAAUUAAUCCAUCANNNNNNNNNNNNNNNNNNNNNNNNNNNNNNNNNNNNNNNNNNNNNNNNNNNNNNNNNNNNNNNNNNNNNNNNNNNNNNNNNNNNNNNNNNNNNNNNNNNNUCCUCGGCAUAUUGACACACGUAAUAAUUAGAGUCAUAUGUUCUUCAUGGCUCCCCUUCUGGAGUACAAUCUACAAUCACACAUAAAUAUUUGGCAUCCUUAAUGAUCAUUAUCAUAGUUUGUUACUCCUAAUUAGUAUCUAAAUAUUCGAUGUGACGGAUGCUAAGUAACCGGAACCAAACAGGCCCUAAGAGGACUGAAGGAGCUGCUUACCAUCGCCCAGGGAGCGCCGAGGCCUAAGACGGCUGCACCAAUGAGGAUCACAAGCCCCCACGGCGCAGAAGGGAAGAAAGCCCGGUAGCCGUAAAAGCUGAACAUCAGCGCAGCGCCUAGUACGCCCAGGCGGCCCAACGCCCGGGCGGCCCGUUUCUCCCAGUCCAAUCGCCCGUACUGGUUGAGUACCAUACCGCAGCUCGUGACGAUCCAUACGGCGAUGCCUGCGCCAGCAACGAACGCCCAGGCACCCGGGAACAGUUGGAGGCCGGCCGCCGACGUGAGUAAUGGCACAGGUGCGGCGAGGGCCAACCCGUAGAGAAUCUGACGUUUCUCAAUCAGCUUGGCCUGAACAGUUCAUAGCAGAGUACGAGUAAGCGGGUUAUCAUUUUCUUCCGACACGAUCAGAGUAUUCAGAGGACACAUUGCCAAAAUGCAUCAACAGCACGUACCUCGUCGUCAGGGACCUGAAUUGGAAGCAGUGGUUCUUGCGGAGUGAUGGCAAGUCGGAGCCGUUUGGUCCAUGAGCACUUGGCAUCGGAGGCCGUGUCCGCAAGCGACCUGGCACUGAGUGGCCGGCCUCGCGGUGGCGCCACGUCGCCAUCGCUUGCCUUCUUUGUAAUCUUGUUCUCGUGCGAAGGGGUGUUUUCAGAAGAGCAGGCCUGAAUUGCCUUCUUGAGAUCGAGAUUAGCAGAGCGGCAGAGAUAGUGCCGACCGGGAAGAACUUUGGCGGAACCGUGAAGGACCUCGCUCAUUUUGUAGCUGAUUGUCGUUGGCUUCGAAACGGCGAAGAGCUCAUUGAAGAUAGCCAGCGCAUCUGCCAAUCUAGUUGCAGCCUCCCGAUCGUCCUGUGACUUGGCGUACGCUGCUGCCGUACGGGCGACCGCCUUGGCGGGGUCGAUGAAGAUGCUGCCGCUGCCGCGUAGCUCGUCAACGAGAGCACGGGCAUCAGCGGCCAACUCCUCGGCGACAGACGCGUCCUCACGUGUCGGCAAAACUGGUCCGUUCUUGCUGUCAGAAACCCCCUUCUUUCUCUCUCCACCGGAAAGGCUCGCCGUGGCGGCCAAAUCCUUGCCGCGCGACAGGUCUUGCAGGUUCUUUGAUUUUCUGAAUUUGCUUUCUUGGUCGCCGCCCCCCUCCGAGUUGGAGUCCUUGAGGAGAGGCGUCUCCGACAUUGUUUCUUCGGUUCGAAAGAACCGGUGGUCUCGGUAGAGAUUGGAAUGAUUAGUGUGACGAGGAGGGAGAGGGGAAGGGGAGGGGAGAGCCAGCAGAAGGGUGGGUAUUUAUUUCCGAGAGGAGGUAGGGGAGGGGAAGCAUGGAGGAGGAGGCCGCCGGCCAGGAUUCGGCUGGGGACCGCCGCGGGAGUUGCCGUUGGGGAUUCAGUUAUCAAAAUAACCGUCGAGGGGGAGAGAAGUGGUGGGAGAAGCGGAAGACGGGAAGAGCGGGGUGCGGGGCUGAGCAGCUGGUGUGUUGGGCCAAGGCCCAGCGUCCAUCGGAUUCCGAGGCUUCUUUGCGGAAGAGGGGUGGGGCGGGUAGCGAUUGGAUUUGGAGGAGGCGGCGGCGUGCGGAAGGCGAGGAUGCGGCGGCGGGGGUCAACGGAAGGCCUAAUCAAAGGUGAGAAAUCAAUCCCCCCCCCCCCCCCCCCCACACGCACACACCCUCUAAAUCGCUUAGUUUCUACUGGAUCUGGAUGGUGGAGUACGGAUGUGCUGGAUCUGAUUGGUGUUCUGAAACCCCAAUGUUUCUCACCGGAUGUUCUGAUGGUUGAACAAGGAACAAAGGAGGGAAGCUUUUAUGGCAGUGAGCAUAGCAGCAGGUGCACAAUCUAGGAAGGUGAUUGGCAUUGGAGGUUAGGUAUCCAACAUUGGAGAAUAGUGUGAAAAUUCCAUUGCUUGCCCAAUCAGACAGGCUGUGCCAAACAACGAUGAUCGUCUGUAUGAUCUUUGGCAAUCUCUCCUUCCACUUGAUACGGAUUAGGUGGCACGAAGAUUAGCUGAAUCGCUAUGAAGGAACUUGUUACUGGGGCAGAAGUGAAAUUUGAUGGUUUGAUUUGGAUGGAGUGAAGGUUUCCCUAGUCAAAUCAGUAGUGUCUUAAGCAUUCUGUGGUUUGAGGAGUACUGUUUUGGCUCAAGAUGUGUAUGUAAUGAGCCUACAUUAUCAGACUUUCUAUUAUUUUGAAGUGAUUUGCUGUGCUUUAAAAGUCAUGUCUCUCUCUAAAUAUUCAGAUGGUCGGGAGACCCGGUUACUAAAAUCUUAUUGGAAAAGGAGCAAUGGAUGAUGGAAUGUUCAAACACACAUCAGGGAGAUAUUGUAGAGAUCCUGAUGACAAAGGUUUACUUUCCUCACACUUAUGUUACAGUUCAUGUAAACACUAUGCAUGAGUCUAACACUGAAUGCUAGCCAUUUUCCUGGUGUCUGCAGAAUUCAGUAACCAUAAUCAUGCGCUGGUGCUCCAGCAGACUGUAAAAUUUUAUCAGGACAUUAUGUUGGAUGGGAUGCUAGCUUGUGCGCCACGGCAUCAAGAAGGAAGUUUGGUAGGGGCUCCCCAUUGUGCCUUCUUCCUGGCAGUGUUGGCAUAUUGACCAGUGGGAAGAAUGUCAGAGAUCAAUUGUCGCAGCAGCUGUAACCUGAACUGUUCUCUUAUUCUGUAAAUGAAAUAGUACUUUGCAAAUUCUGAUGAGUCUGAACACUCUACAAGAUCAUUUUAGCCUAGCAUUGUCAGUGCAAGCUCAUUAACAAACAACAGCUCAUAGAGCGUCACCAAGGUUUGGAGGCAUAGAAACUAGCAGACACAUGAACAGACUCCUGCACAAAUAUUUGGGGACAUCAAACGCUUUCAUCAGUCAGAGUUUACAAAGUACUGAUUUGUCAUACACAGACGCAAUCCUGCUUCUGGAUGGCUUUGGAACUCUCUUGUUGGCUGAAACACAGGGUGUUCUUCUGGCUGCUACUGAAUGAUCGGCUCAACACUCUACUUCAGAGAAAAGAAAUGGAUUUGCCAUCUUAUACAUGUGAAUAUGUGAUCCCUGCCUCUGGCAAACAGAAGAGACAAUUGGCAUUGUCACACCUACAGCCUGCAGGCCUCAACUUUGGAAAAACACCAGACAGUGGAUUGGCAGAUGUACAAAGAAGAAGCCAGGAGAGAACAUAUCACCAUCUUAUGAGGCGUUUCAUCCUCAUGCUCACAGCAUUCAUAUUACCCCAUUAAUGUUUGAGAAUACUGCCCACAUGGUACUCGAGGAUAUGCCUAUUGUGGACGAUGCGGCAGUUUGUGCUAAGAAUGUUGCAUUCAGUGCUCUGACAGUGGUGAGGGAUGCUGUGCAUGGGUUGUUCGAUUGAUUGUCCAGCCAAGCGGUGAUUUGGGAUGAAGAAUUGUUGCAUAGCCUUGACCCACAUGACGGUUUUCUGCAGCAAUUAGCUCAAGGUGGAGAGAAUGUAUGCGAUGGUGAGAGGAAGUCAGCUGCUGAUCUGUUUGUCAAUGACACUCAUGGUAGCGGUGCUCCCUUCUCAUGAAUCUUGGCAUUGAUUCCAAUGAAGUGCCUCCUAAGAUGGUGAUAUGGGAUCAGGAAUAUGUGCAAACUAUCAAGAUUGGUUCAGAAAUUAUCAGAAGUGAAAUUUACUCUAUAUUCUCCUGUCCUGAAGCAGGGUUGUUCAGAAAUUAUCAGGCUGAGAAGUUGUUCAAUACCGCAGGGUUGCUGUUGUUUGUGUUGGUUGUGAAUUCAAGUAAAAUGAAAAUGUGCUCACUUUGUUUGGCAUAUAGUUUCAGUACAUUCUCAAGGUCAGUUUAAUCAAUGCAGAAAUCCACCUGGGUGCUUUGUACUUGUGCAAGAGAUGGAAUUCACAAGCAUUCAGUGCUAUAUACAAGCAAUCAGGAAAUAAAUGUUUCUUUGGUGGAGAAGGACCGUGGCCUGGUUUCUCCACUUCUUGAUAUCAAGGAAGUUCUUCAAUUGCCAUUUAAAGUCAGAAAGCUCCUCAUGCAAGCAACAAUUUGCUCAGUACUAUAUUUUCAGAAAGAAAUGUCAAUAGGCUGCCUAUACAAGCUCCCACAUCAACAAGCUUAGUCCAACAGAACAUAUCCAAGUUACAGCUUCAGUCAGUGGUCGCGGAACAUGGUCAGGCAAACACGGAGCUGCCACGGGUGUCAAAGCUCGCCAUGGACUAAGUGCUGAAUUGCCAUUUGUCAGAGAGAUACGCCCAGGAAUUUGCAGACCAUUUGGGGGCGACCGAUUGAAUGGCCUCCGCUAUGGCAAGCAUUUCCAAAAUUAACAUUGGUUGGGAGGCUCUUUUAUUAUAACAAGAACUCCAGAAUUGCCAUUGAUGAUUGGUAGGUUACUGGCUUUAAGUUAUUAUUAGUUUUCAGGGUGGAGGCCACAGGGAAGGCGCUGCUGGAGGCGGACUGGAGGUCCGGCCAGUCGGCCACUCUCCUGCUGUAAGUCGUAUAUGCAGUGGCUGCAGCACUUUCAGCUUUGUGGAAGAACCGGUUCUUUGGUGAUCCCUUUCCCUUGUAACCGCGUUUGAGCUGUAUCUUCUUGUUAAUGUAUAUUUCAGCGUGUCGUGUUUUGUGGAUAAAAGAGUCGAGCAAAUACAAGUCCAUGACUAGGCGCAGGCAUGUGCUGGGUUCUGUAUCUUCUUGUUAAUGUACCGUAUUUCAGCUUGUUCUUUUCUACUGUAUUUCAGCGUGUUCUUUUCUACCGUAUCCGUAUGUCAGCGUGCCCUGUUGUGGAGGAUAGUGAUGAGCAAGGACAAGUCCUUUUUUUAUGGCGUGUUCAGCACCACAGCGUGUCGUUAUGGAACCUUGAGUAUGAAAAGGCGGCUAGCCCCAUGUAACAUGGAUCUUUUUUUUUUAUAGAACCAAUGAAUCAAGAACCACGUAGCUCUGAGAUCACCUAUGGCGUAGGAUUUCUUGCCCUCUUUGGGGCCUAAACCCGGUGAAAUCUUUGACGUGCUUUCGAUCUAGUUUAACAAGCUUUCACCCUCUUUUUUUGAUAAAGAAGCUUUCACCCUUUGAUUCCUCUACCGAACACUAAACCUGCCAGGUAGAACUCGCCGACACCCACCAUUGUCAUUCACCAAUCCCACAUAAAACAUACAAGGGCUUUAUAAACUAUUGGCAUUUUACAAGCAGCGAUCUAGGCCCGAUUCUUAUAAUUAUGUUUUUAACAAUCCACAAGCUAAAGACCAAUUUUGAUAAUCUCUAUCUGAUGUAGACGAGAGGCCUAAAAAAAUGAAAUAUUCCCUCCGCUCUAAAUUAUUAUUCGUUUUAGUUUUUUAGGUGCAUACACCUAGAUAUAUACUAGGUCUAGAUCCAUAGCAAAAGUUAUACAUUUAGAAAAAUCAAAACAAAUAGUAAUUUGAGACCAAUGAGGUAUUACACCACUAAAAUUCUUAUUGAAAAAAAGGCUAGAGCUAGCUGCGUGCAGUGGAUAAGAAUUACACCAUAGAUUCUUGUGGAAUCUCAGUGCCUUGAGGUAUUACACCACUAAAAUUCUUAUUGAAAAAAAGGCUAGAGCUAGCUGCGUGCAGUGGAUAAGAAUUACACCAUAGAUUCUUGUGGAAUCUCAGUGCCUUGAGGAAUCCUCCUAUAUACAAGCCCGUCUGCGGUGAUCUCAAAUACAAACCACAUCAUAAAUAUCAUUACUACAACGGCUGCUAUCUUUAUGCUAAUGUGCUCUUCCGCAGUAACAUUGCCAAUAACCACCACGCUGGCGCAAAGAGAGGCACAACCCUAAAAUUGAGAAGAGAUGUCCAAGUCAGCGCAAAAAUUAUUGCAACAUGUAAACAAGCUAGGCAUCCAUAGUGGAAUGAACCGCUAACCUCCUCCUGACGGUCACAAACAAGCUGUACACCUAUACGUGUAGUAUGCAUACAACUAUAGACGAGGUAUGUAGUGGAUUGUAACAUGUAGACCAGACAUGUUUCUAUAACUUUAUACAUGAUAAGUGACUCAAGCAUACACAAUGACAAUGUUGGUUUUUAUUUUAUUUUUUUGUUUGAAAUACAUGGUAAUCAAUACGUAUGAGGAGGGAUCAAUAUGACAAUUUAUGUAGAAGCUGGGAGAAGCAACAAUGGCAGCCAUAAGAAUCACUGGUAGUUCCUUACCCGGAUGAACCACCGGUAGGCUGGCUUAACGGUUAACAUGGUAGGUACUAGCUCUUGAUAGCCGCCCUCGUAGCGGUCGCUAGAUGAGCUCCGCCUGGUGGUCGUCGCGUUGAGGAGUUCUAGCACAAUCAUCGACAUGGCGCACUGCUUGCACGCGGGAUUCGUGUGGAAAACCUCACGGUCACGGCGGCGGGUGAGUGGCGGCGGAGCCGCUGGUGCUCACCGGCCGGCGCGAUAUGGACGACGACGGAUGGAUGAACUCGAUCGAUCAGGGUCUAACACGGCGUGGGGCCCGGCCCUUUGGCCUUGGCCUUUAUUUCUAUGCUCGCGGGGACACGGUUCGGCUUGCACCCGAUCGAUCUCGCGUGCACGAGUGCGACAAGGAAACAAGCUAGGAUGCGAGUUCGAUCGAAUUCCGGCUCAGUUUGCUGUCUUGCCGAACUCUGCUGUGUCUUGCCGUACGAGAUUGCGGAGGUACGGCCGCCACUACGCCAGAAACGAGAUUGCCGUACGAGCGCGCGCGCGUGCUGUGUGCCUUCGGCUUCCACGAGACAACGAGGCGCUGCAAAGUUAACCCCCGGAGGCUUGGCCUCACGGUUUGGCCAGCCAGCCAGCGAGGCGCACGUACGAGUCGUAAUCUGGCAAGUCGCUUACCCGGAGGGCCCACCGGAAGGCCGGCUUAAUGGUUGUCAUCGUAGGUGCUAGUACUUGGUGGUCGUCUCCAUAGUCGUCGCUGGCUGGAUGAGUUCCCGGCGCGCAUGCCAUUGAAGAGGUCAAGCACGCGGCAGUCGUGUGGAACAGUGGAAGCUUCUAGACGGCGGUGGGUGGCGGCUGUCGGCGGAACCGUACCGCUGGUGUGGUGCUCUGCUCACCGUCGCGAUACCAGGCGAGGGAUGGACGAACUCGAUCGAGCGCUUGGGACCGGCGGUUACGGUCGCGGCGUGGGCCCCUUGUUUUAUAUAGGUCGGCUUUUGGUUGAAUACUACAUGGGCUUGGGCCACGCAUCGCUCUUGGGCCUUGGCUGGCUUCAACUCCCGGCCCGGUUUCUUUUUUGGCUCCAAAUCGACAACAGCUCUCUUGCCGGCCGUUUGAACUCUACAGCGCGAGCGAGAUUGCACGAGACCUGCAAAUAGCUGCCUGGACUCACGGUUUGGGCAGGCAGGCAGGCAGGCAGGCGGGACAGGUCGCGAUCCAGCGACUGACGAAAAAGCGCUCAGCGCGAAGCCCAGACCACGCGCGAGGCAGCGAACACGCCACCCGGCAGACGCGGCGGCCUACCAUUGGCUACGCAGGUGAAUUACAAAGCCGCGAUUGGCUGAUGUGGAAUUAAGUACGUGGCCUUUCCUCCCAGCAUGGAUAGGAAAUCGGAACUGAUGGUCACGCUGCCCCGUCCUUCUAUUUAGGCCUGUUUUCCACAGGACCCUCCUUUUUAAUCUCUUUUUUAAUCUUUUUAGUCCCUAAGGUGUCAAACGUAGGGACUAAAAGAUAACUAAAUGCUUCAGUCCUCUAAUCCCUUGCGGGUAACUAAUCCCUUGCGGGUAACUGGAGCUAUUUGGACAUCAGGGGCUAAACUUUAGCCCUAUCACAUCGGAUGUUCGGAGGCUAAUUAGAAGGAUUAAAUAUGAGCUAAUUAUAAAACUAAUUGCAGAACCCCUGUGCUAAUUCGCGAGACGAAUCUAUUAAGCCUAAUUAAUUCAUCAUUAGCAAAUGGUUACUGUAGCACCAUAUUGUCAAAUCAUGGACCAAUUAGGCUUAAUAGAUUCGUAUCGUGAAUUAGCCUCCAUCUGUGUAAUUAGUUUUGUAAUUAGACUAUUUUUAAUACUUAUAAUUAGUAUCCAAACAUCCAAUGUGACAGGGGCUAUUUAGACUAUUUAGCCCCUGUGAGGCAAACAGGCCAAGUGGACUCAAGGUCCAAGAGGACACCCUUGCCCCUCGUUAUUGCCUAGUUUUCCACCCGUCCCGAACCAUCCUAAACCCACCGCCACCGCCCUCUUUCCUCCCCACGCUGCUGCCACCGCCCCCGUUCCUCCCCACCACUGCCGUCGCUCCUCCACAUGGCGACGUUCGCUAUGUACAUCUACCUCCCCGACGACCAUGACAACCUAUUGGGCCUCGUGCGCGUGCUCAGCACCAGCUUGGCGGUGGCACUCCAGCACGAGUCUGCCGUGCGGGAGGAGGGGGGUCCAUGAUGGGGAGCUCAGGAUCCAAAGUUUGAGAUGUUGCUCAGGGUGGAGGCGGCGACGCUCCUGUAGGAACUCAGACUCGACCUGUUGUUCAUUGUCUUCGACAAGUCCUUCACCGAGAUGUUGUGCCCGCCAACGCCGCCCAUGGUUAUGAUCUCCGUGCUCCACCAGUGCUUCCUCAACGUCGACGAGGAAGGAACUGUGGCCGCUGCAGCCGCGGAACUGACCACCCCUUCCUCUUCUUCCUCGCAGAGGAUGUCAAUGGCGUGGUGGUAUUUGCUGACCAAGUUACCAACCCUUUGCUCCAUUAGCUUCUCUGCUUCCCCAGCUACCGCGACUACUUCAGGCAGAGUGUGAUGCAGAUUUUGUGCAUUGAUUAGGGAUAGGGAUGAAGUUUAGUAGGACCAGAGACCAAACAGCCGUAGACGCGCUUGGCGGGCAAUCCCCCUCCGCGGGCCCCACCCAGGUAGGGACGUCCGAGGCCGCGACGUUGACUUUGACGAGUCGCGGCCGGCCCACCUGCCGGUCACCGUCCGAUCGGAGUGACGACUGGAUAGGCUGGCAGGCUGCUACCACUGCUCCGCUCCACUUCCGAAGUACCUACGGUUCCCCACUAAAUCACCAAAGUGCCACCCAGUAAUUCGCUGGACUAGGCGCAGGGUGCCAUUACCGUGAAUAAGACCAACAUCCAGGGGUACUUCGACCCCCGCGUGCACUACAAAUAUUCCCCUCCGGUCCAACAAGCUCAGCCCGCUUGCAGCAGCAGCAGCAGCGAAGCUCCCCUCCCCGCUUCGUCUCCGGCGAUGGGUCGUCCUCGCCACGGCGGCGGCGGCCUGAGCGGCCGCCUCCUCGUCCUUUCGUCGCUGCUGCUCCUAGCGUCCGGCGAGGUCUUCUUCGAGGAGCGAUUCGAAGGUAUUGCGUACACACGCCUCCUCGCUGUCUGCUCCGCUCCUCAAACAGCUUCCCGAUUGGUAGUCCUAGCUUGCCCCGUGCUGUCUACGGAUAGAUGCUUCUAUUUCUGUCUUUUGGUUCGAGUUGCCGAAUUGGUAGUGGCAGCCUACUGAAUUGGGAUGACUGCUGAAAUGCUCUGAGUGCAGACGGACGAUUGAUGGGCGUGCGCUACUUUUCGUUGUCACCCCCUUUGCUUUGCGAGUAUUAUCGUAGUGCCCCUAUGGUUGCGAGUAUAUGCUUCCGUUUUUGCUAAGGGCUAAGGCCGUCAAGGUUUUGUGUUUUGACCGUUUGGAGGUGAGCUCAACUGAUGUGCUCAAGUUUUCCAAUUGAAAUUAUUAGCUCAUGCUGAGCUUGAGUCUGUUCCAUGGAGUGAACAAAACGGAUGAUAUGAUGCACUUGAUGCAAUCUAAUGGGAUCCUUGCUAUUCUAAUUCAGGGCGUUUUACUGUGUUAGUAACUUAGUACUAAAUUGUUCUGUUCCGGUUCGAAUGUUCAGAUGGCUGGGAGUCGCGGUGGGUGGAAUCUGAUUGGAAAAGGAGUGAAGGGAAGGCUGGAAGGUUCAAGCACACGGCGGGAAGAUACUCUGGAGAUCCUGAUGACAAAGGUUUACUUUUCGAACCUGCCACGCUUCUGUUUCAAUUGGCUCUAUAUGUUGAGCAUUUUAUCAUAAAACAUGCAAUGCUUGCUCAGCGGCUUAGUUCCAGCAAGUCUAUUGAUCCAUGCGCUUUAUUUUUGUGGAUACCGCACCAGGAAUACAAACAACAAUGGAUGCUAGGCAUUUUGCUAUUUCAGCCAAGUUCCCAAAAUUCAGUAACAAGAACCGGACACUGGUGGUUCAGUACUCCAUUAAGUUUGAGCAGGAUAUCGAGUGUGGUGGUGGAUAUAUUAAGCUUAUGUCUGGUUAUGUCAACCAGAAAAAAUUUAGUGGGGAUACUCCAUACAGGUAAACUUCUUACCGGCAUUUGCUCCUUUAAAUUCCCACUCUUUCAAAGAUGCACUGUUUCCUUGCUGUACAUGUCAUUAGCAUGUUCUAAUUGUUGGUGUGGAUGAAUGUCACUCUACCUCACAUAAUCUGGCUGUGUUCUAGAAGUUGAUAUAGGCUUCACAGUUUGCAAAUGAAUAAUCCUGUCAUUGUUUCUGAAUGUAGUAUCUGAAUAUGGAUUGCAGCCUCUAUUGUUAUUCAAUUAUUCUUGUUGUCAGCUGCUGAAGUGGUGCCUGCUAACUUCCAUAACUUUCUCUUGUGCAGCUUGAUGUUUGGACCAGAUAUAUGUGGUACUCAAACAAAGAAGCUCCAUCUUAUACUUUCUUACCAAGGGCAGAAUUACCCCAUCAAGAAAGAUCUAGAAUGUGAGACAGACAAGUUAACCCACGUGUAUACUUUCAUUCUUAGGCCUGACGCGUCUUAUAGCCUACUGGUUGAUAACCGUGAAAGAGAAUCUGGGAGCAUGUACACUGAUUGGGACAUCCUCCCUCCUCGUAAAAUCAAGGAUGUUCACGCCAAAAGGGUUGGUUAUUAAUUUUAUAAUUAGAGCUAUAAUUUGCCCAGAAUUUACAGCAUUAUAAACUGAUAUUGCCCAACACAUACAUCUUCACUACAGCCUAAGGAUUGGGAUGACAGAGAGUAUAUUGAAGAUCCUGAUGAGGUUAAGCCAGAGGUUUGUGAUUCCACAAUUCUUUUCUGAAUAUGCAUUGUUGCACAUGUUGUGUAACGUUUCAUUGGUGUUGGCCAGGGCUAUGAUUCUAUCCCGAAACAGAUUCCUGAUCCAAAGGACAAAAAGGUACGCAAGUUCUAAGAUUAGUCAAACUUAAAAUGUGAUCCAUGGAGUCACAUAUGCAAGGAACACCCAUGCAAAGGAUUUAUUAUAAAUAGACACAGCAGAAUAUGGCAAAUAUGUGACUUUUUUCCUUCUAAACCAGCCUGACACAUGGGAUGAUGAUGAUGAUGGCAUAUGGAAGCCCAGAAUGAUAUCAAAUCCAGCAUACAAGGGACCAUGGAAACGCAAGGUCUGUUAUCUUGAUUGGCAAUCAGUCCUUGGCACAUCGUUAUAGAGUUCACAUUUUCACAUGCUCCUGCUUGCAGAGAAUUAAGAAUCCUAACUACAAGGGUAAAUGGAAAACCCCAUGGAUUGAUAAUCCAGGUAACCAAAUAAAGAUAUUGGUUCUAUUAGUGUGCGCGGUUAUGUAUUUAAUACUACCAUUUACAUUCAAGACAUAUCCAAUAUUCCAUUCAGCACCUGAUUUUGAAUUAUACCCCACUCUAAGCUUUAAAGAUGAAGUUUGACGCUAUCAGCUGUAUUAAUUUGCAGAGUUUGAGGAUGAUCCAGAUCUUUAUGUGCUGAAACCUUUGAACUAUGUUGGAAUUGAAGUUUGGCAGGUAACAUAUAUAGUUUUUAUUUUUUUAAAUGUCUGUUUUGUUAAAAUUUUAGCUUCCUGCUGCAUUAUGAUUUCUGGAGCGAUGUAAGCAUGAAGUAGACUUAUAUCUCAAACAUAUGCAGGUAAAAGCUGGUUCAGUUUUCGACAACAUUCUGAUUUGCGAUGACCCUGAUUAUGCAAGAAAAGUUGUUGAAGAAACUGUGGGUGCGAAUAGGGAGGUAACUGCAGAUAAAACUUUGCCAAAUUGGUCCCUGCUAUCUCCUGGGAACGCUAUCUUAGUUUUCUGUAUUUUUGUAGGCUGAAAAGGAAGCUUUUGAAGAAGCUGAAAAGGAGAGGAAAGCUAGAGAAGAUAGGGUUAGUAUGAAGCGCUGUGAUUAAUGAAUGAUCUAUCUUCAGUUGGACUUAGUUACUUCUAUGUCGAUCAGCAUUUAAUGUCCUCGAAUCAAAAGGAUAAUUAAAAUCUGUUAAAGAGGCUAAAUUAUCUGCUAAACUGUUGCACAGGAAGCUCAAAAAGGAAAGGAUGAAGGAAACCGGCGCCGAAGGAGGAGAGUAUGUUUUCUUCAUCCUGUCACAUAGCUCAUGUAGCUUUUUUGUCUUUUACAUGAAGAUCCGAACUAUAAAAAGGGUUCAACUCUGGUUUCUUUUUCGAAUUAUCACCAUACCAUCAAUGCUUCAUGGGGGCACAUUACAGAAACAAAUCAUAAAUAGAUUAACAUAGAAAUAUGUUCUUUUGGAAUGCUGUGUUUAUGGGUUUUGCAUUUGCACUGCUAGCUAGACUGCUAGAGGGUUGCAUUUAUUUGUGACUUGUGCUGUGCUUAUGUGCUAGAGGCGCAUGUCAUUGCCUAAAAUAUGAUGCAGUCGCACGUUCCAAAUACAUACAUACAUACAUGGUGCACUAACUCUCUUCCUUACUUUUACAGCGUCCCAGGGAAUGGGAUGACUACCAUGUAAGUCAAAAUGCAUCUUUUCUUUAACGGAAAAAAUGCACUUGUAAUACUUAUUAUGAACUUCCUAACUGGAUUAUGACAAGUAGCUUACAUACUAUGCUGGUUUCAUGUUCAGGAUGAGCUGUGAAGACCCCAACAUGAUACAUUCUUCAAAGCAUAAUCUCAAGCCACAAUGGACACGGCAUGAUAGUUUUCACCAAUAAUUGAUUCGACAGGCCAAAACUACCUGAAGUGUUCCUUGCUAUGCGCCAAAGAAUAUUAAAUUCCAGGAUUGAGAUGAAAUGGACAAGGCCGAAGAUCAUUCCUGUGUUUCUGCGCAACAGAAGGACAUUCCAGCGAAAACUUGACUUUUGGCACUGAAAUAGUGGGGUGAGACUCUGUUGUGCAUGUAAUUUACACGGCACUGGCAAUUUGCUAGCUUUGUAAUCUCAAAACAUUGCCUUUGCCAAUAUGAAUAAUGUAAGUUGACCAUACAAAAUUACGAUGAUCCCAAAUUUACUGCAUUAUCAAGUCCUUUGUCAUCUCAAAACAUUGUCUUUGCCAAUAUGAAUAAUGUAAGUACAGUAAGUUGACCAUUCGAAAUUAUGAUGAUCCCAGAUUUUACUGCCUACCAAGUCAGUCGCACAAAGUGCUGUUGCUGAGGAACACUUGACAUUCACAUAAUUUUAUGUUCAAAAAGUUACUGAUACCCUUGGAUUAUCAGCACCGAUGCAUAAAUGUGCAGGUAGGUUUCAGGCUUUCAGGUCAGAUCAUGGAAGAAAGGCCUGAAGCCCUGAGCCUACAAGCAGCUCUCAGAGUUUUCUCUUAUGCAGUACAUUCUUGUUACAUCACCCCGCCGAUGAGUAACUGGUUAAGCUUCCUAUAGUAAGGCCUAUUUAUGUUUAGAACUAAUUGAUUGAUGCUGCAGAACAGCAUCAGAUUUCCAAAAUACAGUGAGACAGCAGUGUAAAGGAAACAUGCAAUUGCACGAUGUCCCGCAAAACAAUGCUGUCCUGUAAAGAAAAUUUCUCCAAUGGUUCCGCGGAACAGAUGGAAUGAAUACUUAUAUCAGUGCUUCAUGCAAGCUACAGUGCCUAUAAACAACACGAUAAGAACAGCACUGAAGAAAUUCAGUUGGAAAACCUCACUUCACAUGGUAACUAGCACAAAAGAAUUCCUUUCUUUUCAAAAUGAAGAUGCAUCUGAAAGUCCAGAUGAAGAAUUCCUUUAUACCAGCAAUGGCCAAAGACACCCGUGACACCAGAAUUUCGAAAAUGAAUACAUAGCAUGGUGCCAACGUGAUAAAAUUUUCAUAACAAAAACAAGAUUUGUCAAACAUUUCUGCACAUAUCAUACAAUGUCUGCAACUCUUCUUCCGGGCAGCACAUCCAUCUGCAGAGUUCUACCAUUUCUGGUGGAAACCACACCAACAGAAGGCAGUGAGGGGUCUGUCACUGGUUCGAUCUCAAUAAAACUCAACUCCAUAGAUCCUGUACGCUUCAAGCUCAACACAAAUACAAGCACAAUCCAGCCGAGCAUGGUGAUCGCCCAGUAGUUGUUCAUCCCAUGAAUAAGACCCCAGGCAAUUGAGUACCCGACAAUGAUCCCCGACAAGUGGCCAAUGAAGCUAGCCUGCGGUACGAUGAUCGAUGUGAAUAUCAGCGACUCGAAUGGCGCAAAGCUGAUAGGCAGUGACAGAACCCCGAAAAUGUUCAGCUUGGAGGACGGCUGCUUGGCAGCCAGAAUUGUCAUCCAUCCAAACACAACGCAGGAGUACCCAACAGCAGUGACCCUCCUGAAGUACUCCACCUUGAACCUCUGAAUCAUCAUGUGGUAGAAGCCGAGGACGAGCAGCCCGGACAGCACGACGAGCACGAGCGUGUAAUGCAGGUAGUACUCGACGCCGAGCCCGAUCUGGCCCAGCUGCUCGACGACGCCGAGGCUCCACAGCGCGCUCAUGUUGAACACCAGGUGCACCACGCUGAUGUGCGAGAAGGCGGAGGUGAUGACCCGCCAGUACUGCCCGCCGUCGACGGCGGCCUCGUAGCUCAGCCCGACGUCCCCGUACCCGAUGCCCCGCUUCUGGAUGAACCACCAGAUCAGGGAGCAGAUGCCGAUGACGCUGCUGCUCGCCGGCUUCUCCAAUAUCUCGUAGAUCAGCGGCUUCCCCAUUUUUCUUGCAGCAGAAAGCUUCCUGAGAUUUCGGCCCUAGGACCCUGGCUCGGGGAUUGGGAGCAAAUGAUCCAGCGAUUCGCGAGGCGCGUGGGGAUUGGGGGGGCACUCACUGAUCGCGAGGGGAUAGGGGGCUCGAUUUGGUGUGCACGAAUUGGUGGCGGGAGGUGGGGUUGGAUGAUUUGAAUUGUGAAAUUUGAUGGGUUCUGCGAUGGAUCAGUGGCUCUCGCCUUGGAAUUUUGGAGGGGAUUCGAGCAGCUUCUCGGCGAUGCCCUAGACUGUUCGAGCUGGGAAUCCCUUUGGGUUCUGUUGCUUUGCUUCGGGAGAGAGGGUGGGAGGAGGAGGAUGUACGUUUUCCAAUUAGUCCAGGACUAAGCUGCAAAACGAUCAUUCCCCUUGAGUUGUGACUUCAGCUUGUGAGAUGUGGCUAAUCUUGCAUUUGCCGUAAGCACCCUAGAUUUCCCUUGAUUUCUUUUGUUGCAACUUGCCGCAUCCACUUGUGUUUCCGCUAUUGGGCCGGACCGGACCGUCUUUCUGGGCCCGUUGGAUAAUAAACAGAUAACAGUACUCAAUCGUGUUUUUUUUUUGUGUGUGUGUAAGUUCAUGUUUGAGUGCUUCUUUCAUGCUAAAUUUGCCUUCUUUUGUAGCUUUAGGUUUGAGUUAGUGUUUGAUUCGUCGAAUUUUUUUUGAAAAACAUCGAGGUGAUUCAAAUGAGAUGGAGUCGUGGCAUCCUUUUUUUUAAGAAAAAAAUUUGAAAAACAUCGAGGUGAUUCAAAUGAGAUGGAGUCGUGGCAUCCUUUUUUUUUCUUUUGAAAAAUUGUUCAGUCGUACUUAGGGGGUGUUUGGAUCACCAGGCUAAACAUUAAUCCCUGUUACAUUGAAAUUUAGAUACUAAUUAAGAGUAUUAAAUAUAGACUAUUUAUAAAACCCAUUGCACAGAUGGAGGUUAAACGGUGAGACGAAUCUAUUAAAUCUAAUUAGUCCAUGAUUUAAUAAUGUGCUACUACCGUAACCAUUUGUUAAUAAUAAAUUAUUAAGUUUAAUAGAUUUGUCUCGCCGUUUAGACUCCAUCUCCAUCUAUGUAAUUAGUUUUAUAAUUAAUUUAUAUUUAAUUAUCUUAAUUAGUCUUCGAAUAUUCGAUAUGAUAUUAGGAUCCAAACACCGUGGAUCGUCCACCGGAAGCACACGACUACACGAGUGUGAAAACUUUGAUGACCCAUGUAAUCUCUUUCUUCUCCCCCAAUCCAACCCCUACUCCACCUCCACCUCGGGUCCAAAAACAAAAGAAAAAGGGUAACAGAAACAGAGAACCGAGCAGGAAGAAGAAGGCCCGCCGCUCGCCGCUCUCGCAUCGUCCCCGAGCUCAGAUCAGGUGAGCGCGCGGCCGGAACCCUACCGUGUUCCCCUCCCCUGCAGUCUAUUCACAUCGCAAAUCGGGCUUGGAGGAGAUUGGGUUUGGGAAGAGCCCGGCCUCCCUCCGUCUUCUGCCGUAGGCGGACGGAAGGCGACACGGCCGUACGCCCGAAAAGCUCACUCCCUCCGGCGCUCCUUGGCCCGUCGCCAUCGUUGCGUCCGCAAGCGGCGGCGGCGGCGGGUUCCCGAGCCACAGCACCAAGCACGCUCCCCUUCCCCCUCUCCCUCCACCCGUAUUGCUGUCUUCCUCCACCAGAUCCGGUCUUGGUGGUGGUUCCUGUUGGGCUUCGGCUUGGCGCGACGGGGUGGUGCUGCCGGCCAUCUCCCCCGCUCUUUCUCCUUUCUGCUUGCUGCCGCCCACGUCCGCCUCCUCCCCGUCCAUGCCGUCCGCUCCCCUGUUCCCGAUCUAUUCCGGUGUCGCUUUCGACUCGGCUGUGCCAUGGUCGUUGGGGAGGGCUCGGGUGAUAUUCUGGUGGUUGCGGUGGGCUGCGCGUGGCCGGCCUGGGGCCGGUGGAUAUGCUAGGGGUUUAGGGCUAAUUGAUUGGUGACUUGUGCCAAUUCGCCGUGAUUUUGAUCUGUUGUGGUGCUUUUGUGGUGCAGGAUGACGGGCUCCAUGGAUCUCCCAGCGAAGGGCGGGUUCAGCUACGAACUGUGCCGGAGGAACGACUUUCUGGAGAAGAAGGGGCUCAAGAUCCCCGGCUUCCUGAAGACCGGGACCACCAUCGUCGGCCUCGUCUUUCAGGUGCAGCUCACAUUCACUUGUUAACUUUUCAUUAUUCUGGAAUUAGUAUUGUGUCUUUUGCUGGUUCGAGUUGCCCACGUUUGUGAAUUUGAUAGGCAUGAACCUAGUACUGUCGUUCUAAUGUUAGUAGGUUUGGAAACUUAUUUUUGGAGCGCUGAUCAGCGCAGUUGAUCUUUGGAAAAUCUGUCUGACAUUUCAAGUUAACCUUCUUAUGCACAUACCCAUAUUGCGGUACAUGUUAAUGAUACGAGUUGGGAAAAUGCUCAGUGCAAACCACCAGCCUAGUGGAACUCUGAAAAAACCCCUCUCUUUUGUAAUGUUUGUUUCUUAGCCUUUUAGUCGUAUUAGCUCAGGGGGGGAAGGUAUACAUACACAAAAAAAAUACUAAUACUGAUGCUGAAAUACAUGCAAAUGAUGCUCUGGGGAAUCUUGAUUUGAGGUAACUUGUGAUUGAAUAAAUCUAAUGAUGGUAGUUUUACCUUAACACUUUUGUAGCAAAUUUUUAGUAUCUGUACCUGUUGCUCUUAGUGCAGUGCUAACGGAUGAAAGAUACCGCAUUCCUGUGACCUGUUUGAACAGGCAUUGUUUCAUAUUGCUGUAUUGAGGUUAACGUUGUACUAAACUAUAUUUUGAUAUCUAGGAUGGGGUUGUUCUUGGGGCAGACACAAGGGCAACUGAGGGGCCUAUAGUUGCUGAUAAGAAUUGUGAGAAAAUCCACUUUAUGGCGCCAAACAUAUAUUGCUGUGGAGCAGGAACUGCUGCUGACACAGAGGCUGUUACAGGUAAAUGACUAAAAGAAUGUCAUUCUGGCCUUUCCAACUCCCAUUUCUUCCCUUGAAUUCCUUCUUACGUUUUGCUUCUUUUACUUCAGAUAUGGUGAGCUCCCAGCUACAGCUUCACCGAUAUGCAACUGGUCGUGAAUCAAGAGUCGUGACAGCUCUUACACUGCUGAAGUCGCACCUUUUCAAGUGAGCUCCUAUCGCACAGGCAUAAUUACAACUUCCUGUCAUUCUGUGACACCUGACCUACUUAUGCAAUUAUGUUUAGGUAUCAAGGCCAUGUCAGUGCUGCUCUUGUUCUUGGUGGAGUGGAUUGUACUGGACCACACCUACACACUGUGAGUAACUUGUAACUGGUUGUUGCUUGUUGUAAUUAAAAGUUAGGGUAGUUAAAUUACCUUUGGAAAGUGCAGGUUUAUCCGCAUGGCUCCACAGAUACUCUUCCUUUUGCCACGAUGGGUUCUGGAUCGCUUGCUGCAAUGUCGGUGUUUGAAUCGAAGUACAAAGAAGGGCUUACGGUAAGUGAACCGGUGCAAUAGUUCCUUGAUUUGAUUAUGUUGGCAAUAUAGUUUGUCUUCUGUGGUGACUGAAGUUGCAUUUGAUGGUGUUUGUUUUAAUUUACAAAUGUAUGUUCAUAUUGUAUAAUGCCUUAAUUCCUUUUUAUCUUCUAGAGGGAGGAGGGAAUACAACUUGUGACCGAUGCAAUCCGUGGUGGUAUCUUCAACGACUUGGGUAGUGGAAGCAACGUGGAUGUCUGUGUGAUAACCAAGGUAUGUAUUCCAUUUUCUGUGUCAUGACUGAAAUUGACAAAACACUGCAAACUUUGAAAAUACAUCAAAGCAUAAUGUAUUGUUACUUAUUAGAGAAUGAACUUUUAAACUAUCUGUGUGGCAUUGUAUUUGUCAACUUUGAUACAAUACUCCCUCAGUUUGAAACUAGGUAUCAUUCUAGCACUGUCCCAAGUCAAACAUUUCUAUAUUUUACCAUUAAUUCCUAGAAAUUCGUAUAGUUUAACAACAUGCAGAUUUUAUAUUAUGAGAAUAUUUCUCAUGGUGAAUCAAAAAGGAUAAAUCUUAUGAUGUUGCGGAAAUGCGUAUGUUGCGUUGGAUUUGUGGUCAUACGAGGAGGGAUCGAGUCCGGAAUGAGGAUAUACGUGAUAGGUUAGGGGUAGCACCAAUUGAAGAAAAGCUUAUCCAUCACCGGCUGAGAUGGUUUGGACAUGUCCAACGAAGGCCUCCAGAGGCACUGGUGCGUAGUGGAACCCUAAGGCGUGACAGUAAUGUGAAGAGAGGUAGAGGAAGAUCAAAAUUGACAUGGGAAGAGGCAAUAAAAGGAGAUUUGAAGGGAUGGAAUAUACCCAAAAAGUUAGCCAUGGAUAGGAGUGCUUGGAAAACAGCUAUUCAUGUGCCCGAACCCUGAUUUGUGGCUCUUGUUAGGUUUCAACUCUAGCCUACCCCAACUUGCUUGGGACUGAAAGGCUACGUUGUUGUUGUUGUUGUUGUUGUUAUGAUGUUAAACUAUAUGAAUUUGUAGAAAAUUAUGGUCAAAGAUAGAAAUGCUUAACAAAAGUAGAAUGACAACUAAUUUGAAACAGAGGGAGUAUAUUGCUUGCACAUAGUUCGAUUACUUCUGGCCUUCAAUUUCCAAUGAUGCUCAUUUGAGUAAACUAUAAUACUGUAUUUUGCAUGCUACCAUUUGGCAUAGAUGCCUUGUGAGCAAAUUGAAGAACAUGAAAUAUGUUCUUAGAAAUGCUUCAAAGGCUAACCAAACCCUUUUGACUUCACCAGGGGAAAACAGAAUACUUGAGAAACCACGAGUUGCCGAAUCCAAGAACAUAUGUUAGCUCGAAGGGAUACAGCUUCACCAAGGGGCAGACUGGUGAGUUCCUUGCUAAUGGUACAGAAUAUAUGACAUAUUGAACAGUAGAAAGUCAUGCAUGAUUCUGUUCUUGCUUGCAGAGGUACUGUCGACAAAGAUAACACAGCUGAAGCAGAAGGUUGAGGUUGCUGAGGGUGGCGAUGCAAUGGAGGAGUGAUCAUACAUUCUUACAUUCGGACAACAGUCAUAUUCAGAGUGGUCAUAUUCAGAAUUUACGUAAUUUUUCUUAGUGGGGCUGCUAGAACAAGAAAAAAUGGAUGUCUUUGUUGUACUUUCUGGACUGAAUCCAGACUUUUUAAAGGGCAUGUUUGGGUUGGAGCUGAUCAGAGCUGCUUGUACCAGUCUGAAUUUGGACGUCUGGGGCUGGAUCUGCUGCCUGUCCCAGGGUUCUAAGCAAACAAGCCCUUUUAUGGUUAAGUGUUUCUGAUGUUGACAUAUUUUCAAGUGAUUGUUGGUUCCGAAUGUGGAGUUGUUUAAAACUGUGAUGGUGUGGUAUUUUCUUUUGAGUUGUUAAUUUGUUAUUACCGCUGCAUCAAUUGUUAGUUUCAUGAUGAGGGAAACGAUUAGCAAGCAUAUUUGGCCCUUUGACUAGACAAAUCAUGACUGAUGCCGUAGUUUCAACUAUGCUGGACUUGUAGUGCAGGGUUCAAGCCUCAUUUGUUGUUGGUAUCUAUGUUCAGUUCUGUCAAAACGUGCAUGCUAGAUUGCUAACCGUGUGAAAAUUAUGUGGUGGUGGCGUGUCCGCUAAAGGAUUGUAUUAUGCUGUGUUAACACAUCUUGCAAGGGAUGGUUCGCACUCGGAUUUUUUUUUUUUUUUUUUUUGCAGUAAGGAAACGCUUGAUUCAAUGGACCAAAGUAUUUGAAUGCUUCUUUCGUGCCAGAUUUGCCCUCUUUUGGAGGUUUGGGUUUAAGUUCAUGUUUGGUUUCUAAAGACUAUGCUAAAGCGAGACUGGGAGGGAAGUGAACUUUGUGCUUUCGCACUUCUUUGGUUGCUCUGUAACCAAAUAAGUAUGUUAGGAGUUUGAUGAUGGAAGUCUUUGGGGCUAAUUGCCGACCUUCUCGUUUGACCAACAUUGGAUUUGGGCAAACCAUUUUAUAAAAAAGCAGUGCUACUUUUCACUCUGUUGCCCUUGCGGCGGCUACUUGCUGGGCUAUUUGGAUACAUGUUUUGUAAAGAAAAAAAAAUCUCCUACUGAGAUUACUGUUGUUUUAUCUCUUAGGGGUGUUUGGAUCCCUGGGUUAAACUUUAGUUCCUGUCACAUCGAAUGUUUAGAUACUAAUUAGGAGUAUUAAACAUAAACUAUUUACAAAACCCAUUGCACAGAUGGAGGCUAAACGGCGAGACGAAUCUAUUAAGCCUAAUUAGUCCAUGAUUUGACAAUGUGCUACUACAGUAACUAUUUGCUAAUGAUGGAUUAAUUAGGCUUAAUAGAUUCGUCUUGCCGUUUAGCUAUUCGCUAAUGAUGGAUUAAUUAGGCUUAAUAGAUUCGUCUCGCCGUUUAGCCUCCAUCUGUGUAAUUAGUUUUAUGAUUAACUCAUAUUUAGUUCUCCUAAUUAGCCUUCGAAUAUUUGAUGUGACACGGACUAAACUUUAGCUCAGGAUCCAAACACCCCUGCAGGACUACAAAAACUAGAAAACCAAGAGCUGCUACCAGGUGGUGCCGAAUGUACAGAAGUUCAUCUGUUCAUGUUUGGUUUGUGAAAAAAACAUAAAAAUAUUUUGGUGGUUGCAAUGGGGGAGUAGUGAUAUCAUUUCCUCUCUUUUUUCCGGUAUAUUUGUUCAGUUGUAAAAUGGAUUAUUGUCCAUUGCAGGCACAUGACGUGACUAGCGAGGCGCUGCAGAACCCAGCACUUGAUUUGAAAACUCAGAGGGUGUUUGGAUCUUUAGUUCGGACAUGUCAAUAUUCGGAGACUAAUUAGGAGGAUUAAAUAUGAGCUAAUUAUAAAACUAAUUACACAGAUGGAGACUAAUUCCCAAGAUGAAUCUAUUAAGCCUACUUAAUCCAUCAUUAGCACAUGUUUACUGCAGCACCAUAUUAUCAAAUCACGGACUAAUUAGACUUAAUAGAUUCAUCUCGCAAAUUAGCCUCCAUCUGUGCAAUUGGUUUUGUAAUUAAUCUAUAUUUAAUACUUCUAAUUAGUAUUUAAAUAUUCGAUGUGAUAGGAAUUUUAGGAGCUCCUGAACAAACAAACGAGCUUAACUUGCGCUACAUACUCAUAACCAUGCGAAUUUGGGACGUAGUGGUGGUUAUGAAGCAAUGGCACUAUAUUAAAUCAACAAUAUAUAUAUAUAUAUAUAUAUAUAUAUAUAUAUAUAUAUAUAUAUAUAACAAAUCAUCUACGCUCGUGUAAACACAAGGUAGAGUACAGUAUACAUAGACGAGGAGCGGCUGCACGCGCGUACAUAUACCCGGUAUACAUGAAUCUGCGCCUCAUCUCGUACACCCGGAUGCAGUAUCGUGCACGCUCCAAAGCCCGAUGGAUCGGUCGCUGGAUCAAGCAGAAGCAGCUCUCCAGAGCCUGACCUCGACAACAGCCGAGGCGAGGACGCAGACCGCGAGGAACACGCCGUAGAACGCGGAGGCCGCGGCGGCCUCGUGCGCGACGGACAGUCCGACGAAGACGUUGGCGACGGCGCAGGCCACCGCGGCGCGGCCGACGUAGUGGUGGUACCAGUUCCAGUACCGCCUCACCUUGGACCCCUUCCCUGGACGCGCCAGGAACGCCAGCACCUGCAGGCAGCCGAAGACGAGCACGGCGACGCCGAGCGCCUGGUGGCGAACUGGAAGGCGAGGUAGAGGCGGGACGCGCGCGCCGCCAGGAGGGUGGUGCCCGGGAGCGUGUUUAUACACUUGUAUGUACAAGAGAGCAUGAGGUGAUUGACGACGUACGCGCACGAUGAAGCCUUGGGAGGGCCAAGCGUCGAGGCAGGUGAGGUUGGAGGUGUCGAAGGGGAUGAGGCGGCUGACGGCGGCGAGGCUGGGGCUGGAGGCGCACGAGUCGGCCGUCUGGGACCUCGCGACGGAGCUGAUGGAGCAGGACAGUAGCAGCACGAGUAGCGCGCUGCUAAUGCUGGCGCGGGAAGAACAAAAGACCUCGGCUUCAUGUUCCUGUGUGCAUCUGAUCUCUCUCCUCUGGGCUCUGGCUGGCUGGCUGCUAGUGAUGACUUGGUGAGGUUUGCUGUGGGCUGCGGCGGGCAGCUCUCAGGUUGAUGGCUGUGGUUUCCUGGCGAAAACGGAGGUGUAGAUUAUACGGAUCCGUUUGAUUCGAACGUGAGACCUGUCGAAACGUAAUUAAGCUUGCUUCGACGAAUAUGCAUGCUCAGUAGACAACGCGUGGCAGUUGAGCCACGGUCCCAAUUGGUGUAAGCUUUUUUUUAUAAACAGAGUAGAGUAUCUAUCAUAUACAGGCGUCUCGCAGUUGUCAACCAUUAAAAGAACAAUGCCGUUAUUUUUUCCUGAAAUCAGCGCUGAGUCGAAGAACUAAACCUGGACGUGGAUAAUUUUCACCACAACGAACCUAUGAUGCCCAUUUCGCGAUCUAUGCAGUAGUUUAACCGGACUUCAUUUUAAGUAGAAGAACGUUGUAGGCGCUUCAUUUGGAAAACUGCAAAAACAGGAACGAGCAACUCGAUCUGCAUGCGGAUUGGAUUGUACAAGGUCCGCUCAUGGUUUUACGAGGAAAUCAAACGCAAGGUGCAAUGAUACAAUAUGCGCACAUCACACGACAGACUUUAGUUUCAGGCAGGCAAAGAACAUACGUGCUCUACCCCUGAAGAUCUCCGUGACUGCUACACGGCGAGGUCGUUCGACACCGAAAGUGGUUGCUAGUGGAGUAAGACGGAGUAGGACGCCCGCGUGUAGCAGUCACACGCCCUAGCCUUACGGUACAGACUGGCAAGCGCACGAGAUAUAUUAUUUGCUGGUUUGAUAAGACCUGGUCCGUGAGCGGCUGCCCGGCGAGCUGGAACGCGAGGUGGAGGCGGGACCCCUUGGGCACGACGGUCGGCGCCGCGCGCGAGCGCCAGCUUGCCCUGGUCCGGCGGGCACGACCUGGAGCUCGUCCCUGCGAGGUAGUACUGCCUCGCGGAGCCCGCGACGCCGCCGGCCGCCACCCACCCGACCACCGCGCUGCUCCCCACCAUCCGCCCCGUCGGCGAGAAGCCGAUGGAGAUGUACCCGCCGUUGUCCGGCGCCGACAGCACGAAGCUCCACACGUUGCUCCCCUGCGCCGCCGCCUUGCCGAACUGCGCGCAUGCCAAGAAGCCGCCGCCGUGCCCGGCCGACGAGCAUUAACGUAACGCUAUACGUGAAAAUUUGAGACUAAUAUCGAUCCAUUAACGCUGAGCGCUUACUCUUAGGAUGAAAUCUUGCGAGGGCCAUGCUUCGAAGCAGGCGAGGCCGGUGGUGUUGAAGGGGACGAGGCUGAGGCCGUUGCUGCACGAGUCCGCCGCGCUCUGCGAGCUCACCGAGGGCGGGUACAAACUGACGAAGCAGAGAGCCACGACGACCGGGAGAGAGCGUGGCGUGGUUCGCUGCUCUCGUGGUUCUGGCCAUGGCGCGCGCGUGCACGGAGGGUGAACGCGAGGUCGUCGAUUGAUUUCGCGAGCUUCGUGGUGGUGAGACGAUCGAGUGGAGUCGAAAGCUAUGGGCGCCGUGGCCGGCGUGCCCAGCGAGUGUCUGGAAUGAUUUGCGAGGUGAUGGCGCGUUUUAAAUAAGCGAUUGGCGUGUGUCCCGCCUUUGAUAGAGCAUUGUUUAUGUGGAGAUUAGGAAUGAGUUGGUGUGCAUGGUGUACUAGAAUAUGUUGGCUUUUAGUUCUCUUCUGGAAAUUAAAUAUGUUGCCUUCUGGUUGCUUUAUUUCUUGCAGUUUCAUUAGUCCUCUUUAUUUUUUUAUUUUUUAAGCAAAAAUCAUUUCAAACUUUAUCUUGACUUCAUUUGCAAAAUAAGUUCGUUACCAAAAAACGCAAAUACAUGGGCUGAAGCUUUGUGGAUAAAAGCUCAAAUCCACCCAGAAAACAGUUUUUUUGUUGUACAGUUGGACCGCAUCAAAUUGACCCAAACCUUCUCUUUUAUUGGGCUUCUCCACAAAUAUUCCUUGGGCCGUGUGGGCCGUUCUAAGCUUCCACGGUCCAUUCGACCCGACUCGACCCGAGAUCGCUCUCUCUUCCCACCGCUUCUCUUCUCCACACGAACUCACCCUCGGAGAUAGAGCGAAUCGAAACACCAAGCAGAAAAAAAAGAAGGUAGUGAACAAAAAAAAAAAAUCCCCCGCUUCGUUCUCGGCUAACCCCCCGCCCGAAUCGAUGGAGAUUAGGGCUCCGCCGACGAGCCUGAGGCUCGCGCCGCCGCCGGCCUCCGCCAGCUUCCGCCGGACCGGCCUCAAGACCUCCUUUCUCAACGGCCGCGGUGCGUCCCCCCGAAUUCGUACCCCCACUUCCCCGUCUUAUCCGUGCUCGCGGUAGAGGUUUGUGCAUGAUGUUUUCGUUUGCGCAUUCGAUUAGCGUGCUCCAAUGUUUAUUUGGUGGCUUGGGGCAUGCUUGGUCGAUAGCCACACUUUGCAGUGCCAAACUUGAGAGUUUGUAGUUCGUCAUGCUGUUGUUGAUUCAGUGCCAACAGUUGGAGCGUUGUGGUCACUGCCUUUGCUUGCCCCUAUUGUGUACUCACGUCCUUUUCCAUGAUGGUGUUAAGUAGCUCGUUGCAACAGACCAUUAUGUGGUGGAGGUUGCAAUGUUAGGUCUGUGUAAGGCCCAACUUGUUUGCACCAUUAUCGAAAAAAUGAGCAUAAAACUAUGAUUUCAGUUUCAGUUGGUUAUGUUUAAACUUUGAAACACAUCAUUUCUUGAUUAAAUGGUAUCCUAUUUUCUCUAUCUGCAGAACUAAAUGAGUCCUAGUGAUUUGUAAAUGACCCUGGUUUUAGAUGCAGAUUGAAUUGAAGUAUGUAUCAUCAAACUAAAUGUGUUGGGGAAUGCUGAUUGGAGCUCUAAUCAUGUUUAUCAAUGCUAGUACAGUAUGUACCACGCUUCGGGGCCUGCCCUCCCUUUUUAUCUAGAGUUCCCUGAAAUAUGCUAUCCCAUAAACUUAAAAAACAUAAACGGCCUCCAAUAAUCUUUCAUUGUGUGAGAUGGCAGCUUGGCGAAACCAUUGUUUGACGAUUAUGGAAACAUCUUAGAAUUUCAGAAAAUAUGAUUUUCUUUCUUCCAGUCAAUGUUCUCGAUGCACAUGGUAAUACAGAUAUUGGAUGGCAUGUUGUUGCAUUACUGUCAGUAAUGCUAGCCAUUAUGCUUCAUUUGAGAGCAAUAGUAAAAAGAUGCUAGAGUAUAAUAUGGCGAUGAGCUACAAGCCAUGUUGACAACUUCUAAUUUACCUAUUUCUUGCUCUGCAGUUUCACUUAGAGUUGUGCACAUACGACAAUCAAACGUCAGCAGAUUUAAGUGCAAUGCCAACCUCUUUGAUAGACUAUCUAGGGUUGUCAAGGUGAGUGGUAUCGUUUCCUUCAUUAUAUCAUCAAUAGAUUUUUUUUCUUCUGCUUCUGAUUAUCUAAAGCACUUGGCUCUCUGGUUUGUCUAGUCCUAUGCAAAUGCUGUUUUAAGCACAUUUGAAGACCCUGAGAAGAUACUAGAUCAGGCGGUUCUCGAGAUGAAUGAUGAUUUAACAAAGAUGCGUCAAGCCACUGCUCAGGUUUGUUCUGAUUGUAGUCAAUCAUAAAUUUCAUCAUUGACAGCACAUGCUCUUAAUUUUUGUUGUGCCUUUUCUCCAUUUGUGUUUGCCCUGUCAUCCUUGUCCUUGACAUAGGGCUUGGGGGGUGCCUCUGCGCGCUUGGGGGCUGUCAGAGGUUAACCCCCAUGUUUUAUUUGUACUUAAACUUCUUUCCUUCUAUAAUGAAAGGCAGAGCUCUUCUCUCCUUCUAUAAUGAAAGGCGGAGCUCCUGCCAUAUUGCUUCAAAAAAAAGCACAUGCUCUUAAUUUCCAUUAGUAUCUUAAUGCUUCCUUUUCAACUACUUUCUGUUCUAUUGCCAUUCCUGUUCCCUAAUAUUUUGUCAGUUAGCUGCUUCUUAUAUUUGUUGCUCACUGUGCAUUCACAAAAUGAAAAUCUGGUUCUCUAUACUUGUUCUAUUGCACUCUCCUGCUGACAUGGAUUGUGGUUUUGGAAGGUCUUGGCAUCUCAAAAGCGGCUUGAGAACAAAUACAAAGCUGCUGAACAAGCUUCCAAUGAUUGGUAAUAUUAUGGUUAAUUGCAAGCAAACGUUGGGUUCUGCCAUCUGAUUGCUUUACUGUAAAUUGUUUACAUUUUUAUGAAAAAUGUAGGUAUCGGAGGGCUCAACUUGCUCUUCAAAAGGGGGAUGAGGAUCUUGCCCGUGAAGCCCUUAAGCGGCGUAAAUCAUAUGCUGUAUGUAUCAUCUAAAUCUAGAGUUAUGGUUCAAUGUCUGCUUUGUCAUACUGUUUAACUGCAACUUAGUUUUUACCUUUUAAUCGUGUCACAUGGAUGUUGUGCAAAGUGUUUUGCUGGCUUUUUAUCGCGCUGUUUGGCAAUAACGUGUCUGCAACAUAUACUCUUAUAUUACAAGUACCAUAUAUUAACUUUACAUAUCAAAUUCCUGAUACACUUCUAUUAUUAUUGUUAUUAUUUGCUUAGGAUAAUGCAAGCUCCUUAAGGGCCCAGCUUGAUCAGCAGAAGGGUGUUGUUGAAAAUUUGAUUUCAAAUACCAAGGUGAGCUUAUUAGCCGUUACUGCAAUCUUGAUUUUGUGUCAGUAUUAUUUGUCUAUUUGAUUGGAUCAACGUGGCACAAAUGGUGAAAGGUGCUUAUUUCACUUUUUUUAAUCAUGAGAUUAUCUUUACUGACCCGUUGAGUAUGCCAUUGUGCAGCUUCUUGAGAGCAAGAUAGCAGAGGCCAAGCAGAAAAAGGAUACCCUAAAGGCCCGUGCUCAAUCAGCCAAGUAUGCAUUUAUCAUUUACUAAUUAUUAUUUCGUUCCUGUGUAUUAUGGAUGCACUGAGAUUUUCCCCCCUUCAGGACGGCAACAAAAGUGAGUGAAAUGUUGGGUAAUGUAAAUACAAGCAGUGCCCUUUCAGCAUUUGAGAAAAUGGAGGAAAAAGGUAUUAUCUCCUUGACUAUUACUUACUCAACCUGUUUUCACUGUGGGUGUGCUGGCACUGGUUCCUAUUGAGGCCAGAGACAUGUUAUGUGUCAAAUGUAGAUUAAAACUGCAAGAGUUCAAGCAAUGAAAAUACUGUCAAGUAGUUAACAUCAAUACCCUGUAGUGGUUUCGGAGCAUAUCCAAUGUACAGCUAAAGGCUUCCAUAACUUAGCAGCAAAAAAAUCGUUACCCUGUUAGCCACCAAAUAUUCUAAGUACACCAUAUCAGCUAAAUUUUAGGAGACAAUGUAAAUUAUUGGCAGCUACACUGUCAAAGUUCACCAAGAUGACACAUGCAUUUUUGUUGCCUUUUGAACAUAUUCUCAUUUUCCAUAGCAAGAUUUUUAUUGGUAUAUUCCAGAAUAUGUCACUAUUUAUAAUCUUGGCAAAGUACAACUAUCUCAUCUUCUUGCAUGGUUGCAUUGCAUGUGUUGACUUUUUAAGGUUACACACCUGCUUUUAAGUUGAGGAAUGACAUCGACCUCUACCUUUUCUUCCUGGCCAAGUUAAUUUGCAAUGAGUGAUACCUCAUGAGAAACGAUUUGAAUCUUUGGUUCAUAAAAAUAAUUGCAAAUUCCGUGCUGUUAGUUAUGGCGAUGGAGUCCCAAGCAGAGGCACUUGGUCAGUUAGCAACCGAUGAUCUAGAAGGAAAGGUAAAAUUGGAUGUCAUGAAGUGAUCAUUAUUAAUUCUAUUGUAGUAAUCACAUAUUCUUAUCACUAUUUAUUUGUACACAGUUUGCAUUGCUGGAGACUUCAUCUGUUGAUGAUGAUCUUGCGCAAAUGAAAAGAGAACUAUCCGGAAGUUCAUCGGUACGUAUUUUUAUUGGAUGCUCAGAUUAUCAGUCGGUAACAAAAUUUCAAGCUAAUGAUAUAUUUCCCAUUGAUUUUUGUCUGUUUUGUCUUGCGCAUGAUAAUGAAAUGUGAUCUACUUUGAUGUAUAUGAGACAUAGGACAUACAAAAGUUGUUGUUCAGCAUACUUAUGGGCCCCUCUAAAAAGUAUUGAUGUUUUCUCAUUUCAUUUUCUAUAAUCUCAAUUAAUCUUCAGCUUUAAAAGUUGUUUCUGCCGUGUUCAUCAUACUGACAUAAAUUUGUACCUAGUAUAUCAUGCCAUACUGUUGAACAAAACCUGCAACUUGACAUUAUGUCUGUUGAUUUUCAUCCUCGGAACAAGCUAAGUGAAUAAUUCAUUACCAUAGAGCACCAACUUCUUUCUGUGUGUUUUUGGUUUUCCUUUUUCCUUCUUACAAACAUUUAUUUGUGUCAACUACAGAAAGGGGAGCUUCCUCCGGGUAGAACAGCAGUGAGCAACUCAGGUGCGGCUCGCCCUUUCCCCGACCUAGAGAUCGAGAGUGAGCUAAAUGAGCUGCGGAGGAAGGCCAAAGAGUACUAGAUUCCACCACUCGUGUCGAUUCAGCAGGCCUGACAAAAAUCUCGCCCCCCAGAAUAUUGUAUAGCCGCAGAUUUCUCCAAUGCGCCAUUGAAACUCCAGUGCACCUUGUUUGUUAACGAGUACGGAAUGUUGCAAAAUUCUCGGCAUUACCCCCUACCCCUGCGAGUGACAUUUGUACAGUUAUCCAUAAAUUGUUGUAAAUCACUGCUCGCCCUAGAGCCUUUUUUGCACACACAAUAUAUAAAUUCGAAAGUCUGAAGUUUCCACUCGUAUGGUUUUGACCCCCUCUGCUGGUGUCGUAACAUGCGUUGAGACUCUUACAAGUCUUCAUUCUUCAAGCCGAUCGAAGUUUCCUCGCAGUGGUCCAAGUCAGUACUCGGGUGCGACUGGUCCGCUGUUCAUGUUAAACGAUGGUUUCAGUGCCAUUUCUGAUGGUUCAGUCGCAUGACCGGAAGUUUGUCGGAAAGUGCUGUAUCAAACUUUCUGCUAUGUUGAUCGUGCCGGUCGUACUCUUUUGUCUUGAAUUAGCAUCUUGAUUCGUACUUUGGCAGGACAAAUUCUGCAUCGCAUGGACUUUGAAUGCCGCAUCCGUGGUACAUGCUUUUGUUCCUGCGCCCUUGCUUGUACGCAUUGUUGCCAUUCGGUCAGAGAGUUCCUCGUUUUUCUAUAAAAAAGAAAAGAAAAGAGCUUCAGCUCUAAUGUCAAACUUAAGAGGCUUCAUAAGCGAUGACGUUUUGCUGACGCGCACUAGCUCCUUUCCGUUGCACAGUUGGUGCCUGUGCCACUGUACACGACUUGGAGAAGGAAUUAGGAGAAGAGUCAGCAGGGUGGGCAAGCUCAACGCUGGCGUGUCAACCCAACCGAGCUCCUCCGGCUGCCUGUGAAUUCAACCGUCUUGACUUUCCAACGCUGCCUACUGCCUCGCCCGUGCCGUGCGUUGGGAACCGGGAGCACGUUUGCGUGCGUGCGCCCGUGUUGGACUUUGAGACGCCGACGCCGCGGUCUCAGCUCUCCACUCUCCACCACCCCAACCGUCUCCACGUACUGCACCGGCUCCGCUUCGGGUUCCCAUCAGGCGGCUGUGCCCCGGGCGGGCGGCGCUGGCGCACCAACCUGGCCGGCCGGCCGCUGCACCGGCCUGAAAACCCCCGUGCCGCCCGUGAGGGGAUCACCGAAAAUUCGGGCGGUGGCCCGCGGCCUCGUGGCAGCGAGCGUGGCAAACCCUUGACCUUUUCUCUGGUCCAACGAACGCAUCAGUGCAGUGCUGGCCGUGGGGAGAAAAGAAGGAAAAAAAAUCAAUUCGAUCUCAUCGUGGAGUUGAUUUCUUGACCGGUUCUUGGUUCCCUGCAGCCAGCAGCAGCACUGAAUAAACGAGUCAGCAUUCCUGCACGAAGAAUUCAACCUAGUUGGCUGCAAAGCGGAGACGUGGUGCCGUGCAGGGAAGAAAAAGAAAAGCCCGGCCGGCGACCCGGCACAUACCAGGCACGUACGUGCCCCGGAGUGGCACGCCCUAUAUAAACGCGCAGCGGCCUCUGCCGGUGUGUGUCCACCCACAGCACAGAGCCAAGCAGAGAAGAGCGCGGCGCACGCGUAGCUUGUUCGUCGUCGUGAAGGAGCCUGAGAGACACACGUACAGCGAGGCAGCAAGCUAGCCAUGGGCCACCGUGGGCUGUCGCUCGUCGCCGUCGUGCUGCUCGCGGCGGUCGUGGCGCUGAGCCUGGCGGCGCGGUGCGCGGACGCGGCGAGGCCCGUGCCGCCGAGCCCGGCGGCGGGCGCGGGGUCGGCGUACGACGCGGUGGUGUCGGCGCUCAUGGAGAUGCUGCCCCAGGGGCCCAGCGGGGGAGGCGCCGGCCACUGAGCCGGCCCGCGGACGGCGGCGUGCGCGUAGCCGCGUAGCGCAGUAAGCCUGCGGUUUUCACGAAAGGGUGAAGCCUGCAGCUAGCUGCUCUGUAGUUAGGGACUAGUAGACUGUACCCGGCCUGUGGUUUCACAGAAAUUCUUCAAGUUCUUUGGUUUCCUGUUCACAACACCAUUUUUGUUUUCUUGCUUUGAACCUCCUCUGGUUGGUUCUGAAGAGAUGUAAAUACAUCAUAUAGAUAAAAGCUACUCCUUGUUACUGCAUGGUUCAGUUUUGUCCGACAUAUCCCUAGCUGCUCUUGUGUAUGGUUUCGGCCAUUUUUUUUUUGGCUUGGUCUCAGCAAUUAGCAGGCUUCGAUGAUGGAUGAGAGAGCUUUGUUUGUGGUAUUAGGUAGGCCUGGACUUUGGCGACGAAUUGUAGUCCUUUUUAAGUGGUGUUCCUGGCCAACUCGUCAUUCUGAGUUCAGAUAGUCCUCUGCAACAGGAUUACUGAAGAAAUCUCAUAACCAAAC
rnacentral:lncRNA from 1 species